rnacentral:lncRNA from 1 species
UGGAACCAAACAUACAUAUUAUAUCCCAUUAGCAUAGUAGACCAGCAGAAAAAAGAAGAACAUAUCCAAAAAUAAAAAUAAAAAUAAAAAAUUACCUUGAGUAGAACAGCAUCCGCAGGUGGGACAUACUCAAACAUAUUUCCGGCGACGAAGGUCAAAAUGUCGCUGGCGGGAGCCGCGGCGACGACGUGUGGGAGGUCCAGAACGCUGCACUUGAGGUGCGGGAACGCUCUCGCCACGGCCGACGCGGUGGCGCCAUGGUUGCCGCCGAUGUCCACCAGCGAGCUUUUCACUUCCCUGAACGCUCCGCCGUGCUCCUUCAACAGGACCUUCAUGGCGAUGCGGCUGUCCGCGGCCAUGCCGUCGUUGAACAAGCCGCCAUCGACCUUGGUGGUGUCCCAGAACGUGCAGCCGUUGGCCAGCUGGACGAGCGAGUGCGACUGUGCCGACUCUCCCUCUUGGCCUUGGGUAAACCACUCGGGCAUUUUGAGGAGAGAGGUCCAGCAUAACGUGUUGACGAUGGUGCCCACCAUCGGGGACAGGUUGUGCGGUGAUCUCUCGACAAGGAGCCGGGAGACCCGCGUGAGCUUGUAAUACGCAGCGCCAUCACCGGCGUGGUCGUUGCUGCCUUUGCCUUGGACAAUGGAGAAUACCCCGGUGGUGGUGAGCACCCGCAUGACCCGCCGGAGGUUGGAGCGCUUCGUGGGGUGGAUCCCGGUGUCGGAGGCCAGCUCGGACAAGGUGGCGGCGCCGCCGCGGCGGUGGAUGGCGUCGGGGAUGCGCAGGUCCGUGGCGGCCUUGAGCGCCAGUGACUUGACGAAGGCGAGGCCGUGGUGGUAGAGCUCCAGCUGAGCUUGAAGUAACUCGUCGCUGCUCAUGGCGAGGUCUUGGUCUCGUUCGAUGUGCUGCGCGGCCGGCAUGGUGUAUGUGUAUGAUCGAUCGAGUGUGGUAUGCUAGCUGCUACCUGCUUCUUGCUUCUUCCUUACGUAGAGAAAACGUAGUACCUUCUUAUAGAUAUAGAUGCAUGCGCAUGGUUUCCUAGUAGCUAGCUUCCUUUUGCGGGUUUUUUCUUGUUCAGGGAAGCUUCCUUUUGCGGCUUGGUUUGAGGUUACUGCUUCUAGUUGUAGCCUCCUCCUAUCCUCGCUGUGUGGACGUAGUCUCCCAUUCACCUUAGUAAACAAUUUGGACCUCUCAUUGAGAAGAUUAUAUUUCCACAACAGUUUCUUUUCGUUAUUUCAUUUUUAUGGGGAUUCGUUAAAACCCACCCCUUGAUGCAUGUUCAAGACAAUAGCAUUUCUCAAGGGGCAAAACAAGAGAUGACCUACAAAAAAAAGAUCCUCGUUUGGACCCAUGGUUCUGAAGUCCGUGCACUUCGACCCUACCUAAUUGUUCACUCAAGCACCACAUCACCUUGUGGUCGGCGGGUUAGGAGUAGUAACUACCAUGUGUCCCCAGGGCGCUAGGUGUCCAGGUUUAGUAUAAUAUUGAUGCCAUCUUUCCAAGUGACGGUAUCUUGACAAGUGUUGCUCAGCACUGGUUUGGCUUGGCAGUGGCCAGGCAGCCCGCCCGGGAUCGAUCCCCGUUGGGGACGAUUGCUGGUGUCUCACCAGGGAUUGGCACCCGAAUAGCAUCCCUACACUUUCGUGCCACGCAAAGCAACGAACAAACAAAAACGAAAAUACUAGAAACUUGAGACUCUAGAAGAAUAGAAGAAGCAACGAACCAACAAAAACGAAAAUACUAGAAACUUGAGACUCUAGAAGAAUAGAAGAAGCAACGGAAGUAACCAGAUCUGGAUAAGUGGCGUAUGAAGAAACCUUGGAAUAGAAGAAGAACACUAGUGCAGAACCGGCCUUUAGUGCCGGUUCGUAACGGCCUUUAGUGCCGGUUCUACAACCGGCACUAAAGAGUGGGGACUAAAGGUCCCUCCUCCUUUAGUAUCGGUUUGUCAUGAACCGGCGCUAAAGUGCGAACACGUGGCACGAGCCAGGCCCGGGUGCGCGUAGGGGCUUUAGUACCGGUUGGUAAUACCAACCGGUACUAAAUGUUUGUGUUUUUUUUUAUUUUCCAUUACUUUUUUUGUUUGCUGGUAUUUCACGAUACUACAAAUUGUACACGUUAUGCAUAUAUAUAAAUAGAUUUUCUUGUACGUAUAGAACCGCAUAUAUAGGGUCGAGUGAACAAUUUGGUGAAGCCAUCGCACCAUCACUUGCUCACGCAACCGGGCCUCCUCUCGCAGCCGCUCCCGCUCAUAGCAGCCCGUCCUCAGUCUCAGGNNNNNNNNNNNNNNNNNNNNNNNNNNNNNNNNNNNNNNNNNNNNNNNNNNNNNNNNNNNNNNNNNNNNNNNNNNNNNNNNNNNNNNNNNNNNNNNNNNNNNNNNNNNNNNNNNNNNNNNNNNNNNNNNNNNNNNNNNNNNNNNNNNNNNNNNNNNNNNNNNNNNNNNNNNNNNNNNNNNNNNNNNNNNNNNNNNNNNNNNNNNNNNNNNNNNNNNNNNNNNNNNNNNNNNNNNNNNNNNNNNNNNNNNNNNNNNNNNNNNNNNNNNNNNNNNNNNNNNNNNNNNNNNNNNNNNNNNNNNNNNNNNNNNNNNNNNNNNNNNNNNNNNNNNNNNNNNNNNNNNNNNNNNNNNNNNNNNNNNNNNNNNNNNNNNNNNNNNNNNNNNNNNNNNNNNNNNNNNNNNNNNNNNNNNNNNNNNNNNNNNNNNNNNNNNNNNNNNNNNNNNNNNNNNNNNNNNNNNNNNNNNNNNNNNNNNNNNNNNNNNNNNNNNNNNNNNNNNNNNNNNNNNNNNNNNNNNNNNNNNNNNNNNNNNNNNNNNNNNNNNNNNNNNNNNNNNNNNNNNNNNNNNNNNNNNNNNNNNNNNNNNNNNNNNNNNNNNNNNNNNNNNNNNNNNNNNNNNNNNNNNNNNNNNNNNNNNNNNNNNNNNNNNNNNNNNNNNNNNAUAUAUAUAUAUAUAUAUAUAUAUAUAUAUAUAUAUAUCAUCGAAUGUCUCACAACCAACACCAUUAUUCACACAUACACAUGUAUACAUAUACAAUUUCUCCUACAUAUGUUGCCUUGGUGCCUCCGGAGCACGAUGACAAGUGGUUCAUGGGGGCGGUAGCGGGUAAUAGUAUUCUCCUUCGGGAUUUAUGACCUGGUCGAGCAAAAAUCCGGCUAUUUCCUCUUGAAGUGCUAGUAUGCGGUCCGAUGGUAGGAGCUUAUCCCGUCUCUGAACUGUUAAGAAGGAGAUCAAUAUGCAUGUGUGUUAGUUGUGUGACUAGAUAUCGAUAAUGGUGUGAAUAGUGUUCUGACAAACGUACCCAGUCCUGUCUAUCAGAUUUGCUCCUUUCGGACGUCAUCAUGCGAAUGUUCUCGCAAACGUAGAAUGCACACAAAUUAUUCCCCGACGCCUGCUUCAGGGCCUUUACGAGAAUGAAAUUGAAUCAGAUAAUGAUUAAUUAAUCAAGCAUGAUAAUUAAUUAAUGAUAUUGAAACAAGAAUUAAAGACAUGGUAGCUAGCUAGUACUACUUAAUUACUUACCUUUGGUCGAUGCCAAAACAACUUUUGUUUCCAUUCGCCUGGAGUCACCGCGAUGAACUUUGCCCAUGCCCUGCCCGCCAGGAAAGAAAAUUAAUAAAGGGGUUAUUAAAUAGUUCAUAUCAGAAAAUGACAAACUAAUAAUAGGCCGAGAUAUAUAUAGUUAAUAAUGAUUGAAAUUACCUGUUGACUAUCCCCUUCACGAUGGUGAAGUCACUUUCUUCUUUAGUUAGCGAGUCCGGUAAUUCAACUUUUCCUUCCUCAACUUUAAUGUCUAUCAAGACCCAGUGCCAACUGCAUGCGCACACAUUUGCAUGUCUUAAAUAAGCGGGCAUGUGCAUAAAAUUAAUCAACUACCGUAAACCGUAUACACUUAAUUAUUAAUAUCUAGCUAGAUAGUAAGCAAAAACAGAAUUUGUAGUACAAAACAGUGUGACUCACGGGAAAUUGUAAGGAAGUAGUAUAUCUUCAUUGCUAUUGAGGCGCUUCAAGAACUCUACCAUGCUUUCCUCUACACCUGCUUGAUAAAAUGGAUACUUCCAUAUGUCCUCAUUAAUGGUAUUUGGGUCAAUGAACCCAAUGCCAUAGCAUCCAAAUUUUUUCAUUUCAUACUUCUUCAUCCUGCAUAUAAUACCACAGAAAAGAAUAUAGUGAGGAUAAUUACAUGUAAUGAUUGAUCAAAAUUAUCACUACAUAAUUAGCUUGAGACUUAAAUUACAAAAAGAAAUCACUUACAGACAAUAGCAACUGACAUAGACUUGUCGAGUGCGUCUUGAUUGAAUAACUGAUAUAGUUCUGAAUACUCAAUGGACAGAGCUUUCUCAUGGUAAUAAUGCUCCUUCUUGACAUUCACCAUGAGGGACACUUGAUUGGAAAUCUUGGUCAUGUUCAUGUACCAUUGAUGCAAUUCAUACAUUCUCGUUGGGAGGUCCUUGACCUUGUCUGGAUGGACCAAAGGUUGGCCCCAGGCAUAUUUCCAUUUUAUUUCCGAUUCUUUAAGCGGAGACAUGGGCUCGAUUUCGAGGAGUUGUCCAACAGAGAUCUUGAGCAUUUCAGCCUGCAUUAUAUGCUCCUCCGUUAUUACCACAUCGCCCUGCUAGGGAACGCUAACGGUUUGCCCGCAAUAAUAUUUGGCGUGCAUACUCCUCUCAUGUGUUGUUGGCACAACAAGCGGGGGGAUCUCUUGCGCCGCCUGUUCUCCCAGCUGGGGAACAGUUUUCCCGCAUUUUUUGCCAGCUGCUUGUUGGCUCAAGUUCGAGCUCGCUUCCUUCCGUAGCCGUGCUCGAUGUAGCUUUCUGAUUUGACGCUGAUAGUUUGAGUCAACAGGCUUGGGAGCUGGUGCUCUAGCCAUAUGAAUGAAGUGGUCAAUCAUUUUCUCAGGCACUUUCUCCUUUGGCGGCGGUGCCGGUUUCGGUCCAAAAUGGGCAUCCACUUGGGCCUGCACUAUGGCUGCGUUUUGCUCCUCGGUCAUGUCGUAAGGCCUCUGAGGAAGAGGAGUGAGGCUUGGACCAUAUUUAUAUCGCUUGUCUCCGCCUGUACUUCCUGAACAACCUCGACUCGUACCGCUACGCACCAAAGCUGUGGCAUGUCUCUUCUGUGAUUGCUGAGACGGCGGAGACGGCUGACGUGGAGUUGGACCAGGAGAAGUGGGCUGACGAUGUGCCGGACUUGAAGCAGGAGGUGUGGCCUGACACGGUGCCGGACUUGAAACCGGAGAAGUGGCAUGACGUUGUGCCGGACUUGAAACCGGAGGAGUCAUCUCACGCGUUCGGGGACUUGGAGGUCGUGGCGGACUUCGAGGAGGAGUCGUCUCACGCGUUCGUGGACUUGGAGGAGCGGGAGUCUGUUGACUCGGUGGCGGACUUCGAGGACUCGGCAGACGACGCGGUGUCGGUGGACUUCGAAAGAUGAUGCAAUCAUUUCUCCAUAGGAUGAUACGAUGCAUGGCCUGUCCUAGUGUGCGCUCGUCUUCACCUCCAGGAAUGUCAAGCGUUAGCCCCGAAUAUGGGUCCACCACUUCAUCAACCAUGACACGAGCAUAGCCCUCUGGAAUCGGGAUGCAAUGGUAGGUUGCUUCGGGGGUAACUGGAAAAGCGACGCCGUCCGCCACCUUCAUGGAUAUGUUCUUCAUUUUGGAGUGUAGCUCACAGUUAGUGUUCUCUAUGAUGUCAUCCAUAGGGUAUGUAUCCAGCAGUGUGUCGCCCGGGGCAGAACCAACGCUGCUUCUCGGCAUGGAUGGGAUGGUGCUAUCCAAUGCUGGACGAUCAUCCGCUUGCUGCUGCCGCUGCUGAGACCCCCUUUCCUGGCUAAGUGAGUCGAUCUGCUGCUGCUGCUGAUGGAAUUUUAGUGCCAGGUCCGCGUGCCUUGCUUCUAGGCCUUGAAGACGUUCUGCGUCCUGCUUCCUCUGCUCCUCCUCCAGCUUCCUCUUCUUCUCCUCCUCCAUCUUCUUUCUUGCACGGGACCUGUAGUCGUCAUUCCAGUCCGAAAAGCCCUCAUACCAGGGAAUAACACCCAUGCCUCGUGUUCUUCCCGGGUGUUCAGGAUUUCCCAGGGCACACAUAAGCUCGUCGUUCUCUCUGUUGCGCGUGAACACCCCCGCUCGAGCUUCUUCUAUUGCGUCAAGUAUCUUUUGUUCGGCUCCUUUUAGACUUGCCUUCUUUGAAACGAGGCCUGUCUUUGGGUCCAACGCCCCCCCAUGCGCAUAGAACCAAGUUCUGCACCUGGGGGGCCAGCUCCUAGUAAUCGGAGUGACCCCUGCACCCUCCAUCUCUUGCUCAGACUUAUCCCACUUAGGCAAUCCCACUGCGUAGCCACCUGGACCCAGCCUAUGGAACUGCGUCUUUCUUGCGGCAUUUGCCUUGUUUUUCAUCGACCAUUCCUUAGAUAAUUCUGAAUCCUUGAAGGUCACGAAAUCGUCCCAGUGUUCUCUUUGCUUCUCUAGUGUUCCCUUGAAAUCUGGAGUCUUCCUUUCAUUAGCGAGGUAGUUGGCCCAUACAGUUUUCUUGUGGGUGUUGAAUGCAAUUGCCAUCUUCUUAAGAGCAGCGGCCUUGACUUUCUCCACAUCUGCUUUAGUGAAAUGAUCUGGUAGGGUGAAAUGUUCCAUUAGAGAUUUCACCAAGUCUUCUUUGGCUCUGCCAUCGACCCAAGUAACACCUAGACGUUUAGUUUUUGGCUCUUUCCAUUCUUGAAUGGAGAUCGGGAGUUUGUCCUUCACAAGAACUCCGCACUAAUGAGUCCACUUAUCCGCAACGUUCUUAGGCGUGAGGGGUUCGCCACUAAUUUUGGUGGAUUCGAUGUGGUCCUUUACACCAUCCUUCAACAAUCUGCCCGGGCCUCGCUUUGUCUUGCUGUAUGUAGAAGCAGAUUUGCUCGAUCCGGAGGGCUGAAAGAAGAAAGAUCGAUUCGUUAAUAUAUCUUCAAUAAAAAAACAUGUGAUGAUCACCAGGAUGCAUGCUUAUAUAAAUAUAUACCUCGCCGGAAGUCUUUGUUAUUUGAAGAUCAGCAUUGUCUGUGUCAUCACUAACAUUGUCUGUGUCAUCAUAAUCAUAGUUCAUGACUUCAUCAGCUCUGUCGUCGAGAUCGAAUAUCUUUCCGUCACCCUCUCCGGUAUUGUUCAAAUAUUGGGAGCCGUCAUCAUUCAAAUCAUCUAGCCUCUGAGGGCUGCGUAUGAUGUCGAACAAUUCCUCUUCUCUCUCUCUGCCGGUAUUGUCCGCCAUAGCUUUUACUUUACUAAUUAAUACAGAAGAAAUAUAAAACAAUUUAGUAUUCAAAUUACAAUGCAUGGCUGCAAUUAAUCAAUAAGGAAAAACUGAAUCUCGAAUACAUUGUCUCGAAUAUAUAAUCUCGAAUACAUCAUCGCCUUAACAUAUAUAAUCUCGAAUACAUCGUCUCGAAUAUCAUAUAUCGAAUACAUCACUGGCUAGGUACCUAAUAAAGAUCGAGUACUAUAGAAGAAUCUAGGGCGCCACUCGCGGUUCCUGGGGCGCGGGCGGUGCACACCCAAAGAGAAGGAACCAUCACAGGAUCAUAUCUCCGGUCAUCUGCCCAAAGAACCCGCCAAGUAGUGGAGAACCUGACGUCGUCCAUAGCAGCCAUGUACCGAUGGACCUGCUCAUCUUCCUCCCUGACACGGCGACGCACCACCUCCGGCGGGGCCGACUACCUCUGCACCGAAUGUGGCCCACGCGAACGCCACCAAAGAAGAUCAGGGUCGACGACGGGACCCGAGGUCGGGUUCCUCACCAAGCGGCGCGCCCCUCCAGGUAGCACCUCCCAGUGCCAGCCCGGCGGAGCCCAGUCCCGGACAUGGGUCCUCUGAAGCAUGACGUCGUCGCGAACGGGUCGACGGCGAGGAUGCGGGCCGGGCAUAUCGUCGAGAACAAAUACUAUAUGCCCGCAAAAAGUAACAUUUUUUAAAUGAUUGGAUUGUGAUAACUAAAAUUCUAUAUAUAUGCAAAUUCUAACAAUUUGACAUUAAUCUAAUUCAUCUAACUAAAACUAAUUCUAAAAUUUCCUGAUUAUAUAACUAACAUUUCUAUAACAUUUCUAAUUUUUAUAUAACUAAAAAAUAGAUAAAUUGCUAACAUUUUUAUAAAUAUUUCUAUAACUAAAAACAGAAAACAUUUAUAACAUUUCUAUAUAACUAACAUUUCUAAUAUUUAUAUAACUAAAAAACAGAAUAAUUUCCUAACAUUUCUAUAACUAAAAAACAGAAUUUUUUUAACAAAACAAACUAAUAAUGUGUGUGUGUGUAGUGUGUGUGUGUGUGUGUAGUGUGUGUGUGUGNNNNNNNNNNNNNNNNNNNNNNNNNNNNNNNNNNNNNNNNNNNNNNNNNNNNNNNNNNNNNNNNNNNNNNNNNNNNNNNNNNNNNNNNNNNNNNNNNNNNNNNNNNNNNNNNNNNNNNNNNNNNNNNNNNNNNNNNNNNNNNNNNNNNNNNNNNNNNNNNNNNNNNNNNNNNNNNNNNNNNNNNNNNNNNNNNNNNNNNNNNNNNNNNNNNNNNNNNNNNNNNNNNNNNNNNNNNNNNNNNNNNNNNNNNNNNNNNNNNNNNNNNNNNNNNNNNNNNNNNNNNNNNNNNNNNNNNNNNNNNNNNNNNNNNNNNNNNNNNNNNNNNNNNNNNNNNNNNNNNNNNNNNNNNNNNNNNNNNNNNNNNNNNNNNNNNNNNNNNNNNNNNNNNNNNNNNNNNNNNNNNNNNNNNNNNNNNNNNNNNNNNNNNNNNNNNNNNNNNNNNNNNNNNNNNNNNNNNNNNNNNNNNNNNNNNNNNNNNNNNNNNNNNNNNNNNNNNNNNNNNNNNNNNNNNNNNNNNNNNNNNNNNNNNNNNNNNNNNNNNNNNNNNNNNNNNNNNNNNNNNNNNNNNNNNNNNNNNNNNNNNNNNNNNNNNNGGGGACGGCGUCGAUCGGGGCAGGGCGGCGCGACGGAGAGAGGAAACAGAGGGAAGAAACAGAGGGAAACUGAAUUUUUUGAAGUGUUGUAUAUAUAUAGGAUGGACCUUUAGUAUCGGUUGGAGCCACCAACCGGUACUAAAGGUCUGUUUUGACCAGGCCAAGCGGCGGGAAGCGCACCCCCUUUAGUACCGGGUGGUGGCUCCAACCGGUACUAAAGACCCCCCCCCCCUUUAGUACCAGUUGGUGCCACGACCCGGUACUAAAGGGGUGCGCUGGCGCAGUGCGGUGCGGCAAGUUUAGUCCCACCUCGCUAGUCGAAGGGCUACCGCACUGGUUUAUAAGCCCAGUGCGGUAGCUCUCUCGAGCUCCUCUCCUAAGCAGGCCUACUAGGCCUACCAAUUCAUUGCUGCCAUGUGGGCCUACUGGGCCUUUGCGGGCCUGCAUCCUGGCCCAACAAAAGGUUGAGUUUCUAGUCGUAUGCAGGCUGCUUUGGCUCAGUAGGCGGGCUUUUUUAUUUUCUUAAUUUUUUUGCUUUUUUGUUUUAUUUAUUUUUGAGUUAUUUUUUGCUGUAUUUAGAGUUUCUUUGUGAAUAUUUUUGCUUUAGGUACAAAAAUUUAUAAACUUUGAUCUGUUAGUGCCGGUAGUUUUCAAAUUUGAAUAGUUUAAAUUUUGAAUUAUUUGAAAUUUGUGUGAACCACUAGUUUGUGAAUAACAUAACUUUGAAAAAAGAUUUUUUAGUGAUUCUUUUUUUCUUAUGUUUAAUAUUAGUGUGUUUUAUCAUUAUAUUCAAUUUGGUAAUGCUUAGGUUAUUUAAAAAAUGAAAUGCCUUUGUAACAUUUCAGUUUUCGUCGGAAACCCUGAUACUUCGAAAAAGAUUGUCCAUUUUGUACACGAAGUGUAUCCAGUUUUUGUCGUAACCCUCUCUACUUUUUUGCAUAUGCUAUUUGUAUGAAAUUAUGAUACCAUGCCAACUUUCAACCUUUUCUGAGUUCAUUUCAAAUGCUUUUCAAUUUCAGGGUCAUUUAGCUGGAAAAAAAAUCAGUAAAUGCAUGAAAAGAAUUUGUUUGCACAUAAAAUUUCUUCGCGUUUCAAAUGCCAAAACACAUAAUUAACUAACUAUUAUAGACAUUGCCUCCUGGGUGUGAAACAGAGAAGAAAGUGAUGAUAGUGAAGCCGAUCACAUCCCAGAUCUUUGGGUGUGAAACUUUUUCUUCUCGUUUGUCCCUUUGUGCCGUAGCCAUGGAAAAUCUUCAUCAUUUAACUGGAUGCUCGGGUCAAUAUUCACUGUGAGUGGAGCAAUUUCAUCAAACUUUUCAUAAUCUUCUGACAUGUCUGUCUUGUCAUCCACUCCCACGAUGUUUCUUUUUCCUGAAAGAACUAUGUGGCACUUUGGCUCGUUGUAUGAUCCAUUCGCUUCCUUAUCUUUUCUUUUUCUCGGCCUGGUAGACAUGUCUUUCACAUAGAAAACCUGUGCCACAUCAUUGGCUAGGACGAAUGGUUCGUCUGCAUACGCAAGAUUGUUGAGAUCCACUGUUGUCAUUCCGUACUGCGGGUCUUCCGUUACCCCGCCUCGUGUCAUAUUGACCCAUUUGCACCGAAACAAAGGGACCUUCAAAUCACCUGAUCCAUAGUUAAGUUCCCAUAUGUCCUCUAUGUAACCAUAAUAUGUUUCCUUUCCCGUGUUGGUUGUUGCAUCGAAGCGGACACCACUGUUUUGGUUGGUGCUCUUCUUAUCUUGGGCGAUCGUGUAAAAUGUAUUCCCAUUUAUCUGGUACCCUUUGAAAGUCAUUAUAUUCGAAGAUGGUAACUGGGACAGCGAGUACAGGUUAUUUUGAAUAUCACCAUCAUUCAGGGCACGUUUCUGCAACCAACCGGCGAAAGUCCUCGUUUGUUCACGUGUAAUCCAGUCCUCAAAAUUCUCCGGGUGUUUGGACUGUAGAAAAUUCUUGUGUUCCUCCAUAUACGGAGCCACCAAGGCGGAAUUCUGUAGAACUAUGUAUUGUGCUUCAGUGAGAGAAUGCCCGUCCAUACAUAUUAUUUGAUGCCCUCCUAGUGUGCCUUUUCCUUCCAGUCUGCCCUUAUGCCGCGAUUCAAGAACACCAAUCGGCUUAAGGUUAGGAAUAAAGUCAAUACAAAACUCAAUGACCUUCUCGUUUUCAUGGCCCUUCGAGAUGCUUCCUUCUGGCCUAGCACGGUUAUGAACAUAUUUCUUCAAGACUCCCAUGAACCUUUCAAAGGGGAACAUAUUGUGUAGAAAUACAGGACCCAAAACGUUAAUCUCUUCGCAAAGGUGAACUAGGACGUGCGUCAUGAUGUUGAAGAAGGAUGGUGGGAACACCAACUCGAAACUGAUAAGACAUUGCACCAAAUCAUUCUGUAACCUUGGUAUGAUUUCUGGAUUGAUUACCUUCUGAGAGAUUGCAUUGAGGAAUGCACAUAGCUUCACAAUGGCCAAUCGAACGUUUUCCGGUAGAAGCCCCCUCAAUGCAACCGGAAGGAGUUGCGUCAUAAUCACAUGGCAGUCAUGAGACUUUAGGUUCUGGAACUUUUUGUCUGCCAUAUUUAUUAUUCCCUUUAUAUUCGACGAGAAGCCAGACGGUACCUUCAUGCUGAGCAGGCAUUCGAAGAAGAUUUCCUUCUCUUCUUUGGUAAGAGCGUAGCUGGCCUGACCCUGAUGUAUGUCGUCUUUUCCGUGCAUAUGUUGCUGGUCCUCCCGUGCCUCUGGUGUAUCUUUUGUCUUCCCAUACACGCCCAAAAAGCCAAGCAGGGUCACGCAAAGAUUCUUCGUCUCAUGCAUCACGUUGAUUGCGGAGCGGACCUCUAGGUCUUUCCAAUAUGGCAGCUCCCAAAAUAUAGAUUUCUUCUUCCACAUGGGUGCGCGUCCGUCAGCGUCCUUUGGAACAGGUUGUCCGCCAGGACCCUUUCCAAAGAUUACCUUCAAAUCCUUGACCAUAUCAUGUACAUCAUCACCAGUACGGUGGCGAGGCUUCGUCCGGUGAUCCGCCUGACCUUUGAAAUGCUUGCCUUUCUUUCUUACGGGAUGCCUGCUCGGAAGAAAUCGAUGAUGUCCCAGGUACACAUUCUUCUUACAACUAUUCAAAUAUAUACUGUCGGUAUCAUCCAAACAGUGCGUGCAUCCGCGGUAUCCCUUGUUUGUCUGUCCUGAAAGGUUACUGAGAGCAGGCCAAUCAUUAAUGGUCACGAACAAUAACACCUUUAGGUCAAAUUCUUCCCCCAUGUGCUCAUCCCACGCACGUACAACUGUUCCAUUCCACAGUUGUAAGAGUUCUUCAACUAAUGGCCUUAGGUACACAUCAAUGUCGUUGCCGGGUUGCUUAGGGCCUUGGAUGAGCACUGGCAUCAUAAUGAACUUCCGCUUCAUGCACAACCAAGGAGGAAGGUUAUACAAACAUAGAGUCACAGGCCACGUGCUAUGGUUGCUGCUCUGCUCCCCAAAAGGAUUAAUGCCAUCUGCGCUUAGACCAAACCAUACGUUCCUUGGGUCACCUGCAAACUCCUCCCAGUACUUUCUCUCGAUUUUUCUCCACUGCGAACCGUCAGCGGGUACUCUCAACUUUCCAUCUUUCUUACGGUCUUCUGCGUGCCACCGCAUCGCCUUCGCAUGCUCUUUGUUUUGGAACAAACGUUUCAACCGUGGUAUUAUAGGAGCAUACCACAUCACCUUGGCAGGAAUCUUCUUACUGGGGUGCUCACCUUCGACAUCACCAGGGUCAACGCGACUGAUCUUAUAACACAAUGCACCGCAUACCGGGUAAGCAUUCAAAUCCUCGUACUCACCGCGGUAGAGGAUGCAAUCAUUAGGGCAUGCAUGUAUCUUUUGCACCUCUAACCCUAGAGGGCAGACAGCCUUCUUUGCUUCAUACGUACUCUCGGGCAAUUCGUUGUCCUUUGGAAGCAUAUUCUUUAUCAUUACCAACAACUUUCCAAAUCCCUUGUCAGAUACACCAUUCUUUGCCUUCCAUUGCAGCAAUUCAAGUGUGGUGACCAACUUUUUUUUGUCAGCUUCGCAAUUCGGGUACAACAAUUUCUUGUGAUCCUCUCACAUGCACUGCAACUUCGUCCUCUCCAGAUCACUUGCACAGUUUCUCUUUGCAUCGGCAAUGGCCCGACCUAGAUCAUCAGUGGGCUCAUCUGAUGCCUCUUCUUCAACUUCUUGCUACAUUGCCGGCUCAGCUUCUUCCCCCAUUGUUGUAUCAUUGUAUUCAGGGAACCCAUGGCCAGGAUAGCCGUCGUCGUCCUCUUCUUUUUCAUUGUCUUCCAUUAUAACCCCUAUUUCUCCGUGCUUGGUCCAAACAUUACAGUGGGGCAUGAAACCGGACUCAAAUAGGUGGACGUGAAUGGUUCUUGACGUAGAGUAACUGUGACCAUUCUUACAGCCAGCACAUGGACAAGGCAUAAAACCAUCCGCCUGCUUGUUUGCCUCAGCGGUAAGCAGAAAAGUAUGCACACCAUUAAUGAACUCGGGAGAGCAUCUGUCAUCAUAUAUCCAUUGUCGGCUCAUCUUCAUUACACAACACCGAAUAGACCAAAUUAAUACAAGUUCAUACAUAAAGUUCAUAUACAACACUUAAUUAAAUGCAACAUACAAAUUACUCUCUAGCUAAAGAAUUUAAAUGCAACAACAAAUGUGAUGAAGAUCGCAAUUAAGGUAACAAUUGAUCCAACAUCAUAAUGAUACCAAGCCACACUAUCAAUGGCAUAUUUUCUAAUCUUUCUAAUCUUCAACCUCAUUCGACGACAUCGGCAACAUGCAACUCCAAUUCCAUCUUCUCCACCUCAAUUCUUUUCAAUUUUUCUUUCAAAUACUCGUUUUCUCUUUCAACUAAAUUUAACCUCUCGACAAUAGGGUUGGUUGGAAUUUCCGAUUCACAUACCUCCUAGAUAAAAAUAUCUAUGUCAACUUGAUGGGCAUAAUUGGUCAUAAACAAGAAAUGCAACAACUAGUUUUAAAUGAGAAUAUACCACAUCCGAAUCAUAACAAGGACGAGGGCCGACGGGGACGGAUAUCAAAACCAUGGCACUAUGUAUAACAAACAACGUCUGGGUAAGAUAAUUAUACGAGUAACUAUAUAUCUAAAUCACACAAACAUCAAUUUGGUAAUGUAAAACAUUCAUGAACAAGAGCCUCACCACAAGGUGGUGCCGGCGACGGGACGGUGCAGGCGAUCGACGGUGGUUACGACGGAGAUUUAGCAGGCACUAAGUAAACCACACCUACAUAUGCAAACUAAGUGUUAUUUUUGACCUCAAAUUGCAUAUAAAUCAAAUACUAGCAAAUAUAAUUCCUCCCAAAUUAAUCACUAUACAAAGCAUUGCAAGAGCUAAUCUAGCAAUGAGAGUUGAAAGGACAAAGUUGCUAACCUUUGUGAUCAUUUGAAUGGAUGGGGGCCUUCAAAUCUUGACAAAUUUUGGGCAAAAUUUGUGAGGAGCUCGAGGAAGAGAGGGGAAGAACAGAGGAAGUGAGGGGAAAGGGGAAGAACAGAGUGGCUCGGGUGGACGAAGGGUUUAUGUAGGUCGACCUUUAGUACCGGUUCGUGCCACGAACCGGUACUAAAGGUGCUAGAGGGGCCCCAGACUGACAACACCCUGCCAACACUCUCUUUAGUACCGGUUCGUGGCACGAACCGGUACUAAAGGUUCGCCAUGAACCGGUACUAAUGAGAACGGCUGGCUAGCCGUUGGAACCGGCACUAUUGGACACAUUAGUGCCGGCUCAAAAUCAAACCGGCACUAAUGUGUCUCAUAUUAGGUCCGUUUUCUACUAGUGGAAGAUAUAGGAGGCUGAGCUUGGAAGACAAGAAGGAAACAAAAAGAUGGUUAGAAGAGUAGAAGAAGCAAGAUGGUAGAAGAGUAUAAGAAGCAAACAUGAGUGCCAAGUUAAAAAAGUUUGAGGAUAGAAGAGUAGAAGAAACAACGGAAGUGACUGGACCCGGACAAGUGGCAAGAAACCUUAGAAUUAGAAGAAAGAAAAUAUUGACGGGCUAUAUGAGCUUGGAAGACACCAAGGAAAAAUAUGGUACAUGAGUAGAAGAAGCAAUCAUUAGUGCCAAGUAAAGUCUAAGGAUAGUUGUUGGAAUAGCUCUAGUCUCUUAGAGAAAGUUAAGAAUAGUUGUGAUAAUAGUUGUAAUAACAUGGUAAGGAGUAGUAUUUUGUUAGAGGUAGUUUAGAAAGAGGUGGAAUUUAAGAUCUGUUCAAUAUGUCUUGCUGGUGUGGUGGAUGAAAAUACUAAGUCCGUAAUCCUGUUUAUCUCUGGUUUCAUUCCAGUAAUGGAAUUGGGAGCUAUGCUCCGUAAUUCAAAAAAUGAAGUGAUGGUAUCUUUUCAUAGUUGAACUUUUAUAAUGCCUUCCUUUCAAUUUGUGUCGUCUCAUAAAAGCCAUCUAGGAGCAUCCAAGAUACUUCAAAUGAGAAGCCGUUCCUAUUACCGAGGUGUGCCAAAUUUGCUGAUCAACUUAGACUAGCCAUAAAAGUAGUAACGUAGGUAAUAACAUAAAACUCAAUGCAAUGCCAACAAGAUAUCUUGAGUACAUGGCAUGUCAACGAAUGAGGAAGAGAAUCUUGUGAUAACUAGCUAUGUUACCAUAUAACAUCACAAACUCCAAAACAAGAUUAGUAUACAACCUAAUAAAUGGAACUUUGCAUGAUACUAGCCAUUAGUUACUACCCACUAUGAAGGUGGUAACAUAGACUAGAAACAUAGGCAUGACACUAGUCUAUGUCACUCCCCACAAUAACUAGUCUUAAUGAUAUGGGCCUUCGUCUAUUGGUCUGGGCUUGGUCAACGGAUGCCGAACUGCUCUACACCAAUGAUAAUAGCUUCGGUUGCAGAAUAUGGAAAGUUACCUAUUUGACAGAAGAAAUUAUGUGUUUGGCUAUUUUGUAGAAAGUGAUGUAUUCUCCAAAAAAUGAUGUAUUUUGUAGAAAAUGGAAAGUUAACCCGGUAAAUUUUUUAUUAAUUUUUUGUUUACACACGUACAAAAAAAGUAUGUGCAAAUCUAAAAGAAAAUAAAACAUAAAAAAGUCAAAUAAAGUUACAUGUCCAAUCAGAAAAAUUUACAUAAGCAUUCCGUUUAAUCCUAAAUAUUAUCCAUCUAAGAUCCUCUUUGAAGAAAGCCCUUGCUAUGAAAAGACUUGGUCUCUUAUAUUGUUACAUAUGUCAACAUUUCUGGUUUGCCCAAUAACCCAUGCACCAAGCCUGAUGAUUUCUAUGAAAAAACGUUCUUGAGUUUGCAGAAUGUCUUUUAGUUUACAUUCCUGUUUCCACAUAUAAGUUCCCGAUCCCAAAAAUUACAUUUUUUUCAUCCUUUCUAGCUGUUAUCACCCCUACAACAAUAGAAUACUUAUCAUAUACAUACAUAAUGCAUAUUUGAUCAUCUAUUAGACACAUAGGAACAUCUCAGGCACUAGCACUUGAUGGCCUUUUGUCAAAUACAGAAAAUCCAAAUCAUCACGUCGCAUCAAUCCAUGUCGCCUCUCCUCCUUGCCUCCAUGGCCAGCCAGGAGAGCCUUCACCGCACCACCAGUAAGCUCGACGGUAGCUAGCAAUCUCAAGGUUAUUCAAGGAGGUGUUGCCCCUUUCUUCCACUACUUUCUUUGGCUAGAAGAGCAUCAGCGCGAAGAAGAGACCUAGGACGCCGGGGAUUUGACCUAACAUGGUGUUCUCCAGGUAGUACAAGUUAAUGACAAGUACUCGCUCCGUUUCAAAAUAUAAGAUGUUUUAGCUUUGUGAAGUGAGUGUAUCUAGACUCUUUUGAUCUUUAGGUUCACUCUGAACUAUAAACUAAAGAUAUCUAGAUACAUUUGCUUCACAAAGCUAAAACAUCUUAUAUUUUGAAACGGAGGGAGUAGGUGUUGAAGGGGACGGCCAGAAUUGGGAGUGUAGGAAAGGAGCAUGUCGUUUCGUGUAGGAUGCGGUUGUGUCCAAGCCUGCUUCAAGAAUUGAAGUGUUCGUGGGGAGGCGUGACGAAAGGGAUCCAACGUUAUGUUAUUUGAUUAACACGUGUGGAGUUAAAUAAAGAAUGAUUAGUUUAAGGUUGAAGUAGUUUCUCCUAGUUGGUUUAUGAGGCGUAUGAAUUCAGCCGACGGUUCAGAUUAAACGACAAAGAUUAGUCCCAUAGAUCCAACAAGACAUAAUCAUUAGAAGAAACUGUAAUAAAACUAAUAGUAUCAGGAUAGGCCUAGGCCCAUCAAUUGCCAAAGCAACGCACAAAAUCCCGACGCAACUAUCUCCUGCGAGCACACCGCCGCCUCCACACCCACCAGCUACCACGCCGCCGCCUCCACAUCCAGUCAUCCACCAGCCACCACGCCCCCACCUCCAUCUAGCCCACGGCGACCGCCCAUUCCACUGUCGAGCACUCUGCCGCCAGCUUGACAGCGUUCGUUACCUCAUCAACAUCGGACGCCUCAUCUUUGGAAGGUUGUGUCACUCUGCUGAACCCCCUACUGUAAACCUAGCCUCCUUUGACGGCAGCCCAGACUAUGCCCUGUUCGAUUUAUGGUUUCACUUACAGGUACAUGAGUGGUACUACUAAUUCUAAUUUCCUAGACGACAUGAGCACCUAAUUAGAUGAGCCCUUAUCCAGCAGGAGACCCAGGAAAGCAUUCGUGAUGGAGAUUGGUCGUGCAACAUGAUGCUCUGGCUAUGCUUUGAAUUUCCUGCAUAUUUACCUUACUAACAAGCAUCACUGAAUGGAAAUUAGAAUCAUCAAAUUAUGUUAGUUAUGAAGCAUGUUGAUGUUUGAACAAUUUACCAAUGUCGGUGACACAACUAGUACACAUGAAAAGCCCAACAACCAUUGGUGUAUGUAGAUGAUAUGACCUUCAACCUUUUUAGUCUUUGUUCCAUUUACUGAAGUGUUGUAUCACUUAAUUCUGCGAAUCAUUUAUCAACCACACCAAGGUAUCCAUUUUAAUUAUUUGUGUCAGUACCAAAGUAAUUGUAUGAGAAUAAUUAUUUGUUUUCCAUGGAAAAUAAUUUUUCAUCUGUAUUGUUCUGCCAAUUGUAUUUCUAGUAUCCUAUGCAUAUUAUUUACUGUCUCUUUUUCUUUAUAUACCAUGCAGUUUGUGAUUUCAGAAAACAACCAAUCAAGUCUGUGAUACUCAUCUAUAUUCUGGUGAGUUAAAGAUCCAUAUGAAGUUUGUUGGGCAUCAUCUAAUCUUAUUAUGUGCCUUGUCUAGAGUUGAUUAGCUCUAGUUUUUAUAUUAGUAUUCUUAAUGCUGAAGUUUGUGUGUUCGAUUUGUUGGAAAACAGAUGAAUGCAACAACUGAUCAGGUUCAAGAAAGAUGAAGCAAGAAAUGUUGUUUCCCAGGCUCUAAAUCUGAAGCUUCCUUUUGAUGAGAUAGAUUUGAUGGAGGAGAACCUAGAGGUGGAGCUGAUCAGGAGGCAACUGGGUCUUCAGCAUGUUAGGUCCUGAUGAUAAGUCAAUUUUGACGUUAAAUGUGAACCUAUUUCUAAGACUUGUCAAUCACAAUUUUUUCUCAAGGACCAAAUUAGUUGCUGAAAUCUGCUGUUUUCCCAAAUCAUCUACUCUUCUGGGAGCUCUUUGUGAUAUCAUCGAUACUAGUACUUCUCAAGCAGAGCAAUAAUACUGAUAUAAAAAGGUACUUCUGCUUUCCAUUUGCACGAUACAUGAAGAAUAAUAAGAGGUAGAAAGUGCAAGUAACACUUGCAUGAUCAUGCAAGUCUUUGUGAGCACCUCCAUUUGUCCUAGGAAUGUCAUAAUUUUCUGAAGAGUAUUCACUUCGGAAAGCAGGAGCUAAAAACCUAUUUUAGCCUGUUUAUGCUAUCAGCAUUCUUGCUGAUGUCCAUGUUCUGCUCGAGGAUAUCAAAGAGCAGAAACAAAGAAUCAGGUAAAUUUUGAACCCCGUUGAAGAAUUGAUUGGAGGGAGCUAGCUCUUUAGCUCAGUAUGGGAUAUAGUGUUCACCAUUUGUUACUGCAAAUGAACCAAGUGGUUCACCUAUAUGUAAGCUUACGCGCACCUUUGGAAGGAGCGGCAGUCCCUCAUGGAGUGCGUAGACCUCUUGACCCCGUCCCUGUCGGUAAAGCUUAUUGGAAAUAUGAGCAAACUACUAUGAGUUUUAAUCCAAAUAAACAGAUGAUAAAUCAUGACAGCACUAGCAAAGAUUAAACUAAUCAUGUGAAAUAGCAUAGUAGAUGAACAAAUGACAUCUAGGGCACAUACUAGAAACAUGAAUUCUACCACGAUCUCGAAUAGGAAGGAUAGAAUCACAUACGGUGCAGCGGGUGCAGCACCGCCGGCGUUGACGUUGUCGCCCAUGUCAUUGAGGAUGAGGUUGCCGAGGUUGGGGAAGAAGUCGUCGUUCGCGAAGUCGUCGCUGCGAGCAGUCGCGCAAGUGCGCUCCCCAAAAACCUGAUCGCCCCUCUCCCAUACACGAUCAUGAGAGGCGGGGUUCCAGAGGCCUGCUGUCCCUUCUCCCGGUGCACGCCGAAAGGAGGGAUGGAGAAGACUAGCUUGGCGGCUCAAUGAUCUGGAACGGUGGUGAGAAACCAUACGAAGCGGCAACUACUACGGUAGACGUCUUCCUGACUAUAUAGUGCGGGCCGGGUAGGUCGUGGGAGUUAACCCCACGUCCGAGUUGUCACGAUCCAAAAGAAUCGGAAAUGGUUCAGUAAUUAACUCGUCCAUUGCUUAUUAAUUAAUGACUCAUUAAUUUUUCCCGAGCAGCAAAAAUAUAGACAACAUGCAUAGCUCUGUCCUCGGCUCGCCUCAAUCCUGCAACCCGCGGCGCGGUGCGGCGUCGGCUUCGAUCUCGACGUGGACUCCUGUCACCUCCGAUAACGGUAGCGCACUUGAGACAUGGAGUGGAUGAGAUGUCGAUGAGGCGGGUGUCGACGAAAUCUUUGGCACAAGGGGACGAGAUCCUCCGCGGUCCACCCGACGAUGGGGGUGAUGCUGGUGCAGGGGCUGGCGUGACCAGCAUAUCCGUACCCAACGUGAUCGGAGUACGGAGUCGAACGGACCCGACGAUGUUGAUGUGGAAGCGGAGGCUCCCAAAAGUCAAAUCGAUACCCUUGUGGAGGGUGCUGAACACGGCGCGUUGCGCCAGGGUGUGUGGCACGAACUCGAGGGAGCCGAAGAAGAUCUGCUCCGCAAGAGUCGACGAACUGCCAUUCGUUGAGAUGAGGAUCGGAGACUCCAUGGGUCCAGUAGACGAAAUUCCCACAUACGGCGCCAAUCAACGAGGGAGUACCUCGGCAAUGCCCAUGGUUGUGGACUUAGGGUUUUGAUGAAUCAUGUCUACCGGUGGAAUCGACGAUCUAAACGUGAGGUGUGAAACACAAGACACAGAUUUACCCAGCUUCAGGCCCUUUUAAAGGAAACCCUACGUGUUGCUUGUCGGAUCUUUAUAUUGAUGGAGUGUACAAAGUCGUUGAGAUCGGAGACUAGGGUUAGCCCUUGCGCAUGGCCAAGGCUAGAUCAAUCGUGAUGGUGGUUGUGAGGUUUGUGUGCGUUAUUGUUGUGUCGACCCCGUACCCCUCUCCCAGCCUUUAUAGACUAGGCUGGGUCCCGAGUUCGUAUCAGGAUCAGUUUACAUCAUGGUAAGGGGGUUUCCCUAUCUACUUACAAUAGCACUUCCUUACGGAUCACGUCAUGUCCGUGGGCUUCCUGGGCUCCAAGCGUGGCGAUGACCUGGACCUCGAGUCCUUCCAGCCCGCAGGCCUCCUGUUAUGCGAUACCAGGUAUCCUUAUGGUGGGCACCCGCAAUGUCAUGCCCACAACAAUCAUCCAAAUUAUCAUGCCUAUCUUAAUGGCUAUAAAGACAGAGCUUUUGGGAGACAACCCAUUAUAUUUUUUUCUUUCAGUUUAUUUUUGUUUCUUUGAGUCUUGGAAGUUAUUACCUCUAUAAUAACCUCUCCUUAUCCUUCUUGUUUCAUUUUUGUGCCAAGAAUAGCCACUAAUGGGAGGAAAGUGAGAUUUGGGGAAGUUGCUGUCCCGAAACUGAUUUUGUGCUGUCACCAAAAAAAUUAAUUCUCUCAGCCAGAACGUCGGAUUGAUAUGAAAUGUUUUAUGCUCAUGCCCCAGGUUGUUACCCAACUUGUUCUAUGGUGCUCUCCGUGUCGCGCAAGCGUGAGGGAUCCCCGCUGUAGGGUUUGCAAUAUGUUCAUGAUUUGCUUAUGGUGGAUGGCGUUAGUGACAUAAGCACAGACCUGAGUAAGUAGGUUGUUUGCGUAUGGGAUAAAGGGGACUUAAUACUUUAAUGCUAUGGUUGGGUUUUACCUUAAUGAUCUUUAGUAGUUGCGGAUGCUUGCUAGAGUUCCAAUCAUAAGUGCAUAUGAUCCAAGUAGAGAAAGUAUGUUAGCUUAUGCCUCUCCCUCAAAUAGAAUUGCAAUAGUGAUUACCGGUCUAGUAACGUAGUCAAUUGCUUAGGGACAAUUCCACAACUCCUACCACCACUUUUCCACACUCGCUAUAUUUACUUUAUUGCUUCUUUAUCUAAACAGCCCCUACUUUUUAUUUACGUGCUCUUUAUUAUCUUGCAAACCUAUCCCAACAACACCUACAAAGUGCUUCUAGUUUCAUACUUGUUCUAGGUAAAGCGAACACUAAGCGUGCGUAGAGUCGUAUCAGUGGCAGAUAGGGCUUGAGAGAGUAUUGGUUCUACCUUUAGCUUCUCGUUGGGUUCGACACUCUUACUUAUCAAAAGAGGCUACAAUUAUCCCGUAUACUUGCGGGUCAUCAAGAUCUUUUUCUGGCGCCGUUGCCGGGGAGUCAUAGCGUGGGGUGAAUAUUCUCGUGUGUGCUUGUUUGCUUUAUCACUAAGUAAUUUUUAUUUGCUGUUCUUAGUUGCUCUAUAUCUUUAGUUAUGGAUAUGGAACACGAAAUACCAAAAACAUUAGGUGUACUUCAUACUCAUGGAGAUGGGGAACCUCCUAAAACCCUCGAUGCUCGUUAUGUGAAAGACAUUAUGUACUACUUUAAUAAUCCUGAGAAACCCCCAUUCAAUUAUGUUAUGGGUGACACGUUGGAUCAACGUAAAUACUUUAGGGAUUAUCGCUUGACACAAAAAGGGAAACUAUUAUGGGAUAAAAUUAAUAUGUUGCCUUGGUAUGCUCUGGAUUUAUGCUUGAGAUAUGAUAUUACUUUUUGCUCUAGGAUGAAGGCUCCACACCUUCCCUUUUCAUGCAAAUUUAAUGAUAAUGAAACCUUAGCUUCUUAUGCUAGAAGUAUAUAUGAUUACUAUGAUGUUGAACAAAUUGAAGAAUUUGUUGCUUUUAAGGCUACUUAUGAAAUUGAAUCUUUGUUUGAAAAGUAUGAAGCUUUAGAUGAUGAUGUUUAUAGGCUUGAAAAUUAUGCUAUAUUGAAAUAUUGCUAUGAAAAUUAUGAAUACAAUUACAAUAUUAAUGCAUUUGUUGAGAAAGUCUCCGCUGUCCAAGAAGAGACUAAUAUUUUGCAGGAAGUUAUGGAAGAAGAAAUUGAUGAAACUGUGAGCCCAUUGGAUGAAAAAGAUGAUGAGGAGAGCGAAGAACAAAAGGAGGAAGAGCGGAUUGAUCAGCCGUGCCCACCUUCUACGGAGAGUAACUCUUCAACUCAUACAUUGUUUAAUUCCCCUUCGUGCUUACCGAAGGAUGACUGCUAUGAUGAUUGCUAUGAUCCCAUUGAUUCUCUUGAAAUAUCCAUUUUUGAUGAUACUUGCUAUGCUUGUGGCCAAGAUGCCAAUAUGAAUUAUUCUUAUGGAGAUGAACUUGCUAUAGUUCCUUAUGUUAAACAUGAAAUUGUUGCUAUUCCACCCACACAUGAUAGUCCUAUUAUCUUUUUGAAUUCUCCCGACUACACUAUAUCGAAGAAGUUUGUUCUUAUUAAGGAUUAUAUUGAUGGGCUUCCUUUUACCAUUACACAUGAUAAUUUUUAUGAAUGUGAUAUGCAUGUGCUUGCUGCUCCUACUUGCAAUUAUUAUGAGAGAGGAACUAUAUCUCCACCUCUCUAUGUUUCCAAUAUGAUAAAAUUGCAAGAAACUGCUUAUACUAUGUGUUGGCCUUUACUAUGUGUGCAUGAAUUGUUUUUUAUGACAUGCCUAUGCAUAGAAAGAGAGGUAGACUUUGUUUUUGCAUGAUAUAUGUUACUUUGUGCUCACUAAUAAAUUACAAAUCAUUGUUAAUUAAAAUUGGCUUUGAUAUACCUUGGGAUCCGGGUGGAUUCAUUACUUGAGCACUAUAUGCCUAGCUUAAUGGCUUUAAAGAAAGUGCUGCCAGGGAGACAACUCGGAAGUUUUAGAGAGUCAUUUAUUUCUGUUGAGUGCUUUUAUAUAGUUUAAAAACAAACAAUAAAUAAAGAGGGGAACCUAAAAACUUUUCAAAAAGGAAAGUGAAAGUGAGAGAGACAAGCAUUGUUGAAGUGGGAGAGCUCCUUGAACUUUGUUCAUGCUCACAGAAACUUUGUGAAUCUUGAUUACAGAAACUUUUCAUCAAAAAUAAUUAUCCCCUUGUACAAUUCCAUUGUAUUAUAAAAAUAAUGUGACAAGGUUUGCCUUUAGGAUGUUUACAAUGCUUGUUGGUUUGUACGGUGCAGGACAGAAACUUUGGCUGUAGUGCUCGAUUUUACAUUUUUUGCCGAAAUGGUUCUUAUUCCUUUUGCACUGUCUUUCUGUACAACUUGUUUAUUUUUCCUAAUUUUGGUAGAAUUUUUGGGUACAGAAGUAUGGUGAAUGUUCAGAUUGCUACAGACUGUUCUAUUUUUGACAGAUUCUGUUUUUGAUGCAUAGUUUGCUUGUUUUGAUGAAUCUAUCAAUUUAUAUCAGUGGAUUAAGCCAUGGAAAAGGUAUAUUAUAGUAGACACAAUGAAAAAACAAAAUAUGAAUUGGUUUGCAACAGUACUUAGAGUGGUGAUUUUCUUUAUUAUACUAACGGAUCUUACCGAGUUUUCUGUUGAAGUGUUGUGUGGAUGAAGUGUCUAAUCGAGGAGGUCUCAAUAUGAGGAAAAGGAAGAGAGGCACGAGCUCAAGCUUGGGUAUGCCCGAGGCACACCAAGUAAAUAUUCAAGGAGACUCAAGCGUCUAAGCUUGGGGAUGCCCCGGAAGAUAUUCCCUCUUUCUUCAACAAGUAUCGGUAUGUUUUCGGAUUCGUUUCGUUCAUGCGAUAUGUGCAAGUCUUGGAGCGUCUUUUGCAUUUAGUUUUCAUUUUUAUUUUAUGCACCAUGCUGGUAUGAGAUAGUCCUUGGUUGAUUUAUAAAAUUCUCAUUGCACUUCACUUAAAUCUUUUGAGUGUGGCUUUAUAGAAUGCUUCAUGUGCUUCACUUAUAUCAUUUGAAGUUUGGAUUGCCUGUUUCUCUUUACAUAGAAAACCGCCAUUUGUAGAAUGCUCUUUUUGCUUCACUUAUAUUUGUUAGAGCGUGGACAUAUCUUUUGUAGAAAGAAUUAAACUCUCUUGCUUCACUUUAUCUAUUUAGAGAGAUGACAGGAAUUGGUCAUUCACAUGGUUAGUCAUAAAAUCCUACAUAAACUUGUAGAUCGCUGAAUAUGAUAUGUUCGAUUCCUUGCAAUAGUUUUGCGAUAUAAAGGUGGUGAUAUUAGAGUCAUGCUAGCGGGUGGUUGUGGAUUGUAGAGAAACUUGUGUUGAGGUUUGCAAGUCCCGUAGCAUGCACGUAUGGUAACCGUUGUGUGACAAAUUUGAAGCAUGGGGUGUUUCUUUGAUUGUCUUCCUUAUGAGUGGCAGUCGGGGACAAGCGAUGGUCUUUUCCUACCAAUCUAUCCCCCUAGGGGCAUGCAUAGUAGUACUUUGCUUCGAGGGCUAAUAAAUUUUUUGCAAUAAGUAUAUGAGUUCUUUAUGACUAAUGUGAGUCCAUGGAUUAUACGCACUUUUACCUUUCCAUCAUUGCUAGCUUGUUCGGUACCGUGCAUUGCCCUUUCUCACCUCGAGAGUUGGUGCAAACUUCGCCGGUGCAUCCAAACCCCGUGAUAUGAUACGCUCUAUCACACAUAAGCCUCAUUAUAUCUUCCUCAAAACAGCCACCAUACCUACCUAUCAUGGCAUUUCCAUAGCCAUUCCGAGAUAUAUUGCCAUGCAACUUCCAUCAUCAUCACAUACAUGACUUGAGCAUUUAUUGUCAUAUUGCUUUGCAUGAUCGUAAGAUAGCUAGCAUGAUGUUUUUAUGGCUUGUCCGCUUUUUGAUGUCAUUGCUACGCUAGAUCAUUGCACAUCCCGGUACACCGCCGGAGGCAUUCAUAUAGAGUCAUAUCUUUGUUAUAGUAUCGAGUUGUAAUAUCGAGUUGUAAGUAAAUAAAAGUGUGAUGAUCAUCAUUAUAGAGCAUUUCCCCAUAAAAAAGAAAAAUGAAAGGCCAAAGAAGCCUAAAUAAGAAAGGGGGCCAAAGAAGCCCACCCAAAAAGAAAAAAAAAGAAAAAAAAGAAAGAAAAAAGAAAAAGAAAAGGGGCAAUGUUAUUAUUCUUUUACCACACUUGUGCUUCAGAUUAGCAGCAUGUUCUUCAUAUAGAGAGUCUCAUAUGUUGUCACUUUUAUUUACUAGUGGGAAUUUUCAUUAUAGAACUUGGCUUGUAUAUUCCAAUGAUGGGCUUCCUCAAAUACCCUAGGUCUUCAUGAGCAAGCAAGUUGGAUGCACACCCACUUAGUUUUCAGUUUGAGCUUUCAUACACUUAUAGCUCCUAGUGCAUCUGUUGCAUGGCAAUCCCUACUCCUCGCAUUGACAUCAAUUGAUGGGCAUCUCCAUAGCCCGUUGAUUAGCCACGUCGAUGUGAGACUUUCCCUUUUUGUCUUCUGCAUAUAAACCUCCACCAUUAUAUUCUAUUCCACCUAUAGUGCUAUAUCCAUGGCUUGCGCUCAUGUAUUGCGUGAGGGUUGAAAAAGCUGAAGCGCAUUAAAAAGUAUGAACCAAUUGCUUAGCUUUUGAUCGGGGUUGUGCAUGAUGGGAGCAUUUCGUGUGACGAAAAUGAAGCAUGGCCAAACUAUAUGAUUUUGUAGGGAUAAGCUUGCUUUGGCCUUGUUGUUUUGAAAAGACAUGAUUGCUUUAUUAGUACGCUCGAAGAAUUAUUGUUUUUAUGUCAAUUGAUAGACUAUUGCUUUGAAUCACUCGUAUCUAAAUAUUCAUGCCAUGAUUAGACAUAUGAUCAAGAUUAUGCUAGGUAGCAUUCCACAUCAAAAAUUAUCUCUUUUAUCAUUUACCUACUCGAGGACAAGAGGAAUUAAGCUUGGGGAUGCUGAUACGUCUCCGUCGUAUCUAUAAUUUUUGAUUAUUCCAUGCCAAUAUUCUUGAACUUUCAUAUACUUUUGGCAACUUUUUAUACUAUUUUUGGGACUAACAUAUUGAUCCAGUGCCCAGUUCCAGUUCCUGUUUGUUGCAUGUUUUAUGUUUUGCAGAAGACCAAUAUCAAACGGAGUCCAAACGGGAUAAAAAUGGACAGAGAAUUAUUUUGGAAUAUUUGGGAUUUUCCGGAGGAAGAAUCAACGCGAAACAGUGUCUGAGGUGGCCAGGAGAUAGGGGGGCGCCCUCCCCCAUGGGCGCACCUGGCACUCUCCUGGGCCACCCGUAAGGCGGUUGACGCUCUUCUUUUGCUGCAAUAAAUCUAAUUUUAUGAGAAAAAUCUGGGCGAAAGAUUCACCCCAAUCGGAGUUACGGAUCUUAAGAUAUAAAACAAACGGUGAAGGGGCAGAAUCUGAGAACGCAGAAACAGAGAGAUAAAUCCAAUCUCGGAGGGGCUCUCGCCCCUCCCAAGCCAUGGGAGCCAAGGACCAGAGGGGAAACCCUUCUCCCAUCUAGGGAGGAGGUCAAGGAAGAAGAAGAAGAAGAAGAAGAAGGGGGGCUCUCACCCCUUGCUUCCGGUGGCGCCGGAACGCCCCGGGGGCCAUCAUCAUCACUGUGAUCUUCUCCAACGCCUCCGCCAUCUUCAUCAACAUCUCCAUCACCUUCCCCCAUCUAUAUUCAGCGGUCCACUCUCCCGCAACCCACUGUACGCUCUACUUGAACAUGGUGCUUUAUGCUUCAUAUUAUUAUCCAAUGAUGUGUUGCCAUCCUAUUAUGUCUAAGUAGAUUUCCAAUGUCCUAUCGGUGAUUGAUGAAUUGCUAUGAUUGGUUUGAGUUGCAUGCUUUAUUAUUGGUGUUGUCCUAUGGUGCUCUCUAUGUCGUGCAAGCGUGAGGGAUCCCUGCUGUAGGGUUUGCAAUAUGUUCAUGAUUUGCUUAUGGUGGGUGGCGUGAGUGACAGAAGCACAGCCCCGAGUAAGUAGGUUGUUUGCAUAUGGGAUAAAGGGGACUUGAUACUUUAAUGCUAUGGUUGGGUUUUACCUUAAUGAUAUUUAGUAGUUGCGGAUGCUUGCUAGAGUUCCAAUCAUAAGUGCAUAUGAUCCAAGUAGAGAAAGUAUGUUAGCUUAUGCCUCUCCCUCAAAUAGAAUUGCAAUAGUGAUUACCGGUCUAGUAACGUAGUCAAUUGCUUAGGGACAAUUCCACAACUCCUACCACCACUUUUCCACACUCGCUAUAUUUACUUUAUUGCUUCUUUAUCUAAACAGCCCCUACUUUUUAUUUACGUGUUCUUUAUUAUCUUGCAAACCUAUCCCAACAACACCUGCAAAGUGCUUCUAGUUUCAUACUUGUUCUAGGUAAAGUGAACACUAAGCAUGCGUAGAGUCGUAUCAGUGGCAGAUAGGGCUUGAGAGAGUAUUUAUUCUACCUUUAGCUCCUCGUUGGGUUCGACACUCUUACUUAUCGAAAGAGGCUACAAUUAUCCCGUAUACUUGCGGGUCAUCACCUAGCGGUGUGAAAUAAAUGGGAAACUUGUAAGUUCAUGGAGUUUGUAUAUGAGUUAGAGAAACGCCUGGGCGGCCAACCCAAGCCAUGCAUAAUUCAUGGUGGAAAUUUACAACAUAACCAUAGUGAGCAUUCUAUGGAGCAUCUUCAAUAAAAAAAACUACGCCCAUGGUAAUAAAAGGAUUGCUGAGAUGCUCAUUGUCUGUUGCCUUGUCAUUUUGGUAUGGGAUAGCUCUUGUGUCAUGGGGCAAGGGGUACACCGUUGGCAUGAACUUACAAUGACAAGAACUUAUUUGGGACCUAAGUUGAGUAGCAUGAGGUUUAGGUAAUCGUAUUCAAGGGGCAUGAGGCUUUCAAUUUGUGAUAUUUCAAGCAUACAACUCAUAUUUUCCCUCACUUUAACCUUAACCAUUCAAGAUGCGUAUGAUAGGGGCAAUGAGAGCUCAAAUCUAAUGAGGACCAUAAUUUUUGGAUGCUUUAUAAAACUUAUUAAUCCCUACUUACCUCUAUGAAGGGCCUUUCUUUUACUUUUUUGUUGAGUCUUCAUCUUCUAUCUUUAUGCUCCAACUAAGAGAGCAUAGUUGUCAUUCUGAGUAUAAUGUGCAUUGUCCCAAAACUUGUUGAUUGAUUCAUGAUUAUGGUAUUGCUUAUUUUCAAAUUAUUUGUAUCUAGUCACCCUUUUGAACUUUGAAGGUGUCCUAUGCAUUUAUGUUUUGCUACUCCAUGAAGGACAGGCUGAAUACCACUUUGCUAUGUUUUCUCUAUGUGCGAAACAAACAAAUGUCUUUCAAAGCAUUAUUCAUGAUCUUUUGUUUAUGUUGCCUUUCAUGUUGUAACAUAGUUGCUAUGUUCUAUUGUUAGAAAUAUAUCUUUCAUACCUAUGUUUAGAGUACUUUGAUCCCAUCUUAGAAUGUUUUACAAUGAUCAUGAUCAAGAUUCUAUUGGCUGCAUGUCACCUCAAAAACUCUUUUUGUUAUCACUUACCUACUCGAGGACGAGCAGGAGUUAAGCUUGGGGAUGAUGAUAUGUUGCAAACAUAUCUAUAAUUUUUGAUGCUCCAUGCUUGUUUUACACCAAUUACUUUAUGUUUUUUUUACACUUUGUGGCAUUUUUAUGUAUUUUCUGGAACUAACCUAUUGACAAGAUGCCACAAUGCCAGUUCCCUAUUUUCUGCUGUUUUUGUGUUUUGGAGAAAUUAGUAAAGAAAUAUUCCCGGAAUUGGACGAAACAAACGCCAAAGUUCCUAUUUUUCUCGACAUGACACGGAGUCCAAAGCAGAGACGGAGGAGGGCACUGAAAGUGCAUUAUAUCGACUAGAGGAGGGGGGUGAAUAGGCGAUUUUUAUGAAUUCUUCACUGAGGAAUUUGUCGGUGAGGAAAUUCUUUGGCGAAGAACUACUUGCAGCGGAAUCAGUACUCAGAAGUAAGCGUAACAGAAUACAGGCAUGGUCAUCAUGAUGAAAUGAAGACACGCACAGAGUACAGAAAGCUUAAACACAGGAUAACACAAGAUGAAGACAAACAGACUGAAGAAAUUGAACUGAGGAAAUUGAGAAAGUCUUCAGUCAAAGUCUUCAAACACGGAUAUGAACAAUCACUCAACACAGUAAUGAGUAAAUGAAAGAGUUGAGGGAAUAGAACCAGGAAGGUUGGUGAAGACAAUGAUUUGGUAGACUAUUUCCAACUGCUGUCUCAGUUGUACGUCUGGUUGGAGCGGCUGAGUAUUUAAACUCGAGGGCACACAGUCCCGGACACCCAGUCGCUGAGCACGCAGCUCAGGACACCAAGUCCUCACCGUAUUCUCCUUGAACUAAGGUCACAUAGACCUUGUCCAAUCACUGGUGGUAAGUCUUCAGGCGAAAUCCAAACCUUCACAAACUCGGUCAAUCGGCGAUCCACAAUUCCUCCUUAUGCUCUAGACCAUGACGCCUAACCAUCUGGAAGAAGCACAGUCUUCAAAGAUAACAAGCGUCGGAUCCACGCAGGAUCAAUCUCUUCAGUGAUGCUCAAUCACUUUGGGUUUGUAGGUGUUUGGGUUUGGGUUUUUUCCUCGAUGAUUUUCGCUCAAAGUCUUCGGAUGAUGGGAUGCUCUCAAGUGUCAGUUUCUCUCGGAGCAGCCGACCAGCUAGUGGUUGUAGGGGGCGGCUAUUUAUAGACUAGGGAGCAGCCCGACAUGAUAAGACAUAAAUGCCCUUGUCCGAUAUGACCGUUAGGUGGAUAAGAUAUUUUGGGAGAGCUGGCGCGCAGCACAACACUGGUCGGAAAUUUGAAUCUCAAAUUCUUCAGGGCUAUCAUGUUCCUCACUUUGUAGGCAAUCCGCACUGGCGAAUUCCUAACUCCUCAGUCAGAAAAAAUUCCUCAGCGACUAGAAGAACUGCGUCUCUGUCACUAAAGAAAUGACUGAACUGUAUGAGAUUUCCAAAGGCUUCACUCGAAGGGAUUGGUACGUGUAGGAUUUUGAGUUGAGCAUCACAUGGAAAUUUUUCCUUAGUAUUUCCUAGACCCCCUUUAACAGUACGGUGUUUCCUAUGACUCAAGAAAGAGAAAAACAAAACUAUGAAAAUGAAAGUCUUCAAGCUUCAUAUUCCUCGCAUGAAUAUCAAUUCUUCACGGACACACCAAUUUCUUCAAUUUCGAAGUCUUCAUGAAAGUCUUCAGGAAUACCAAAAUCUUCAGUCAAAGAUAUUCAUUUUUAGGGGUCGACUUUCUCUGUAAAUAUCAAACCCCUCAUAGACUUAUAGACCUGUGUAUACUCAUAAACACAUUAGUCCCUUAACCUAUAAGUCUUCAAUACACCAAAAUCACUAAGGGGUACUAGAUGCACUUACAAUCUCCCACUUUUUGGUGAUUGAUGACAAUAUAGGUUAAGUUUUCAAUGGGGAUAAACAUAUGAACUAUAAGUACUGAUAUUGAGGAAUUUGAUGGCAAGAUAUAGAAGAACUCCCCCUGAAGAUGUGCAUAGUGAGGAAUUUUCUUUUGAAGCAAUGCACACUUGAAGAGUUUAAUCAUGGAGAUCUCCCCCUAUAUCUUGUAAUUCAUACACGCAUUUGGCAUAUAAUAUGAAGAAUUUGAAAUGCAUGAUGAAAUAUGGUGCCUGAUGAAAUUCAGCAUGCGUGCAAUAAUAUUAAUGAGGAACAAGCAUGCAGAAUAACGCAUCAAGAGUAUCAGAGCACAAUGCAUCAAAAGUAUCAGAGCACCAUCGGGUUUAAGAUUACAACUCGAUCCAAUAAAGUUUCAGAAGAACGAGAGUUGUAACUUAGCAAAAACGCCCAUAUAAUACACCUGCUUGAAGACUAACUCAAAUUUCUCCCCCUUUGUCAUCGAAUGACCAAAAGGUUUGAAACUGAGGACUAACGCCCCUGAAGAAUAUCAAGUUGAUGGAGGAGCGUCAGCAUUGUCAGGGUCGGUUGUCGUAGUAGGGCCUACCGAAGUGUCGUCCAAGUCUUCAUUUUCAUCAGUGUCACGCGAUGAAGAAUAGGAGCUGGCCACCAAGGAAGGAACCUUGACCUUCUUGAAUUUCUUCGGUGGAGGUGCAGACCAGUCAAAUUCGUCCUUGAGACCCAUUCUCUUCAGAUCCUCUGCGCUAUAGACAUGAGAUAGAACAGCCCAGGUACGGUUGAAGGUUCCAUGGAGGUAGUAGUGGUUUUUCUUCACUACAUUGUGUGUUGAGGUCAUGUUGUGAAGAAUUGAACCAAACUGACGCUUGACCCAUUUAUGAUUGCGAUCAACUUUCUGAUGAAGACUGAGGAGUAAUUCACGAUCAGUCAUCACCCUGGGUGCUGUGGCUUGAGGAAUUUGCUUGGCAGAGGUGUUGGCGGCAGAGUCAUGUGUGGCAGAGUCAUCAUUGGUGGAGUAGGAUGCAGCCUUGCGAAAUUGACCAUCCAAUGGACGAAUGCCUUCAUCUAUCACAACAGUUGCCUUGCCUUUGUCAUCAGCUAAGGAAAAUGUUCGUGUGAGGACCUCAAUUGGAGGCAAGUAGCUGUCGUGGUUUAGAGUAUCAUCCUUGUAAUUGAGUGAAGACCUUGUCCUGAUGAACCUCAUAAUCCAUGGUGCAUAAGGCUUCAGCUCAAAUGCUCACAUAGCAAUAUUCACCAGAGUCAUCAUGAAGAAAUCAUGGAAGUUGACGGGAACGCCAUUAAUGAUAUUGAAAAGCAUAUUCUUCAUGAUGCCAACGACUUCUUCAUCAUUUGAGUCGUGGCCUUUGAUAGGACUCAUUGUCUUCGUCAGAAUGCGAUAGAAAGUCCGUGGCACAUACAGUCAUUCCUUGACGAGGAAUUUGGUUAGAGGGGCCUGCCCUGGCUUCAAAGGCUUCAUCAGCACUUGCAUGUAAUGAUUUUUAAGCUCAGGUUUGUUGUAGAUGCAACGAGCACCUUCAAGGGGAGGACUGAGUGGGAGGGCACGAAGCAAUUCAGUUGCUGGUGCCUUGUAGUGAGUAUUGUCUGACAUCCAGUCCAACACCCAUGAGUUCACAUCUUUAGAAUUUCCUAUGAUGUGCAGCGUUGCAUAGAAUUGAAGAAUGAGUUCUUCAUUCCAAACACAGAUGUCAGUGCAGAAAUUCAGCAAUCCAGCAUCGUGAAGAACACUAAGGACUGGCUCGAAGCACGGCAGAGACUCCAUGUCCACAUGAGGAAUAUGUUCAUGAUCGAAGACUUUGUCUUUGUUGAAUAGUACCAAGGAAUAGAAAUUUUCUUGACUAGCAGUCCAGAAACGCCUCUUCCUUAUGCGAGUAGAAUCAUAGGGGUUGUAGUCUGUGAAGAACACAUGCUCGCUGAAGAAAUCUUCAGCCUUGAACUUUUGCUUCUUUGAGAAUGGAUCCAUUGGCUUGGGCACUAGAGUGUCAGUGAGUUGCAUCACAACCUCAGGAAUCGCAAUCUCAGGUUCUUCAGGCUAAGGAAUUUCUGGUUCCUUUUCAGUGGCAGUCUGUGUGUUCAAAGGAUCAGCAACAGCAGUUUCUUCAGCACUAGCGGCUGGAAUUUCUUCAUGCACACAUGAGGUGGGAUGAGUUUCUUCAGAGCCCAUUUGAACGUUUGGUGCAGGGGACUAAGGUAUUUGUUGUAUUGGGGUGAAGAGUGGAGAAUUGGGGUGCUAACUUUCCCAAAAGUCAUCAUUCAUCACCGGCGUUGUGCAGCCAAUGCCCACGUCUUCAUCUUCAAUUUCUUCAACGCCAGCCUCUUCAGCUGUGAACUAAGGCAUUGGCAAGGAAGAAACAGGAGUUGAAGGGAUCGUAUCCACUUCAAUUUCUUCAUAAACCUGCUCUGACAAAGCAGCAAAUUGAGGUUCUUCAUCAGAUCCGCUUGGGAUCACAUAUUCUUCACCAAAAGGAACAAGGUCCUUUGAUGGCAUGGUGGAAAUUGGAACAACAUCAAUUGGAUUUUCAAGUGAGCUAGUCAUAGGCUUCAUCUUUUUUGGAGCUGAAGAUUCUGAAGCACUUGAUGAUUUCCUUUUCUUCACUGCAGCUCGCUCUGCAGCCUUGGUCUUCUUCACAUAUAAUGCAGAUGGAAGGAUUGGAGUUGGUCUAGGCGCAGGAGGAGCUGGGGAAUCUGGUUGAUUUUCUUCAGGCGCAACUGAUGCAAUUGCCCUGACCUCUUCAGUUUCUUCAGGCGCACCACUAGUGGAUGCCCUGGCAAUUUCUUCAGCGGCUGGAAUGGAUUCAUCAGCCCUGGAACAAGCAAGCAGCCUGAAAGUCAUCAGCGGUGCUGGCAUGUUCUUCAGUUGGCUGAGCAGAAGCUUCAGCUUCAGGAAUUUCUUGUUGCGAUGGGGCUGCAACAUUGGUGAACUUUUCAGUCAGUUUAACAAACCUGACUUUGGCUCCUUGCCAAUCAGCAUAGUAAGCAUUGAAAUCAUCACUGGGGGCUUUGAUUUCAGACUGGAUCUUGAGGAGUUCAUCAGUUGUCAUAUUGACAACGUUUAUCUUCAGGAACUUCUCUUUCCUGAACUGAGCCUUCUUGAUCUGCCUGGCCUUCUCAAAUUUCCAUUUCUCUUCAGUGAUGAAAUGGGUCAGCAUGUGACUGUGACCAGGAGUCAAAUUGAAAUCAGGCAUAGGAGUAUUUGGAUCCUUGUGCCAGAGAUCAAUGUAAUCGAGGAUCGCCCUUGGAUCCAAAAGCAGUGGCACAUUUGUGCCUUUGGCUCUAGCGGCCCUUUCUUGUCUGUCUCUGAUGAUUUCUGCAAGUUCAUCAUCAUCAGCUUCAUCGUCAGAUGGCACUUGGAAGGCAACCUGUUUCUUCUUUGGACUUGGCCGAGGACCUCGACCAGCCAUUGCCUUUGUCUUCAGCAGGGUGGGGCCUGAUGAAGAUUUUGGUGCAGCUGAGGAACUCGCUGAGGCACCAGAGGCAAUAGAGAUGCAUGUAGUCCUUUGGCACGUGGCCAGAUGUACAGGUGUUGAGGACUUUGCCGGAGCAGCGGAGGACAUUGGGGGAGGAGCUGAGGAUUUUGGAGGAGCAGGAGCAGCAUGAGGAACUGGCCGUGAGGGCUUUGAAGAAUCUGGCUGUGAGGGCUUUGAAGAUUCUGGCCGUGAGGGCAUUGCUGAGGAAAUUGGCCGUGAGGGCAUAGUUGGUGAAGCACUUGGCUUGUGAGCGGGCUUCUUUGCCAUUGAUUUUCUAGGCUUGACAGAGGCCUCAGUGGCAACAGCAGCAGUAGAGUCUUCAUUGAAUUUCCUCACUGCUUCUUUGGCUUGUCUCGCCAACUUGGCUUGGCGUUUGGCCCAUUCUUCAGGAAAAUCCUCACCACGCUUGAUGCUGGUGGGGUCAGCUUCUUGGCCAGGUGCCAAUGGAGGUCUUGGGCAUGGAGGAUUUAGUGUGAAUUUCUUCAUAUAUACUUCGGAGUUACAUAUCUGUACUCCCUCCAUUCUCUUGCCCAUCUCCUUUCAAUCUUCUGUAUGCGCACCUUGCACUGAUUUUUGUUUUCCUUUCCGAACUUAGCCUCAUCAGGUGUGCAAUAACCAGCAUAGAUGUCCUCAGGUAUUUCAAAAGCAGUCAUGACCUCAGGCUUCUUUCCUCCUUUUUGCGGCUUCUUACCGUCUGCCAUAUUCUUCAGAUGAGGAAUUUGAGCAAUCGAAUUCUCUGAAGAAGUAUGCAACUUUUCUUCGAGGAACGCUGCAAAUGAGUUAAGUUGAUGAGAACCUAGUGAUUCAGCAGCGGACAUGAGUACCUGUGAACAGAGUAUAGUUGCGAGGAAUUUGGAGAGGUCAUAUGCAUUCUCAAAAGUUUUUUUUAAAAGAACAAGUUUGAGGAAUUUGACCAGAUGAACCUUGAAGAAUUUCACUAAGCGUUCUUUGUCUUAGGUUCCAGAGUUGUAUAGAUCGAGGAUCCACACAAUUGAGGAAUCUUGAAGAAAAAUGAUGCUUAGAGAAACGAAUCAAGAACAGAUGACUAGUGAGGUGUUUUGUGUGUGAGGAUUUGAAGAAUAAAACACCUUUGAAGAUUUUGUAGAGAAAAUUUGAAUCAAAGAGGGCAGUAAAAGUAACUUUUAAUUACCCUUGAUGAAGAACACGACGAACUGUGAAGAAGAACAGUGAAGUUCGUCGGUGUAGAUCUUCCACGCCCGAACUCGGUGGAGGAAGACAGCUACGGCGGCGGCGGAGUGAAGAUUUCCACGGCCGGCGCGAGUACGACGGCGACGAGGUUGAGGCAGUGAAGUUCUUCCUCACCGGCGACGAUGGAGUAGCGGGGGCGCUAGGGUUUGAGAAGCUCGAGCGAGAGAGAGCGAUCGAGCGGAGUAAAGGAAGUGAGGAAGGGGUGAGGGGGUAUUUAUAGUCGCAGUUAAAAACUGUUCACCCGAAGAUUUAGGACGAAUGUGCCCCUGACCCUUCUCAUCCGUUUGACAUGUGUCACCCACGUACUGAAAAGUGGGGAUCGUGUUAGAUCGUGGGUGAAUAGAUAAGUCUAUCGUGGGAUGCGGAACGGUUUGAGCGGUAAAACCGAAAAAUUUGGAUAAGAUUAGUUAAAAGUUCCGUUCGCAAAUUCUUCAGCUGACAAGGACACAGUGAAGAUUUUGAACGAGUUUCCAAUAAAACGCACAUGAAGAAUUUGUGAAUAGAUUGGGUUGAGUAUAGCAUAGAGAGGGAAGGGUCCGAUCACAUUCACUUAGCAGAAAAUGCAGCUUGAAGAAAUAGCCAUAAGUGAAUGUUGUAGAGGACAUAAACCCAUAUAUAUAUCCAAUGAAGAAAAACGACGGAAACAGUGAAGAUUUUGCAAAGUUGAAGAAUUUGAAAAACUAAAGAAUUUCAAAACUGAGGAAUUUCAAAAAUGAAGAUUUUCAACUUUGGUGGUGGCGUGACCCACCAUAUAAGAACGAUGAUUUCAGACACCGCGUACAAUUGUCGUAGGGUUCUGAGAAUCAAAUUCUUCAUUAAUUUCUUCACACUUAGAGUGUUAUUCUUCAUUGAUUGAAGAAAAACGUUUCUUCAUGUGUUGCACAUCUAAGUCAUCAAUUUUGCACAAGUGUUAGGAUGAGUGUCCUUUUUCAAAGAACAUUCGAAGAUUCUAGGAUAUUUAGCUCACACCGCAACUUGCUAGGCUUUGUGAAGAUAUCAGCCAGCUGUUCUUCAGUCUUCACGUGCUCGAUGGAGAUGUCACCCUUCAACACAUGAUCACGAAGAAAAUGAUGACGGAUCUGAAUGUGCUUUGUCUUCGAGUGCUGAACUGGGUUGUGAGCAAUCUUGAUGGCACUCUCAUUGUCACAGAGGAGAGGCACAUUCUUCAGGUUGACGCCAUAGUCCUUGAGGGUUUGCUUCAUCCAUAGCAGUUGAGCACAGCAAGAACCAGCAGCAAUGUACUCAGCUUCUAAAGUAGACAGUGAUACGCAGUUCUGUUUCUUCGAGGACCAACAGACCAAAGAUCGUCCGAGGAAAUGACAAGUACCAGAUGUUGACUUGCGGUCCACCCGAUCACCAGCAUAGUCAGAGUCGGAAUAUCCAAUGAGAUCAAAAGUAGAGCCCUUGGGGUACCAUAAUCCUAGUGUUGGUGUGUGAGCUAGAUAUCGAAGAAUAUGCUUCACAGCCUUAUGGUGUGAUUCCUUCGGUGCAGCUUGAAAUCGGGCACACAUGCAAAAACUAAGCAUUAUAUCUGGCCUAGAUGCACAUAGGUACAAUAAAGAACCAAUCAUGGAGCGGUAUACCUUGUGAUCGAAGUCAAUACCAUUUUCAUCAGUGCAUAGAUGGCCAUUUGUGGGGAUAGGAAUUUUGACGCCUUUGCAAUCUUGCAUGCCGAAUUUCCUCAUAACAUCUUUGAGGUAUUUCUCCUGAGAUAUGAAUAUGCCAUUGUGCUGUUGAUGAAUUUGAAGACCUAAGAAGAAUUUUAGCUCUCCGAUCAUAGACAUUUGAUAUUCUUCACUCAUCAUAUAGGCAAAUUCAUCACUAUAACGUUGGUCAGUACAGCCAAAGAUAAUAUCAUCAACGUAUAUUUGGCACACAAACAGUUCACCAUCAUAAGAUUUAGUAAAGAGAGUAGGGUCGAGUGAACCGGGUGUGAAGCCAUUCUUCAUGAAGAAUUCCUUCAGAGUAUCAUACCACGCCCGAGGGGCCUGCUUGAGGCCAUAGAGGGCCUUGUUGAAUCUGAAGACUUUGUCAGGAUUCUUUGGAUCUUCAAAACCUGGGGGUUGAGCAACAUAUACUUCUUCCUCAAGCUUACCAUUGAGGAAUGCACUUUUCACAUCCAUUUGAUAUAAAGUGCUAUUAUGAUGGUUAGCAUAAGCAAGUAAUAUGCGAAUAGCCUCAAGUCUAGAAACAGGUACAAAAGUUUCAUUGGAAUCAAUUCCUUCAACCUGUGUGUAGCCUUGAGCUACAAGUCGUGCCUUAUUCCUCACCACAAGGCCAUUUUCAUCUUGCUUGUUGCGAUAGAUCCACUUUGUGCCAAUGAUAUUAUGCUUGCGAGGGUCUGGACGUUUGACCAGUUCCCAGACAUUGUUGAGCUCGAACUGAUGUAAUUCUUCUUGCAUGGCCUGAAUCCACUCAGGCUCUAGAAAUGCUUCAUCUACCUUAGUGGGCUCUGCGAUGGAGACAAAAGCAUAGUGCCCACAAAAGUUAGAUAAAUGUGAAGCUUUUGAGCGUGUGAGAGGACCUGGUGCUCGAAUGUCAUCGAUGAUCUUCUCCACUUGCACUUCUUUUGCAAUGCGAGGAUGAGCUGGUUGUCGUCGAGGAAUUUGAUCAGCAUUUUCUUCAUCACCAUUUUCUUCAGCAUUUUCAUCAGGUGCAUCAGCUCGAUUUUCUUCGCGUUCUGGAAUGAAUUCAUCAGUAGAUUCUUCGGUAGGAAUGACAUCCUCAGUAGCCUUGAACUUGAUAGAAUCCUCAGGUGCUGGUUCAUCUAUCACAGAAGGUAGGUGCUAUCUUUGUGAGCCAUUAGUUUCAUCGAACCGCACAUCUACAGUUUCAACAACCUUGUGAAGAACAUUGUUGAAGACUCUGUAGGUGUGCGAGUCCUUUCCGUAACCAAGCAUAAAACCUUCAUGUGCUUUUGGUGCAAAUUUAGCAUUGUGAUGAGGAUCUCUAAUCCAACAUUUAGCACCGAAGACUUUGAAAUAACUCACAUUGGGUUUCUUGUCAGUGAGGAGUUCAUAGGCAGUCUUCUUGAAGAAUUUGUGAAGAUAUACCCAAUUGAUGAGAUGGCACGCAGUAUCAAUUGCCUCAAUCCAGAAACGACGAGGCGUCUUGUAUUCAUCAAGCAUAGUACGAGCCAUUUCAGCGAGGGUUCUGUUCUUGCGCUCCACGACGCCAUUCUGCUGAGGAGUAUAAGGAGCAGAUAACUCAUGCGUAAUACCAAGUUCAUCAAGAUAGCCAUCAAGACCGGAAUCCUUGAACUCGGUCCCAUUGUCAGUUCUAAUGUGCUUGAUCUUCACACCAAAGUUGGUUGAAGCCCUCGAGGAAAAUCGUUAGAAGAUUUCCUGCACUUCAUGUUUGUAAGUGACAAUGUGUACCCAUGUGUAACGAGAAUAGCCAUCAACAAUAACAAAGCCAUAUAGAGAUGCAUCAUUUGAAACAGCAGAAUAAUGAUUAGGACCAAAGAGAUCCAUGUGAAGCAAUUCAAAUGGACGAGUAGUGGUCAUGAUAUUCUUCGCUGGAUGCUUGGCCUUUGUCAUCUUUCCAGCUUCACAAGAUCCGCAUAAGGGAUCCUUGAGGAAUUUGACAUUCUCAAUGCCAAUGACAUGCUUCUGCUUCGCAAGUGUGUUCAAAUUCCUCAUGCUAGCAUGACCAAGUCGUCGAUGCCAUAGCCAGCCUUCUGAAGCUUUUGCCGGUAAGCACACGGCUGGUUGUGGUCCUAUAGAGAAAUCAAAAAUAUGCAGAUCUCCUCUUCUAAAGCCUUCGAAGACUUUGGAAUGGUCAGCUUCCAUGAUCAGAACACAACGAUACUUGCCAAAGACAACAACCAUAUCAAGAUCACAAAGCAUUGAGACUGACAUGAGGUUGUACCCUAAGGACUCGACAAGCAUGACUUUGUCCAUGUGUCGAUCCUUUGAGAUCACAACGUUACCUAGACCCAAUACCUGACUUUUGCCUUUGUCGGCGAAGAUGAUAUGCUUCAGAUGUGACGGCGAUAAGGGAGCAUCCAUCAAUAGACUCUUGUCACCCGUCAUUUGAUUUGUACAUCCACUAUCGAGAACCCACUCGUUUGAUUUGUGCUGAUCAUCCUGCAGAUGAAUUAGUGCAUCUUACGAACUCAUAUACUUCAUCCGUGAAGAAUAUCAUAUCAAAUUCAUCAGAUGAAUUUCAUCAAAGAGUAAAAACAGAUAUAGCAGUAUGAGGACGUGUGAAAUGAAAGUUCAUUUCAUCAUGAUUUGCCUGCGUCCUUUCAGGCACUUUAGUCAGGUCCCCAGCAAAUUCUUCGGACGUUAAGGCACGUCUGGAGACCCGACCCUGCGGAAGAAAUUAGUUCUUUUUCUUCACCACCCACAUCUGAAGGGGUGGCAAAGAGUUCAUCACUCUACGAGCUCCAUAUGAGAAUGGUGGCAUAGAAGCCAAACCAUUUUGUUUCACAUAAGAGGGGUUAGGUUAAGCAUAUGAAUAAGCAGAGAAAUUCUUCGAGGACUUAUGAACAUAUUGGUUUGAAAAAUAAUGCACAUAUUCAUAGCCCUUAGCUCUACCCUGUGAAACAGAGUUGUUAGCACGAUGAUAAUCAUAUGAGGACUUUGAUCCUUUUGAGGAAUUUGAUCCACGUGAGGAAUUUGGUCCGUAUGAGGACUUGGAUCCAUAUGAAGAAUUUGGUCCAUAUGAAGAGUUUGAUCUGGGGUUCCUAUUCUUCAAUGGUGGUGUCAUGAGGACAUUCACCUGAAGACUUUCAAGGCACUUAUUGGGAACCCAGAUUUUCUUCAUAGGAGAACCGUUCCUGCAGUUAGUGCCAACAUACCUAGCAAAUACUUCACCAUUCUGAUUUUUGAACAGUCUAUAGUUGGAGUCAAAUGACUCAUCAGAAGAAUGAGGAGAUUCACAUGUAAAGCCAGAUAAGUUAGAUGGAUCAACUGGAGGUCCCUUUGUAGCAACCCAUGAGGUUUCGUGGUACUGCUCAGACUUCCAAUAUGUUCCGUCAGAAUUGAGUUUCCUUUCAAAGGCAAUACCCUCUUUCCUAGGGUUUCUGUUGAGGAUCUGCUUUUUGAGCACAUCACAGAGAAUCUGAUGCCCUUUGAGGCUUUUGUACAUGCCUGUCGUGUACAAUUCCUUCAGCCCUGCAUCAUUAGUAGUACUAGCAAUGUCCUCAGAUGAGGAAUUAGUGAUAGCAGAGAAAGGUGAAGAAUUUGUAACAGUUGAAGCAUUUGAACAUUCAGGUGAAGAAUUAGCAGAUUCACGUUCAAUGCACUUUAAGCAUGGAGGAACAAAUUCUUCCUGAGAAGCGCUGAUUUGUUGAGCUAGCAAUGAAUUGCGCUCCUUCUGAAGAUCUUCAUAACUCACUCUUAGCUUAUCAAGAUCUUGCUUUCUUUGAAGAAAUUCAUAAGAAAGCUUCUCAUGAUCAGAUAAGAGACACUACUGGAAUCAGCUUAUUUGCCGUCUGCCAGUUCUUUGUCGUCAGCUGGCAGACGGCAAAGAGGCACUUUGCCGUCUGCUUGCAAAAAACAGACGGCAAAGAACUGACAAACGGCAAAGACGCCAGUUACCAUCAGCCAAUUAUUUGUUGUCUGCCAGCAGAUGGCAAAGAAUCUUUACCAUGUGCUGGAGGACGGCAAAGAGGUGGGGCUAUCUCUUUUUUACGGGUACAAAGAAAAUCGUUGACCCCCACCUCCUCUCUCUGUCUCCCCUCUCUCCGCACGCCCCCCACCUCCUCUCUCUCUCUACCCUCUCUCUCUCUCCCGCUCGUCUCUCCCUCUCCCUCGCGCGAGCACCUACGGCGGCCGAUUUUGGCGAGCUCCGACGGGAUUCGACGCCGCCCAGCACACCCAUGUGACCCCCUCGCCCCGCUCCUCCAUCCCCUCCGACCAGAUCUGACUCAUGCGUCCUCCAGCAACCACGCGUGACCCUCCCCUGCGGCUAGGGUUUCGGCCACCACAUCGCCGGCGUGGCUCCGGUGUUGCUCCGGUGACACGGGUGAGUCUCUUCACUCCUCCUCGUCACAUCCAUCCCUCUCUUUCUCACCGCGUCGCGUCGCGUAUCCUCUCCCUCACAGAACCAUCACGCCGGGAAGCCAUGGACGGGAAGGACGCCAUGGACGGGAAGGAAGCCGUGGAGGACGCAGCUCCACCACUGCCCCAACGCCAUCCAGGUCCGCCCCUUCUCCUCUCCUCCCCUCUUGGAUUUCUUCUUUUCCUGCCUUGCACCCGUCCACUCAAGUUCUAAACCAAACAAGAAAAAUUAUCAAUCUUGUUUUGGCUGCAUAAGCAAUAAUGGUUGAGGAGGACUCAGUUGUUCACUUCUAUAAUUGUGCCAUAAAUCGGUUUACUCUGCUUGAGGGCUGCCGUGGUUAGCUCGAUUUGAUAGGGUCCUUACUACAUAUGUUGUAGGGAUUUAACUUGACUUGCUAAUAAUGAGUGUCAAUCAAUCAAACACAAGGAAACUAUAAAUGCUUACUAUUUCGUAUAGUGAUCGUUGUGUUGUGUAUAGGUAAAACUUGUGUUGUCCUUAUCUACUUCGGAGGCAUCAUCAUGUGUUGUCAAUUUAGUUUCUGCCAUGGUUUUGGUUUGGUCCUGCUUAUGCCAAAUCGAUCAUUCAUUGCUUCUGAACACUCUACCUUUAAUCUUUGCUUCUGUAAAACCGGCCUUUCUUCUAUUGAAUGGAGUGUUUGCUUGCUAUGCGGGAAAAGUAGCUCAUUCAUCGAUGAUUUGGCAUGUGCAACCAAAGUGGACGGACCGCAUUUAGGUCUGGUCGCCGUGAGGAUCCUCUGGCGGUGCUGGAUGUGCCGUGGCGCGGUGGUGCCCCCGGGUGGCGCCUUCGUGCUGCGGUGCCCCUGGUUGGCGCCUUCGUGCCCGUGCUCUCACUGGCACCGCCAUUGUGGUGCUCUCCGGCAAGCUCCGGCUUGUUGUGGUGGUGUUGGUUGUGAUGCUGGUCACACCAUAGUGAUGGUGUGGCUGCAUCCUACUUCGGCUACAACUCCUUUUGGUGAGCUUCUCCUUGCUCCCCUCCUGAUCUAUCUAAUGCAUAGCUCUUGAUCUUGUUGGAUGUGAGGCUCUAUUAGCUGUGGUUAGCUGCUGUAGAUGAGCAUCAACUUGUAUUGGAGCUCUCUGUGAUGGAUUCUUGCUGUGUGAGGGUUUUGGUUAGUGACCAUCUAUGUGUAUUUGGGAAGUAUAUAUACUCCUGUACUGCUCUGUUCUGUGUAGUUGAUCCUGGAGUUGUUACUUUGGUCAGUUACUUUACUCAUGAACGGAUACUCACUUGUUCUUAGUUAUUUUACUUCUAAUACUGAUAUGAACAGAUACCACUUGGUUUGGCUAUUCCUAUUUGUCUCUUUCUAGUAGCCUAUGAACAGAUACUAUACUUGGUUUAGGCUGUUACUUUCCUAGUUUUCUACUGAUAAGACAGAUACUACAUCUGAUUUGGGCAGUGAUGCUGGUCUGAGCCCCCCUCUCUUAGGCUUAAUUUACAUGUGACUAUCCCUGUGCUGUGAUGAACUAGCCCUGGCACUUCCAGGCUGUCUGAGCACAUAAUCCCUCAAGUAUACCUUGAGGUCUUCUGUAGCUCUCCUUAAUAGUUAUCUCUUCUAAGCUGCUGGUGGUUGGAUGUGUUGGGACUUGGUCUGGUUGGCUGGUUGUGAUGUAUAUCUCCUCCUGGAGCUUUUUUUUUGGCGUUGCAUAGUGACAUGUACCUAUUGUCACUAGUCAAAACUGAUUGUGGUGAUGAAGUCUAAUCUUUGGCUUUAAUCACUAGUUUUUAGUUGGCUUAAUUCCUGGAGCUAGUACUGAUAGUGGUCUUUGUGUUGGCAUUUAACUUACUGCUAAUUGUGGUGGCUUCUUGAUUAGGUCCUUGGCUGGUUCUCUUCUUUGGCUCUUUGGUAUUGGUUUACUCUAUUUGGCUUUCUAAUUAAGAUCACUUUGAAAAUCAGGAUCUUAACUAAGAUUAUCUUGAUCUCAAGUACUGGCUCCUAUAGCAUUGCAUUUCACCAAGUGAAAUGCUACAUUUCUACUCCUAACCCAUUCUCUCUUUCUUAGUGUUUUUGUUAUGCAGGUUGGAAGAAAAGAAGAAGAUCCAGAGAAGAUCUUAGUAAUAAGAUAGUUUUUAGGAAAAUAGAUAUUUAGUUUUAGAUUAUUCCUUGUAAUACUUGUUGGAUAUGUGUUCAUGGAUAUGUGUUGGAUAUAUAUGUGUUCAUGACUAUAUAUUGGUAACAUGUGUUGGAUAUGUGUUCAUGGAUAUGUGUUGGAUAUAUAUGUGUUCAUGAGUAUUGGUAAUAUGUGUUGGAUAUGCUAUAUUGGUCAUACAUAUAGUCUGUGUUUGAUUGUGUUUGAUUUUCUGUAAAAAUGAAUUGAUAUAAGAAGAAACAGAAUUAAUGCCUAUUUGGUCUCUUUGCCAUCUGCCAACAGAUGGCAAAGAGCCUGCAGCCUUUGUCGUCUGCCAGCAGAUGGUAAAGAGUCGUGCCCUUUGCCGUCCGCCACUGACAGCAAAGGCCUCUUUGCCGUACGCUACAAAAAACAUACGGCAAAGAAGGCCUUUGCCGACCCUGUCUUUGCCGUCACUGUUUGCCGUCCGCGGCGGACGGCAAAGGCCUUUGCCGUUCGCCAUCCUAGCCUUUGCCGUCCGCCAUGGCUGAUGGCAAAGUACCAGAUUCCUGUAGUGAGAGUGACGGUGUCCUGGACUAGGGGGUACUCAACGCGUCGUCUCCCGAUCAGUUGGAUUGGGCCGAGGACCCCCAUGGCCGUAUACUCAUGGGCCAGUCCGGACAACUGCCGCAUACAAGGAAGAAUCAACAAGACUUGGCGAUCAAGAGAAGGACUCCUCCCCGACCGGCGUAUUCGGCUAGGACUCUUGUUAUCCUAGGCCUCUGGUGCAUUAUAUAAACCGGGGCCAGGCUAGUCGAUAGACAUAUACAACAACAAUCAUACCAUAGGCUAGCUUCUAGGGUUUAGCCUCCUUGAUCUUGUGGUAGAUCUACUCUUGUAACACACAUCAUCAAUAUUAAUCAAGCAGGACGUAGGGUUUCACCUCCAUCAAGAGGGCCCGAACCUGGGUAAAACAUCGUGUCCCUUGCCUCCUAUUAUCAUUGAUCCCAAGACGCAUAGUUCGGGACCCCCUACCCGAGAUCCCCCGGUUUUGACACCGACAUUGGUGCUUUCAUUGAGAGUUCCGCUGUGUGAUCAGCGAAAGGAUCAAUGGCUCGACUGCAGGUCAACUGCGAUGUCGGCUUCUUCGUCACCAGCUCGGCUGGUCACCUUGGCUUGACCGAGGACUGCGCCCUACUUCCGAUCGUCAUGUUCAGAUGAAGGCCUUCAUCAAACACCAACUCCGAUCUCUAUCAAGAUAGUGGAGGAGUCAUCCAUGGAGCUCGGGGGCUGAACGUCAACAUUACCCUCAGGCGACCGUGCUGUUUUCCUGGACAGCAAAUUUGUAUCCGCCGCCACCGCCUCCUCGAGUGUCGCUUAAGAGAUUACUUCGGUGAAAUUAUGCGGAAUUAAGUCUACAACAACCCUGCAAAAAUUUCAUUGAGUUCCGAUGGAGGAAUCUCCGGCAAUCUCCGAUAUACCGGAGCCCGGUUGAAUCUGGACGAGAAUCCGGAUGAGUUUAGGGCGUGGUAUCUAGAAUCUAGCUCGGAUGUCCUUUGGAGGAUCCAACCGUUGAUUUGCUGCGGAAUUCCCAUAUCUACCACCUGCCCAAAAUUCAGCUUGAUCUGACCGUCCAAACUCCGGGAAACUUCCGAUUAGUGCAUCACUUUUUGGACUUGUUUUCUGCGCGAGAACGAGUCCGACCCGAAUUCAUCUUCUUUAUGAACGGGAUUUCGGACAUCCUUUUUGAAGGAUGUUUUGUAUGGGGUAUUGUAUUUUGUUCCCGAACACAUCCCACUAACUUUAAGAUCUUUUGAACAUGAUUUUCGGCAUCAUGCUGGUGUCAAACCAGUCCGACAAUAUAGCUCCAUGGCUGCCGACCUGUGCUAGACACAUCGUCACUUUGUUGAGCCAAGGUCAACUUCUUCGGAUCAUCAUCUUGGCAAGCCGGACAAGAGUCCGGCAUCGCGAAGGAUAAAUCAUCAUCAACGUCGCCUCCCCACGGAUUACACGGAGCGGGCAUACCGGCAUCGCCGCACGAUCGCUUCAUUAAGCCGGCAUCGACCACGUCACGACCUUCAUCGGCAAGGCCGCACUAUUGCUUCUUCAAGCUGGUGUCCAUCACGCCGACCUACUUCGACAUCUCGGCUGGACCGGGGGCUUCGCCAUCUCUUCAUCAACCUACUCCGGACACUUCGGCGUCACUAGCCGGCCAGGCAUGGGUGCACGGAUUGAGUCCCAAUUUUGGGAAUCACCUUCCUUCGGAUUGCUACAACAAAUAAACUAGGUGCUAUUAAUCCUAGUAUUUCUUUUUGCUUGUUUGGGUUAAAUUUUACCCAAGGAAUUAUUACUCUGGUUAGUCCAGCAUAUGUACACAGGUCUAUCAAAUGGUGUCCGCAUUAUCGACGGUCGCAUGAUGGUUCGGUCAGUUUCCGUACACAGGUCGGCAAACGCCGCAUCCGGAACUCGGGCCGACCUGUGAAUCCAGGCUUUGCCACGCCUUUAUUGCAUUACGCCGAUGACCUGCAUCGACAUCGACUUCGGCGCCAGGACAUAUUUCUUUUACUACUCACUUUGCAUAAAUUAUUUAUUAUGCAACAUUUUUUUAAUUCCUAUUAUUACUAUUACCCCCGGUCUGCACUAUUUUUUGUGCACAGGAAAAUGAUCCAGCCGGACUAUAUCCUUUGACGUCACAUCGGCCAGACGGGGGCUUCGUCAACACUUCAUUACCCCAUGCCGGGGACUUCGGCAUCACUCUGCCGUCCUGCAUUGACCGUGCUAUGUCACCACUUCGGAGUGCCGAGCUCUUUGCUCCGCCACCUCGGGACCGGCUUGGGGGAUGGAACCUUGUCCCGCAUCAAGCUCGGACCGUGUCGUCAAUACCGAACACAUUAACCAGCUAAGUUGCCUUCACGCUCAAAGUUUUUAAUUUCUAACUUGUGUUCGGUUCGACCAAGAAUUAUACUUUUUUGUAAAAAAGUUGCUUGUAAAAAUUUUCCUUGUCGAAACUUUGUUUGCACACGCUUGACGCGCUACUCGCGGUCAUUAUACCUGGGGGCUUCUUUAACAGAAGCUUAUUAAUACGGGGUUUAUGCCCAACACAUGUGUCACACUUCCGCAUGUACCUUUUAUUCACCAUUAUAUGCAUCGAUAUGACUUAAGUUUUGGCCAAGCUGGGUUGCCUGGCUCCUGUGCUUACCCCUACGUUCCCGAUUAUUCGGCUAGGUGGUAAAGGGAGCACCUCUGCGAUUGUUACUGCCGGGUCAGCCGGAUGUGUACCUCAGACUGGGUGAAGCCGAAAGCUAGCGUUCUUAAGGGAAUACUCGGUCGGUGAACUAAAAGAUGAUUUCUUACCUAUUUAUUUACCUGCCCCCAGAUGUUUUUCUGCUCUUUUCGCAGUCCGGACAUGCACUUUAGGGCAUGCCUCCCAGGGAAAGGAACCCCUAACGGAACUAUUCUCCCUGGAAGAUGUUUCUUACUAACUAUGUAAUAUAACAUAACUAGUUGGGCACUUGUCUGAUAAAGCACUAAUGACCCAUACGCCUGGUCUCCACGCAUGCCCCGGUUUUUAUAACCGCGAGGGUAUUCGGACACACUCUGGACAAUUGGGUCCAGAGGUUGAAGCGAAAAGGUCCGCUACGACAAACGAUCUACAAUCCGGCUAGAAGGCAUUCUACAUGUCACCUUACAUUUUAUAAUCAACUUUUACCCAAGUCGCUUGGGGGCUCUUAUGUUUAUUUGAGCCGUUUCAUACUAAGUGUUUUUCUUCUUAGUCGUUGCAAAGUUAAAGCACGGCAGAAGCACUUUUUUUUCUAAAGUCCAAUUUUCGGAUUGGCACCGAACACUUGAUCUUGUUUGGACGUCAUGUUUUUACUGACGUUUUUUGGUUUUCCAAGCUUUUGGCACUUUUAACAAUUUGUGUGUUUUCAGCACAAGUCUCGCAGUGCAACGCCGGACACCUUUAGAGAUUCGGCAAAAACAUUCUCGGAUAUUGCUAUAUAUGCAUCAGCUUCGAAUUGUGUCUUCGGUCAAUAGUUGGGUUGCCCGGCUCCCGUGCUUGCCUCCUACAUUCCGCUUUGUUCGGCUAGGUGUGCAAAGGGAGAACCACUGCGAUUGUGCUUCCAGCUCACAUGGUCAAGCACCUCAGUGGAGAAAGCCGAAAACUGACUGUCACAAUAGGUGUAAACUGGUUAGCGAUCCGAUGACUAUAAUAAAUGACGGGCCAUUCAUAACAUUGGCUGAAGUGUUUCCGGCUUGACCUCGACUAUCGCCAAACACUACCGGGGGCUAUUAACUGGCCUCCCAAACUAAAUCCUUGAUCUUUUGCUCUUACAUUGGAGCUGAGGUUUCAUGAUCAUGCUUAGCAUGACAACCCAAAGAAAGGAACCGAUAGCGGGACUAUUUUCUUUGGAAGACAUUUCUUCUGUUAAACAGCAAUAUAACAUAUCUCUCUCCGUACCUUUGUUUAGAAAGCCGUAUGACCAGAUUGCCUUGUUUGCCGUAAAUCUUUGCCCUCAUAAAGGCUUAAUAAAGUAGGACAAACACUCCUCGGCUACUGGCCGAGGAGGUUGAAGCCCAUGGUCGGUCAACAAAGUUUUGUACAAUGCGGAUCCGAGCAUUAAUGACGUAAAGUACUUGGAUACAUAGAGUCAUUACACAUAAUUUGUGAUUUUACUAUGGAUAUCGAUCCUUAAUUCGGCCUCCCGUGUCCGCAUUAACGCUCGGGGGCUAUUGAGCUUCGGGCUUAUUAUUUACAAAUAUUAAAGGGGCACAUCGAUCCCCUGAUCUGGUGUUGCCACCCGACCAGUGUCUCGGGGGCUACUGCAUUGCCUGUUCUAUGCAGAAAAUUUUAAGUGCAAUACAGUUUCCGAGGAGAUUUUGAUCCUCAGGUUGGUCGGCCGCACCCAACCUGAGUCUCGAGGACCGAGCACGCCGCUUUUUCUGUCCCGAAGUAUUCUGCCGAGCUAGGACUUGAUCCUCAGACCGAUUUUGCAAAUCAACCUGAGUCUCAGCGGCUACGGGGAUCAGCGGUCUUAUGUCAUCCUUCAUGUGCAUCUCAGGUUUUAGACCGAUACCCACCUUGAGGGCUACUGGCAUCAAUAAAAAACAUUGACCAAAAAUCAGCCCAUGACCGAGGUGCUUAACCACCUCGGAAGCAGUUCGACAUAUAGCUCGGAUGCAAGUGGCUGGCUCCAUAGAGGGCAUUUCCGGCAUUAAGCUCGGUUAAACUCCUUCAAACUUCUUUGAACCAAGGUGAUUUAUGACACCUCGGAUAAAGUCUGGCAUUGGAGCUCGGAUACAUAGUCCGGCGUUGGAGCUCGGAUACAGUCCGGCGUUGGAGCUCAGAUACAUAGUCCGACGUUAGUGCUGGGAAGCAGUCCGACAUUGGUGCUCGGCUGCAAAAGAUACCUCGAAUGCAGUCCGGCGUUGGAGCUCGGACGCAAGAGGACGUUGCCACCCGGGAACAACUUCAAAUCCGAGGCAUGGCAUAAAAAUAACAAGGCAUUGAUAAAGGCCGUAAACUUAAAGGGGCUCCUCGGAUACCCAACGCGUAAACUCGUCGAAUGCAUUUUGGCGAUCCUCAAGAUAGAAGAUGAGAAGAUUUGUUGAACCAGUUUUCAAGACCAGCAACCGAAGAUGAAGAACAGUUCGGAAGAAUCGAGGAGCGUCCCUAACUUGAAGACCGGUUCAGGGGGCUACUGACGGUGUCCUGGACUAGGGGGUACUCAACGCGUCGUCUCCCGAUCAGUUGGAUUGGGCCGAGAACCCCCAUGGCCGUAUACUCAUGGGCCAAUCCGGACAACUGCCGCAUACAAGGAAGAAUCAACAAGACUUGGCGAUCAAGAGAAGGACUCCUCCCCCACCGGCGUAUUCGGCUAGGAGUCUUGUUAUCCUAGGCCUCUGGUGCAUUAUAUAAACCGGGGCCAGGCUAGUCGAUAGACAUAUACGACAACAAUCAUACCAUAGGCUAGCUUCUAGGGUUUAGCCUCCUUGAUCUCGUGGUAGAUCUACUCUUGUAACACACAUCAUCAAUAUUAAUCUAGCAGGACGUAGGGUUUCACCUCCAUCAAGAGGGCCCGAACCUGGGUAAACCAUCGUGUCCCUUGCCUCCUGUUACCAUUGAUCCCAAGACGCACAGUUCGGGACCCCCUACCCGAGAUCCGCCGGUUUUGACACCGACAGAGAGUUUUAUGAUGACUUUGAAGGUUGUCAAACUUAGACUGAAGUCUCUAAAGAUUUUCAGUUAAGUCUUUAGUGCGGUCCAUUUCAUCACCCAACAUAUCAUCACUUUUGUCUAGCAUGUUCUGAAGUUUUUCAAUAGCCUUUUGUUGUUUCACAGCAAUCUUAGCAAUUUUAGAGUAGCUAGGCUUAAGAUUUUCAUCAGAUUCAUCCUCACUAGAUUCAGAAGAGGGGUAUUUUGUUACCUUGGCACCCUUUUCCAUGAAGCAAUAGGUGGGAGCGUAGUCAUCAUUAUCUUCGUCAGCCUUGUUGGUAAGGUCAAUUUCAUCAGAGUUGAAGAUGGACUUGCUGACGAAUGCAGUAGUGAGAGCCAGACUUGCCACACCAGACUCGGACUCCUCAGAUGCCUCCUCUUCCUCAUGUUCCUCAGAUUCAGCUUCAGAGUCCAUUUCCUUGCCAAUGAAUGCCCAAGCCUUUAUGGAGCUGCUCUUCUUGUGAGAUGAAGAUUUCAAGGAUUUUGAUGAUGAAGAUUUUGAAGAUUUCUUCUUCUUCUUAGCGUCAUCAGAACUGUAAUCCUUGUAUUUCUUCUUCUUUAAUUCCUUUUCCCACUGAGGACAAUCUUGAAUAUAGUGACCAGGUUUCUUGCAUUUGUGGCAAAGUCUUCUCUUAUAGUCACUUGACGAGGAAUCGCUGCUCCUUGAGGAUUUUCCAAAGCGACCACGUCUUGAGAACUUCUGGAACUUCUUCACGAGCAGUGCUAGCUCCUGGAUCAAUUCUUCAGGAUCACCAAGGCUACUACCAGAAUCUUCACAUUCAGAUUCAGACACAGCCUUGGCCUUGAGGGCACGUGUUUUGCCAUAGCUUGAACCAUAGAGAUCUCUCUUUUCAGCAAGCAGGAACUCAUGAGUAUUUAGCCUCUCGAGGAUAUCAGCGGGAUCCAGUGACCUGUAGUCAGCAGGUUCUUGUAUCAUCAGUACCAGAGUAUCAAAUGAAGAAUCUAGCAAUCUCAGCAAUUUCUUCACCACCUCAUGGUCGGUGAUUUCAGUGGCGCCAAGCGCUUGAAGCUCAUUUGAGAUGUCAGUGAGGCGAUCGAAGGUUUGCUGAACAUUUUCAUUGUCGAGUCGUUUGAAGCGGUUGAAGAGAUUGCGAAGAACGUCAACACGAGAGUCACGUUGAGUUGAGACUCCUUCGUUUAUUUUGGAGAGCUUAUCCCAGAUAAGCUUAGCAGUUUCUAAAGCACUCACUAUUCCAUACUGUCCUUUGCUUAGAUGGCCACAUAUGAUAUUCUUCGCUUGAGAAUCGAGUUGCUUGAAUCUCUUCACAUCAGCAACAUUCAGGGAAGGUGUGACUGAGGGAACACCAUUUUCCACAAUGUACCAAAGAUCGUUGUCAAUUGCUUCAAGAUGCAUUCGCAUCUUAUUCUUCUAGUAAGGGUAGUCCAUGCCAUCGAAGGUAGCACACCCACCGGAGACCUUGAUCAUACCUGUGGUCGACAUAACUAGAACUCCAGGUGGUUAAACCAAAAUCACACGGAACAAGGGAGUACCUUUCUCUGAUACCAAUUGAAAGUGCGUUAUAUCGACUAGAGGGGGGCGAAUAGGCGUUUUUUAUGAAUUCUUCACUGAGGAAUUUCCCGGUGAGGAAAUUCCUUGGCGAAGAACUACUUGCAGCGGAAUAAGUACUCAGAAGUAAGCAUAACAGAAUACAGGCAUGGUCAUCAUGAUGAAAUGAAGACACGCAUAGAGUACAGAAAGCGUAAACACAUGAUAACACAAGAUGAAGACAAACAGACUGAAGAAAUUGAACUGAGGAAAUUGAGAAAGUCUUCAGUCAAAGUCUUCAUACACGGAUAUGAACAAUCACUCAACACAGUAAUGAGUAAAUGAAAGAGUUGAGGGAAUAGAACCAGGAAGGUUGGUGAAGACAAUGAUUUGGUAGACCAGUUCCAACUGCUGUCUCAGUUGUACAUCUGGUUGGAGCGGCUGAGUAUUUAAACUCGAGGACACACAGUCCCGGACACCCAGUCGCUGAGCACGCAGCUCAGGACACCAAGUCCUCACCGUAUUCUCCUUGAACUAAGGUCACACAAACCUCGUCCAAUCACUCGUGGUAAGUCUUCAGGCGACUUCCAAACCUUCACAGACUCAGUCACUCGGCGAUCCACAAUUCCUCUUGGAUGCUCUAGACCAUGACGCCUAACCAUCUGGAAGAAGCACAGUCUUCAAAGGUAACAAGCGUCAGAUCCACGUAGGAUCAAUCUCUUCAGUGAGGCUCAAUAACUUUGGGUUUGUAGGUGUUUGGGUUUGGGUUUUUUCCUCACUUGAUGAUUUUCGCUCAAAGUCCUCGGAGGAUGGGAUGCUCUCAAAUGACAAGUGUUAGUUUCUCUCAGAGCAGCCAACCAGCUAGUGGUUGUAGGGGGCGGCUAUUUAUAGCCUAGGGAGCAGCCUGACAUGAUAAGACAUAAAUGCCCUUGUCUGAUAUGACCGUUAGGUGGAUAAGAUAUUUUGUGACAGCUGGCGCGCAGCACAGCAACGGUCGGAAAUUUGACUCUCAAAUUCCUCAGGGCUAUCAUGUUCCUCACUUCCUAGGCAAUCCGCAUUGGUGAAUUCCUAACUCCUCAGUCAGAACAAAUUCCUCAGCGACUUAAAGAACUUCGUCUCUGUCACUGAAGAAAUGACUGAACUGUAUGAGAUUUCCAAAGGCUUCACUCGAAGCGAUUGGUAGGUGUAGGAUUUUGAGUUGAGCAUCACAUGGAAAUUUUUCCUUAGUAUUUCCUCGACCCCCUUUAACAGUACGGUGUUUCCUAUGACUCAAGAAAGAGAAAAACAAAACUAUGAAAACGAAAGUCUUCAAGCUUCAUAUUCCUCGCAUGAAUAUCAAGAAUUCACGGACACACCAAUUUCUUCACUUUCAAAGUCUUCAUGAAAGUCUUCAGGAAUACCAAAAUCUUCAGUCGAAGAUAUUCAUUUUUAGGGGUCGACUUUCUCUGUAAAUAUCAAACUCCUCAUAGACUUAUAGACCUGUGUACACUCAUAAACACAUUAGUCCCUUAACCUAUAAGUCUCCAAUACACCAAAAUCACUAAGGGGCACUAGAUGCACUUACAGGCACUGAGGCGACCACACCAUAGCCAGGUGCGGGCCCAACUCUGGCUGCACGGCCCUAGGGUGUGGGCCCCUCGGGCGUCCACCGACAUUGCCCUUCCGCCUAUAUAAUGCCCCCGAGGCGAAAACUCUAAAUAAUGAAGCCUCCGUCCAUGAAAAAUUCCGCAGCGCCGCCACCAUCAACGACGAGAUUCGGGGGAUAGAGGUGUCCGUUUCGGCACCCUAUCGGGAUGGGGAAUUGCCCCCGGAGCCAUCUCCAUCGACUCCACCGCCAUCUUCAUCACCGUUGCUAACUCCCAUGAUGAGGAGGGAGUAGUUCUCCUCCGAGGCUGUGGGCUCUACCGGUCGCUAUGUGGUUUAUCUCUCUCUCCCAAGGUGUGAUCUUUAUGUGAUCAUGAGCUUUGCAAUCUGGUUAAUUUAGUAGAUGUUACUCUCAUCUAUUAUGCUACUCAAGUGCUUUUAUUAAUGUGAUCUCCGGAGACACCUUGUCCCACGGUGUGAAGGUGACAGUGUGCACACCGUGUGUGGCUCUUAGGCUAAAGAUUACAGAAAUACUUAUCAUGAGUUAUAAUUUGAGUUGGAUGUCUCUAUGAAAUUGUGGUGUUUGUUUGGAACCAUCUAGCGCUCAAGGUGACAGUGUGGAGUUACCUAGAUGGGGAAUGCGAACUUUAAGGUGUGCUUUUAUAGCCCUACGUGGUGAAUUGGUGUUCGUUAUCCAACCGGAGAGUAGUUCAGAGUAGCAUAGUGAUGAGAAGAUGUUUAUGUGUUCAAUUAUGAUAUCAUUGUUGAGAGUGUCCACUAGUAAAAGUAUAAUCCCUACGUUUUGUUUCUAAGCAUUGAAACAUCGUUUACAACCAGUUAUGCUACAUGUUUGCUUGCUGACAUUUUUAUUUCAGAUUGCAAUUACCACUUGUAAUCAUCCAUAUUACUUGUAUUUCACUAUCUCUUCACCGAACUAGUGCACCUAUACACCUGACAAGUGUAUUGGGUGUGUUGGGGACACAAGAGACUUCUUGUAUCUUAAUUGCAGGGUUGCUUGAGAGGGAUAUCUUUGACCUCUUCCUCCCUGAGUUCGAUAAACCUUGGGUGAUUCACUUAAGGGAAACUUGCUACUGUUCUACAAAUCUCUACACUUGGAGGCCCAACACUGUCUAUAAGAAUAGAAGCGUGCCUAGACAUCAAGCUUUUUUCUGGCGCCGUUGCCGGGAGGUAAGGUAAAAGGUACUCACAUCCUCUAGCUACUAAGCUAUCUUCUAGUACUGUUGCUAGUGUGUGAGUGGUCAAAGUUAUUUCCUUUAGAUUCUGCAAUUAUAUCUUUUUGUUUCUUGUUUUUAUUUUCACUAGUUAGGCUUAAUGGAAAACAACAACAAAAUUAGAGAGCUUUAUAGUAUGUUUCCUGAGUUAGGACAUGAAGUGUUUGAAGAGAAAAUUAAAAAACCUAUGGAACUUUAUUUGCAUGCUAAUAGAAAUGUUAUUAGUGUGAACUAUUUGAACAGCAUUAUUGCUAAUGUUAUGGAAAAGUCUAAGCUUGGGGAAGCUGUUUUUUAUGAAAAUGGUCUUUUUAGUUCCCCAGCUUUAGAGGAGAAAUUUUUCAUGAAAAUGGUCUUUUUACGAAAAUGUUAUUUUUACUUCCCCAGCUUUAGAGGAGAAAUUGAACGAUUUUAGAUUCUAAACGAUUUUUAAAUUUGAACAAUUUUCAAAUUUGAACAAUUUUCAAAAUUUGAAACAUUUUCAUAAUCUGAACGUUUUCAACAAUCUGAACAUUUUUAAAAUUCGAACAUCUUUAGAAUCUAAACAGAAAAGGCAGGAAAAAAGGACCAGCUCCGAGGUAGUCGCCAAACUCCUCCUCCUCUCCGGCAGAGAUGUUCUCCCUCGCCUGCUGCCUUUGACUCUGCACUCCAUCUUCCUUUUAUAUUGAUAUUACUCCCCUUCUCACCCGAUCCCUCCGGUACUUCUGAUCUGUUCUUCUCCAUCUUCCCUAACCCUAAUUCUGCCACCCUCUCAUCCCCCUUCCCCCCGAUCUCCUUGUGAGUUGGAUCUGCCAUGCACGAAGAUGCGCGUGACGGGUAGUGGUAGAUCCCAUCGGCAGCCAGAAAGAUCCGGCGAUCGGUGAGAUUUUACGUGGGCGCUAGCAUGAACGCCAGAGGAAAGUUGGAACCCUAGCGGCGGAGCCAGGGGGAGACACGAGAAUUCCUAGGGUCCACCCAACGCGUGCACUAAUAGAGCAUGCUCACGCGGGCACUCUCGGUGGCCCGGUCCAUAAGCGGGAAGAGUUUUUCUUUCAAUUUUUCUUAAUUUCUUUUUCUUCUUUUUAUUUUCUGCUUCUUUUUUCUUCUUUUUUAAAUUUUGGUUUCCCUUUUUCUCGUUUCUGUUGCUUUUUUAUUUUUCAAUGUUUGCAUUUUUUCAAUUUUGUUUUUUUAUUUGAAAUUUUUUUAAUUUGAACUUUUCCAAUGAGGGACGUUUUUUAAUAUGAACAAAUUUAAACAUUUCUCAAAUUUGAACAACUUUCCAAUUGGAACAAAUUUUAAGUUUUAACAAAUUUCAAAUUUGAACAUUUUCUAUUUUUAAACUUUUUCAAAUUUGAACUUUUUUAGAUCUCGUAUUUUCUUAAUAAUUUAUUAAUUACCAAAACAAUAAAACAAAAAAUAAAAUGACUGGAAAAAGAAAUUAAAUUUAUAACUUUUUAUUUGGCCGCGUUCGAGGCGGCCCAUCAGGAGGCUCUGCGUUCGUGGUGGUUUAGGCCAUGUUUGAGCAGCACAUAUGGUUUGCCCCACUGAUCACGAGCGACGAGGAGCCAGCCAGCGACCAGGUCAGAUCUGAUUCUUAAAUAAGAUUGUUUCUAAAUUACAAAUAAAUUUGAUAAUCUGAACGCUUUUCAAAUUCGAAACAUUUUGAAAAAUCCGAAUACUAUUUUUCCUUUUCUUUUUUCCAGUGUUUUCAAAAUCAGAACGGUUUUAAAAUUUGAAUGAUUUAAAAUUGAACAAGUUUAAAAUUUGAACAAAUUUCUAUAUUCAUAUUGUUAAUAAUCUGAAAAUUUACGAAAUCUGGAUAAUUUGAGCAACUCUAAAAUUGAACGAUUUUUAAAUUUGAACCAUUUUCAAAUUUGAACGAUUUUCAUAUUUGAACAAUUUUCAUAAUUUGAAACAUUUUCAUAAUCUGAACGUUUUCAACAAUCUGAACAUUUUUAAAAUUCGAACGUCUUUAGAAUCUAAACAGAAAAAGCAGGAAAAAAGGAAAAAUAAAAGAAACAUAGCGAAAACCAAUCGAAUAACCGCAGCAAAAAAGUGAAAGAACCGUGCAAAGAAACCUGAAAAAACCAGCCCCGGAUUUUCUGUUGAUUUACCUAUAUGGGUUGGCCAACUAGCGCAAGGUUGCAUGUCGCAGCUAUAUAUCACAACGAGCGAUGUAUAAGGAUCUCCGAUACUACCGUAGCGAAUCGAGCAUAUCAUCACCAUCGAGACGUUGACGCUCCAAAAAAUACAUUUUAUUUCCAUCAUUGCCUUUUAAUGUUGUUUCUACGUAGUACAGAAGAUAUCUUUUUUUAUAGACAAUACCAUGAUAUAUUAUAGUAGGAAAUAGUAUAUGGUACAGAUACAUAAGCUGUCUCCAGCGAUUAUAAAAUAAGAAAGCUCACAUCAACAAACAAGAUAACUCUUUUAUACGUGAUAAGCAACCUCAAACCAAUAAACACUACAUCUAUUUCAUUCAGUACAACGGCAUAAGAUUUUUUAUUCUUAACAGGUUUUACGAAUUUAGUGCUCAUAUGCAGGAGUAAUUAUUCCUGGGAGCCAAAACACAAUGUCAUGCAACCUCCACAAUGCAUGAAAUUUCUAUCUUCUUGUCGUGACGUAAUUUACUCCACCCAAGAUUCUUCUUAACAAUCGAUACCACAUAUAUUUAAAAUAGUUCAUGGUCACUACAGGAAACGGGCGAUAGGCCGACGGCCCGACACUGUUGGCAUAGGCCAAAUAACCCUCGGCACAGGCUAUAGCCGAGGGCGGCCCUGGGCGUAUCGCCCUCGGGUAUCUGCGUACAGGUAUUUGUCGUCGGCGUAGAGGAUUCCCUCGAUGUAGACUUGGCGGGCCCAUCGCUAACAGAUGAUGGCCGUUAGACGUCGAACAGGCUACACCGACGGCUUUGCCCUCGGGCUAGAUAAUCGAUUUUGUUUCCAACCUUUUUUCCAAAAAAAAUCCAAUUUUUUUCACACUUGUUAAUUUCACAACAGACAUUUUUAACUCUCAGCACAUUUAAUGUAAAAUCAAAUUGCACUUGUGGUCAAACUUCCCGCUCGACCACCCAUCCUCACACUACUCCAACCCCAGCAUGCUUAACUUCUCCGUUCCUUCCGGAUGAGCUAUCAAGAAAGAAAUCAUAUCUUAGUGAUAAUAGUACCAUAUCAAUCAUAUUAACUCUUGGACUAUGGUGUCACACCUUUUUAUUUUUGAAUUCCAUACAAAUACUUAAAUACACAACAAUUAAUAAGUAAUAAUAAUAAUAAUUUUCAAUUCAAAUAAAUAUUUUUUCUUUUUUCUAUUUAAUAUGGAAUAUUUAAUAUCUUUAAAUCCUUAAAUCUGAAUUUGACAAACAAUAUGUCUAAACCUAUCAAAAAAUGAGGAGAAUCCAAAUAUAACAUCCAUAUCGUCUUGUGAACCUAAAAAAAUGAUAUUUCCAAAAAAAAUCAUGAGCAUUAGAUCAUGUAUGUGUAGUUCAAAUUGACCAUAGUUCAGAUCGAGCAAUAGGUACAUGUAUUUUUUUAAAAAUAUAUGUACACCAUGUAUAUCGACUUGAAUCGUUAGUAUGUGACAUAAGAAGAUUAUGUGGGCAGGUUUUUCAUAUUUUUCAUAUUUUUUGAAUUUUUUAUGCUCAUUUCAAAAAAAUUUGAAAUGUGUAAUAUUUAAGUGUAUAUAGAGAGAUCUUAUUCUUCUGCAAAUUUGAUAUAUUAUUUGUAUUUAUCUGAAUUAUAAUGAUUCAGUUAUGAUUUUUCUAAAAUUAAUAUGAUAAAAUGGAAAAUAGCUAUGCCGACGGCGUAGCUUCAGAACCUAUGCCGAGGGCUUUGCCCUCGACGUAGACCCUCCGUCGUGACGCGGUCGUAACACUGUUAGCCUGGGCUGGCCUACACCGAGGCUGGCAUAUACCCCGAGGGCAGCUGUUGGCCCAGACAUGGGUUCACCGAGGGCCGAUCCUACGCUAAGGGCCGGGCGGGCAGGCGGGCUAGAUUGCCAGCCCUCUACACCGACGGCCCCGAUGUUUUGCCGUCGGUGUAGAGGCUGGCCGUCGGCUCCAGACAUCAGUCCUGUGGUGGGUGAAGAUACACAAGUUGUUUUCAGCGAUUAUAAAAUAAAGUACAUAUAAGAAAAUGAGCAAAUCUCCAAGGUCUUUAAACUCUUAUUUUCCAUCACAGGCAGCCAAAUUGUCACGACAUAAAUGCCAAACUAUAGGCUCGUAAAUACCGACGAUGGUUCUCCCGUAUUUUUAAAUCUGAGCCGCAAUGCCAAGGCUACGUGCAUGCGCGCAACCGUUAAACUAAUCACCCGACAUCAGCGAGAGCAACAACACCAGUAUUCCAGGGAAAAAGAUACCGAACAGCCUGGUCGACAUCGCUAGAGAUCCGAAAGUACGAAUCACCUUUGUCGAUGGUGUAGCAUCCGGGAUAAAUAUUACGAGGACUAGUUGAAUGCCUGUUCGUUGCAACGGCCUCUAAAAUAUUUUAUUUCUGCACAUGUAAGCAUAAUACAUCUUAAUAUUUUGUCGCAUAUAGAAAGGUAGAGAAAUAUAGUAUUCAAGAAACUAUAGAAUUAUACAUUUUGAUGUGAUUGGACAAAAAGUUAUAGUUUGAUUUCUAUGCAUAGUAAUAGAAAACCCAUCUACUCAUCUUAUUCUUAGUUAGGUGUGUUAAACUGUAUAGUUAUCAGAUACGGUUAGUAUCUAGGAUUGUAGGUAUCUUAUAUAACAACCUGUACUUAUCCUCCUGUAAACCCUAGCGGCAGCCCUAGAGGCGCCCUAUAUAAUGAUCCAAUCUCUUCUCUCUUUGUUUCACAUGGUAUCAGGCCAUCGCAUAACUGCUCGAUGGGUUCUCCUUCCUCCGGCGGCAUGACUUCCUCGACCCUGGCUUCUCUGCCCAUGCCCUCUGGGCUCUCAGCGCCGACAUCUUCCGCUGUUCCCCAACCCUCUGCUAGCCUCAUUACCGCCAAGCUUACCUCCUCCAACUUCCUCCUCUGGAAAGCACAGAUCCUUCCUCCCCUUCGAAUCAUCGGUGUCACUUGGCUAUGUCGAUGGCACCACCCCUACUCCUCCUCGUAUCCUCCCAACUGAUGACAAGGGGGGCGCGCUCCUAACCCGGAGUAUGCUGCCUGGUCCCGUCAGGAUCAGAUCAUCCUGAGCUAUCUUCGUGCUCGCUCACCGAUGAUGUGCUUCAGUAGGUCCAUCUCUUCGACACCGCCCAUGUGCCAGGAGGACAUCAUCACCGCCUUCAUCACCGGGCUCGACAGCGAGUACGGGCCCCUCAUCACUGCCAUCUCCUUCGAACGCCGCCGCGACAACAAAUGCAACACCAACAACCAUGGCAAGGGAAACUACCGCGACAAGGGUCGCGGCAACUCUGGUGACCGUGGUGACUACAACAACAACAACAACAACCGCGACGGGUUCCGUGGUGACUGUGGUGGUGGUGGCAAUCGUCAGAACGGUAACCGUGGUGGUGACCGCGGUGACCAUGGCGGUGGCGGGGAUGCACGUCUGCAUUGCCAGCUCUGUCGGGGCCCUGGGCACUAUGCCUGGGAGUGCGCUUAGUGCUAGAACCACGCCUUCCAACCUCAACAGUCCAAGAUGGCGGGUCUCGCUGCCGCUUCACCACCAUCCAUCCUCGGUGACCCUAACUGGUCCACUGACACGAGGGCUACCGAUCAUAUCAUGUCGGAUCUGGACCGUCUCACCGUGAGGGAAAAGUACCCUGGACAGGACCACAUCCACACUGCCGAUGGAUCAGGUUUGCACAUAGCUCAUCAUGGUCAUGCCGUUCUUCCUACACCCUAUGUCAAUCUUAAACUUCACAACAUAUUACAUGUUCCCAAUGCCGACAAGAACCUUCUUUCUGUUAGUCGUCUUGCCGUUGACAAUCAUGCUUAUCUAAAAUAUUAUCCUACUCAUUUUCUUAUGAAGGAUUUGACAACCAAGAAGGUUCUUCUUCGCGGCAGAUGUGCAAAUGGGCUCUAUCCCAUUCGGCCUUCACGUUCUCAUGUCUUGUCUUCAGUUAGGCUCUCUGCUGAAGAUUGACAUGCUAGACUCGGCCACCCGUCCACACAAGUUGUUCAGCAUGUUUUGGUGUGCAAUAAAUUAGCAUCAUCGAGUCGGGCUUUGGCCCAUGUGUGUAAUGCUUGUCAACAUGGCAAAGUACAUCAGCUACCUUUUCCUAGAUCUUUGAAUGUUUCCUCGUUUUCGUUGGAACUUAUUUUCUCAGAUGUGUGGGGACCUGCCGAAACCUCCUCUCGUGGGUUCCAGUACUAUGUUUCAUUUAUUGAUGAUUAUAGUAAAUUUGUGUGGAUUUAUCUUCUCAAACAAAAGUGUGAUGUGUUUGAUGUCUUUCGUGAUUUUCUUGCCCAUGUUGAGCGCCUCCUAUCUCAUAAAAUCCUGUGUGUUCAAUCAGACUGGGGUGGGGAAUACGAAAAACUUAGCAACACAUUUUUUCGGCAACUUGGCAUUGCUCACCACGUCUCUUGUCCACACACACACCAACAUAAUGGCUCGGCCGAAAGGAAGCACCGUCACAUUGUUGACAUGGGCCUCUCCUUAUUAUCGCAUGCGUCUAUGCCCCUCCAUUUUUGGGACGAGGCGUACUUGUCCGCAUGCUACCUUAUCAACCGACUACCUAGCCGCGUCAUUGGCAAUAUGAGUCCCAUGGAAAAACUGUUUUCACCAAGCCUGACUACGUAUCUCUUCGCACGUUCGGGAGUGCAUGUUGGCCUAACUUGCGCCCGUAUUGUUGGGGAACGUUGCAGAAAAUUACAAUUUUUCCUACGGUUUCACCAAGAUCCAUCUAUGAGUUCAUCUAGAAACGAGUCAUGGGAGAGUGAUUGCAUCUACAUACCACUUGUAGAUCGCGUGCGGAAGCGUUCAAGUGAACAGGGUUGAUGGAGUCGUACUCGUCAUGAUUCAAAUCACCGAUGACCUAGUGCUGAACGGACAGCACCUCCGCAUUCAACACACGUACGGAGUGGAUGACGUCUCCUCCUUCUUGAUCCAGCAAGGGGGAAGGAGAGGUUGAUGAUGAUCCAGCAGCACGACGGCGUGGUGGUGGAUGCAGCAGAACUCCGGUAGGGCUUCGCUAAGCGACUACGGGAGGAGGAGGAGGUGUAGCAGGAAGGGGAGGCGCCAAGGGCUUCAGGGUGCGGCCACCCCUCCCUCCCCUCCCUUUAUAUAGGUGCAAGAGAGGGGGGAGGGCGCAGCCUUGCCCCUUCCUCCAAGGAAGGGGUGCGGCCAAGAGGGGGGGAGGAGUCCAUCCUCCCCAAGGCACCUCUGAGGUGCCUUCCCCUCUUAGGACUCUCCCCUCCCCAAGUCUCCUUGGCGCAUGGGCCUCUUGGGGCUGGUGCCCUUGGCCCAUAUAGGCCAAGGCGCACCCCCACAGCCCAUGUGGCCCCCCCGGGGCAGGUGGACCCCCCCCCCCGGUGGACCCCCGGACCCCUUUCGGCACUCCCGGUACAAUACCGAUAAAGUGCGAAACUUCUCCGGCGACCAAAAUAAGACUUCCUAUAUAUAAAUCUUUACCUUAGGACCAUUUCGGAACUCCUCGUGACAUCCGGGAUCUCAUCCGGGACUCCGAACAACAUUCGGUUUGCUGCAUACUCAUAUUCAUACAACCCUAGUGUCACCGAACCUUAAGUGUGUAGACCCUACGGGUUCGGGAGGCAUGCAGACAUGACCGAGACGUUCUCCGGUCAAUAACCAACAGCGGGAUCUGGAUACCCAUGUUGGCUCCCACAUGUUCCACGAUGAUCUCACCGGAUGAACCACGAUGUCAAGGACUCAAUCAAUCCCGUGUACAAUUCCCUUUGUCUAACGGUAUUGUACUUGCCCGAGAUUCGAUCGUCGGUAUACCGAUACCUUGUUCAAUCUCGUUACCGGCAAGUCUCUUUACUCGUUCCAUAACACAUCAUCCCGUGAUCAACCCCUUGGUCACAUUGUGCACAUUAUGAUGAUGUCCUACCGAGUGGGCCCAGAGAUACUUCUCCGUUUACACGGAGUGACAAAUCCCAGUCUCGCUUCGUGCCAACCCAACAGACACUUUCGGAGAUACCUGUAAUGCACCUUUAUAGCCACCCAGUUACGUUGUGACGUUUGGUACACCCAAAGCAUUCCUACGGUAUCCGGGAGUUGCACAAUCUCGUGGUCUAAGAAAAAGAUACUUGACAUUAGAAAAGCUUUAGCAUACGAACUACGAUCUUUGUGCUAGGCUUAGGAUUGGGUCUUGUCCAUCACAUCAUUCUGCUAAUGAUGUGAUCCCGUUAUCAACGACAUCCAAUGUCCAUGGUUAGGAAACCGUAACCAUCUAUUGAUCAACGAGCUAGUCAACAGAGGCUUACUAGGGACAUGGUGUUGUCUAUAUAUCCACACAUGUAUCUGAGUUUCCUAUCAAUACAAUUAUAGCAUGGAUAAUAAACGAUUAUCAUGAACAAGGAAAUAUAAUAAUAACAACCAAUUUAUUAUUGCCUCUAGGGCAUAUUUCCAACAUGUAUAACACUUAGAAACUUGCGUUUAGAUCACAAUAGUGUGUGUUUGUCGGGUACAUCAUUCGUCACAAAGGAUAUAAAUGUCUUCACGUACCUACCGCUCGUGUAUAUAUAUAUCACGAGAUCUAAUCUUUGAUGAACAAUUUUUUCCUUUUACCAAUGGCCAACCCUCUCCAAUACCACCUCACGUUGCUGAACAUGCAAUCCUUUUAUUUCCACAUGACCACAUGAACUAUGGCGCAUCUAUUUCUCGAACUAAUCUGGAUGCAGGUACCGAUUCAGUGCAGAAAAUCCCAUCUCCGGACUCCCUGACAGAUCCUGUGUCCCAAUCCGCCGCCGCAUUAGCCUAGUAUCACGCGCCGCCUGGAGACAACGACGUGGAGGCAGCUGACCACGUGACGAUAGGUGACAGCGUGCAAGGUGACCGCGCUGGGCCCGGGUCUCCGCCACCCACCAAUCCCGUAUCCCCUGAGGGCGAGCGGACCGGGGCGUCUCUCGCGUCGGCUCCUGCAUGUGCGCGUCCGACCCACAUUGUGGCGGGGCCCACCCCUGCGCGGGCCGCUGUGUCUCCCGAUUUGCCCCAGGCCAUUGUCCACCUGGCGCCCGCGGAGCGGGCCGUUGCUGCUGGCGGCGCAGGAUCCCAGAUGGAUCUGGCGGCCGCGCCGUCUUCCUCGCCCGACACGGGAUCCCACGGGGAUUCGCCGGCGCGCUUGUCUGCAUGCGUCCCGCCCGGAUCCUCUAUGGCCACCGGAUCUUCUGCUCUGCCUGUGCAUACAAUGACAACGCGCACACGUGAUCACACUCACAAACCGCUGUAGCGCACUGAUGGUACUGUCACGUACGAUCCGUCCUGUCGUGCAUUCUUGGCACUGCGGGAAUCGUGAAGCGGUCUCAUCUCCAGAGUGGCGUCUGGCAAUGCAACUUGAGCUCGAUGCUCUCCGACAGAAUGGUACCUGGACUUUGGUACCUCGUCCUCCUUGUGUCAACGUCAUUGAUUGCAAAUCAGUGUUCAAGAUCAAACACAAACCGAAUGGAACUGUUGAUCGUUACAAGGCACGUCUGGUCGCAAAGGGGUUCAAAUAACACUAUGGCUUGGACUAUGACGAUAUGUUCAGUCCGGUCGUUAAACCUGUCACUGUGCGACUGGUUCUCUCCAUUACAGUUUCUCGUGGAUGGUGUUUGCGACAGUUGGAUGUUCAAAAUGCUUUCCUUCAUGGCAUUCUCCAAGAAGAAGUAUACAUGCGCCAACCUCCUGGUUUUGUGAACCCCUCGGUGCCUCAUCAUUUGUGCAAACUUCGCAAGGCUCUCUAUGGGCUCAAAUAGGCUCCUCGAGUGUGGUAUUAUCGGCUGAGUUCUAGGCUCCAACAACUUGGUUUUAUAGCAUCCAAAGCUGACAGGCCCCUCUUUGUCUACAACCGGUGCGGUGUUACUAUUUUCAUGCUUGUGUAUGUAGACGACAUUAUUGUCUCCAGCUCCUCUCCUGCUACUACUACCAAGUUACAUGAGUCUGAAUAUAAGGCACUUGCGAAUGGAUUAGCUGAGGUCAUAUGGAUACAGUCGGUCCUUGGUGAACUUGGGGUCUUCCUCUCUCGACCUCCUGUUUUGUAGUGUGACAAUCUAGGAGCCACUUAUUUAUCUGCGAAUCCGGUAUUCCAUGCCAGAACCAAGCACAUAGAAGUGGACUUCCACUUUGUUCGUGAACGAGUUGCAGCCAAGGCACUUGAUGUUUGAUUCAUAUCUUCCAAGGAGCAAGUUGCAGAUAUAUUCACAAAGCCUCUAGCUGAGGUGCCGUUUGUUUUAAAUAGGCACAAUAUGAAUCUUUGUGUAGGAAGUUCAGAUUGAGGGGGAAUGUUAAACUGUAUAGUUAUCAGAUAUGGUUAGUAUCUAGGAUUGUAGUUAUCAUUGUAUAACAACCUGUACUUAUCCUCCUGUAAACCCUAGCGGCAUCCCUAGAGGCGCCCUAUAUAAUGAUCCUGAGACCACCGCAUUAGGUGUGUCGAUCCAAUCUCUUCUCUCUUUGUUUCACAAGGUGUCCGUGGGUUGUAUGAAAUAAAACCAUAAAUUUACACACUGUUGUAUCGAUUGAGAACUCAAGAGCAAAGCCCGUUUCCAACCUCGUCUCGGCAAACGUGGUUUCUUCCUCAUCAUGCUUCUCUCACCAACGACCACCAUGAAGCCAUUGCUUUUCUCUCUCCAUGAUCUUUGGUCCUUCUCCACCAGCAAUGUGAAAAAAGGCAAUAUGCCAGCUUCAUACUCCAUGGUCUUUCUUUUGAGCUUCAAGGUAGUAUGAUAGUAUAAUCAGUGUACAGUACUGUCCAAGACCAAACCAAACUGGUUCAUAUAGCUGUAAAAAUCUCUUGUGAUCAACAACAAAACUAAUGCUAAUAUUCAGGAUUUCAAACUUGAAGCAUUUGGAGAUCAACCAACAAAAAGAAAAACUGAGCGGCGGUGUCAAAAGUAAUUGUUGACCUUUGUCAAAUUGACUGCAUGCUUUUAAAUCAAGAUCAUGCAACUAAGACUUGCAUCUCAAUAAAACCAUAUCAGUUGCACAUGCAGAUGAGAGAAAUGGGAAAUACUCUAUUCCAUUCAAGGGUUGUAUGUCAAUUAUUAAAACGCAAGCACAUUAUAAGUCACAAACCUCCAACGCGCAGAUAAUUUUGGAAAUGCCUAAACCUCAGAUAAUUUGGGAAAGGAGGGUGGCUACAGUCCCCUUGGCUGAUAUACAUAGGUCUAGCUGUAACAUCUUUGGGCAAAGCAUCAUUUGCAACUGGUAACCACAGAAUAUGUAUUUAGCGCUCCUACAGAAGAAAAGAAAAGAAAAGGAUUAAAAAGGGAAUGCCGCCUUCAUAGGUCACAAACCUCGGAUUGUCAAUAUCUUCUUGUGAAUGUACACAUAUUUGAAAUACUUGAAGCGGCUAGGAUAAUGUUCUUAAAAAUGGGUUGCUUCAAAGAUAAGAAACUAAUACUGCAGUCAGACCAAAAGGAAAUUCAAGGGCACAAAAUACUUCCAGCAGGCCUUUGCAAAUUGGCAAUUAAUUAAGAAAAGGUGAUGUAUUGACUCAAGAGCCUGGACUCCACACAUGACGCAGAAGUUUAAUUCAAGGACGGGGAAGUAAGAAUAAGACCACGUACGUACUAACAAAAGAGGGGAUCAAGGAGGAGCUGUAAAAUCCAAAUGAAAAUAUCAAUACAUAAUGAACAGCACCAUUCCGUUGAAAUACCACAAGUCGCUGCUAGUAAGAUUACAUAUGCCGGCUCUCUUGGACAACAAAACCUAAGUCACGAUUCGACUACGCACGAUUAAUUUGUUGUGUUUGACGUUCCUCUUCCUCUUUUUUUUUAUAAAGAAUCACAGAGUGUUUUAUUCCAGGAUGAUAGAGUUACAAUCUUCAGCGACUAAUUUGCUAAUGCAUGGGGUGGAUGGCCCAGCCAACCUGCUGUGCUAUCACCGACACUAUGAAAUCAAUCUUCCAAACUGCAGAAUUGUAAAGUACAGCUCAGACCUACAGGGCAGGACCGGCUAGCUAAACGGCCACGCUGGAUGAUAUGUUAUCACGUUCCCCGCGGCCGCGCCAUGAACUCCAAAUCUGGCGAAACCACCUACCGUCGCACAAGGCGCCGUCGGUCGUGGAACACGCGGUCUGCAGGUCACAUCGGUCCAGGCCUUGUUGGGUUCACGCGGUCCAGAUGACAUGCACGCCCGCCAAGCAAUUGAGAAAGAGAGAGCCAUGCACGCACGCGAAGCACGCUGCCCUGUGACAACGAGGAUGAUCAUGCAUGCAUGUCAGAGAGCAGAGAGCAGAGACGUCUGUCACUUGUGUAGAUGAUAGGUUCUGCUGGUUGGCGGUCACGCUAUGCAGACCGCGUGUUCCACGACCGGGCCAAAUUUCGUGUUCGGACCCUUUUUCGAUACAAACUCAAGAUCUGACCCCGGUUACGAAAAUUUUCGAGAUCUGACCAUUCCGCUAUCGUCAUGGGCUCUGACAGUAUGGUUAGACAUACUACCGCCAGGGUCCAUGGCGGUAGGGUGCGACGGAGGGCGACGGAGGGCAACGGCCGCCGUUUGCUCGAGCUGACUUGGACAAGUAGCCUACCGCCAGGGACCAUGGCGGUAGCAUGUUAGACCUUACCGCCUGACCCCUUGGCCGUAAGGUGUGGCUGGGGUUUUGCCUCCCAAGUUUCUGUAACGAAAUAUCGAGGUGCCCUGGCGGUAGGUACGUUCGUCCUACCGUCAGGGUCCUUGGCGGUAGGGUCCUGUGUUCUAUGGUUUAUAAGUUUAUUUUUUGUUUUUUUUCAGAAACAAUAUAGGCCCUAAAAUAUGAGCUCGCAUUUUUUUAGUGAUUGUUUAUUUUGUAAAAUAUGAGCUCACAAAGAAAGCCAACAAACGGUUUCACAUAGUUUGUUUUGUUACAAGUUUCACAUCACAAAUAGCAAAAUAUGAGCUCACAUAAUGAUGAUGGUUUCACAUAGCAAUUAUCAAACAGUUUACAGAUAAUAGAUUCAUAAGUAGGGAAUAACAAAUAGCAAACUUGUCCACAUAGUUUGACAAACCCUACAAAAACAGAGAUAUAUAUUCAAUCGACANNNNNNNNNNNNNNNNNNNNNNNNNNNNNNNNNNNNNNNNNNNNNNNNNNNNNNNNNNNNNNNNNNNNNNNNNNNNNNNNNNNNNNNNNNNNNNNNNNNNNNNNNNNNNNNNNNNNNNNNNNNNNNNNNNNNNNNNNNNNNNNNNNNNNNNNNNNNNNNNNNNNNNNNNNNNNNNNNNNNNNNNNNNNNNNNNNNNNNNNNNNNNNNNNNNNNNNNNNNNNNNNNNNNNNNNNNNNNNNNNNNNNNAGGCGGAGGGGAAACGCUGGUCGGCAUCCGACCGUUCAAGCAGUCCCACCUUGGCUUGCCCGCUAGAGUUUUCGCCUCAGCCCUUGGCCAGUUGAUGAUAUCGAAGCCGAUGCACUUGGGGGCGGCAUCCUGGCUCUCUCCUCCUCAUUGCUCUCGAAAUAGAUCCUCCGGCCCAAAUUGCGCAGCUCGACACUACUAGAAAAAGGCAUGCUAGUGAUGCACCAGUUUUGCCUACUAAUGGCGCACUACUGGUGCGCCACUAGCAUCACGCCAUUAGAAUUAAAUUCUAAUGGCACACCACUGGUGUGCCAUUAGUAUCUGGUGUUCUAAUGGCGCACCAAUCAGUGCGCCAUUAGUAUAGCCCACAGUGCGCCAUUAGAAUGCCUCCCAGGGGGUCGUAUGUACCCAUGUGCUUUGGCUUACUAAUGGCGCACCAGUGGGUGAUGCGUCAUUAGUGUGAUUAUCACAGUGCGCCAUUAGUGUCUUGUGUGGUGCGCCAUUAGUAUGAAUAUUAGAUUUUUUUUGUUUUUUUUCUGAUUUUUUCACAGGUUACAAAAUAUAUUAUUUGACAGAAUAUAGACAACACCACACAGCAACAGCAGAUUCAUCGAAUACAAUAGAAGGUAAGUCUUCGAAUACAAUUCAUCAUAUUAGUCUCCAAAUACAAAAGACCAAAUGAAGAUAGAACAUUACAAGUCUCGUAGACCGCGAGUAGCGAGUUUGUCUUCACAUUACAAGUCGAUAUCGAUCAUCUAAACUACCAUCACAUAGAAGAGAGCUGCGGUCAUCACGAUGAGCAUCAUCGCGAUGAAACUGGUCUUCACCCGGUUCCUCCAACGCUCCCUCCUCUCUCCCACUAGAUAGCGGGCGUAUCUAGAUUCCGCCUCCGCCCUAGUGGUGUACCCUUUGUAACUGUUACCGCUGAAACGGCGAACCUGUCUCCGACACUCCUCCCAGUCGUCGUAGACUCCGGGAACCUUACCCUUGUACACAACAUACGAAGGCAUCUCUACGCACAAGCCAAACAACAGACAAUACAUAAGCAAUAUAUAAGUAUGCAACAAAAGGAUCGGAAGAGAAAAGCAAGACACUAAUAACACGAUUCAUGGUCCUACUAAUAAAUAGCAUCGAUUACAUCUAAGUUGAACGACUGUCCAAACCGAAGAGACAUACAAGUUCAUUAAAGUUUAAUUACAACAUGAGCUAAUCGAUGUUUCAGAACUACAAAUAGCAUCACUACUUUCGACUCGACUCAUGGGACCGGAGCGUGGAUGAAGCCGCCGUCUUUCGUGAUGGUCAUGAAGUCGCGGGCGUUGUCAGCCUGCAUUUGAAGUGUUCUGUCUAUCUCACUGUUAGGCGGUUGCUCUCUGAGGUAGAACUGUCCCGAGGUACGAAGGACAUCUUGAUGGAUGAUUUCUGCAAACUCCGACUGGAUGCGAAAGAAUUCUUGUUGGAGGUCCGCGUCCUGGAUUGCCGCCAAGCUUGCGGCCCAAUCUUUGACAUUAUUUGGUAACAGAAGGUGAUUACGGUCCCGUACGAUCGCCCUCAUGUGAUGGAGGGCAUAGUAGGCAUCCUUCUGACCGCCAGGCGGCUGCUUGACGCAGGGGAACGUCGUAUGGUGGGUGAACACGUGUUUACCGUACCUACGAACUGGCCUCUUAAAGGUGCCUCCAGAUGUGGCAUAGCCGGGGAGAGCAUCAUCAAGAACUUUCUUGAUAUUUGUAUAGUCUAUAUUGGAGUCACGGUCCGGGUCGAAAUACGUGGUCGUGGAAUAUUUCGGGCUUAAGAGGAUGAGUGUGCAAUGUGUGUCACUGCACAAAACACGGAAUGUUAGAAAAAAAAGAACGAUCGAAAGCUAAGAAAUAAUAUUUUACGGGGCGGUGAGGGGAUGACUUACUCGGGAAAGUAAGGGACGAGGAAGUUAUCCUUAUCUGGGUUUGCCAGAAUGACGCCUUCGAGGUGUGAACUCGCGACUUGCCGGUCCCCAGCGCUGCCCAAGAUCUUGGCACGCAUGUAGAAGGGGUCGACUAUCACGAUGUCCGGGGUCUUGUCUCGAAUGAUCCGCAUCUCCAUACUCAGCGAAAACAGCCGAACGAAGGUGUAGUGCAGCGGAUGAAGAUUAAACAUAGCAAAGAUGCCAUCAAACCGCAGGACGAUCGUACCCCCAAUGGCCAUCCACAAAGCCCUUGCCCUCUGGCACCUUGGCCAUGAAAACCGGGUAUGCCACAUCAUUCUGGGAGAGACGCAUCUUCUCCAAAGAAAGAACACUGUCAUGCGGACUCCGCAUAGCACCGGUUGCAGCAUUGAGCAUAUUUGUCGGUAGCAUCGCCCUACCCGCCACAUGCACCCUCCUCGAGAUAUCCUGAGGUGAAGGUGGCCCGUCCUGAGCACGGAUCGUACUCGGUGCCGGCUGGCUCGCACCGGCGCCCUUGGCAGUCUUUCGUUUCUGUCCCUUCUUCUUGAUCUGCUGUAAUGGGACCGAUUUCUGCUCACAGACCGCCUUCUUGAGCGUGUUGGGGCUGAUAAUAUUUCGCACCUCAGCUCUCUGAGGCUCAGUGAAGGCAGGAGCUGGAGGCGUCUCCUGAGAACUGAACGCCAGACGACGCCUGUUGCAAUUGGAUUUCUCUGCCGUACCAGCUAGAUCGCGGUCAUCUUGGUUGGGUUCUUGAGAAGGAGGCCCACCGAACUCGUCACCGUACCCAUAUUCGGCAAAGUACUUAUCAUCGUUGGUAAAUGUACCGUCGUCGUUGUCAUCGUCGUCCGGAUCCUGUGCCAUAUGCAUGUCCAGAUCCUGUGCCAUAGGGAUGUCUGGCAUGUCCGGUAGCAUUGCGGCGUUCUUGCCAUGGCGCGGCGCUAGCACGACUGGCGGUCUUGUCUGUGGGGUGGUGUCCCCCGCCCCCAAACGAAUCUGGCUCUUCGGCCAAAGCAAGGGCCAGCUUAGGCAGGCGCUGAUGGUCAUCAGAUCUUCUUCGUCGGCCCCGGCGGGUUGAAUCGGAGGUAACAACUCGUCGCAGCCUGGCAGCACCCGAACCAGUUGAACCCUAUACACGGUGGGUGGCAUCGGUUUACCGUGGAACACGGGGUUGCCCGGUUGAACGAUUUUGCCCUUGGCGACAUCGACCAACUCGUCAUUCACGAAGUGCAGGAGAGUGCACGGAACGUCGGCGGCGCCCUGCGAAAACAUGUAGGGCGUCAGGGAUGCCCAGUCAAAGGCAAAAGGAGAUGAAGUCCUCGACCGAGAGGCUUAAUUAGUUACCGUGAUGAUGGCGUCGAGCUCGGCUAAUGUCGAGGCACCGCCAACGGCGGGCGUGCAAAUGACGGAGGGGCCACUUGCUGGCAAGGUGCCGGCCGGCGUAAACCCCGGUGUAUUAAGCUCCAAUGCCCGUGCCGGCGCCAGAGACACCAAUACCGCCGCCGUCGAUGACACCAAUGGCGCCGCCGGAGACACUAAUGGCGCCGCUUGCGUGUUGUGCGAGUUGCUGGCUGUGAAGCUGGGAAUCGGGGGCGGCCCCUGUUGGCCACACGCAAUCCACGUUGUCAGCCCAUGAAUCAAGGUAGGCAUAAUGCCGGUGAGCGUCGUUCUCAGUUGUUGUUGCACUUGCUCUUGGAUAAUCUCCAGAAUCCGCACCACUUGUGCCUUGAGUUCUUCAACCUCGCGCGACUGGCUUUCGGAGCUGGUCUUUUUCUCCUUUCGCCCACCAGCGGUAUAGUAUGAGGACCAUUUUGUGAACAAGCCUUUGCCGGCCACACGACCAGCUGACGACGGCUUACUGAGCUUAUCCUUGUUUUUCAUUACGUUCAACGCCCUAUUUAGAGUGAUGUCCCAAGCAGGGGUGCUCUGAGACGACCCCGCGCUGCUGCUUUUAGUCUCCUUCGCCAGAACAAGCUCAAGCGCCCUGGUCUUCGGAUCCGUGGUAAGCUCCUUUGUUAUCGGGUCCUCCUUGUACCGGGCCGUGACAAAGUUCCUGGUCUGCAUGUCACUGCUGUAUUUCUCGAAGCGGGGCGGUAGGCCUUGCUCGGCACGCUCCGCAUCCUCCUUGUCCCAUAUAGGCUCCACCACUCUAUAACCGCCGGGACCAAGUUUGUGUUCCCCUAAGUUCAACUCCCGCAUUUCUUUCCCCCACUGACUUGAUUCGGAGGUUUCACUACUCUCGCACUUGAUCUUGAACUCCUUGUAGUCAUCUUCGCUGAUCGAAGGAUUUUCCGCCUUGAUCUUCUCAUAACUAUCACCUUUCUCAAUCAUUCUCUUCACUGUGUUUCUCCAAGUAGACAGGGUCGUGCUCAUGCUCGUGAGGGCGGCACUGUUCACUUUAUUCCAUGAGAGGCGUGUGUUUUCAAAUUCAGCGGGAAACUUGUAUCGUUCGUGCAGCUUCGUGAAGUGGAGGUUGCGCAAAUUCCCUCGGUCCUUAUGCCUAAGUUUCUCGGUGUUGAUCGAGACGGUGCUCCAGAGAAUGCACCCGAGAUGAACCGAGUACCCCUUGACUAUAUGUUUGGGCUCUGUUGAAUUCCCGUCGGAGUCCACUUGAGUAAGUUCCUCCUUGACGGUGCGGAUCUCAUUCGGGCACUGGUCCUUCCGUUGCUUCUUCGGUUGGCUGCCAUCUAUGCGUGCGCCGCCAUCAUCAGUGGUGGCAUCCUCGGCGGCACCAUCAUUGGUGUCAUCCCCGAUGCCACUAGGGGUUGUGUAGUCAGGAUCGGUGUCUUCCGCGGCGUUCUCAUAGCGGUGAUAGGAACAGUGUCAAGAUCCCAUGUUUCGCUCUAAAUAGGAAAAAAGUUUGGUCAAAAAGUUGGUUAUUGUCAAGGAACAAGAUCAUGGUCUCAUCAUUUAGGGUUUGUCGACACUGAGGCAUCCUAAAAGCUAAGCUUUUAUCAUUUAGGUUUUGUCGAUGCCGAGGCACCCUAAAAGCCUAAGCGUACAUCAUUUAGGUUCUCAUCAACACCGAGGCACCCUAUAGAAGCCAAGGUUUCAUCAUUUAGGGUUUGUCGAUGCCGAGUCACCCUAAAUGCUAAGUUAAAUUUUCAUCAUUUAGGGUUUAUCGAUGCCGAGGCACCCUAGGUUGGGCCUAAUCACUUGGCACUAAUCACUUGGCUCUAUUGCCACCUAUGUUGGGUUUAUCAUCUAGGGUUUAUCGAUGCUAAGGAGAAUUCUAAGUUGGGCCUAAUCACUUGGCUCUGUUGCCACCUAUGGUUUAAUGCAGCAAGAAUGGCGGGGCAGUUGAUCCUACUUAACUAAGUACUAAUAUACCCCGGCCCAUGCAUUAGUUGCAAGUACCCCAUAUGUCCUAUUUUUAGCAAAGUCAUGCUAAAAUUCACGGAAAAUUUCAGCAUGACCUUUGCUAAAAAUAGGACAUAUGGAGUACCCGAAUUUGCUGGAACGAAAGUUAAUCGACAUUUCGGAAAACUCAAGGGCCUCUCGGGGUACCUGCAAAUUCAUCACAACACAAUGGUCGGAGAUAAAACCCAGCAACUUUACAAGUCUUUCACAGAUUUGUUUGCAAGUUCUGAUAUGUAAUAAAGAUGAGCCUCAAAGAUGAGCCUCCAAUGCUGAUUUGUUUGCCUGAAGACAAGAUGAACCUCCAAUGCAACAAGUAAUAAAAUGUUCAACAAUGUAUCAAAUUCGGCAACAGUUUAACAUCUACUCCAGUAAUUAUACAACACCAUGACCAACAUUUCUCCUCUACAGAAAUUAGAAACAAAAUAAAGGAACAUUACAUAGUAGCCAUCAAAUUAAAAUAACAUAUACAGUACAUACAGGUAGGUAAUACUAAAGUGUGUUCAUAUUAGCUAGUGACCAUUAUAUUGCUUUAGCUUAGGGCCCUUACAUUAUUCUCUCUCUAUCCCUUUCUUUAGCUGCACUGCAUCACAAGGCAAAUAUGGUUCAAAAUAAAAUACUGUUGAAUAAGCACCUAGCAGAAUUGUAAAAUAAGCUUAAAAAAAGCAUACAACUUGACAUACAAACACAGUCAGUUAUGCAAGUGCUAGAGGUAUGCAUAUAUAUAUAUAUAAAUAUAUAUAUAUAUAUAUAUAUAUAUGUGUGUGUGUGUGUGUGUGUGUGUGUGUGUGUGAACUUGAUCCUGAACUAGAGGUACACAUGUUUGCAUACUCAUCUCUGCAAUUAGUCGUGCUUAUUUGCAUUGUGCUAUAUAUGAAUCCACACCGACUCGAGCCUGAAUCAAUCAAUCAAUGCUGCUCACAAAUACUCCCACACUCCUAUAAUAGUACUAAUAUAAGAGCAUUUAUAUUAUUGGAAUGAAGGGAUAAUUUUUUUUCUUUCAAGAAAACACAAACCCUAACAACACAUUACGAGCACCUUCAAGAGAUUGAACCAACCUAACAUCCACAAACACCUCCUACUCAACACACAGACACAGACCAAGGAAGAAACAUAACCAUUCUUCUUUUUUCUUUCUUUGUUGUUAAUAAUAAAAGAAACUACAAGAGCAAGGAAGGAACAAGUCUUCUUUUGUACUGCCACACAAGAAACCCUCUUUCUUUCUUUCUUCCCUUCUUGUUUAUUUAAUUUUACUGCACCAUCUACUAACCUCCUCCAACUUUACUACCACUACAUCCCUCUCAGCGACAUCUAUGUACUGCAUAUAAAGCAUCACAUGCUGAUGCUAUGUUUCAUUUGUCCCAUCUCCCAUCUCUGCUCUUAUUUUAAGUAAAUGCCCAUAUGCCUUACAUUUAUCUCUGCGGGAGUUUUUCUUUUCUAAUGAUAUCAUCUAUACAUGUUACUUAGUUACUAAACCUAUGUAACUUAGGAUCUAAUUGAUAAAUUGCUAGAAGUAUCUGCAUAUUUUCGUGGAGAUCAUAUGGGGGAGGAUCGGACAGUGUGGCAACAGACAGCAAGGUGUGUUCUUUCAAAGAAUCUUUGCAUCGAGUCAAUGAACAUCAUAUUUGAAGUGCAGUUUAACUUAGUCACUUAAAACUAUCUGAUCCACAACUAACAACCAAAGUCAUGUUCAGUUAUAGUGCUUAAAUAUGAUUUUGGUGUGUGUGAAAACAAUACAGUAUUAUAUUUCUACUGAAUGCAUGAGUAUGAUGUAUCACACAUCUACAUGUGUAGGCUUUUUCAGUUUUUUUCUAGAUGGAAACCAGAAGCAUCACUGUCCUUGACUAGAAUCACCAUGGCCAGAUUAAAGACUGCAAGCUGGCAAGUUCUUCCUUUCAAUUUCUCAAUCUUAGCUAGCGGAGGAGGAAGAGAGGUAGAGGGAGGAGGGUUACCUAGCGGUGGUGGGGCGUUGAAGACCUGGCGGCGAGGUUCGUCCUCUCGGUGGCGGCGGGGCUCCUCCCCUCGGUGGCGGCGGUGGCCUCUUCCCCUCGGUGGCGGCGGGUGUGCUCCUCCUCUCCUUAUGGAGGCGGGGCGUUGAUCUGGNNNNNNNNNNNNNNNNNNNNNNNNNNNNNNNNNNNNNNNNNNNNNNNNNNNNNNNNNNNNNNNNNNNNNNNNNNNNNNNNNNNNNNNNNNNNNNNNNNNNNNNNNNNNNNNNNNNNNNNNNNNNNNNNNNNNNNNNNNNNNNNNNNNNNNNNNNNNNNNNNNNNNNNNNNNNNNNNNNNNNNNNNNNNNNNNNNNNNNNNNNNNNNNNNNNNNNNNNNNNNNNNNNNNNNNNNNNNNNNNNNNNNNNNNNNNNNNNNNNNNNNNNNNNNNNNNNNNNNNNNNNNNNNNNNNNNNNNNNNNNNNNNNNNNNNNNNNNNNNNNNNNNNNNNNNNNNNNNNNNNNNNNNNNNNNNNNNNNNNNNNNNNNNNNNNNNNNNNNNNNNNNNNNNNNNNNNNNNNNGCGGCGUUGGGGCAGCGCAAGACCACAGCGGCGGCGGCGGCGCCGACGGCGUGCAUGCGCGGCGGUACCGUGCAUUGCCCUUUCUCACCUCGAGAGUUGGUGCAAACUUCACCGGUGCAUCCAAACCCCGUGAUAUGAUACGCUCUAUCACACAUAAGCCUCAUUAUAUAUUCCUCAAAAUAGCCACUAUACCUACCUAUCAUGGCAUUUCCAUAGCCAUUCCGAGAUAUAUUGCCAUGCAACUUCCAUCAUCAUCACAUACAUGACUUGAGCAUUUAUUGUCAUAUUACUUUGCAUGAUCGUAAGAUAGCUAGCAUGAUGUUUUUAUGGCUUGUCCGUUUUUUGAUGUCAUUGCUACGCUAGAUCAUUGCACAUCCCAGUACACCCAAAAAGGGGGCCAAAGAAGCACACCCAAAAAGAAAAAAAAGAAAAAAUAAAAAUAAAAGGGGCAAUGUUACUAUCCUUUUACCACACUUGUGCUUCAGAGUAGCACCAUGUUCUUCAUAUAGAGAGUCUCAUAUGUUGUCACUUCCAUUUACUAGGGGGAAUUUUCAUUAUAGAACUUGGCUUGUAUAUUCCAAUGAUGGGCUUCCUCAAAUGCCCUAGGUCUUCAUGAGCAAGCAAGUUGGAUGCACACCCACUUAGCUUUCAGUUUGAGCUUUCAUACACUUAUAGCUCCUAGUGCAUCCGUUGCAUGGCAAUCCUUACUCCUCGCAUUGAUAUCAAUUGAUGGGCAUCUCCAUAGCCUGUUGAUUAUCCGCGUCGAUGUGAGACUUUCUCCCCUUUUGUCUUCUCCAUAUAAACCUCCACCAUUAUAUUCUAUUACACCUAUAGUGCUAUAUCCAUGGCCUGCGCUCAUGUAUAGAGCGAGGGUUGAAAAAGCUGAAGCGCUUUAAAAAGUAUGAACCAAUUGCUUGGCUUUUCAUCGGGGUUGUGCAUGAUGGGAGCAUUUUGUGUGACGAAAAUGAAGCAUGGCCAAACUAUAUGAUUUUGUAGGGAUAAGCUUGCUUUGGCCUUGUUGUUUUGAAAAGACAUGAUUGCUUUAUUAGUACGCUCGAAGCAUUAUUGUUUUUUAUGUCAAAUGAUAGACUAUUGCUUUGAAUCACUCGUAUCUUAAUAUUCAUGCCAUGAUUAGACAUAUGAUCAAGAUUAUGCUAGGUAGCAUUCCACAUCAAAAAUUAUCUUUUUUAUCAUUUACCUACUCGAGGACGAGCAGGAAGUAAGCUUGGGGAUCUUGAUACGUCUCCGUCGUAUCUAUAAUUUUUGAUUGUUCCAUGCUAAUAUUCUUGAACUUUCAUAUACUUUUGGCAACUUUUUAUACUAUUUUUGGGACUAACAUAUUGAUCCAGUGCCCAGUGCCAGUUCCUGUUUGUUGCAUGUUUUAUGUUUCACAUAAAACCAAUAUCAAACGGAGUCCAAACGGGAUAAAAACGAACGGAGAAUUAUUUUGGAAUAUUUGGGAUUUUCCGCAGGAAGAAUCAACACGAAACAGUGUCCGAGGUGGCCAGGAGAUAGGGGGCGCGCCCUCCCCCCUGGGCGCGCCUGGCACUCUCUUGGGCCACCCGUAAGGCGGUUGACGCUCUUCUUUUGCUGCAAGAAAGCUAAUUUUAUGAGAAAAAUCUGGCCGAAAGAUUCACCCCAAUCGGAGUUACGGAUCUUAAGAUAUAAAAGAAACGGUGAAGGGGUAGAAUCUGAGAACGCAGAAACAGAGAGAUAGAUCCAAUCUCGGAGGGGCUCUCGCCCCUCCCAAGCCAUGGGAUCCAAGGACCAGAGGGGAAACCCUUCUCCCAUCUAGGGAGGAGGUCAAGGAAGAAGAAGAAGAAGGAGGGCUCUCUCCCCCUUGCUUCCGGUGGCGCCGGAACGCCCCAGGGCCCAUCAUCAUCACCGCGAUCUUCACCAACGCCUCCGCCAUCUUCAUCGACAUCUCCAUCACCUUCCCCCAUCUAUAUUCAGCGGUCCACUCUCCCGCAACCCACUGUACGCUCUACUUGAACAUGGUGCUUUAUGCUUCAUAUUAUUAUCCAAUGAUGUGUUGCCAUCCUAUGAUGUCUAAGUAGAUUUCCAUUGUCCUAUCGGUGAUUGAUGAAUUGCUAUGAUUGGUUUGAGUUGCAUGCUUUAUUAUUGGUGUUUUCCUAUGGACCUCUCUGUGUCGCGCAAGCGUGAGGGAUCCCUGCUAUAGGGUUUGCAAUAUGUUCAUGAUUUGCUUAUGGUGGGUGGCGUGAGUGACAGAAGCACAGACCCGAGUAAGUAGGUUGUUUGCAUAUGGGAUAAAGGGGACUUGAUACUUUAAUGCUAUGGUUGGGUUUUACCUUAAUGAUCUUUAGUAGUUGCGGAUGCUUGCUAGAGUUCCAAUCAUAAGUGCAUAUGAUCCAAGUAGAUAAAGUAUGUUAGCUUAUGCCUCUCCCUCAAAUAGAAUUGCAAUAGUGAUUAUCGGUCUAGUAACAUAGUCAAAUGCUUAGGGACAAUUCCACAACUCCUACCACCACUUUUCCACACUCGCUAUAUUUACUUUAUUGCUUCUUUAUCUAAACAUCCCCUAAUUUUUAUUUACGUGUUCUUUAUUAUCUUGCAAACAUAUCCCAACAACACCUACAAAGUACUUCUAGUUUCAUACUUGUUCUAGGUAAAGCGAACACUAAGCAUGCGUAGAGUCGUAUCAGUGGCAGAUAGGGCUUGAGAGAGUAUUUAUUCUACCUUUAGCUCCUCGUUGGGUUCGACACUCUUACUUAUCGAAAGAGGCUACAAUUAUCCCGUAUACUUGCGGGUCAUCACCUAGCGGUGUGAAAUAAAUGGAAAACUUGUAAGUUCAUGGAGUUUGUAUAUGAGUUAGAGAAACGCCUGGGCGGCCAACCCAAGCCAUGCAUAAUUCAUGGUGGAAAUUUACAACAUAACCAUAGUGAGCAUUCUAUGGAGCAUCUUCAAUAAAAAAACUAUGCCCAUGGUAAUAAAAGGAUUGCUGAGAUGCUCAUUGUCUGUUGCCUUGUCAUUUUGGUAUGGGAUAGCUCUUGUGUCAUGGGGCAAGGGGUACACCGUUGGCGGUUCUCUAUGAUGCAUGUAUACUUACAAUGACAAGAACUUAUUUGGGACCUAAGUUGAGUAGCAUGAGGUUUAGGUACUCGUAUUCAAGGGGCAUGAGGCUUUCAAUUUGUGAUUUGUCAAGCAUACAACUCAUAUUUGCCCUCACUUUAACCUUAACCAUUCAAGAUGCGUAUGAUAGGGGCAAUGAGAGCUGAAAUCUAAUGAGGACCAUAAGUUUUGGAAGCUUUAUCAAACUUAUUAAUCCCUACUUACCUCUAUGAAGGGCCUUUCUUUUACUUUUUUGUUGAGUCUUCAUCUUCUAUCUUUAUGCACCAACUAAGAGAGCAUAGUUGUCAUUCUGAGUAUAAUGUGCAUUGUCCCAAAACUUGUUGAUUGAUUCAUGAUUAUGGUAUUGCUUAUUCUCAAAUUAUUUGUAUCUAGUCACCCUUUUGAACUUUGAAGGUGUCCUAUGCAUUUAUGUUUUGCUACUCCAAGAAGGACAAGCUGAAUACCACUUUGCUAUGUUUUCUCUAUGUGCGAAACAAACAAAUGUCUUUCAAAGCAUUAUUCAUGAUCUUUUGUUUAUGUUGCCUUUCAUGUUGUAAUAUAGUUGCUAUAUUCUAUUGUUAGAAAUAUAUCUUUCAUACCUAUGUUUAGAGUACUUUGAUCCCAUCUUACAAUGUUUUACAAUGAUGAUGAUCAAGAUUGUAUUGGCUGCAUGUCACCUCAAAAAUUAUUUUUGUUAUCACUCCCCUACUCGAGGACGAGCAGGAGUUAAGCUUGGGGAUGAUGAUAUGUUGCAAACGUAUCUAUAAUUUUUGAUCCUCCAUGCUUGUUAUACACCAAUUACUUUAUGUUUUGUUUACACUUUGUGGCAUUUUUAUGUAUUUUCUGGAACUAGCCUAUUGACAAGAUGCCACAAUGCCAGUUCCCUGUUUUCUGCUGUUUUUGUGUUUUGGAGAAAUUAGUACAGAAAUAUUCUCGGAAUUGGACGAAACAAACGCCAAAGUUCCUAUUUUUCUCGACACGACACGGAGUCCAAAGCAGAGACGGAUGAGCACACUGAGGUGACCACACCAUAGCCAGGCGUGGGCCCACCUCUGGCUGCACGACCCUAGGGUGUGGGCCCCUCGGGCGUCCACUGACAUUGCCCUUCCGCCUAUAUAAUGCCCCCGAGGUGAAAACUCUAAAUAAUGAAGCCUCCGUCCAUGAAAAAUUCCGCAGCGCAGCCACCAUCAAAGACGAGAUUCAGGGGAUAGAAGUCUCUGUUUCGGCACCCUACCGGGAUGGGGAAUUGCCCCCGGAGCCAUCUCCAUCGACUCCACCGCCAUCUUCAUCGCCAUUGCUAACGCCCAUGAUGACGAGGGAGUAGUUCUCCUCCGAGGCUGAGGGCUUUACCGGUCGCUAUGUGGUUUAUCUCUCUCUCCCAAGGUGUGAUCUUUAUGUGAUCAUGAGCUUUGUAAUCUGGUUGAUUUAGUAGAUGUUACUCUCAUCUAUUAUGCUACUCAAGUGCUUUUAUUAAUGUGAUCUCCGGAGACACCUUGUCCCACGGUGUGAAGGUGACAGUGUGCGCACCGUGUGUGGCUCUUAGGCUAAAGAUUACAGAAAUACUUAUCAUGAGUUAUAAUUUGAGUUGGAUAUCUCUAUGAAAUUGUGGUGUUUGUUUGGAACCAUCUAGCGCUCAAGGUGACAGUGUGGAGUUACCUAGAUGGGGAAUGCGAACUUUAAGUUGUGCUUUUAUAGCCCUACGUGGUGAAUUGGUGUUCGUUAUCCAACCGGAGAGUAGUUCAGAGUAGCAUAGUGAUGAGAAGAUGUUUAUGUGUUCAAUUAUGAUAUCAUUGUUGAGAGUGUCCACUAGUAAAAGUAUGAUCCCUACGUUUUGUUUCAAAGCAUUGAAACAUCGUUUACAACCAGUUCUGCUACAUGUUUGCUUGCUGGCAUUUUUAUUUCAGAUUGCAAUUACCACUUGUAAUCAUCCAUAUUACUUGUAUUUCACUAUCUCUUCACCGAACUAGUGCACCUAUACACCUGACAAGUGUAUUGGGUGUGUUGGGGACACAAGAGACUUCUUGUAUCUUAAUUGCAGGGUUGCUUGAGAGGGAUAUCUUUGACCUCUUCCUCCCUGAGUUCGAUAAACCUUGGGUGAUUCACUUAAGGGAAACUUGCUACUGUUCUACAAACCUGUACACUUGGAGGCCCAACACUGUCUAUAAGAAUAGAAGCGUGCGUAGACAUCAAGCUUUUUCUGGCGCCGUUGCCGGGAGGUAAGGUAAAAGGUACUCACAUCCUCUGGCUACUAAGCUAUCUUCUAGUACUGUUGCUGGUGUGUGAGUGCUCAAAGUUAUUUCCUUUAGAUUCUGCAAUUAUAUCUUUUUGUUUCUUGUUUUUAUUUUCACUAGUUAGGCUUAAUGGAAAACAACAACAAAAUUAGAGAGCUUUAUAGUAUUUUUCCUGGGUUAGGACAUGAAGUGUUUGAAGAGAAAAUUAAAAAACCUAUGGAACUUUAUUUGCAUGCUAAUAGAAAUGUUAUUAGUAUGAACUAUUUGAACACCAUUAUUGCUAAUGCUAUGGAAAAGUCUAUGCUUGGGGAAGCUGUUUUUUAUGAAAAUGGUCCUUUAGUUCCCCAGCUUUAGAGGAGAAAUUUUUCAUGAAAAUGGUCUUUUUAUGAAAUGGUCUUUUUAGCUACCCAGCUUUAGAGGAGAAAUUGAACGAUUUUAGAUUCCAAAUGAUUUUUAAAUUUGAAGAUUUUCAAAUUUGAACAAUUUUCAAAAUUUGAAACAUUUUCAUAAUCUGAACGUUUUCAACAAUCUGAACAUUUUUAAAAUUCAAACAUCUUUAGAAUCUAAACAGAAAAAGCAGGAAAAAAGGACCAGAUCCGAUGUAGCCGCCAAAAUCCUCCUCCUCUCGGGCAGAGCUGUUCUCCCUUGCCUGCUGCCUUUGACUCUGCACUCCAUCUUCCUUGGUAUUGAUAUUACUCCCCUUCUCACCCGAUCCCUCCGGUACUUCUGAUAUGUUCUUCUCCAUCUUCCCUAACCCUAAUUCCGCCGCCCUCUCAUCCCCCUUCCCCCCGAUCUCCUUGUGAGUUGGAUCCGCCAUGCACGAAGAUGCACGUGACGGGUAGUGGUAGAUCCCACCGGCGGCCAGAAAGAUCCGGCAAUUGGUGAGAUUUUACGUGGACGCUAGCAUGAAUGCCAGAGGAAAGUUGGAACCCUAGCGGCGGAGCCAGGGGGAGACACGAGAAUUCCUAUGGUCCACCCAACGCGUGCACUAAAAGAGCAUGCUCACGCGGGAACUCUUGGUGGCCCGGUCCAUAAGCGGGAAGAGUUUUUUUUUCAGUUUUUCCUAAUUUCUUUUUCUUCUUUUUAUUUUGUGCUUCUUUUUUCUUCUUUUUUAAAUUUUGGUUUCCCUUUUUCUCGUUUCUGUUGCUUUUUUAUUUUUCAAAGUUUGCAUUUUUUUCAAUUUUGUUUUUUUGAUUUGAAUAUUUUUUAACUUGAACUUUUCCAAAGUGGGACGUUUUUUAAUAUGAACAAAUUUAAACAUUUCUCAAAUUUGAACAACUUUCCAAUUGGAACAAAUUUUAAGUUUUAACAAAUUUCAAAUUUGAACAUUUUCUAUUUUUAAACUUUUUCGAAUUUGAACUUUUUUUAGAUCUCGUAUUUUUUCAAUAUUUUAUGAAUUACAAAAACAAUAAAACAAAAAAAUCAAAUGACUGGAAAAAGAAAUUAAAUUUAUAAAUUUUUAUUUGGCCGCGUUCGAGGCGGCCCAUCAGGAGGCUCUGCGUGCAUGGUGGUUUAGGCCACGUUUGAGCGGCACAUAGGGUUUGCCCCAUCGAUCAUGAGCGAUGAGGAGCCAGCCAGCGACCACGCUAGAUCUUAUUUUUGAAUAAGAACGUUUGUAAAUUACAAAUAAAUUUGAUAAUCUGAACACCAUUCAAAUUCGAAACAUUUUGAAAAAUCUAAAUACUAUUUUUCCUUUUCUUUUUUCCAGUGUUUUCAAAAUCAGAACGGUUUUAAAAUUUGAAUGAUUUAAAAUUGAACAAGUUUAAAAUUUGAACAAAUUUCUAUAUUCAUAUUGUUAAUAAUCUGAAAAUUUAUGAAAUCUGGAUAAUUUGAGCAACUCUAAAAUUGAACGAUUUUAAAUUCUGAACGAUUUUUAAAUUUGAACCAUUUUCAAAUUUGAACGAUUUUCAUAUUUGAACAAUUUUCACAAAUUGAAACAUUUUCAUAAUCUGAACGUUUUCAACAAUCUGAACAUUUUUUAAAUUUGAACGUGUUUAGAAUCUAAACAGAAAAAGAAGGAAAAAUGGAAAAAUAAAAGAAACAUAGCGAAAACCAAUCGAAAAACCGCUGCAAAAAAGUGAAAGAACCGUGCAGAGAAACCCGAAAAAACCAGCCCCGGAUUUUCUGUUGAUUUACCUAUAUGGGUUGGCCAAAUAGUGCAAGGUUGCCUGUCGCAGCUAUAUAUCACAACGAGCGAUGUAUAAGGAUCGCCGAUACUACCGUAGCGAAUCGAGCAUAUCAUCACCAUCGAGACGUUGACGCUCCAAAAAAUACAUUUUAUUUCCAUCAUUUCCUUUUAAUGUUGUUUCUACCUAGUACAGAAGAUAUCUUUUUUUAUAGACAAUACCAUGAUAUAUUAUAGUAGGAAACAGUAUAUGGUACACAUACAUAAGCUGUCUCCAGCGAUUAUAAAAUAAGCAAGCUCACAUCAACAAACAAGAUAACUCUUUUAUACGUGAUAAGCAACCUCAAACCAAUAAACACUACAUCUAUUUCAUUCAGUACAACGGCGUAAGAUUUUUUAUUCUUAACAGGUUUUACGAAUUUAGUGCUCAUAUGCAGGAGUAAUUAUUCCUGGGAGCCAAAACACAAUGUCAUGCAACCUCCACAAUGCAUGAAAUUUCUAUCUUCUUGUGGUGACGUAAUUUACUCCACCCAAGAUUCUUCUUAACAAUCGAUACCACAUAUAUUUAAAAUAGUUCAUGGUCACUACAGGAAACGGGCGAUAGGCCGACGGCCCGACGCUAUCGGCAUAGGCCAAAUAACCCUCGGAACAGGCUAUAGCCGGGGGCGGCCCUGGGCGUAUCACCCUCGGGUCCUUCAGGUAUCUGCGUACAGGUAUUUGUCAUCGGCGUAGAGGAUGCCCUCGAUGUAGACUUGGCGGGCCCAUCGCUAAUAGAUGACGGCCGUUAGACGUCGAACAGGCUACACCGACGGCUUUGCCCUCGCGCUAGAUUUUCGAUUUUGUUUCCAACUUUUUUUCCAAAAAAAAUUCAAUUUUUUUCAGACUUGUUAAUUUCACAACGGACAUUUUUAACUCUCAACACGUUUAAUGUAAAAUCAAAUUGCACUUGUGGUCAAACUUCCCGCUCGACCACCCAUCCUCACACUACUCCAACCCCAGCACGCUUAACUUCUCCGUUCCUUCCGGAUGAGCUAUCAAGAAAGAAAGCAUAUCUUAGUGAUAAUAGUACCAUAUCAAUCAUAUUAACUCUUGGACUGUGGUGUCACACCUUUUUAUUUUUGAAUUCCAUACAAAUAUUUAAAUACACAACAAUUAAUAAGUAAUAAUAAUAAUAAUUUUCAAUUCAAAUAAAAUAAAAUAAUUAAUAUUUUUUCUUUUUUCUAUUUAAUAUGGAAUAUUUAAUAUCUUUAAAUCCUUAAAUCUGAAUUUGACAAAUAAUAUGUCUAAACCUAUCAAAAAAUGAGGAGAAUCCAAAUAUAACAUCCAUAUCGUCUUGUGAACCUAAAAAAUUGAUAUUUCCAAAAAGAAUCAUGAGCAUUAGAUCAUGUAUGUGUAGUUCAAAUUGACCAUAGUUCAAAUCGAGCAUUACGUACAUGUAUUUUUUUUAAAUAUAUGUACACCAUGUAUAUCGACUUGAAUCGUUAGUAUGUGACAUAAGAAGAUUAUGUGGGCAGGUUUUUCAUAUUUUCCUAUUUUUUGAAUUUUUAUGCUCAUUUCAAAUUUUUUUGAAAUGUGUAAUAUUUAAGUGUAUAUAGAGAGAUCUUAUUCUUCUGCAAAUUUGAUAUAUUAUUUGUAUUUAUCUGAAUUAUAAUGAUUCAGUUAUAAUUUUUCUAAAAUUAAUAUGAUAAAAUGGAAAAUAGUUAUGCCGACGGUGUAGCUUCAAAACCUAUGCCGAGGGCUUUGCCCUCGGCGUAGACCCUCCGCCGUGACGCGGUCGUAACACUGUUAGCCUGGGCUGGCCUACACCGAGGCUGGCAUAUACCCUGAGGGCAGCUGUUGGCCCAGACAUGGGUUCACCGAGGGCCGAUCCUACGCCAAGGGCCGGGCGGGCGGGCGGGCAGGAUUGCUAGCCCUCUACGCCGACGGCCCUGAUGUUUUGCCAUUGGUAUAGAGGCUGGUCGUCGGCUCCAGACAUCAGUCCUAUAGUGGGUGAAGAUACACAAGCUGUUUUCAGCGAUUAUAAAAUAAAGUACAUAUAAAAAAAUGAGCAAAUCGCCGAGGUCUUUAAACUCUUAUUUUGCAUCGCAGGCAGCCAAAUUGACAUGACAUAAAUACCAAACGAUAGGCUCGUAAAUACCGACGAUGGUUCUCCCAUAUUUUUAAAUCUGAGCCGCAAUGCCAAGGCUACGUGCAUGCGCGCAACCAUUAAACUAAUCACCCGACAUCAGCGAGAGCAACAACACCAGUAUUCCAGGGAAAAAGAUACCGAACAGCCUGGUCGACAUCGCUAGAGAGCCGGAAGUACGAAUCACCAUUGUCGAUGGUGUAGCAUCCAGAUAAAUAUUACGAGGACUAGUUGAAUGCAUGUGUGUUGCAACGGCCUCUAAAAUAUUUUACUUCUGCACAUGUAAGCAUAAUACAUCUUAAUAUUUUGUCGCAUAUAGAAAGAUAGAGAAAUAUAUUAUUCAAGAAACUAUAGAAUUAUACAUUUUGAUAUGAUUGGACAAAAAGUUAUAGUUUGAUUUCUAUGCAUAGUAAUAGAAAACCCAUCUACUCAUCUUAUUCUUAGUUAGGUGUGUUAAACUGUAUAGUUAUCAGAUACGGUUAGUAUCUAGGAUUGUAGUUAUCUUGUAUAACAACCUGUACUUAUCCUCCUGUAAACCCUAGCGGCAGCCCUAGAGGCGCCCUAUAUAAUGAUCCUGAGACCACCGCAUUAGGUGUGUUGAUCCAAUCUCUUCUCUCUUUGUUUCACAAGGUAUCAGGCCAUCUCGCAUAACUGCUCGAUGGGUUCUCCUUCCUCCGGCGCCAUGACUUCCUCGACCCUGGCUUCUCUGCCCAUGCCCUCUGGGCUCUCAGCGCCGACAUCUUCCGCUGUUCCCCAACCCUUUGCUAGCCUCAUUACCGCCAAGCUUACCUCCUCCAACUUCCUCCUCUGGAAAGCACAGAUCCUUCCUCCCCUUCGCAUCACCGGUGUCACUUGGCUAUGUCGACGGCACCAUCCCUACUCCUCCUCGCAUCCUCCCAGCUGAUGACAAGGGGGGCGCGCUCCUAACCCGGAGUAUGCUGCCUGGUCCCGUCAGGAUCAGAUCAUCCUGAGCUAUCUUCGUGCUCGCUCACCGAUGAUGUGCUUCAGUAGGUCCAUCUCUUCGACACCGCCCGCGCCAUCUGGGUGCACCUCGAGGAGAUGUAUGUUACCCACUGCCGUGCCAGUGUGGUGCAGAUCAAGAUGGACAUGAUGAACUUCCGCAAGGGCAACCUCUCCAUGGUGGACUACUUCGCCAAGAUCCUCUCCAAUGCAGAUCAACUCGUCGCCGUUGGCCGUCCCAUGUUCCAGGAGGACAUCAUCACCGCCUUCAUCACCGGGCUCGACAGUGAGUACGGGCCCCUCAUCACUGCCAUCUCCUUCGAACGCCGCCGCGAGUACCACGCGGCUCGUCUUCAACUUCAUACGGGCGGAUCCUCUGUCAAGUAUGUCGCCCGCGACAACAACUGCAACACCAACAACCGUGGCAAGGGCAACUACCGCGACAAGGGUCGCGGCAACUCUGGUGACCGUGGUGACAACAACAACAACAACAACCGCAGCGGGUACCGUGGUGACUGUGGUGGUGGUGGCAAUCGUCGGAACGGUAACCGUGGUGGUGACCGCGUGACCAUGGCGGUGGCGGGGAUGCACGUCUGCAGUGCCAGCUCUAUCAAGGCCCUGGGCACUAUACCUGGGAGUGCUCUUUGUUGGAAAUAUGCCCUAGAGGCAAUAAUAAAAGUAUUAUUAUAUUUCAUUGUUCAUGAUAAUUGUCUUUUAUUCAUGCUAUAACUGUAUUAUCCGGAAAUCGUAAUACACGUGUGAAUACUUAGACCACACAAUGUCCCUGGUAAGCCUCUAGUUGACCAGCUCGUUGUGAUCAACAGAUAGUCAUGGUUUCCUGACUAUGGACAUUGGAUGUCGUUGAUAACGGGAUCACAUCAUUAGGAGAAUGAUGUGAUGGACAAGACCCAAUCCUAAGCAUAGCAUAAAAGAUCGUGUAGUUCGUUUUGCUAGAGCUUUGCAAGUGUCAAGUAUCUCUUCCUUCGACCAUGAGAUCGUGUAACUCCCGGAUACCGUAAGAGUGCCUUGGGUGUACCAAACGUCAUAACGUAACUGGGUGACUAUAAAGGUGCAUUACAGGUAUCUCCAAAAGUAGCUGUUGGGUUGACACGGAUCGAGACUGGGAUUUGUCACUCCGUAUGACGGAGAGGUAUCUCUGGGCCCACUCGGUAAUGCAUCAUCAUAUUGAGCUCAAUGUGACCAAGGUGUUGGACACGGGAUCAUGCAUUACGGUACGAGUAAAGUGACUUGCCGGUAACGAGACUGAACAAGGUAUUGGGAUACCGACGAUCGAGUCUCGGGCAAGUAACGUACCGAUUGACAAAGGGAAUUGCAUACAGGGUUUGAUCGAAUCCUCGACAUAGUGGUUCAUCCGAUGACAACAUCAAGGAGCAUGUGGGAGCCAUCAUGGGUAUCCAGAUCCCGCUGAUGGUUAUUGACUGAGAGAGUCUCGGUCAUGUCUGCAUGUCUCCCGAACCCGUAGGGUCUACACACUUAAGGUUCAGUUACGCUAGGGUUAUAGGGAUAUGUAUAUGCAAUAACCCGAAUGUUGUUCGGAGUCCCGGAUGAGAUCCCGGACGUCACGAGGAGUUCCGGAAUGGUCCGGAGGUAAAGAUUUAUAUAUGGGAAGUCCUGUUUCGGGCAUCGGGACAAGUUUCGGGGUUAUCGGUAUUGUACCGGGACCACCGGAAGGGUCCCGGGGGUCCACCGGGUGGGUCCACCUGUCCCGGGGGGCCACAUGGGCUGUAGGGGGGUGCGCCUUGGCCUAAUGGGCCAAGGGCACCAGCCCCACAUAGGCCCAUGCGCCUACGGUUUAAGGGGGCAAGAGUCCUAGGAGGGUAAGGCACCUCCUAGGUGCCUUGGGGGGAGGAAAACCCCCCUUGGCCGCCGCACCCCCUAGGAGAUUGGAUCUCCUAGGGCCGGCCACCCCCCCUUGGCACCCCUAUAUAUAGUGGGGGAGAGGAGGGACUUCAUACCUGAACGCCCUGGCCUUUGGUUGCCUCCUUCUCCCUCCCCAACACCUCCUCCACCUCCAUAGUGCUUAGCGAAGCUCUGCCGGAGUACUGCAGCUCCAUCAACACCACGCCGUCGUGCUGCUGUUGGUGCCAUCUCCCUCAACCUCUCCUCCCUUCCUUGCUGGAUCAAGAAGGAGGAGACGUGGCUGUUCCGUACGUGUGUUGAACGCGGAGGUGCCGUCCGUUUGGCGCUGGUCAUCGGUGAUUUGGAUCACGUCGAGUACGACUACAUCAUCACCUUGCAAGCUUCCGCACGCGAUCUACAAGUGGUAUGUAGAUGCAAACUCUCUCCCUAGACUCGUUGCUUAGAUGAACUCAUAGAUGGAUCUUGGUGAAACCGUAGGAAAAAUUUUAAUUUUCUGCAACGUUCCCCAACAGUGGAAUCAGAGCUAGGUCUAUGCGUAGUUCUCUUUGCACGAGUAGAACACAACUUUGUUGUGGGCGUGGAUUUUGUCAUCUUGCUUGCCUCUACUAGUCUUUUCUUGCUCAACGGUAUUGUGGGAUGAAGCGGCCCGGACCAACCUUACACGUACUCUUACGUGAGACCGGUUCCACCGACUGACAUGCACAAGUUGCAUAAGGUGGCUGGCGGGUGUCUGUCUCUCCCACCUUAGUUGGAGCGGAAUCGAUGAACAGGGCCCUUAUGAAGGGUAAAUAGAAGUUGACAAAAUCACGUUGUGGUGAUUCGUAGGUAAGAAAACGUUCUUGCUAGAACCCAAUUGCAGCCACGUAAAAUAUGCAACAACAAUUAGAGGACGUCUAACUUGUUUUUGCAGCGAUUGAUCAUGUGAUGUGAUAUGGCCAGAAGUUGUGAUGAAUGAUGAAUUGUGAUGUAUGAGAUCAUGUUCUUUGUAAUAGGAUUUACGACUUGCAUGUCGAUGAGUAUGACAACCGGCAGGAGCCAUAGGAGUUGUCAUUAUUUUUUGUAUGACCUGCGUGUCAUUGAAUAACGCCAUGUAAACUACUUUACUUUAUUGCUAAACGUUAGUCAUAGAAGUAGAAGUAGUUGUUGGCGUGACAACUUCAUGAAGACACGAUGAUGGAGAUCAUGAUGAUGGAGAUCAUGGUGUCAAGCCGGUGACAAGAUGAUCAUGGAGCCCCGAAGAUGAAGAUCAAUGGAGCUAUAUGAUAUUGGCCAUAUCAUGUCACAACUAUAUAAUUGCAUGUGAUGUUUAUUAUGUAUUAUGCAUCUUGUUUACUUAGGACGACGGUAGUAAAUAAGAUGAUCCCUUAUAAAAUUUCAAGAAGUGUUCUCCCCUAACUGUGCACCGUUGCUACAGUUCGUCGUUUCUAAGCACCACGUGAUGAUCGGGUGUGAUGGAUUCUUACGUUCACAUACAACGGGUGUAAGACAGUUUUACACAGCGAAAACACUUAGGGUUAACUUGACGAGCCUAACAUGUGCAGACAUGGCCUCGGAACACGGAGACCGAAAGGUCGAACACGAGUCGUAUGGAAGAUACGAUCAACAUGAAAAUGUUCACCGACGAUGACUAGUCCGUCUCACGUGAUGAUCGGACACGGACUAGUCGACUCGGAUCGUGUAACACUUAGAUGACUAAAGGGAUGUCUAAUCUAAGUGGGAGUUCAUAAUUUGAUUAGAACUUUAUUAUCAUGAACUUAGUCUAAAACCUUUGCAAAUAUGUCUUGUAGAUCAAUGGCCAACGCUAAUGUCAACAUGAACUUCAACGCGUUCCUAGAGAAAACCAAGCUGAAAGAUGAUGGCAGCAACUAUACGGACUGGGUCCGGAACCUGAGGAUCAUCCUCAUAGCUGCCAGGAAACAAUAUGUCCUAGAAGGACCGCUAGGUGACGCUCCCGUCCCAGAGAACCAAGACAUUAUGAAUGCUUGGCAGUCUCGCGCUGAUGAUUACUCCCUCGUUCAGUGCGGCAUGCUUUACAGCUUAGAACCGGGGCUCCAAAAGCGUUUUGAGCAUCACGGAGCAUAUGAGAUUUUCGAAGAGCUGAAACUAGUUUUUCAAGCUCAUGCCCGGGUCGAGAGAUAUGAUGUCUCCGACAAGUUCUACAGUUGUAAGAUGGAGGAGAACAGUUCUGUCAGUGAGCACAUCCUGAAGAUGUCUGGGUUGCACAACCGUAUGACCCAGCUGAACAUUAACCUCCCAGAUGAGGCGGUCAUUGACAUAAUCCUCUAGUCGCUCCCACCAAGCUACAAGAGCUUUGUGAUGAACUACAACAUGCAGGGAAUGGAAAAGACCAUUCCUGAAGUGUUCUCGAUGCUGAAGUCAGCAGAGGCUGAAAUCAAGAAAGAACAUCAAUUGUUGAUGGUCAAUAAGACCACUAAGUUCAAGAAGGGCAAGGGUAAGAAGAACUUCAAGAAGGACGGCAAAGAUGUUGCCGUGCCUGGUAAGCCAGUUACCGGGAAGAAGUCAAAGAAUGGACCCAAGCCUGAGACUGAGUGCUUUUAUUGCAAGGGGAAGGGUCACUGGAAGCGGAACUGCCCCAAAUACUUAGCGGAUAAGAAGACCGGCAACACCAAAGGUAUAUUUGAUAUACAUGUGAUUGAUGUGUACCUUACCAGUACUCGUAGUAACUCCUGGGUAUUUGAUACCGGUGCCGUUGCUCAUAUUUGUAACUCACAGCAGGAGCUGCGGAAUAAACGGAGACUGGCGAAGGACGAGGUGACGAUGCGCGUCGGGAAUGGUUCUAGAGUCGAUGUGAUCGCCGUCGGCACGCUGCCUCUACAUUUACCUACGGGAUUAGUUUUGAACCUUAAUAAUUGUUAUUUAGUGCCAAGUUUGAGCAUGAACAUUGUAUCUGGAUCUCGUUUAAUACGAGAUGGCUACUCAUUUAAGUCUGAGAAUAAUGGUUGUUCGAUUUAUAUGAGAGAUAUGUUUUAUGGUCAUGCUCCGAUGGUCAACGGUUUAUUCUUAAUGAAUCUCGAGCGUAAUAUUACACAUGUUCAUAGUGUAGAUGCCAAAAGAUUUAAAGUUGAUAACGAUAGUCCCACAUACUUGUGGCACUGCCGCCUUGGUCACAUUGGUGUCAAGCGCAUGAAGAAGCUCCAUGCCGAUGGACUUUUAGAGUCUCUUGAUUAUGAAUCGUUUGACACGUGCGAACCAUGCCUCUUAGGUAAAAUGACCAAGACUCCGUCCUCUGGAACAAUGGAGCGAGCAACCAACUUGUUGGAAAUCAUACAUACCGAUGUGUGCGGUCCAAUGAGCGUUGAGGCUCGCGGAGGAUAUCGUUAUGUUCUCACUCUCACAGAUGACUUGAGUAGAUAUGGGUAUGUCUACUUAAUGAAACACAAGUCUGAGACCUUUGAAAAGUUCAAGGAAUUUCAGAAUGAGGUGGAGAAUCAACGUGACCAAAAGAUAAAAUUCUUACGAUCAGAUCGUGGAGGAGAAUACUUAAGUCACGAAUUUGGUACACACUUAAAGAAAUGUGGAAUCGUUUCACAGCUCACGCCGCCUGGAACACCUCAGCGAAACGGUGUGUCCGAACAUCGUAAUCGCACUCUAUUGGAUAUGGUGCGGUCUAUGAUGUCUCUUACCGAUUUACCGCUAUCAUUUUGGGGAUACGCUCUAGAGACAGCUACAUUCACUUUAAAUAGGGCACCGUCUAAAUCCAUUGAGACGACACCGUAUGAAUUAUGGUUUGGAAAGAAACCUAAGCUGUCGUUUCUAAAAGUUUGGGGAUGCGAAGCUUAUGUCAAGAAACUUCAACCUGAAAAGCUCAAACCCAAGUCGGAAAAAUGCGUAUUCAUAGGAUACCCUAAGGAAACUAUAGGGUAUACCUUCUACUUAAGAUCCGAAGGCAAGAUCUUUGUUGCCAAGAACGGAUGCUUUCUGGAAAAAGAGUUUCUCUCGAAAGAAGUAAGUGGGAGGAAAGUAGAACUCGAUGAAGUACUACCUCUUGAGCGGGAUAGUGACGCAGCACAGGAAACCGUUCCUGUGAUGCCCACACCAACUGAAGAGGAAAACCAUGAUAAUGAUCAAAGUACUUCGGAUCAAGUUACUGCUGAACUUCGUAGGUCCACAAGGACACGUUCCGCACCAGAGUGGUACGGCAACCCUGUCCUAGAAAUCAUGUUGUUAGACAACAAUGAACCUUCGAACUAUGAAGAAGCAAUGGCGGGCCCGGAUUCCAACAAAUGGCUUGAAGCCAUGAAAUCCGAGAUAGAAUCCAUGUAUGAAAACAAAGUAUGGACUUUGACAGACUUGCCCGAUGAUUGGCGAGCGAUAGAAAACAAAUGGAUCUUUAAGAAGAAGACGGACGCGGAUGGUAAUGUUACCAUCUAUAAAGCUCGACUUGUCGCUAAGGGUUAUCGACAGGUUCAAGGGAUUGACUACGACGAGACAUUCUCUCCCGUAGCGAAGCUAAAGUCCGUCCGAAUCAUGUUAGCAAUUGCCGCAUACUAUGAUUAUGAGAUAUGGCAGAUGGACGUCAAAACAGCAUUCCUUAACGGGCAUCUUAAGGAAGAACUGUAUAUGAUGCAGCCAGAAGGUUUUGUCGAUCCUCGGAACGCUAACAAAGUAUGCAAGCUCCAGCGAUCCAUUUAUGGACUGGUGCAAGCAUCUCGGAGUUGGAACAUUCGCUUUGAUGAGAUGAUCAAAGCGUUUGGGUUUAUGCAGACUUAUGGAGAAGCCUGCGUUUACAAGAAAGUGAGUGGGAGCUCUGUAGCAUUUCUCAUAUUAUAUGUAGAUGACAUACUCCUGAUGGGAAAUAAUAUAGAAUUUCUGGACAACAUUAAGGCCUACUUGAAUAAGUGUUUUUCAAUGAAGGACCUUGGAGAAGCUGCUUAUAUAUUAGGCAUCAAGAUCUAUAGAGAUAGAUCGAGACGCCUCAUAGGUCUUUCACAAAGCACAUACCUUGAUAAGAUUUUGAAGAGAUUCAGAAUGGAUCAGUCCAAGAUGGGGUUCUUGCCUAUGUUACAAGGUAUGAGACUGAGCUCAGCUCAGUCACCGACCACGGCAAAAGAUAAAGAAGAGAUGAGUGUCAUCCCCUAUGCUUCAGCCAUAGGAUCUAUUAUGUAUGCCAUGCUGUGUACCAGACCCGAUGUAAACCUUGCCGUAAGUUUGGUAGCAAGAUACCAAAGUAAUCCCGGCAAGGAACACUGGACAGCGGUCAAGAAUAUCCUGAAGUACCUGAAAAGGACAAAGGACAUGUUUCUCGUUUAUGGAGGAGACGAAGAGCUCGUCGUAAAGGGUUACGUCGACGCUAGCUUCGACUCAGAUCUGGAUGACUCUAAGUCACAAACCGGAUACGUGUAUAUGUUGAAUGGUGGAGCAGUAAGCUGGUGCAGCUGCAAGCAGAGCGUCGUGGUGGGAUCUACGUGUGAAGCGGAGUACAUGGCAGCCUCGGAGGCAGCACAUGAAGCGAUUUGUGUGAAGGAGUUCAUCACCGACCUAGGAGUCAUACCCAAUGCGUCGGGGCCGAUCAAACUCUUCUGUGACAACACUGGAGCUAUUGCCCUCGCAAAGGAGCCCAGGUUUCACAAGAUGACCAGGCACAUCAAGCGUCGUUUCAACUCCAUCCGUGAAAAUGUUCAAGAUGGAGACAUAGAGAUUUGCAAAGUGCACACGGAUCUGAAUGUCGCAGAUCCGCUGACUAAACCUCUCUCGCGUGCAAAACAUGAUCAACACCAGAACUCUAUGGGUGUUCGAUUCAUCACAAUGUAACUAGAUUAGUGACUCUAGUGCAAGUGGGAGACUGUUGGAAAUAUGCCCUAGAGGCAAUAAUAAAAGUAUUAUUAUAUUUCAUUGUUCAUGAUAAUUGUCUUUUAUUCAUGCUAUAACUGUAUUAUCCGGAAAUCGUAAUACACGUGUGAAUACUUAGACCACACAAUGUCCCUGGUAAGCCUCUAGUUGACCAGCUCGUUGUGAUCAACAGAUAGUCAUGGUUUCCUGACUAUGGACAUUGGAUGUCGUUGAUAACGGGAUCACAUCAUUAGGAGAAUGAUGUGAUGGACAAGACCCAAUCCUAAGCAUAGCAUAAAAGAUCGUGUAGUUCGUUUUGCUAGAGCUUUGCAAGUGUCAAGUAUCUCUUCCUUCGACCAUGAGAUAGUGUAACUCCCGGAUACCGUAAGAGUGCCUUGGGUGUACCAAACGUCACAACGUAACUGGGUGACUAUAAAGGUGCAUUACAGGUAUCUCCGAAAGUAGCUGUUGGGUUGACACGGAUCGAGACUGGGAUUUGUCACUCCGUAUGACGGAGAGGUAUCUCUGGGCCCACUCGGUAAUGCAUCAUCAUAUUGAGCUCAAUGUGACCAAGGUGUUGGACACGGGAUCAUGCAUUACGGUACGAGUAAAGUGACUUGCCGGUAACGAGACUGAACAAGGUAUUGGGAUACCGACGAUCGAGUCUCGGGCAAGUAACGUACCGAUUGACAAAGGGAAUUGCAUACAGGGUUUGAUCGAAUCCUCGACAUAGUGGUUCAUCCGAUGACAACAUCGAGGAGCAUGUGGGAGCCAUCAUGGGUAUCCAGAUCCCGCUGAUGGUUAUUGACUGAGAGAGUCUCGGUCAUGUCUGCAUGUCUCCCGAACCCGUAGGGUCUACACACUUAAGGUUCAGUUACGCUAGGGUUAUAGGGAUAUGUAUAUGCAGUAACCCGAAUGUUGUUCGGAGUCCCGGAUGAGAUCCCGGACGUCACGAGGAGUUCCGGAAUGGUCCGGAGGUAAAGAUUUAUAUAUGGGAAGUCAUAUUUCGGGCAUCGGGACAAGUUUCGGGGUUAUCGGUAUUGUACCGGGACCACCGGAAGGGUCCCGGGGGGCCACCGGGUGGGUCCACCUGUCCCGGGGGGCCACAUGGGCUGUGUGGGGGUGCGCCUUGGCCUAAUGGGCCAAGGGCACCAGCCCCACAUAGGCCCAUGCGCCUAGGGUUCAAGGGGGGCAAGAGUCCUAGGAGGGUAAGGCACCUCCUAGGUGCCUUGGGGGGAGGGAAAACCCCCCUUGGCCGCCGCACCCCCUAGGAGAUUUGAUCUCCUAGGGCCGGCCACCCCCCCUUGGCACCCCUAUAUAUAGUGGGGGAGAGGAGGGACUUCAUACCUGAACGCCCUGGCCUUUGGUUGCCUCCUUCUCCCUCCCCAACACCUCCUCCACCUCCAUAGUGCUUAGCGAAGCUCUGCCGGAGUACUGCAGCUCCAUCAACACCACGCCGUCGUGCUGCUGCUGGUGCCAUCUCCCUCAACCUCUCCUCCCUUCCUUGCUGGAUCAAGAAGGAGGAGACGUGGCUGUUCCGUACGUGUGUUGAACGCGGAGGUGCCGUCCGUUCGGCGCUGGUCAUCGGUGAUUUGGAUCACGUCGAGUACGACUACAUCAUCACCGUUCUUUUGAACGCUUCCGCUCGCGAUCUACAAAGGUAUGUAGAUGCAUCUAAUCACUCGUUGCUAGAUGAACUCCUAGAUGAUCUUGGUGAAACGAGUAGGAAAUUUUUUGUUUUCUGCAACGUUCCCCAACAGUGGCAUCAUGAGCUAGGUCUAUGCGUAGUUCUUCUUGCGCGAGUAGAACACAAUUUGUUGUGGGCGUAGAUUUGUCAACUUUCUUGCCAUUACUAGUCCUUUCUUGCUUCAGCGGUAUUGUGGGAUGAAGCGGCCCGGACCAACCUUACACGUACGCUUACGUGAGACCGGUUCCACCGACUAACAUGCACUAGAUGCAUAAGGUGGCUGGCGGGUGUCUGUCUCUCCUACUUUAGUUGGAGCGGAAUCGAUGAACAGGGUCCUUAUGAAGGGUAAAUAGAAGUUGACAAAUCACGUUGUGGCUUUAACGUAGGUAAGAAAACGUUCUUGCUAGAACCCUAAUUCAGCCACGUAAAACUUGCAACAACAAUUAGAGGACGUCUAACUUGUUUUUGCAGCAAGUGGUUUGUGAUAUGAUAUGGCCAAAGUUGUGAUGAAUGAUGAAUGAUCUAUAUGUGAUGUAUGAGAUGUUCAUGCUAUUGUAAUAGGAUUCACGACUUGCAUGUCGAUGAGUAUGACAACCGGCAGGAGCCAUAGGAGUUGUCUUUAUUCUUUUAUAUGACCUGCGUGUCAUCAAGAAACGCCAUGUAAAUUACUUUAAUUUAUUGCUAAACGUGUUAGCCAUAGUAGUAGAAGUAAUAGUUGGCGAGCAACUUCAUGGAGACACGAUGAUGGAGAUCAUGAUGAUGGAGAUCAUGGUGUCAAGCCGGUGACAAGAUGAUCAUGGAGCCCCAAGAUGGAGAUCAAAGGAGCUAUGUGAUAUUGGCCAUAUCAUGUCACGUUUAUUAUUUGAUUGCAUGUGAUGUUUAUCAUGUUUUGCAUCUUGUUUACUUAGAACGACGGUAGUAAAUAAGAUGAUCCCUCACAAUAAAUUCAAGAAGUGUUCCCCCUAACUGUGCACCGUUGCGUUUCGCUGUUUCAAAACACCACGUGAUGAUCGGGUGUUUUAUUCAGACGUUCACAUACAACGGGUGUAAGACAGAUUUACACAUGCAAACACUUAGGUUGACUUGACGAGCCUAGCAUGUACAGACAUGGCCUCGGAACACAGAAGACCGAAAGGUCGAGCAUGAGUCGUAUAGAAGAUACGAUCAACAUGAAGAUGUUCACCGAUGUUGACUAGUCCGUCUCACGUGAUGAUCGGACACGGUCUAGUUUAACUCGGAUCAUGUAAUACUUAGAUGAUAGAGGGAUGUCUAAUCUAAGUGGGAGUUCACUAAUAAUUUGAUUAGUUGAACUUAAUUAUCAUGAACUUAGUCUAAAUAUUUUUACAAUAUGUCUUGUAGAUCAAAUGGCCAACGUAGUCCUCAACUUCAACGCGUUCCUAGAGAAAACUAAGCUGAAAGACGAUGGCAGCAACUAUACGGACUGGGUCCGGAACCUGAGGAUCAUCCUCAUAGCUGCCAAGAAAGAUUAUGUCCUACAAGCACCGCUUGGUGACGCACCCGUUCUCCCUGCAGAACAAGAUGUUAUGAACGCUUGGCAGGCACGUUUCGAUGACUACUCCCUCGUUCAGUGCGGCAUGCUUUACAGCCUAGAGCCGGGGCUCCAAAAGCGUUUUGAGAGACAUGGAGCAUAUGAGAUGUUCGAAGAGCUGAAAAUGGUUUUCCAAGCUCAUGCCCGGGUCGAGAGAUAUGAAGUCUCCGACAAAUUCUUCAGCUGUAAGAUGGAGGAAAACAAUUCUGUCAGUGAGCACAUACUCACUAUGUCUGGGUUGCAUAACCGCUUGACUCAGCUGGGAGUUAAUCUCCCGGAUGAUGCGGUCAUUGACAGAAUCCUCCAGUCGCUUCCACCAAGCUACAAGAGCUUUGUGAUGAACUUCAAUAUGCAGGGGAUGGAAAAGACCAUUCCUGAAGUAUUUGCUAUGCUAAAAUCAGCAGAGGUAGAAGUCAGGAAGGAACAUCAAGUGUUGAUGGUCAAUAAAACCACUAAGUUCAAGAAAGGCAAGGGUAAAAAGAACUUCAAGAAGGACGGCAAGGAGGUUGCCGCGCUCGGCAAGCAAGCUGCCGGGAAGAAGCCAAAGAAUGGACCCAAGCCCGAGACUGAGUGCUUUUAUUGCAAGGGAGCGGUCACUGGAAGCGGAACUGCCCUAAGUACUUAGCGGAUAAGAAGGCCGGCAAAACAAAAGGUAUAUGUGAUAUACAUGUAAUUGAUGUGUACCUUACUAGUGCCCGUAGUGGCUCCUGGGUAUUUGAUACCGGUGCAGUUGCUCACAUUUGUAACUCAAAGCUGUUGGAAAUAUGCCCUAGAGGCAAUAAUAAAAGCAUUAUUAUUAUAUUUCCUUGUUCAUGAUAAUUGUCUUUAUUCAUGCUAUAAUUGUGUUAUCCGGAAAUCGUAAUGCAUGUGUGAAUAACAGACACCAACAUGUCCCUAGUGAGCCUCUAGUUGACUAGCUCGUUGAUCAACAGAUAGUCAUGGUUUCCUGACUAUGGACACUGGAUGUCAUUGAUAACGAGAUCACAUCAUUGGGAGAAUGAUGUGAUGGACGAGACCCAAUCCUAAACAUAGCACAAGAUCGUAUAGUUCGUUUGCUAGAGUUUUGCAAUGUCAAAGUAUCUUUUCCUUAGACCAUGAGAUCGUGUAACUCCCGGAUACCGUAGGAGUGCUUUGGGUAUGCCAAACGUCACAACGUAACUGGGUGACUAUAAAGGUAGACUACGGGUAUCUCUGAAAGUGUCUGUUGGGUGACAUGGAUCAAGACUGGGAUUUGUCACUCCGUAUGAUGGAGAGGUAUCACUGGGCCCACUCGGUAAUGCAUCAUCAUAAUGAGCUCAGAGUGACCAAGUGUCUGGUCACGGGAUCAUGCAUUACGGUACGAGUAAAGUGACUUGCCGGUAACGAGAUUGAACGAGGUAUUGGGAUACCGACGAUCGAAUCUCGGGCAAGUAACAUAUCGAUAGACAAAGGGAAUAGCGUACGGGGUUGAUUGAAUCCUCGACAUCGUGGUUCAUCCGAUGAGAUCAUCGUGGAGCAUGUGGGAGCCAACAUGGGUAUCCAGAUCCCGCUGUUGGUUAUUGACCGGAGAGUCGUCUCGGUCAUGUCUGCUUGUCUCCCGAACCCGUAGGGUCUACACACUUAAGGUUCGGUUACGCUAGGGUUGUAGGGAUAUAUAUAUGCAGUAACCCGAAUGUUGUUCGGAGUCCCGGAUGAGAUCCCGGACGUCACGAGGAGUUCCGGAAUGGUCCGGAGGUAAAGAUUUAUAUAUGGGAAGUCCUGUUUCGGGCAUCGGGACAAGUUUCGGGGUUAUCGGUAUUGUACCGGGACCACCGGAAGGGUCCCGGGGGUCCACCGGGUGGGUCCACCUGUCCCGGGGGGCCACAUGGGCUGUAGGGGGGUGCGCCUUGGCCUAAUGGGCCAAGGGCACCAGCCCCACAUAGGCCCAUGCGCCUACGGUUUAAGGGGGCAAGAGUCCUAGGAGGGUAAGGCACCUCCUAGGUGCCUUGGGGGGAGGAAAACCCCCCUUGGCCGCCGCACCCCCUAGGAGAUUGGAUCUCCUAGGGCCGGCCACCCCCCCUUGGCACCCCUAUAUAUAGUGGGGGAGAGGAGGGACUUCAUACCUGAACGCCCUGGCCUUUGGUUGCCUCCUUCUCCCUCCCCAACACCUCCUCCACCUCCAUAGUGCUUAGCGAAGCUCUGCCGGAGUACUGCAGCUCCAUCAACACCACGCCGUCGUGCUGCUGCUGGUGCCAUCUCCCUCAACCUCUCCUCCCUUCCUUGCUGGAUCAAGAAGGAGGAGACGUGGCUGUUCCGUACGUGUGUUGAACGCGGAGGUGCCGUCCGUUUGGCGCUGGUUUGGUGAUUUGGAUCACGUCGAGUACGACUACAUCAUCACCUUGCAAGCUUCCGCACGCGAUCUACAAGUGGUAUGUAGAUGCAAACUCUCUCCCUAAACUCGUUGCUUAGAUGAACUCAUAGAUGGAUCUUGGUGAAACCGUAGGAAAAUUUUUAAUUUUCUGCAACGUUCCCCAACACUCUUAGCGCUAGAACCACGCCUUCCAACCUCAACACUCCAAGAUGGCGGGUCUCGCUGCCGCUUCACCAGGAUCCAUCCUCGGCGACCCUAACUGGUCCACUGACACGGGGGCUACCGAUCAUAUCACGUCGCAUCUGGACCGUCUCACUGUGAGGGAAAAGUACCCUGGACGGGACCACAUCCACACUGCCGACGGAUCAGGUUUGCACAUAGCUCAUCAUGGUCAUGCCCUUCUUCCUACACCGUCUGUCAAUCUUAAACUUCGCAACCUAUUACAUGUUCCCAAUGCCGACAAGAACCUUCUUUCUGUUAGUUGUCUUGCCGUUGACAAUCAUGCUUAUCUAAAAUAUUAUCCUACUCAUUUUCUUAUGAAGGAUUUGACAACCAAGAAGGUUCUUCUUCACGGCAGAUGUGAAAAUGGGCUCUAUCCCAUUCGGCCUUCACGUUCUCAUGUCUUGUCUUCAGUUAGGCUCUCUGCUGAAGAUUGACAUGCUAGACUCGGCCACCCGUCCACACAAGUUGUUCAGCAUGUUUUGGCGUCCAAUAAAUUAGCAUCAUCGAGUCGGGCUUUGACCCAUGUGUGUAAUGCUUGUCAACAUGGCAAAGCACAUCAGCUACCUUUUCCUAUAUCUUCGAACGUUUCCUCGUUUUUGUUGGAACUUAUUUUCUCAGAUGUGUGGGGAGCUGCCAAAACCUCCUCUGGUGGGUUCCAGCACUAUGUUUCAUUUAUUGAUGAUUAUAGUAAAUUUGUGUGGAUUUAUCUUCUCAAACGAAAAUGUGAUGUGUUUGAUGUCUUUCGUGAUUUUCUUGCCCAUGUUUAACGCCUCCUAUCUCGUAAAAUCCUGUGUGUUUAAUCAGACUGGGUGGGGAAUACGAAAAACUUAGCAACACAUUUUUUUCGGCAACUUGGCAUUGCUCACCACGUCUCUUGUACACACACAUCAACAGAAUGGCUUGGCCGAAAGGAAGCAUCGUCACAUUGUUGACAUGGGUCUCUCCUUAUUAUCGCAUGUGUCUAUGCCCCUCCGUUUUAGGGACGAGGCGUACUUGUCCGCAUGCUACCUUAUCAACCGACUACCUAGCCGCGUCAAUAUGAGUCCCAUGGAAAAACUGUUUUCCACCAAGCCUGACUACGUAUCUCUUCGCAUGUUCUGGAGUGCAUGUUGGCCUAAAUUGCGCUCGUAUAACACUAAGAAACUUGCGUUUAGAUCACAAUAGUGUGUGUUUGUCGGGUACAUCAUUCGUCACAAAGGAUACAAAUGUCUUCACAUACNNNNNNNNNNNNNNNNNNNNNNNNNNNNNNNNNNNNNNNNNNNNNNNNNNNNNNNNNNNNNNNNNNNNNNNNNNNNNNNNNNNNNNNNNNNNNNNNNNNNNNNNNNNNNNNNNNNNNNNNNNNNNNNNNNNNNNNNNNNNNNNNNNNNNNNNNNNNNNNNNNNNNNNNNNNNNNNNNNNNNNNNNNNNNNNNNNNNNNNNNNNNNNNNNNNNNNNNNNNNNNNNNNNNNNNNNNNNNNNNNNNNNNNNNNNNNNNNNNNNNNNNNNNNNNNNNNNNNNNNNNNNNNNNNNNNNNNNNNNNNNNNNNNNNNNNNNNNNNNNNNGAUGUUAUCUUUGAUGAACAUUUUUUUCCUUUUACCAAUGACCAACCCUCUUCAAUACCACCUCACGUUGCUGAACAUGCAAUCCUUUUAUUUCCACAUGACCACAUGAACUAUGGCGCAUCUGUUUCUCGAACUAAUCUGGAUGCAGGUACCGAUUCGGUGCAGAAAAUCCCAUCUCCGGACUCCCAGGCAGAUCAUGUCUCCCAAUCCGCCGCCGCAUCUGCCUAGGAUCACGCGCCGCCUGGAGACAGCGACGUGGAGGCAGCUGACCACGUGACGAUAGGUGACAGCGCGCCAGGUGACUGCGCUGGGCCCGGGUCUCCGCCACCCACCAAUCCCGUGUCCCCUGAGGGCGAGCGGACCGGGGCGUCUCCCGCGUCGGCUCCUGCAUGUGCGCGUCCGACCCACGUUGUGGUGGGGCCCACCCUUGCUCGGGCCGCUGUGUCUCCCGAUUCGCCCCAGGCUGUUGUCCACUUGGCGCCCAUAGAGCGGGCCGUUGCUGCUGGCGGCGCUGGAUCCCAGAUGGAUCGGGCGGCCGCGUCGUCUUCCUCGCCCGACACCGGAUCCAGGGGGAUUCGCCCGCGUGCUUGUCUGCAUGCGUCCCGCCCGUAUCCUCUAUGGCCACCGGAUCUUCUGCUCCGCCUGUGCAUGCAAUGACGACGCGCACACAUGAUCACACUCACAAACCGCUGUAGCACACUGAUGGUACUGUCACGUAUGAUCCGUCCCGUCGUGCAUUCUUGGCCAUGCGGGAACCGUCUGAUCAUCGUGAAGCGGUCUCAUCUCCAGAGUGGCGUCUGGCAAUGCAACUUGAGCUCGAUGCUCUCCGACAGAAUGGUACCUGGACUUUGGUACCUCCUCCUCCUUGUGUCAACGUCAUUGAUUGCAAAUGGGUGUUCAAGAUCAAACUCAAACUAGAUGGAACUGUUGAUCGUUACAAGGCACGUUUGGUCGCAAAGGGGUUCAAAUAACGCUAUAGCUUGGACUAUGACGAUAUGUUCAGUCCGGUCGUUAAACCUGUCACUGUGCGACUGGUUCUCUCUAUUACAGUUUCUCGUGGAUGGUGUUUGCGAGAGUUGGAUGUUCAAAAUGCUUUCCUUCAUGGCAUUCUCCAAGAAGAAGUAUACAUGCGCCAACCUCCUGGUUUUGUGAACCCCUCGGUGCCUCAUCAUUUGUGCAAACUUCGCAAGGCUCUCUAUGGGCUCAAAUAGGCUCCUCGAGCGUGGUAUUCUCGGCUGAGUUCUAGGCUCCAACAACUUGGUUUUAUAGCAUCCAAAGCUGACAGGUCCCUCUUUGUCUACAACCGGAGUGGUGUUACUAUUUUCAUGCUUGUGUAUGUAGACGACAUUAUUGUGGCCAGCUCCUCUCCUGCUGCUACUACCAAGUUACUUGCUGAUCUCCAAGCCUCCUUUGCACUCAAGGAUCUCGGUUGUCUGCAUUAUUUUCUUGGAGUCCAUGUGGAGUCAUCGCCAGGGGGAAUUGUUCUAUCUCAGCAGAAGUAUAUCAGCGAUAUUCUUCAUCGUGCGAACAUGGAGAAUUGCAAAGUCUCUACCACGCUGAUGUCCUCAAGUGAGAAAAUUAGCAAGGAUAGUGGAACACCACUUUCUCAGGAUGAUAGCACCAAGUAUCGCAGCUUGGUUGGAGCUCUCCAGUAUCUAACACUCACGAGGCCAGACAUUUCUUUUGCAGUUAACCGUGUUUGUCAGUUCCUUCAUGCACCUACGACUGCACACUUUUCAGCUGCAAAGAGGAUUUUGAGAUACUUGAAGUAUACUCACAAUAUGGUCUUGUCUAUUUGAAAGUCACCCUCCAUGCUGUUAAGCUGUUUUUCAGAUGUAGACUGGGCUGGAUGUAGUGAUGAUCGCCGAUCCACAGGUGGCUUUGCAGUUUUUCUUGGACCUAACCUAAUCUAGGUCAAGAAUGGAGUCUGAAUAUAAGACACUUGCGAAUGGAACAGCUGAGGUCAUAUAGUCCUGUUUUGUGGUGUGACAAUCUAGGAGCCACUUAUUUAUCUGCGAAUCCGGUAUUCCAUGCCAGAACCAAGCACAUAGAAGUGGACUUCCACUUUGUUCGUGAACGAGUUGCAGCCAAGGCACUUGAUGUUCGAUUCAUAUCUUCCAAGGAGCAAGUUGCAGAUAUAUUCACAAAGCCUCUAGCUGAGGUGCCGUUUGUUUUAAAUAGGCACAAUCUGAAUCUUUGUGUAGGAAGUUCAGAUUGAGGGGGAAUGUUAAACUGUAUAGUUAUCAGAUACGGUUAGUAUCUAGGAUUGUAGUUAUCAUUGUAUAACAACCUGUACUUAUCCUCCUGUAAACCCUAGCGGCAGCCCUAGAGGCGCCCUAUAUAAUGAUCCUGAGACCACCGCAUUAGGUGUGUCGAUCCAAUCUCUUCUCUCAUUGUUUCACAAGGUGUCCGUGGGUUGUAUGAAAUAAAACCAUAAAUUUACACACUAUUGUAUCGAUUGAGAACUCAAGAGCAAAGCCCGUUUCCAACCUCAUCUCCGCAAUACUGUACACUGAUUAUACUAUCGAUUGAGCUUCAAGGUAGUAUGAUAGUAUAAUCAGUGUACAGUAUUGUCCAAGACCGAACCAAACUUGUUCAUAUAGCAGUAAAAAUCUCUUGUGAUCAACAACAAAACUAAUGCUAAUAUUCAGGAUUUCAAACUUGAAGCAUUUGGAGAUCGACCAACAAAAAAAACUGAGCGGCGGUGUCAAAAGUAAUUGUUGACCUUUGUCAAAUUGACUGCAUGCUUUUAAAUCAAGAUCAUGCAACUUUACAAGACUUGCAUCUCAAUAAAACCAUAUCAGCUGCACAUGCAGAUGAGAGAAGUGGGAAAUACUCUAUUCCAUUCAAGGGUUGUAUGUCAAUUAUUAAAACACAAGCACAUUAUAAGUCACAAACCUCCAACGCGCAGAUAAUUUCGGAAAUGCCUAAACCUCAGAUAAUUUGGGAAAGGAGGGUGGCUACAGUCCCCUUGGCUGAUAUACAUAGGUCUAGCUGUAACAUCUUUGGGCAAAGCAUCAUUUACAACUGGUAACCACAGAAUAUGUAUUUAGCGCUAUUACAGAAGAAAAGAAAAGAAAAGGAUUAAAAAGGGAAUGCCGCCUUCAUAGGUCACAAACCUCGGCUUGUCAACAUCUUCUUGUGAAUGUACACAUAUUUGAAAUACUUGAAGCAGCUAGGAUAAUGUUCUUAAAAAUGGGUUGCUUCAGAGAUAAGAAACUAGUAAUGCAGUCAGACCAAAAGGAAAUUCAAGGGCACAAAAUACUUCCAGCAGGCCUUUGCAAAUUGGCAAUUAAUUAAGAAAAGGUGAUGUAUUGACUCAAGAGCCUGGACUCCACACACGACGCAGAAGUUUAAUUCAAGGACGGGGAAGUAAGAAUAAGACCACGUACGUACUAACAAAAGAGGGGAUCAAGGAGGAGCUGUAAAAUCCAAAUGAAAAUAUCAAUACAUAAUGAACAGCACCAUUCCGUUGAAAUACCACAAGUCGCUGCUAGUAAGAUUACAUAUGCCGGCUCUCUUGGACAACAAAACCUAAGUCAGGAUUCGACUACGCACGAUUAAUUUGUUGUGUUUGACGUUCCUCUUCCUCUCUUUUUUUUUUAUGAAGAAUCACAGAGUGUUUUAUUCCAGGAUGAUAGAGUUACAAUCUUCAGCGACUAAUUUGCUAAUGCAUGGGGUGGAUGGCCCAGCCAACCUGCUGUGCUAUCACCGACACUAUGAAAUCAAUCUUCCAAACUGCAGAAUUGUAAAGUACAGCUCAGACCUACAGGGCAGGACCGGCUAGCUAAACGGCCACGCUGGAUGAUAUGUUAUAAGUUCCCCGCGGCCGCGCCAUGAACUCCAAAUCUGGCGAAACCACCUACCGUCGCACAAGGCGCCGUCGGUCGUGGAACACGCGGUCUGCAGGUCACAUCGGUCCAGGCCUUGUUGGGUUCACGCGGUCCAGAUGACAUGCACGCCCGCCAAGCAAUUGAGAAAGAGAGAGCCAUGCACGCACGCGAAGCACGCUGCCCUGUGACAACGAGGAUGAUCAUGCAUGCAUGUCAGAGAGCAGAGAGCAGAGACGUCUGUCACUUGUGUAGAUGGUAGGUUCUGCUGGUUGGCGGUCACGCUAUGCAGACCGCGUGUUCCACGACCGGGCCAAAUUUCGUGUUCGGACCCUUUUUCGAUACAAACUCAAGAUCUGACCCCGGUUCCGAAAAUUUUCGAGAUCUGACCAUUCCGCUACCGUCAUGGGCUCUGACAGUAUGGUUAGACAUGCUACCGCCAGGGUCCAUGGCGGUAGGGUGCGACGGAGGGCGACGGGGGGCAACGGCCGCCGUUUGCUCGAGCUGACGUGGACAAGUAGCCUACCGCCAGGGACCAUGGCGGUAGCAUGUUAGACCUUACCGCCUGACCCCUUGGCGGUAAGGUGUGGCUGGAGUUUUGCCUCCCAAGUUUCUGUAACGAAAUAUCGAGGUGCCCUGGCGGUAGGUACGUUCGUCCUACCGUCAGGGUCCUUGGCGGUAGGGUCCUGUGUUCUAUGGUUUAUAAGUUUAUUUUUUGCUUUUUUUCAAAAACAAUAUAGGCCCUAAAAUAUGAGCUCACAUUUUUUUAGUGAUUGUUUCUUUUGUAAAAUAUGAAUCACAAAGAAAGCCAACAAACGGUUUCACAUAGUUUGUUUUGUUACAAGUUUCACAUCACAAAUAGUAAAAUAUGAGCUCACAUAAUGAUGAUGGUUCCACAUAGCAAUUAUCAAACAGUUUACAGAUAAUAGAUUCAUAAGUAGGGAAUAGCAAAUAGCAAACUUGUCCACAUAGUUUGACAAGCCCUACAAAAGCAGAGAUAUAUAUUCAAUCGACAUGUUUAUGGGGCGGACAAAUCUCCCCUCCCCNNNNNNNNNNNNNNNNNNNNNNNNNNNNNNNNNNNNNNNNNNNNNNNNNNNNNNNNNNNNNNNNNNNNNNNNNNNNNNNNNNNNNNNNNNNNNNNNNNNNNNNNNNNNNNNNNNNNNNNNNNNNNNNNNNNNNNNNNNNNNNNNNNNNNNNNNNNNNNNNNNNNNNNNNNNNNNNNNNNNNNNNNNNNNNNNNNNNNNNNNNNNNNNNNNNNNNNNNNNNNNNNNNNNNNNNNNNNNNNNNNNNNNNNNNNNNNNNNNNNNNNNNNNNNNNNNNNNNNNNNNNNNNNNNNNNNNNNNNNNNNNNNNNNNNNNNNNNNNNNNNNNNNNCAGGCGGAGGCGGAACGCUGGUCGGCAUCCAACCGUUCAAGCAGUCCCACCUUGGCUUGCCCGCUGGAGGUUUCGCCUCAGCCCUUGCCCAGUUGAUGAUAUCGAAGCUGAUGCACUUGGAGGCGGCAUCCUGGCUCUCUCCUCCUCAUUGCUCUCGAAGUAGAUCCUCCGGCCCAAAUUGCGCAGCUCGACACUACUAGGAAAAGGCAUGCUAGUGGCGCACCAGUUUUGCCUACUAAUGGCGCACUACUGGUGCGCCACUAGCAUCACGCCAUUAGAAUUAAAUUCUAAUGACGCACCACUGGUGCGCCAUUAGUAUCUGGUGUUCUAAUGGCGCACCAAGCAGUGCGCCAUUAGUAUAGCCCACAGUGCGCCAUUAGAAUGCCUCCCGGGGGGCCAUAUGUACCCAUGUGCUUUGGCUUACUAAUGGCGCACCAGUGGGUGAUGCGCCAUUAGUGUGAUUAUCACAGUGCGCCAUUAGUGUCUUGUGUGGUGCGCCAUUAGUAUUAAUAUUAGGUUUUUUUGGGGGUUUUUUUUUCUAAUUUUUUCACAGGUUACAAAAUAUAUUAUUUGACAGAAUAUAGAAAGCACCACACAGCAAUAGCAGAUUCAUCGAAUACAAUAGAAGGCAAGUCUCCGAAUACAAUUCAUCAUAUUAGUCUCCGAAUACAAUUCAUCAUAUUAGUCUCCGAAUACAAAAGACCGAACGAAGAUAGAACAUUACAAGUCUCGUAGACCGCGAGUAGCGAGUUUGUCUUCACGUUACAAGUCGAUAUCGAUCAUCUAAACUACCAUCCCAUAGAAGAGAGCUGCGGUCAUCACGAUGAGCAUCAUCGCGAUGAAACUGGUCUUCACCCGGUUCCUCCAACGCUCCCUCCUCUCUCCCGCUAGAUAGCAGGCGUAUCUAGAUUCCGCCUCUACCCUAGUGGUUUACCCUUUGUAACUGUUACCGCUGAAACAGUGAACCUGUCUCCGACACUCCUCCCAGUCGCCGUAGACUCCGGGAACCUUACCCUUGUACACGACAUACGACGGCAUCUCUAUGCACAAGCCAAACAACAGACAAUACAUAAGCAAUAUAUAAGUAUGCAACAAAAGGAUCGAAAGAGAAAAGCAAAACAUUAAUAGCACGAUUCAUGGUCCUACUAAUAAAUAGCAUCAAUUACAUCUAAGUUAAACGACUGUCCAAACCAAAGAGACAUACAAGUUCAUUAAAGUUUAAUUACAACAUGAGCUAAUUGAUGUUUCAGAACUACAAAUAGCAUCACUACUUUCGACUCGACUCAUGGGACCGGAGCGUGGAUGAAGCCGCCGUCUUUCGUGAUGGUCAUGAAGUCGCGGGCGUUGUGAGCCUGCAUUUGAAGUGUUGUGUCUAUCUCACUGUUGGAUGGUUGCUCUUUGAGGUAGAACUGUCCCGAGGUACGAAGGACAUCUUGAUGGAUGAUUUCUGCAAACUCCGACGGGAUGCGAAAGAAUUCUUGUCGGAGGUCUGCGUCCUGGAUUGCCGCCAAGCUUGUGGCCCAAUCUUUGACAUUAUUUGCUAGCAGAAGGUGAUUAUGGUCCCGUACGAUCGCCCUCGUGUGAUGGAGGGCGUAGUAGGCAUCCUUCUGACCGCCAGGCGGCUGCUUGACGCAGGGGAACGUCGUAUUGUGGAUGAACACGUGCCUGACGUACCUACGAACUUUCCUCUUAAAGGUGCCUCCAGAUGUGGCGUAGCCGGGGAGAGCAUCAUCAAGAACUUUCUUGAUAUUUGUGUAGUGUAUUUUGGAGUCACGGUCUGCGUCGAAAUACGUGACCGUGGAAUAUUUCGGGCUUAAGAGGAUGAGUGUGCAAUGUGUGUCACUGCACAGAACACGGAAUGUUAGAAAAAAAAGAGAACGAUCGAAAUCUAAGAAAUCAUAUGUUACGGGGCGGUGAGGGGAUGACUUACUCGGGAAAGUAAGGGACGAGGAAGUUAUCCUUAUCUGGGUUUGCCAGAAUGACGCCUUCGAGGUGUGAACUCACGACUUGCCGGUCCCCAGCGCUGCCCAAGAUCUUGGCACGCAUGUAGAAGGGGUCGACUAUCACGAUGUCCGGUGUCUUGUCUCGAAUGAUCCGCAUCUCCAUAUUCAGCGAAAACAGCCGAACGAAGCUAUAGUGCAGCGGAUGGAGAUUAAACAUAGCAAAGAUGUCAUCAAACCGCAGGAAGAUCGUACCCCCGAUGGCGCCAUCCACAAAGCCCUUGCCCUCUGGCACCUUGGCCAUGAAAACCGGGUAUGCCACAUCAUUCUGGGAGAGACGCAUCUUCUCCAAAGAAAGAACACUGUCAUGCAGACUCCGCAUAGCACCGGGUGCAGCAUUGAGCAUAUUUGUCGGUAGCAUCGCCCUACCCGCCACAUGCACCCUCCUCGAGAUAUCCUGAGGUGAAGGUGGCCCGUCCUGAGCACGGAUCGUACUCGAUGCCGGCUAGCUUGCACCGGCGCCCUUAGCAGUCUUUCGUUUCCGUCCCUUCUUCUUGAUCUGCUGUAAUGGGACCGAUUUCUGCUCACAGGCCGCCUUCUUGAGCGUGUUGGGGCUGAUAAUAUUUCGCACCUCAGCUAUCUGAGGCUCGGUGAAGGCGGGAGCUGGAGGCGUCUCCUGAGAACUGAAAGCCAGAUGACGCCUGUUGCAAUUGGAUUUCUCCAUUGUACCAGCUAGAUCGCGGUCGUAUUGGUUGGGUUCUUGAGAAGGAGGCUCGCCGAACUCGUCACCGUACCCUUGUUCGGCAAAGUACUUAUCAAUGUUGGUAAAUGUACCGUCGUCGUUGUCGUCGUCGUCCGAAUCCUGUGCCAUAUGCAUGUCCGGAUCCUGUGCCAUAGGGAUGUCCAGCAUGUUCGAUAGUGUUGCGGCGUUCUUGCCAUGGCGCGGCGCCGGCAUGACCGGCGGUCUUGUUUGUAGGGUGGUGUCCCCCGCCCCCAAACGAAUCUAGAUCUUCGGCCAAAGCAGGGGCCAACUUAGGCAGGCGCUGAGGGUCAUCAGAUCUUCUUCGUCAGCCCCGGCGGGUUGAAUCGAAGGUAACAACUCGUCGCAGCCUGGCAGCACCCGAACCAGUUGAACCCUAUACACGAUGGGUGGCAUCGGUUUACCAUGGAACACGGGGUUGCCCGGUUGAACGAUUUUGCCCUUGGCGACAUCGACCAACUCGUCGUUCACGAAGUGCAGGAGAGUGCACGAAACAUCGGCGACGCCCUGCGAAAACAUGUAGGGCGUCAGGGAUGCCCAGUCAAAGGCAAAAGGAGAUGAAGUCCUCGACCGAGAGGCUUAAUUAGUUACCGUGAUGAUGGCUUCGAGCUCGGCUAAUGUCGAGGCACUGCCAACGGCGGGCGUGCAACGGACGGAGGGGCCGCUUGCUGGCGAGGUGCCGGCCGGCAUACACCCGGGUGCAUUAAGCUCCAAUGCCCGUGCCGGCACCGGAGACACCAAUACCGCCGCCGCCGAUGACACCAAUGGCGCCGCCGGAGACACCAAUGGCGCCGCUUGCACAUUGUGCGAGUUGCUGGCCGUGAAGCUGGGAAUCAGGGGCGGCCCCUGUUGGCCACCCGCAAUCCACGUCGUCAGCCCAUGAAUCAAGGUAGGCAUAAUGUCGGUGAGCGUCGUUCCCAGUUGUUGUUGCACUUGCUCUUGGAUAAUCUCCGGAAUCCGCGCCACUUGUGCCUUGAGUUCUUCAACCUCGCGCGACUGGCUUUCCGAGCUGGUCUUUUUCUCCUUUCACCCACCAGCGGUAUAGUAUGAGGACCAUUUUGUGGACAAGCCUUUGCCGGCCACACGACCAGCUGACAACGGCUUACUGAGCUUAUCCUUGUUUUUCAUUACAUUCAACGCCCUAUUUAGAGUGUUGUCCCAAGCAGGGGUGCUCUGAGACGACCCCGCGCUACUGCUUUCAGUCUCCUUCGCCAGAACAAGCUCAAGCGCCCUGGUCUUCGGAUCCGUGGUAAGCUCCUUUGUUAUCAGGUCCUCCUUGUACCGGGCCCUGACAAAGUUCCUGGCCUGCUUGUCACUGCUGUAUUUCUCGAAGCGGGGCGGUAGGCCUUGCUCGGCAUGCUCCGCGUCCUCCUUGUCCCAUAUAGGCUCCGCCACUCUGUAACCGCCGGGACCAAGUUUGUGUUCCCCUAAGUUCAACUCCUGCAUUUCUUUCCCCCACUGACUUGAUUCGGAGGUUGCACUGCUCUCACACUUGAUCUUGAACUCCUUAUAGUCAUCUUCACUGAUCGAAGAAUUUUUCGCCUUGAUCUUCUCAUAACUAUCACCUUUCUCAAUCAUUCUCUUCACCUCGCUUCUCCAAGUAGACAGGGUCGUGCUCAUCCUCGUGAGGGCGGCACUGUUCACUUUAUUCCCUGAGAGGCGUGUGUUUUCAAAUUCAGCGGGGAACUUGUAUCAUUUGUGCAGCUUCGUGAAGAGGAGGUUGCGCAAAUUCCCUCGGUACUUAUGCCUAAGGUUCUCGGUGUUGAUCGAGAUAGUGCUCCGGAGAAUGCACCCGAGCUGAACCGAGUACCCCUUGACUAUAUGUUUGGGCUCCGUUGGAUGCCCGUCGGAGUCCACUUGAGUAAAUUCCUCCUUGACGGUGUGGAGCGUAUUCGGGCGCCGGUCCUUCCGUUGCUCUUUAGUUGGCUGCCAUCUGUGCGUGCGCUGCCAUCAUCAGUGGUGGCAUCCUCGGCGGCACCAUCAGUGGUGUCAUCCCCGACGCCACUAGGGGUUGUGUAGUCAGGAUCGGUGUCUUCCAUGGCGUCCUCAUAGCGGUGAGGUUGUUCCUCCAUCUCCUAGGACAGCUCCCAGAAUUGCUUGCCGCCCGAACCGCCGGCCUCAUCAUUGUUGGCCAUGUUUCGCUAAAUAGGAAAAAAGUUUGGUCAAAAAGUUGGUUAUUGUCAAGGAACAAGAUCAUGGUCUCAUCAUUUAGGGUUUGUCGACACUGAGGCAUCCGAAAAGCUAAGUUUUAUCAUUUAGGUUUUGUCAACGCCGAGGCACCCUAAAAGCCUAAGCGUACAUCAUUUAGGUUCUCAUCGACACCGGGGCACCCUAUAGAAGCCAAGGUUUCAUCAUUUAGGGUUUGUCGACGCCGAGGCACCCUAAAUGCUAAGUUAAGUUUUCAUCAUUUAGGGUUUAUCGAUGCCGAGGCACCCUAGGUUGGGCCUAAUCACUUGGCACUAAUCACUUGGCUCUAUUGCCACCUAUGUUGGGUUUAUCAUCUAGGGUUUAUCGAUGCUAAGGAGAAUUCUAAGUUGGGCCUAAUCACAUGGCUCUGUUGCCACCUAUGAUUUAAUGCAGCAAGAAUGGCGGGGCAGUUGAUCCUACUUAACUAAGUACUAAGAUACCACGGCCCAUGCAUUAGUCGCAAGUACCCCAUAUGUCCUAUUUUUAGCAAAGUCAUGCUAAACUUCACGGAAAAUUUCAGCAUGACCUUUGCUGAAAGUAGGACAUAUGGAGUACCCGAAUUUGCCGGAACGGAAGUUAAUCGACAUUCCGGAAAACUCAAGGGCCUCUCGGGGUACCUGCAAAUUCAUCACAACACAAUGGUCGGAGAUAAAACCCAGCAACUUUACAAGUCUUUCACAGAUUUGUUUGCAAGUUCUGAUAUGUAAUAAAGAUGAGUCUCAAAGAUGAGCCUCCAAUGCUGAUUUGUUUGCUUCAAGACAAGAUGAACCUCCAAUGCAACAAGUAAUAAAAUGUUCAACAAUGUAUCAGAUUCGGCAACAGUUUAACAUCUACUCUAGUAAUUAUACAACACCAUGACCAACAUUUCUCCUCUCCAGAAAUUAGAAACAAAAUAAAGGAACAUUACACAGUAGCCAUCAAAUUAAAAUAACACAUACAGUACAUACAGGUAGGUAAUACUAAAGCAUGUUCAUAUUAGCUAGUGACCAUUAUAUUGCUUUAGGUUAGGGCCCUUACAUUAUUUUCUCUCUAUCCCUUUCUUUAGCUGCACUGCAUCACAAGGCAAAUAUGGUUCAAAAUAAAAUACUGCUGAAUAAGCACCUAGCAGAAUAGUAAAAUAAGCUUAAAAAAUGCAUACAGCUUGACAUACAAACACAGACAGUUAUGCAAGUGCUAGAGGUAUGCAUAUAUAUAUGUGAACUUGAUCCUGAACUAGAGGUACACAUGUUUGCAUACUCAUCUCUGCAAUUAGUCGUGCUUAUUUGCAUUGUGCUAUAUAUGAAUCCACACUGACUCGAGCCUGAAUCAAUCAGUCAAUGUUGCUCACAUAUACUCCCACACUCCCAUAAUAGUACUAAUAUAAGAGCAUUUAUAUUAUUGGAAUGAAGGGAUAAUUUUUUUUCUUUCAAGAAACACAAACCCUAACAACACAUUACGAGCACCUUCAAGAGAUUGAACCAACCCGACAUCCACAAACACCUCCUACUCAACACACAGACACAGACCAAGGAAGAAACAUAACCAUUCUUCUUUUUUCUUUCUUUGUUGUUAAUAAUAAAAGAAACUACAAGAGCAAGGAAGGAACAAGUCUUCUUUUGUACUGCAACACAAGAAACCCUCUUUCUUUCUUUCUUCCCUUCGUGUUAAUUUAAUUUUACUGCACCAUCUACUAACCUCCUCCAACUUUACUACCACUACAUCCCUCUCAAGGACAUCUAUGUACUGCUUAUAAAGCAUAACAUGCUGAUGCUAUGUUUCAUUUGCCCCAUCUCCCAUCUCUACUCUUAUUUUAAGUAAAUGCCCAGAUGCCUUACAUUUAUCUCUGCGGGACUUUUUUCUUUUCUAAUGAUAUCAUCUAUACAUGUUACUUAGUUACUAAACCUAUGUAACUUAGGAUCAAAUUGAUAAAUUGCUAGAAGUAUCCGCAUAUUUUCGUGGAGAUCAUAUGGGGGAGGAUCGGACAAUGUGGCAACAAACAGCAAGGUGUGUUCUUUCAAAGAAUCUUUGCAUCAAGUCAAUGAACAUCAUAUUUGAAGUGCAGUUUAACUUAGUCACUUAAAACUAUCUGAUCCACAACUAACAACCAAAGUCAUGUUCAGUUAUAGUGCUUAAAUAUGAUUUUGGUGUGUGUGAAAACAAUACAGUAUUAUAUUUCUACUGAAUGCAUGAGUAUGAUGUAUCACACAUCUACAUGUCUAGGCUUUUUCAGUUUUUUUCCGGAUGGAAACCAGAAGCAUCACUGUCCUUGACUAGAAUCACCAUGGCCAGAUUAAAGACUGCAAGCUGGCAAGUUCUUCCUUUCAAUUUCUCAAUCUUAGCUAGCGGAGGAUGAAUUGAGGAGAAGAGAGGCAGAGGGAGGAGGGUUACCUGGCGGCGGUGGGGCGUUGAAGACCUGGCGGCGAGGUUCCUCCUCUCGGUGGCGGCGGGGCUCCUCCCCUCAGUGGGGGCGGUGGCCUCUUCCCCUCGGUAGCAGUGGCGGGGCUCCUCCUCUCCUUGUGGAGGCGGGGCGUUGAUCCGGCGACGGCCCUGGAACCCUAGCGCUGGCCCUGCUCGCCCGAGCGGGAGCGGCGGUCAUCGGAGCGGGGGAGGCGGCGGGGGUGCGGGGGCGCGGGGGCGGCGGUGGCGGGGGUGGAGUACCGCGGGGGUCGGGGCAGCGGCGUCGGGGCGGGGCAAGACCACAGCAGCGGACGAAGGGGGCGGAGCAAGGGGGUGGCGGCGUACGGUUGUUGAGUGGGGGAUCUGGCGAGGGAGGGAGGGAGGCCAUAGUGCGAGGAGAAUAGGUGGAGUGGGGGGAGGAUUCUAAUGGCGCACCUCCCCCUAGUGUGCCAUAAGUACGACGAUUCUAAUGGCGCACAUCCCCCUGGUGCGCCAUUAGAAUUUUGUUUUAAUUAGCCUGACUGGUCAGGUUAUAUUCCACCUAACACUAUCUCCGUCAGAACACGCCCACUAGCCCGACUGGUUAGCACGCAGCACACACACUAGGAGGUCCUGGGUUCGAUUCCCACGCUCCCCAAUUUUUGCUUUUAUGCAUUUAAAAUGAUGUUUGAUAUUUAUUUGUGCUUAAAUAUGUUCAAACUUGUUCAAAUCAUAACAGUAAUAUUUUUUAAUAAAAACAGUAAUAUAUUUUUUAAAAAUAUCAUCAAAUUUGUUAUUUGAAAAUAUUUAUGAAUAUGAAAAAAUAUCAUAAAAANNNNNNNNNNNNNNNNNNNNNNNNNNNNNNNNNNNNNNNNNNNNNNNNNNNNNNNNNNNNNNNNNNNNNNNNNNNNNNNNNNNNNNNNNNNNNNNNNNNNNNNNNNNNNNNNNNNNNNNNNNNNNNNNNNNNNNNNNNNNNNNNNNNNNNNNNNNNNNNNNNNNNNNNNNNNNNNNNNNNNNNNNNNNNNNNNNNNNNNNNNNNNNNNNNNNNNNNNNNNNNNNNNNNNNNNNNNNNNNNNNNNNNNNNNNNNNNNNNNNNNNNNNNNNNNNNNNNNNNNNNNNNNNNNNNNNNNNNNNNNNNNNNNNNNNNNNNNNNNNNNNNNNNNNNNNNNNNNNNNNNNNNNNNNNNNNNNNNNNNNNNNNNNNNNNNNNNNNNNNNNNNNNNNNNNNNNNNNNNNNNNNNNNNNNNNNNNNNNNNNNNNNNNNNNNNNNNNNNNNNNNNNNNNNNNNNNNNNNNNNNNNNNNNNNNNNNNNNNNNNNNNNNNNNNNNNNNNNNNNNNNNNNNNNNNNNNNNNNNNNNNNNNNNNNNNNNNNNNNNNNNNNNNNNNNNNNNNNNNNNNNNNNNNNNNNNNNNNNNNNNNNNNNNNNNNNNNNNNNNNNNNNGGCCGGUGGAGCGGGGGAGAUGGUGCGGGGGGUGCUCGGCGGUGAAGGGGGCCGGAUCUGGCGAGGUGGGAUAGCGAUCGAGAUGGAGGGGGAUCGAGAUCGAGUGUCCAUGAAAUUUAAAAACAUUCAUGAGUUCAAAAAGUGCCCAUGAAAUACAAUCGAGAAAUGAAGGCUACAAUUUAAAUACAAUCGAUCUUAGCUAGCUAUCUAUUCACAAUCUUCUUGCCCUUAUUUUUCGUAAAUGGAGUUCUUCUCUUGAACGGACGUCCUUUAGGUAGGGUGGUCCUGCUUCUUCUUGUGGUGUAUGCUGAUACUUCAUCGUCGUCCUCAUGUUCCAUCUUCAGGUCGCCGUACUUGUCGAAGUCUUGCUCAUUGGCGACUCCAUCCAUUCCGACGAUCUUCCUUUUGCCUCUUCCCACGACAACACGAGUGGGCUUUGGCGGGUCGGUAAUGAAGAAGCAUUGGUCCACUUGGGAAGCCAGUACCCAUGGCUCAUUUUUUGCGGUGAUGUUUGUGCCUGCGGUCUUGGAUUUGGCUUCGGGUAUAACCAUGGUGGUGAAAUACCGGUUUUAUUUUAUGAUGCUCUUGGCCCAUAUGACAUGGAACAUCGGGACCUUCUCUCCAGAGUAGCUCAGCUCCCACAUCUCCUAGAUCCUUCCGUAGUAUCUGUCCUUGUCAUUACUGGUGUAGUAUUCCAUCGUUACCCCGGAGUUCUAAUAACCAUCGCUCUUCAUGUCCUUGUCCUUGGUGUAGAAUGUGUAGCCGUUGAUAUCGUACGCCUCAUAGGUCAUCAGGUUGUGCUCGGCGCCCUGUGACAAGGCGAACAUGAGUUGUUCUUCCGCGGAAGAAUCCUCAUGUAAAGGGUACAACAGAAGCUUCUGCUUUGAUUAUAUCUCCGUCUGUCCUCUGUUGGCCUCGGUCAUUGUACGUCUUCUCAAUAAAGGUUUUGUGCUCUACCACCCAAGGAUCGACCACGUCUAUGUGUUGUAGCGCGACUAGGUUUGCUCUUUCAAAGUCGGCGAGUCGACCCUCAAAGUCGACAUGCAUUUCGCGGCGACCCUCACGGUGACCCCAUCCAGCGAGCCUGCCGAGGUGCCUGUUGACGGGCAGACCAACGGGGUCCUCGAUGCCUAGAUAAUUCGUGCAGUAGGAGAUGCACUCUUCGAUCAGAAAGCCCCUGGCUAUGCUUCCCUCUGGACGUGACAUGUUGCGAACGUAUCCUUUGAUGACACAUUCAUCCUUUCGAACGGCAUCAUGCUGUGCAGGAAUGUUGGCCCGAGUUGGAUGAUAUCCUCCAUGAUAUGGACCAGCAGAUGCACCAUAACGUCGAACAAUUCGGGCGGGAAGUACAUCUCAAGCUCGCAUAGUAUCACCACGAUCUCUUCCUGUAGCCUUCUGAGUUGCCUCACGCCAACCGACUUCCGGGAGAUGACGUCAAAAAAGUUGCAUAGGCCAAAUAGCAUUUCACGGACGUGCGCGUCCAUGAUCCCACGGAUUGCAACUGGAAGUAUCUGCGUCAUCAGCACGUGACAGUCGUGAGACUUCAUCUCGCUGAACUUCUCCUUCGCUGGGUCUAGGCAUCUGCUUAUCUUCCCCGCGUAAUCAUAAGGAAGUUUUACUCCUAUGAGGCAGGUGAAAAACUGAUCGAUCUCCUCUUGACUGAGAGUGAAGCACGCGGGAGGGUAGUCAUUUCCGCUCUUCUUGGCCUUUUUGCCUUUGCGACGACUUUCCGUGUCCUGCUUCGCCUCAUCAUCAUCAUCAUUAGCGUGAAGCUCCUCCCUGAUGCCCAUUGAUUUCAAGUCUACCCUUGCUUUUGGCCCAUCUUUGGUCCUCUCUGGCAUGUUGAGUAGGGUACCAAGCAGACUCUCGCACACAUUCUUUGUGAUAUGCGUGACAUCAAGGCUGUGAGGCACACAGUGGAUCUUCCAGUACGGCAAGUCCCAGAAAACAGACCUCGUUUUUCAUACCUUCAGCAGCGGCUCUGGUGCCUUUCGCUUCUUUACCGGCUCUGGCGCCUUUUGCUUCUCUCCCAGCAGUGGGCAAUCUUUCCAAUUUUUCAACAACUCGUCUAUUUCCUCGCCGCGCCUCGUACGCGGGCGUCUUCGGGGUUCGGUUUCACCAUCAAACAAAUCCUUGUGUUUCCUCCACGGGUCAUCGUCACGAAGCCACCUUCGAUGUCCCAUGAACACGGUUUUCGAAGACUCGGGAUCUCUAUCUAGUUGGCGAUACGUUGUGUCCCAAGCACCUAACGCAUCCAGAAAAUCCGUGGACCACCUGCCCCGCGACAUAUCCGUAACCAAGAUAGUCGUGCACCGUCGUGAGCGGUGCGGCUCUCAUAGGGAAAUAUUCUUUCUCUGCGGCGUCCCACAUAUUGGCUGGCGUUUUCCACAGCGUGUCUAGCUCCUCUUUCAGCAGCCCUAGAUACAGAUUGAUGUCGUUCCCUGGUUGUUGCGGCCCUUCAAUUAGCAUACUCAUGUGAAUGUACUUCCUCUUCAUGCACAACCAUGGGGAAGGUUGUACAUCCACACAAACACAUGCCAGGUGCUAUGUGUGCUUCUCUGGCUGCCAAACGGAUUGACUCCAUCGAUGCUCGCGCCCAGCAUGAUGUUCCUUGGAUCCGUCCCAAAUUCUGGGUGUUCGAAGUUCAACGCUUGCCACUAGCUCCCGUCCCUAGGGUGACUCAGCAUCUUGUCUUUUUUAUUUAUCUCCAGAUCAUUUGCGUCAUCUUCUCGCUUCUUCUCCUCCCUAUCCGCGUGCCAACGCAGGAGCUUUGCUACCUUAGGGUCCGCAAAAUACCGCUGCAGACGAGGAGUGAUCGGAAAGUAGCACACCACUUUUCGAGGAGCUUUCUUCCUCUUCUUGUAUCGAGUGACGCCGCACACCGGACAUAUGGUAGACUCCGCGUGCUCGUCCCGAUAAAUGAUGCAAUUGUUCAUGCACACAUGGUAUUUCACGUGCGGUAAAUUCAGAGGACACACGAUUUUCUUCGCCUCCUCAAAACUGGUCGGGCACUUGUUCCCCUUGGGAAGACGUUCACGCCAAAAAUGACAUGUUCUCGUCGAAGCAUGCGUCAGUCAUUUUAUGUUUUACCUUCAUCUCUAGAGCCAUGAGCGUUACUUUCAGGCGGGUAUCCUCGGGCGUGCAUCCUUCAUACAAUGGAGUAACCGCGUCUAUCUCUAGUUGACCCAGCUUGGCUUUCUCUCGGGUGGCAGCUCUUGCGUUAUCCGUCUGCUUCAGAAGCAGCUCUUGAACAUGAGGGUCCUGCACCCAGCCCAUCGAUGGUCCAUCGUCACCUGCUCUGCCGACAUUUUCAUCUUCGUGAUCAUGCCCUUCGUCUGCUCCGGCAUCUUCCUCAUCAUCAUGUCCUGCAUCUUCUACAUGAUGACUAUGUACAGCAUCACCGUCGUGAUCAUGUCCUGGAGAUUCUUCGUCUUCUCGCCCGCCCGAGCCGUGGUGGUUGUCUUGUUGCCCUUCCUCACUUCUUGCCCGGCCCCCAUGGACGACUUCAUAGACAUCUUCAUACCUUGCCACUGAUAGCCAUCCAUGAAACCAUGCAAGAGCAGUUGGUCCCGCACCUGCCCGGAAUCCGGGUCCGCAAUAAGGCUCUUCAGCUUGCAUCUUCGACACGGACAUCUUAUCUCCGUCUCGUUCUUUUCAAGCAUCUCGGCCUUCGCGGAGCUCAAAAACCUAUUCACGAGGCCUUUGGUCAUCGUGCGGACCAUGGUCCCCUGCGGGGUAGAGCAAAACGAUAUUUUAGAACCAAGAAAAAAUUUGGCAUGACUUUCCCUAAAAAUAGGACCAAAAAGAAUGCAUAGUGCCAAAAUUCUCACCGAAACGGAAAUGAAUCAACAUUCCGGCAAAAUAUUGGCAACUAUCGCAUUUCAAAUACCGGUACCUGCAAACACAAACAAAUAUGCAACACCACAAACAUAUGCAACACCACGAACCUACAUAGAUCUAGCUAGGCCACAAAAAGUGCAUGUGCAUGUUGUUGGAGAGGGAGAACAACAUAAAGAUAUCUUCCCCCCUACUUACCUAUCAAAAAAAAGUAAUUUAACCACUUAAUUUGGAUGAAUCUAUGGUGCAAAUGAGGUCAGGAGGAGGAGGCAGCCGAAACAAGCUUGGAGGAGGAGGUGGAGAGAAUGAAGUAGGGAAAGUGAGUGGGUAGGUGGGCUGUCCAAAAUAUCUUGUUGGUCCCAGGUUACUAAUGGCGCCCCACCUGCAAAUGCACCAUUAGUAACCCUGGUUACUAAUGACGCACCUGCUGCUGGUGCACCAUUAGAAGUUUUGCAAAAAAAUAAGAAAUAAAGUAUAUAUUCUAAUGGCGCAUCAUGGCACAGUGCGCCAUUACUAGUUCAAACUAGUAAUGUCGCACUAGGCUAGGGUGCGUCAUUAGUAGUUUUGCAAAAAAAAAGAAUAAAAAAACAACAGUAGUGGCGCACUAUGUGGCCGGUGCGCCAUUACUAGUUAGCACUAGUAAUGGUGCACCUUGCCAUGAUGCGCCAUUAGUAUGUUUGGAAAAAUAAGAAAAAAAUUACUAGUGGCGCACCUUUAGUGUCUUCCACACUAAUGGCGCACCUGCACAUGAUGCGCCACUGCUAUAUAGUAGUGGCGCACCACAUGACAGGUGCGCCAUUAGUGGCCAUUUCAUCUAUAACCCUUUUCCUAGUAGUAUCCCGGUUGGAGCGCUGCUUGGUAGCUUCAAUGUCCCAUUCCCGGCGUUCUCAGGAGAUAGUUGGAUCUCCCUCCAUCUCUGCAAUCACUCUCUUCCACUCCUUCGCACGUUCUGCCCAACACUUUUGAUCAUCGUAGAUCCGUUCCGCCCUCUCGUGCCACCGCACUGCCCUCGUCUCCUGUAGGAACUCGUCUGAAAAAGCGGUCACCGGCAGCAAAAGCUUGGGGCAGGCCUCGUACACGUACGGAAGUGGCAAGCCGGACAGGUCGUGUUGGAGAUGAAGGGGCGAUGGUUGCGCAACUGUUGCAGACCUAAACAUAUGGAUGAAAUAAAUAAAAUAUAUAUAUCAAGAUGUGUCAAAUGCAAAAUCGUAUCAUAUCAUAUUUACUCCAACCAAAUCCAGUACUUGCAUCAUAUUCACAUGCUUACUAAAAAACUAAGAACUAAGAACUAAGAACUACAACUACAAUCACACAUCCUAAAUACAAUACAAUACAUAUCAAAGAAUUGCAUAAGCAUAUCAAAAGAAUUGCAUAAGCAUAUCAAAAGAUAUCGAUGCAUAACAAAGGUUCAUCACAUCCAAAAAAACCUAUGAGUUCAAUCUUUGAAUAAUCAUAUAUCUAGAUUAUUAUGAACAUGAACUAAAUAAAAUACAUAUAUCAAAAACAAAAACCAUGAACUAGGGUUCAUCUUGAGGGAUUAACCAUGUUUACUUCAACAAAAUCCACUACUUGCAUCAUAUAAGAUCCACAUGCAUCCUAUAUCAAAACAAAUAUUUCCAAUAUUCAUCAUAUAUAAAAAAAUUAACACAAAAAAUUAUGAACUAGGUUCAUCUUGAGGGUUCAACAUUUGUUCUCCAACUAUAUCCACUACUUGCAUCAUAGCAUAUCAACAUGCAUCAUCAUAUCACAAUAUAUUCCUCCAACAUGCAUCAUAUAAAAAAAUUCCUCCAAAAAUAAUAUGAACUAGGGUUCAUCUUCACAUAAUCAUACCAACUAGUGACUAGAGUUCGUAUCUAACACAUUAUAACAUCGAUAAUCAACCUAAAUCAAUCCUAGGGUUCAAAAUAUUUAAAUCUAGUUCAAGAAGGGGGGUGAUUUGAAUCAAAUAAUGCAACGAAUCGGAAGCUAUUUGACUAAAACUAAUUGGAGGGAUUGAAGGAGCUUACUUUUGUUUCUUCGGGGCCAUCUCGAUCCGCAAAAAUGAUGAAGAAACGAUGAAGAUCUGAGGGGGGGAGUGGAGGAGAAGAGAGAGGGGCGAGAGGAGGAAGAACUCCUCUGUUCUUGGGCGGGUGGUUGGGGGAGAAGGGGAGGGGUGGGGCGGCCGACGGCUUAUAACUGCCCGCACACUACCGCCAGGUAUCCCGGCGGUAGGAUCAGACAGGCUACCGCCAUGACCGGCGGCGGUAGGGUGGGACGGAGGCCGUUAACGUUGCUGACGUGGAUAAGUUCCCUACCGCCGCAGUGUCUGGCGGUAGCCUAGGUAAUCCUACCGUCGGGCGUCCUGGCGGUAGCAAAAAGGGUCAAAUGUCGAUUUUUUUUCAAAGUGGGGUCAAAUCCCGAUUUUGUUUGACAAAAGGGUCAAAACACGAAAAUCGGCCCCACGACCGGGGUAGCUCAUAUCAUUGGCGUGAGCUCAUAUCAUUGGCGUGUCAGUAUGAUCCUCUUGUCGGAUACUACGGCUUUACCGCGUACGUACUCCUACCGUUGAGAGCUGGCUGGUUGCGGACCCUCUGGAACGAACAGGUCGACAGGUCCCUCUCCCUUGGUAGUAGGCCCGAAUUAUAGGCACGUGCCGUUGUUGGUCUAGUCCCGGCCACACCGUCAAUGUAUCAGUUAGCGUGAUCGCGUCGCGUCGGAAUAAGUUUUUCCAGGCUCCGUUCGCGGCUAGAUGAGGCUUUUGCCUUCGUCUAGGAGCCAGCAGGGUGGGGAUCCCCGGAUCUCGUUGAGGUCGCGGGCUAUAGUGACUGGAGGUUCAUCAGCACUGGCCGUUUGGGUCCUCAGAUGGGCGUUGGAUGCAGGGAGACUGUUGAGUAACGUGAUUGUAUUUGGAAACAUAGGUUAGACUAGGAAAUAUUCUUGCUUUCCUUGUACUCCAAGUAGAUCAUGUACUCCUAUAUAUGUGCCCACGAGGCUCAAGCAAUACAUUGAACUAUUCCACCAACCCUCUCUCUCCCUUCAACAUGGUAUCUAUUGCAAGUCGAUCCUAAACCCUAGCCACCGCUGCUUCCGCACCUGCGCGCCGCCCCCGGGGCUGUCAGCCUCCAUGACCGCCGCUGGGGGCUGCGCCGCCCGUACCUAGGGUUCGUCCACCGGUCGUGUUGACCGGCUGCCCUAGAGAGUGUUUUCCCUGAGCCCUUGCUCCAGAUUUUUUCGCUCUCUCGCCGGUCGUUUUGAUCGGCGUUUUUCUUUUUGGUUUUCUGAUCUAUGCUUGAUCGGUUUGCGUCGCUCGCCGCCGCCGUCGACACCGAGCGCCUCUACUUUGACCCCGACGCUACCAGCCGGCCUCUCCUCCGACCCGGCAGCCACGCGUGUCGAGGCGGCCCGUCAGGGCCAGCCGUCGUCCGCGCGUCGGUCCGCCCGUCACCGCCCUGCUCCGACCGGGACACCUGCAUCGCCCCGACCCAGCGGCCACGCGCCAUGUGAUGGCCAAUCAUAAUCGUCGCUCGCGUGCCGGCCCCCCAUCGAUCUAGAUCACCCGCCUCCGCCGCGUCUUCACGGCGGCCCGAUGGUCUACCUCGCCGGCCUCGUCCUCGGUUACGUCGGGACGGCUGCGUCAGGCUUGUCGGCUGCCUCAACUCGGGCGCCGCUGCUCCGUUGGUCGCUCGGGCCUCACUGCCCGGGCGCCCAUGUUGCUUUGGCAGCCCGGGUGCCGUUGCUGACAAGUUCGUCCGCACGACGUCUCACGCCGGCUGUCGUCGCCGACUUCAUCUCGGACUCCGCCGCCACCACACCUCCACCGAGCGGCGUCCCGACCUCGCGUGCGAUCGGCUUGAUCACCCGCUCGCCGCGGCGAUCCGCCUCAUCUACGCCGCGCAACCGACCUGGCCCGUCGGUUACGCGCGCCUCCGCAGGUCCCGUGAAGAUCGUCCCCGAGUUCAGCGCGCCUCUCUACCGAUCGAGCAUUGGGCUGCCACCGUGUCGCCCUGUCAGGCCGCAACGCCGCCGCCCCGUGGUUCUCCUCGCGGCUGCAUCGACCCAUGCAUCACCGCUGCGUCGCCUCUUCGGGCUGUAGUGUCGCGAUACGCGGUCCCCACCACCGCCCCGAGGCCAUCCCCGCGGCUGCACCGACUCGCGAACCGCCAUUGCGUCGCCCCUUCGGGCCGCAACAUUGCGGACCGCGGUCCCCGCUGCCGCCCCGAGGUCUUCCCACUGUCGCCCCGACCCUCCUGCCGCCGCUACGUCACCCCUUCGGGUUGUAGCGCCGCGGCCCGCGAUCCACUCUGUCGUCACCGCGCGUCGACCUCCUAUGGUAUGCGCCACGCCGUCUCCCUUGGCGCGGAAACGCCACCGUCCGCGCCGGUCUUCGUCACGCUGUCAGGGUUCUUCGCCUACUUCGAGCACCGCCGCCGCACUCCUAACCUAGCUGUCGCCGCUGCCGUUAGGCCGCCGCCGCCGUCAGGCCUCCGCCGCCGCUACCUUCGUAGCCGCCGCGCCGCCCGUCCACCCCCUUCGGUCUUCGUCCAAGCACCAGCCCGUCGCCAGCGUCACCGUCAUCUAACCCGAGCACUUUGUCUACUUCGACCACCGUUGGUGACAUCGGCCCCGCGCCGAUGGGCACCGCAAUCAUCGUCGAGUUUUUCUCUGCUGGCCCUCCGACUUCUCCGACAUGGCAUACAGCUCGUGCAGGUCCCUCGUCUACGCAUGCCCGGUGCUGGCAACACCGAUGCGUGCCUUCAUCCACGACGUGUCCCCGGGCCUGGCAAGCCUGGUCGGCGCUUCGUCAACUUCGUCUUCGUCCGUCUACGCAUGCCCGGUGCUGGCAACACCGGUGCUGGCAACACCGGUGCGUGCCUUCAUCCAUGAUGUGUCCCCGGGCUUGGCAAACCCGCCGCGACGCAUCGUCAACACCAUCAUCCUUCCGGCGCACCACUACCUCGUCACCACUGCGCCCAUGACUAACUCGGCGCCCUCUUGCGCCCGCGGCUCCACGGCGACUUCCUCGACACCGGGCCUGGCAAGCCUGGUCGAUGCACGCCGACUCGACAUCGACCACGGCAUUCUCCGAACAGCUACCUCGACCAUGGCUCCACCACCCACGCUCUUGGCUACAUCGACAAACGGCACAAAGGGCUACCGCCUGCUUGAGCAACCUCGUUGGUUUCCACUCCAGCCAAGACUCCGUGAUGCGUCGACCGUUACGACUGUGGGGGAGGGGGUGUCCGUCGGCUUGGCUUUGGAUUCUUCUCCAGUCUCACCGUCUGCGUCGCUACCGUUGUGACUGCAGGGGGAUGUUGAGUAACCUGAUUGUAUUAGGAAACAUAGGUUAGACUAGGAAAUAUUCUGGAUUGCCUUGUACUCCAAGUAGAUCAUCUACUCCUAUAUAUAUGCCCACGAGGCUCAAGCAAUACAUUGAACUAUUCCACCAACCCUCUCUCUCCCUUCAACAGAGACGAAGACCCUUCUUCUUCCUUGUCGGUAUGAUUUGUUGCGGCUGUUCUUCUCCUUCCUCUGCGCUGAUGCUGGAGGGAGAUUCUGCUUUGCCCGGGUGGAUGGCCCGGCCGCGGUGCUGGACCGGUCGGAUGACUCGAAUUCUCUUCCAUCAGGAAGGGACAUUUUUCGCGGUACUCAAAGCCAAAGCUGGCGACGGCCGUUGCAGGUGUGUUGGAUUGAUGCCCAUGCCCUCUCAGCGCUGGUGUCAAGAAAGGAGAAAGUAGCAUGGCGGCAAUUGUACCGUGGUCGGAGAUGAUGACCUGCUUGCGCCUGGUUGCGGAUCCUUCUGCUUGAGGGGUCUUCUCUCAAGAUUCAGGGAUGAUGUCAAAAGGCUCCACAGCUCUUCUUGUGUUACGUUUGGCUUAGGGUACUCUAAUUGUUCAUCAUCCUUUGUGUUUACGUUUCAGUGUGCUUGUAAGGAUCAACUACUUUGUACUGUUUCGUGAUUUGAAUGAAAAAAUUCUCAAAAAAAAAAAAAACAAAUGCACCGUGGCCAGAUCUAUUUGCCGACUAUAGACUACUUUUGGUUUCUUCUCGUAAGGACUACUUUUGCGAAACCCAAUACUACAACACAUACGUUCACAAAUACGCACACGUAAGGAAUAAUAAUAUGCUAAAACAGCGCUAGUAGUAUGGUCUUUGCAUGCUUGGUGCUGCUGCAUGUGGGCUGUGGAGGUUUUUGAGCCUACUGUCUGCAUGCAUCUCGAUAAUAAUAAUCCAAUUCAAUCCAAUCCAAUCCAAUCCAAUCCAAUCCUAUGGUCUUUGCAUGCUUGAUACAGUGCCUACCAAUCCAAUCCGACUGGUCAAACUUUGCGUGCGCCGUAGUGGUUGGCUAUGCUGGCAUGAAUAAUAAUAAUGAUCCUUUACUUCCUUUCUCUCUCUGUGCACGGUGCAGUUUAGGAUAGUCGUAAUAAAAGUAUCAUAAGCGGUAUUAUGCAUGUCAAAUAGACCUUUUGGAUCAUGUGGCAGAGAAUUAAAUGAGAAAAGAAAGGAUGUGGUAUCAUAUUAUGAUACCGUAUCAUAUUAAAUAUAGUACUACUUUGUGUCAUGCAUGUCAAUUAAUGAGGCAAACUAAGAUACUAGGUUACGAUACUAUGCAUUACGGAAAUAGUAUCAUACACGAGUAUCAUAUGCAUGAUACUAGUAUAUGAUACUCUCCAUUACGACCUAUCUUACUACUGUAGCGUCCUGUGGGUCACGAGGAGCAGACCGCGUGUUCCACGAAAAAAAAACGAUACGGGCCCUCGUGGAACACGGUGCCCUGUCUACCUCCGUACCAAAAGAUAAAUUUUUUACUAUUUUAUUACAAAGAUUUAUUUUAAAUAUAUAUAAAAUGUUAGUGUAAAAUUAGUAUUAUGAGAGGGUGUGUUUCAAUAGUAAACCAACGAUACUGAUUUUCCACUAUAGGAAUUAAGUUUUAGUUGCUUUAUUUAUUCGGUCCAACUUGUAUAGUUUAACGUAGAUAGAUAAGAAAGGAAUAAAUUGUGAAAACCAUCAAGACUCUGGCUCUAAUCCCAUGUUAAGCUUCAUUCUCUAGGCAAUUAUUGCAAUAAUAGACCGAUCUGACGGAAAGAGCUAAGCAACCGAGUUAAUUAUACAAUUAGUUAGUUUAAUAGUAACACUUAACUGGCAGUAGGUGUUACAUUGCAGCCAGCGAGAGCGAGAGCCUUCCCCCUUCCCCGCCAUGCGCUGCUCCGGCGCUGGCGUCCACCGCGCCUCUGCGCCCCCGGGCCGUGCCACUCCGGCCAUCCCAGCCACCCAGGCUCCCGGCCGUGCCACUAAGGCCGUCCCGGCCACCCAGAUCUGUUCCCCCGCCCCCCGCUGCUUCCUCGCGCGACCAGGGCUGCCAGCCCCAGAUUCGUCUCCUCCCAGGUCAGGCCGGCGGGGGAGAGGCCGGUGGUCUCUGGGCUGGGGCUUUUGGAGGGCUUGGCUGAGUCGGACCCGCAGCCGGCGGUGGACUCCGCGCCUCGCCUGGAGGCUCCUGCUGCGGGCUGGGAGCGGCCUUCUCCCACCAAGAAGGAGCUCUGGCGCCUCCGUCAUGGACAGGGCGGCCAGGGCGGAGAUGUUGUGGCUGGGCGGCACGUGCCUUCGCCGCCGCCGGCGGAGAUGAUCCCGGAGAUGCGAGACAAGUGCUUCAGGUGCCUCGAGAAGGGCCACUUCCGGUGGGACUGCACCAACUAGGAUGUCUAUAUCAGGUGCGGUUGGCCGGGUCAUGGCUCCCGCGAUUGCAAGAGGCCGCGGAGCCCCUCUUCGGCUGAUGAGCUCCGACGCGAGGCGAUCGCCAAGGUGGCACGCCACUCGUCUCCCCGGGUCAGUCCAGACCGCACGACGCCUCAUGCGGCCUUCCCACCCCCACCGCCUCCGCCGCUGCACCCCCCCUCGCUUUGUGCUGCCGCCGAGGCGGCCUGGCCGCGUCUUGCACCCCCGCGGCUCUAGGUCGCGCUGGAUGCGGGGGAAGGUGCGUAUGAGCUUUGUGUGGUGCGGCGCUCGCAGUCCAUGGAGGACUUGGAGCGCCGGCUACGCUUCGCCAUGGUCGCCUACAUGGGUGGUGCCCGGAGACGCCUCUCGCCGCAGCGGGUGCUGGAGAUCUUGGCGGGGUGGCUCGACAUCUCGGCGGAUCAUGUCUCGGUGCACUCUUACCGGUCGGAGGAUUUUCUGGUCGUUUUUGCGUCGGCUGAGCUUCCGAACAGGGUGGCGUCGUACCCGGCGGUGUAGUGGGAGGGCGAUAGGCUGUUCUUCAGGCCAUGGAACCGGCAGUCGCAGGCAGUCUUCUCGACCAUGGGCUUCAAGGUCUGGAUUGUCAUGGAGGGGAUACCACCACACGCUUGGGAUCGGAAGACGGCAGAGGAGUUGUUGGGGACGGCGUGCAAGGUGGACUCGGUUGCGCCGGAGUCAAGUUCAAGAGCUGAUCUUUCUGCGUUCAGGCUCACUGCAUGGACUGCAAACCCGGAGGAGAUACCUUCGCUGCGCUGGCUGGCCAUCUCGGAGCCAAGCUCGGAGAUCCUACCACCAUUGUUGCAGUACAAGAUCCUCAUCCAUAUCGACGCAGUGGCGAACUUCCGUGAAGCAGGGGAGCCGUGGUUCGUGGGAAGUUCAUCCGACAAUGGGCAGAGUGGCUUGCUAGACUCUCCAGACGGUUUCCAUAAUGGAGGUGGUGGUCAGAGGCCACAAUGGCGAGUUUGGCAGUUCGGUGUCAGAGAUGUGCGCGGCGGUGAGCAGGGCUAGGCUUCCGGCGGUGGCGGUGGCGGCCAUGGCGCGGCAGGGAGGGCAAACGAGGGGCUGGAUUGGCGCCUACCUCCCAUGCCCCCGCCCCGAACGUUCUGCAUGUGGGGCCACCAGAACGCCUUCUGGAUAGGGUUGCCGUCAGGGUGUCUGCUUUUGACCGCCUUUUGGGUCAGCAGGCACAUGGAGAGGGGAGCGGGACGGUUCUAGAGCCAAAUUCGAACCUGACUGGCGCGGACAAGUGGCUGGGACGGACGGGCGCACUUUGACGGCGGGACCCCGGACGGAGGAGACGGAGCAGCAUCCAAUGGAAAUGGUCAUUGUGCCGUUGGGGCAGGGACGGCGCCUGAGCUUGUCAUCGGAUCGGGCGGUCGAAGUGGUGGUUGGCGCGCGCAGCCCGAGUGAUUCCCGCAGUGCCCCACGGGCGAAUGAUGACAUGGACAUGGUGGUUCUCGCGGAUCUAGGGAGACUGGAUCCCCGGUGCGGGAAAGGCUGAACCCGCCAGCUGGCGUGACUGCAGGCUCCGUGCCGGGGGAUGGGAUACCGGACGGGUCCCAGGAGGUGGGGCUGGCUGAGGAUCCCAAUGCAAUUGGGGCGGUGUGCAACAUGGCGGGCCCCGUGCUCGGAUCGAAUGCAGAGAUGGCUACUGGUGGGUUGGGUGAAGGAAAUCGCGUGGUAUUGACUACUGGUGGGGCUGGUUAUCGAAUGCAGAGAUGGCUACUGGAGGGUUGGGUGAAAAAAAAGUUAGUUUAACAGUAACUGUGAUGCCAAGACAAAUCAUUGGGGUCAAAAUUACCGAAAUAUUUAUUUACUCCGGUUGUACACGGGUCCGCUUGUACACGCGCAUGAGCUGCCACGGAGCCACACUGUGGCCGGCCUACUGGGGAGCCCGAGUCAGCGAGGCUGCUUGAGAACCAAGCUGCAUGUCCUCGUGUUUGGAGAGGCGAACGACGAGUUCGCUAGAGACUUCGUCGGAGAAGGGGCGGUGGUCAAAGGGAUGUGAGAGAGGUGAUUUUUUUUAUUGGGCUGUAAGGUGGGUCCUUGUCCACAUCAGCUGGGUAUUAAUUCGUGGCCAACACGUUGAAAAAUCCACCGAAUAGUCAUCACAUUUUAUCAUGCAAUCAGAAAGCCGUGGUGUUCACAACAUUUUGGACAAGUGGGAUAGUUAUUUCAUGCUAACAACUCAUUGAGACCGGACUAUGUACUUGCAGAGUAAAGACUCUAUAGCUACGACAAAUAAUUUGGAUCAGCGGGAGUAGAACAAAUACACGUGUAAAUAUUUGGUAACUGCAGAAGAAAUGUUAAUGUAUGUAAAGAAAAGAACAAUUUAUGUAGAUUACAUAGGUGCGGUACAAUGGGCGGAAAAAAUGAAAUAAACUAAAGAGAAGCAAAUUUGAAAAAUCUAUAAACAAAAAGUAAAACUUAAAUGCAAUAAUACAGGUGACAUUUAUUACAAAUCAAAUGACGAGCAGAAUAAAUACUCCUUCCUUUCCAGUUUAUAAGUCUUCCACGUGUAUCUUGGCUGCUAAUUUACCAAGUUGAUUACACGUGCAAGACUAAUAAACACGUAAGGACGGAAGGAGAUAGUAUCUCCGAAGUGGAAGUAUAUAAGAACAUUUAAGGGUAUACUUCGAUAAUUGAUCGAAUCCCAUUGGUUGGAGUGAUCUUGUAGUCGCUGAACCCGGCUUCGGAGAAAAUCAAGCUCCACACGUUUUCCUCUCGCUCCAUUCCAUCGGAGCCCAUCAUGUAGAUAUCUAACAAAACCUGCGCCUCUAUGGAAUCGUUGGGCUGAGUCACCGGAUAUCCCACCACCAUAUCGAUAAUUAUCACCUUUCCUCCGGCUUCUUUCGCUGGGAUCGCUUCCUUGCACCGGCGCAUUAUCUUGACGCAAUCUUCGUGUUUCCAGUCAUGCAAAAUCCACUGGAACCAAACAUAUUAUUAUAUCCCAUUAGCAUAUAUAGUAGACCAGCAGAAAAAAGAAGAACAUAUCCAAAAAUAAAAAUAAAAAUAAAAAAUUACCUUGAGUAGAACAGCAUCCGCAGGUGGGACAUACUCGAACAUAUUUCCGGCGACGAAGGUCAAAAUGUCGCUGGCGGGAGCCGCGGCGACAACGUGUGCGAGGUCCAGAACGGUGCACUUGAGGUGCGGGAACGCUCUCGCCACGGCCGACGCGGUAGCGCCAUGGUUGCCGCCGAUGUCCACCAGCGAGCUUUUCACUUCCCCGAACGCUCCGCCGUGCUCUUUCAACAGGACCUUCAUGGCGAUGCGGCUGUCCGCGGCCAUGCCGUCGUUGAACAAGCCGCCAUCGACCUUGGUGGUGUCCCAGAACGUGCAGCCGUUGGCCAGCUGGACGAGCGAGUGCGACUGUGCCGACUCUCCCUCUUGGCCUUGGGUAAACCACUCUGGCAUUUUGAGGAGAGAGGUCCAGCAUAACGUGUUGACGAUGGUGCCCACCAUCGGGGACAGGUUGUGCGGUGAUCUCUCGACAAGGAGCCGGGAGACCCGCGUGAGCUUGUAAUACGCAGCGCCAUCACCGGCGUGGUCGUUGCUGCCUUUGCCUUGGACAAUGGAGAAUACCCCGGUGGUGGUGAGCACCCGCAUGACCCGCCGGAGGUUGGAGCGCUUCGUGGGGUGGAUCCCGGUGUCGGAGGCCAGCUCGGACAAGGUGGCGGCGCCGCCGCGGCGGUGGAUGGUGUCGGGGAUGCGCAGGUCCGUGGCGGCCUUGAGCGCCAGUGACUUGACGAAGGCGAGGCCGUGGUGGUAGAGCUCCAGCUGAGCUUGAAGUAACUCGUCGCUGCUCAUGGCGAGGUCUUGGUCUCGUUCGAUGUGCUGCGCGGCCGGCAUGGUGUAUGUGUAUGAUCGAUCGAGUGUGGUAUGCUAGCUGCUACCUGCUUCUUGCUUCUUCCUUACGUAGAGAAAACGUAGUACCUUCUUAUAGAUGCAUGCGCAUGGUAUCCUAGUAGCUAGUUUCCUUUUGCGGGUUUUUUUUUAGGGAAGCUUCCUUUUGCGGGUUGGUUUGAGGUUACUACUUCUAGUUGUAGCCUCCUGUGUGGACGUAGUUUCCCACCCCUACGACUCGAUCGUGUGCACGAUCUCGGUCCCCACCGACGAAUGCAUGUUCAAGACACCCACCCCUUGAUGCAUGUUCAAGACAAUAGCAUUUCUCAAGGGGCAAAACAAGAGAUGACCUACAAAAAAAAAGAUCCUCGUUUGGACCAAUGGUUCUGAAGUCCGUGCACUUCGACCCUACCUAAUUGUUCACUCAAGCACCACAUCACCUUGUGGUCGGCGGGUUAGGAGUAGUAACUACCGUGUGUCCCCAGGGCGCUACGUGUCCAGGUUUAGUAUAGUAUUGAUGCCAUCUUUCCAAGUGACGGUAUCUUGACAAGUGUUGCUCAGCACUAGUUUGGCUUGGCAGCCCGCCCGGGAUCGAUCCCCGUUGGGGACGAUUGCUGGUGUCUCACCAGGGAUUGGCACCCGAAUAGCAUCCCUGCACUUUCGUGCCACGCAAAGCAACGAACAAACAAAAACGAAAAUACUAGAAACUUGAGACUCUAGAAGAAUAGAAGAAGCAACGAACGAACAAAAACGAAAAUACUAGAAACUUGAGACUCUAGAAGAAUAGAAGAAGCAACGGAAGUAACCAGAUCUGGAUAAGUGGCGUAUGAAGAAACCUUGGAAUAGAAGAAGAACACUAGUGCAGAACCGGCCUUUAGUGCCGGUUCGUAACGGCCUUUAGUGCCGGUUCGUAACGGCCUUUAGUGCCGGUUCUACAACCGACACUAAAGAGUGGGGACUAAAGGUCCCCCCUCCUUAGUAUCGGUUUGUCAUGAACCGGCGCUAAAGUGCGAACACGUGGCACGAGCCAGGCCCGGGUGCGCGUAGGGGCUUUAGUACCGGUUGGUAACACCAACCGGUACUAAAUGUUUGUGUUUUUUUUUAUUUUCCAUUACUUAUUUUUGUUUGCUGGUAUUUCACGAUACUACAAAUUGUACACGUUAUGCAUAUAUAUAAAUAGAUUUUCUUGUACGUAUAGAACCGCAUAUAUAGGGUCGAGUGAACAAUUUGGUGAAGCCAUCGCACCAUCACUUGCUCACGCAACCGGGCCUCCUCUCGCAGCCGCUCCCGCUCAUAGCAGCCCGUCCUCAGUCUCAGGCGCGCUAGGUGGGCCUUCGUCUUUGGCUGAGCUCGACGCCGUCANNNNNNNNNNNNNNNNNNNNNNNNNNNNNNNNNNNNNNNNNNNNNNNNNNNNNNNNNNNNNNNNNNNNNNNNNNNNNNNNNNNNNNNNNNNNNNNNNNNNNNNNNNNNNNNNNNNNNNNNNNNNNNNNNNNNNNNNNNNNNNNNNNNNNNNNNNNNNNNNNNNNNNNNNNNNNNNNNNNNNNNNNNNNNNNNNNNNNNNNNNNNNNNNNNNNNNNNNNNNNNNNNNNNNNNNNNNNNNNNNNNNNNNNNNNNNNNNNNNNNNNNNNNNNNNNNNNNNNNNNNNNNNNNNNNNNNNNNNNNNNNNNNNNNNNNNNNNNNNNNNNNNNNNNNNNNNNNNNNNNNNNNNNNNNNNNNNNNNNNNNNNNNNNNNNNNNNNNNNNNNNNNNNNNNNNNNNNAUAUAUAUAUAUAUAUAUAUAUAUAUAUAUAUAUAUAUAUAUAUAUAUAUAUAUAUACCAACACCAUUAUUCACACAUACACAUGUAUACAUAUACAAUUUCUCCUACAUAUGUUGCCUUGGUGCCUCCGGAGCACGAUGACAAGUGGUUCAUGGGGGCGGUAGCGGGUAAUAGUAUUCUCCUUCGGGAUUUAUGACCUAGUCGAGCAAAAAUCCGGCUAUUUCCUCUUGAAGUGCUAGUAUGCGGUCCGAUGGUAGGAGCUUAUCCCGUCUCUGAACUGUUAAGAAGGAGAUCAAUAUGCAUAUGUGUUAGUUGUGUGACUAGAUAUCGAUAAUGGUGUGAAUAGUGUUCUGACAAACAUACCCAGUCAUGUCUAUCAGAUUUGCUCCUUUCAGACGUCAUCAUGCGAAUGUUCUCGCAAACGUAGAAUGCAGACAAAUUAUUCCCCGACGCCUGCUUCAGGGCCUUUACGAGAAUGGAAUUGAAUCAGAUAAUGAUUAAUUAAUCAAGCAUGAUAAUUAAUUAAUGAUAUUAAAACAAGAAUUAAAGAGAUGGUAGCUAGCUAGUACUACUUAAUUACUUACCUUUGGUCGAUGCCAAAACAACUUUUGUUUCCAUUCGCCUGGAGUCACCGCGAUGAACUUUGCCCAUGCCCUGCCCGCCAGCAAAGAAAAUUAAUAAAGGGGUUAUUAAAUAGUUCAUAUCAGAAAAUGACGAACUAAUAAUAGGCCGAGAUAUAUAUAGUUAAUAAUGAUUGAAAUUACCUAUUGACUAUCCCCUUCACGAUGGUGAAGUCACUUUCUUCUUUAGUUAGCGAGUCCAGUAAUUCAACUUUUCCUUCCUCAACUUUAAUGUCUAUCAAGACCCAGUGCCAACUGCAUGCGCACACGUUUGCAUGUCUUAAAUAAGCGGGCAUGUGCAUAAAAUUAAUCAACUACCGUAAACCGUAUACACUUAAUUAUUAAUAUCUAGCUAGAUAGUAAGCAAAAACAGAAUUUGUAGUACAAAACAAUGUGACUCAUGGGAAAUUGUAAGGAAGUAGUAUAUCUUCGUUGCUAUUGAGGCGCUUCAAGAACUCUACCAUGCUUUCCUCUACACCUGCUUGAUAAAAUGGAUACUUCCAUAUGUCCUCAUUAAUGGUAUUUGGGUCAAUGAACCCAAUGCCAUAGCAUCCAAAUUUUUUCAUUUCAUACAUCUUCAUCCUCCAUAUAAUACCACAGAAAAGAAUAUAGUGAGGAUAAUUACAUGUAAUGAUUGAUCAAAAUUAUCACUACAUAAUUAGCUUGAGACUUAAAUUACAAAAAGAAAUCAGUUACAGACAAUAGCAACUGACGAUAGACUUGUCAAGUGCGUCUUGAUUGAAUAACUGAUAUAGUUCUGAAUACUCAAUGGACAGAGCUUUCUCAUGGUAAUAAUGCUGCUUCUUGACAUUCACCAUGAGGGACACUCGAUUGGAAAUCUUGGUCAUGUUUAUGUACCAUUGAUGCAAUUCAUACAUUCUCGUUGGGAGGUCCUUGACCUUGUCUGGAUGGACCAAAGGUUGGCCCCAGGCAUAUUUCCAUUUUAUUUCCGAUUCUUUAAGCGGAGACAUGGGCUCGAUUUCGAGGAGUUGUCCAACAGAGAUCUUGAGCAUUUCAGCCUGCAUUAUAUGCUCCUCCGUUAUUACCACAUCGCCCUGCUAGGGAACGCUAACGGUUUGCCCGCAAUAAUAUUUGGCGCGCAUACUCCUCUCAUGUGUUGUUGGCACAACAAGCGGGGGGAUCUCUUGCGCCGCCUGUUCUCCCAGCUGGGGAACGGUUUUCCCGCAUUUUUUGCCAGCUGCUUGUUGGCUCGAGUUCGAUCUCGCUUCCUUCCGUAGCCGUGCUCGAUGUAGCUUUCUGAUUUGACGCUGAUAGUCUGAGUCAACAGGCUUGGGAGCUGGUGCUCUAGCCAUAUGAAUGAAGUGGUCAAUCGUUUUCUCAGGCACUUUCUCCUUUGGCGGCGGUGCCAGUUUCGGUCCAAAAUGGGCGUCCACUUGGGCCUGCACUAUGGCUGCGUUUUGCUCCUCGGUCAUGUUGUAAGGCCUCUGAGGAAGAGGAGUGAGGCUUGGACCAUAUUUAUAUCGCUUGUCUCCGCCUGUACUUCCUGAACAACCUCGACUCGUACCGCUACGCACCAAAGCUGUGGCAUGUCUCUUCUGUGAUUGCUGAGACGGCGGAGACGGCUGACGUGGAGUUGGACCAGGAGAAGUGGGCUGACGAUGUGCCGGACUUGAAGCAGGAGGUGUGGCCUGACACGGUGCCGGACUUGAAACCGGAGAAGUGGCAUGACGUUGUGCCGGACUUGAAACCGGAGGAGUCAUCUCACGCGUUCGGGGACUUGGAGGUCGUGGCGGACUUCGAGGAGGAGUCGUCUCACGCGUUCGUGGACUUGGAGGAGCGGGAGUCUGUUGACUCGGUGGCGGACUUCGAGGACUCGGCAGACGACGCGGUGUCGGUGGACUUCGAAAGAUGAUGCAAUCAUUUCUCCAUAGGAUGAUACGAUGCAUGGCCUGUCCUAGUGUGCGCUCGUCUUCACCUCCAGGAAUGUCAAGCGUUAGCCCCGAAUAUGGGUCCACCACUUCAUCAACCAUGACACGAGCAUAGCCCUCUGGAAUCGGGAUGCAAUGGUAGGUUGCUUCGGGGGUAACUGGAAAAGCGACGCCGUCCGCCACCUUCAUGGAUAUGUUCUUCAUUUUGGAGUGUAGCUCACAGUUAGUGUUCUCUAUGAUGUCAUCCAUAGGGUAUGUAUCCAGCAGUGUGUCGCCCGGGGCAGAACCAACGCUGCUUCUCGGCAUGGAUGGAACGGUGCUAUCCAAUGCUGGACGAUCAUCCGCUUGUUGUUGCCGCUGCUGAGACCCCCUUUCCUGGCUAAGUGAGUCGAUCUGCUGCUGCUGCUGAAUUUUAGUGCCAGGUCCGCGUGCCUUGCUUCUAGGCCUUGAAGACGUUCUGCGUCCUGCUUCCUCUUCUCCUCCUCCAGCUUCCUCUUCUUCUCCUCCUCCAUCUUCUUUCUUGCACGGGACCUGUAGUCGUCAUUCCAGUCCGAAAAGCCCUCAUACCAGGGAAUAACACCCAUGCCUCGCGUUCUUCCCGGUGUUCAGGAUUUCCCAGGGCACGCGUAAGCUCGUCGUUCUCUCUGUUGCGCGUGAACACCCCCGCUCGAGCUUCUUCUAUUGCGUCAAGUAUCUUUUGUUCGGCUCCUUUUAGACUUGCCUUCUUCAAAACCAGGCCUGUCUUUGGGUCCAACGCCCCCCCAUGCGCAUAGAACCAAGUUCUGCACCUGGGGGGCCAGCUCCUAGUAAUUGGAGUGACCCCUGCACCCUCCAUCUCUUGCUCAGACUUAUCCCACUUAGGCAAUCCCACCGCGUAGCCACCUGGACCCAGCCUAUGGAACUGCGUCUUUCUUGCGGCAUUUGCCUUGUUUUUCAUCGACCAUUCCUUAGAUAAUUCUGAAUCCUUGAAGGUCACGAAAUCGUCCCAGUGUUCUCUUUGCUUCUCUAGUGUUCCCUUGAAAUCUGGAGUCUUCCUUUCAUUAGCGAGGUAGUUGGCCCAUACAGUUUUCUUGUGGGUGUUGAAUGCAUUUGCCAUCUUCUUAAGAGCAGCGGCCUUGACUUUCUCCACAUCUGCUUUAGUGAAAUGAUCUGGUAGGGUGAAAUGUUCCAUCAGAGAUUUCACCAGGUCUUCUUUGGCUCUGCCAUCGACCCAAGUAACACCUAGACGUUUAGUCUUUGGCUCUUUCCAUUCUUGAAUGGAGAUCACGAGUUUGUCCUUCACAAGAACUCCGCACUAACGAGUCCACUUAUUAUCAACGUUCUUAGGCGUGAGGGGUUAGCCACUAAGUUUGGUGGAUUCGAUGUGGUACUUUACACCAUCCUUCAACAAUCUGCCCGGGCCUCGCUUUGUCUUGCUGUAUGUAGAAGCAGAUUUGCUCGAUCCGGAGGGCUGAAAGAAGAAAGAUCGAUUCGUUAAUAUAUCUUCAAUAAAAAAACAUGUGAUGAUCACCAGGAUGCAUGCUUAUAUAAAUAUAUACCUCGCCGGAAGUCUUUGUUAUUUGAAGAUCAGCAUUGUCUGUGUCAUCACUAACAUUGUCUGUGUCAUCAUAAUCAUAGUUCAUGACUUCAUCAGCUCGGUCGUCGAGAUCAAAUAUCUUUCCGUCACCCUCUCCGGUAUUGUUCAGAUAUUGGGAGCCGUCAUCAUUCAGAUCAUCUAGCCUCUGAGGGCUGCGUAUGAUGUCGAACAAUUCCUCCUCUCUCUCUCUGCCGGUAUUGUCCGCCAUAGCUUUUACUUUACUAAUUAAUACAGAAGAAAUAUAAAACAAUUUAGUAUUCAAAUUACAAUGCAUGGCUGCAAUUAAUCAAUAAGAAAAAACUGAAUCUCGAAUACAUUGUCUCGAAUAUAUAAUCUCGAAUACAUCAUCGCCUUAAUAUAUAUAAUCUCGAAUACAUCGUCUCGAAUAUCAUAUAUCGAAUACAUCACUGGCUAGGUACCUAAUAAAGAUCGAGUACUACAGAAGAAUCUAGGGCGCCACUCGCGGUUCCUGGGGCGCGGGCGGUGCACACCCAAAGAGAAGGAACCAUCACAGGAUCAUAUCUCUGGUUAUCUGCCCAAAGAACCCGCCAAGUAGUGGAGAACCUGACGUCGUCCAUAGCAGCCAUGUACCGAUGGACCUGCUCAUCUUCCUCCCUGACACGGCGACGCACCACCUCCGGCGGGGCCGACUUCCUCUGCACCAAAUGUGGCCCACGCGAACGCCACCAAAGAAGAUCAGGGUCGACGACGGGACCCGACGUCGGGUUCCUCACCAAGCGGCGCGCCCCUCCAGGUAGCAACUCCCAGUGCCAGCCCGGCGGAGCCCAGUCCCGGACAUGGGUCCUCUGAAGCAUGACGUCGUCGCGAACGGGUCGAUGGCGAGGAUGCGGGCCGGGCAUAUCGUCGAGAACAAAUACUAUAUGCCCGCAAAAAGUAACAUUUUUUAAAUGAUUGGAUUGUGAUAACUAAAAUUCUAUAUAUAUGCAAAUUCUAACAAUUUGACAUUAAUCUAAUUCAUCUAACUAAAACUAAUUCUAAAAUUUCCUGAUUAUAUAACUAACAUUUCUAUAACAUUUCUAAUAUUUAUAUAACUAAAAAAUAGAUAAAUUGCUAACAUUUUUAUAAAUAUUUCUAUAACUAAAAACAGAAAACAUUUAUAACAUUUCUAUAUAACUAACAUUUCUAAUAUUUAUAUAACUAAAAAAUAGAAUAAUUUCCUAACAUUUCUAUAACUAAAAAACAGAAUUUUUUUAACAAAACAAACUAAUAAUGUGUGUGUGUAGUGUGUGUGUGUGUGUAGUGUGUGUGUGUGUGUGGACAUGGCAGCCGGGGCGAGCUCACCGGCGAGGCGACGACGGGGCGGCAACGACGGGGAGNNNNNNNNNNNNNNNNNNNNNNNNNNNNNNNNNNNNNNNNNNNNNNNNNNNNNNNNNNNNNNNNNNNNNNNNNNNNNNNNNNNNNNNNNNNNNNNNNNNNNNNNNNNNNNNNNNNNNNNNNNNNNNNNNNNNNNNNNNNNNNNNNNNNNNNNNNNNNNNNNNNNNNNNNNNNNNNNNNNNNNNNNNNNNNNNNNNNNNNNNNNNNNNNNNNNNNNNNNNNNNNNNNNNNNNNNNNNNNNNNNNNNNNNNNNNNNNNNNNNNNNNNNNNNNNNNNNNNNNNNNNNNNNNNNNNNNNNNNNNNNNNNNNNNNNNNNNNNNNNNNNNNNNNNNNNNNNNNNNNNNNNNNNNNNNNNNNNNNNNNNNNNNNNNNNNNNNNNNNNNNNNNNNNNNNNNNNNNNNNNNNNNNNNNNNNNNNNNNNNNNNNNNNNNNNNNNNNNNNNNNNNNNNNNNNNNNNNNNNNNNNNNNNNNNNNNNNNNNNNNNNNNNNNNNNNNNNNNNNNNNNNNNNNNNNNNNNNNNNNNNNNNNNNNNNNNNNNNNNNNNNNNNNNNNNNNNNNNNNNNNNNNNNNNNNNNNNNNNUGACGAGGGGCGGGGGCGGCGACGUCGACGGGGACGGCGUCGAUCAGGGCAGGGCGGCGCGACGGAGGGAGGAAACAGAGGGAAGAAACAGAGGGAAACUGAAUUUUUUUAAGUGUUGUAUAUAUAUAGGAUGGACCUUUAGUACCGGUUGGAGCCACCAACCGGUACUAAAGGUCUGUUUUCACCAGGCCAAGCAGCGGGAAGCGCACCCCCUUUAGUACCGGUUGGUGGCUCCAACCGGUACUAAAGACCCCCCCCCCUUUAGUACCAGUUGGUGCCACGACCCGGUACUAAAGGGGUGCGCUGGCGCAGUGUGGUGCGGCAAGUUUAGUCCCACCUCGCUAGUCGAAGGGCUACCGCACUGGUUUAUAAGCCCAGUGCGGUAGCUCUCUCGAGCUCCUCUCCUACGUAGGCCUACUAGGCCUACCAAUUCAUUGCGGCCAUGUGGGCCUACUGGGCCUUUGCGGGCCUGCAUCCUAGCCCAACAAAAGGUUGAGUUUCUAGUCGUAUGCAGGCUGCUUUGGCCCAGUAGGCGGGCUUUCUUAUUUUCUUAAUUUUUUUUUGCUUUUUUUGUUUUAUUUAUUUUUGAGUUAUUUUUUGCUGUAUUUAGAGUUUCUUUGUGAAUAUUUUUUCUUUAGGUACAAAAAUUUACAAACUUUGAUCUGUUAGUGCCGGUAGUUUUCAAAUAUGAAUAGUCUAAAUUUUGAAUUAUUUGAAAUUUGCGUGAAUCACUAGUUUGUGAAUAACUUAACUUUGAAAAAAGAUUUUUCAGUGAUUCUUUUUUAUUAUGUUUAAUAUUAGUGUGUUUUAUCAUUAUAUUCAAUUUGGUAAUGCUUAGGUUAUUUAAAAAAUGAAAUGCCUUUGUAACAUUUCAGUUUUCGUCGGAAACCCUGAUACUUCGAAAAAGAUUGUCCAUUUUGUACACGAAGUGUAUCCAGUUUUUGCCGUAACCCUCUCUACUUUUUUGCACAUGCUAUUUGUAUGAAAUUAUGAUACCAUGCCAACUUUCAACCUUUUCUGAGUUCAUUUCAAAUGCUUUUCAAUUUCAGGGUCAUUUAGCUGGAAAAAAAUCAGUAAAUGCAUGAAAAGAAUUUGUUUGCACAUAAAAUUUCUUCGCGUUUCAAAUGCCAAAACACAUAAUUAACUACCCUAACUAUUACAGACAUUCCCUCCUGGGUGUGAAACACAGAAGAAAGUGAUGAUAGUGAAGCCGAUCACAUCCCAGAUCUUUGGGUGUGAAACUUUUUCUUCUCGUGUGUCCCUUUGCGCCGUAGCCAUGGAAAAUCUUCAUCAUUUAACUGGAUGCUCGGGUCAAUAUUCACUGUGAAUGGAGAAAUUUCAUCAAACUUUUCAUAAUCUUCUGACAUGUCUGUCUUGUCAUCCACUCCCACGAUGUUUCUUUUUCCUGAAAGAACUAUGUGGCACUUUGGCUCGUUGUAUGAUCCAUUCGCUUCCUUAUCUUUUCUUUUUCUCGGCCUGGUGGACAUGUCUUUCACAUAAAAAACCUGCGCCACAUCAUUGGCUAGGACGAAUGGUUCGUCUGCAUACGCAAGAUUGUUGAGAUCCACUGUUGUCAUUCCGUACUGCGGGUCUUCCGUUACCCCGCCUCGUGUCAUAUUGACCCAUUUGCACCGAAACAAAGGGACCUUCACAUCACCUGAUCCAUAGUUAAGUUCCCAUAUGUCCUUUAUGUAACCAUAAUAUGUUUCCUUUCCCGUGUUGGUUGUUGCAUCGAAGCGGACACCACUGUUUUGGUUGGUGCUCUUCUUAUCUUGGGCGAUCGUGUAAAAUGUAUUCCCAUUUAUCUGGUACCCUUUGAAAGUCAUUAUAUUCGAAGAUGGUAACUAGGACAGCGAGUACAGGUCAUUUUGAAUAUCACCAUCAUUCAGGGCACGUUUCUGCAACCAACCGGCGAAAGUCCUCGUUUGUUCACGUGUAAUCCAGUCGUCAGAAUUCUCCGGGUGUUUGGACUGUAGAAAAUUCUUGUGUUCCUCCAUAUACGGAGCCACCAAGGCGGAAUUCUGUAGAACUGUGUAUUGUGCUUCAGUGAGAGAAUGCCCGUCCAUACAUAUUAUUUGAUGCCCUCCUAGCGUGCCUUUUCCUUCCAGUCUACCCUUAUGCCGCGAUUCAGGAACACCAAUCGGCUUAAGGUCAGGAAUAAAGUCAAUACAAAACUCAAUGACCUCCUCGUUUUCAUGGCCCUUUGAGAUGCUUCCUUCUGGCCUAGCACGGUUAUGAACAUAUUUCUUCAAGACUCCCAUGAACCUUUCAAAAGGGAACAUAUUGUGUAGAAAUACAGGACCCAAAACGUUAAUCUCUUCGCAAAGGUGAACUAGGACGUGCGUCAUGAUGUUGAAGAAGGAUGGUGGGAACACCAACUCGAAACUGACAAGACAUUGCACCAAAUCAUUCUGUAACCUUGGUAUGAUUUCUGGAUUGAUUACCUUCUGAGAGAUUGCAUUGAGGAAUGCACAUAGCUUCAGAAUGGCCAAUCGAACGUUUUCCGGUAGAAGCCCCCUCAAUGCAACCGGAAGGAGUUGCAUCAUAAUCACGUGGCAGUCAUGAGACUUUAGGUUCUGGAACUUUUUGUCUGCCAUAUUUAUUAUUCCCUUUAUAUUCGACGAGAAGCCAGACGGUACCUUCAUGCUGAGCAGGCAUUCGAAGAAGAUUUCCUUCUCUUCUUUGGUAAGAGCGUAGCUGGCCUGACCCUGAUGUAUGUCAUCUUUUCCAUGCAUAUGUUGCUGGUCCUCCCGUGCCUCUGGUGUAUCUUUUGUCUUCCCAUACACGCCCAAAAAGCCAAGCAGGGUCACGCAAAGAUUCUUCCUCACGUGCAUCACGUUGAUUGCGGAGCGGACCUCUAGGUCUUUCCAAUAUGGCAGGUCCCAAAAUAUAGAUUUCUUCUUCCACAUGGGUGCGCGUCCGUCAGCGUCCUUCGGAACAGGUUGUCCGCCAGGACCCUUUCCAAAGAUUACCUUCAAAUCCUUGACUAUAUCAUGUACAUCAUCACCAGUACGGUGGCGAGGCUUCAUCCGGUGAUCCGCCUCACCUUUGAAAUGCUUGCCUUUCUUUCUUACGGGAUGCCUGCUCGGAAGAAAUCGACGAUGUCCCAGGUACACAUUCUUCUUACAACUAUUCAAAUAUAUACUGUCGGUAUCAUCCAAACAGUGCGUGCAUCCGCGGUAUCCCUUGUUUGUCUGUCCUGAAAGGUUACUGAGAGCAGGCCAAUCAUUGAUGGUCACGAACAACAACACCUUUAGGUCAAAUUCUUCCCCCAUGUGCUCAUCCCACUCACGUACAACUGUUCCAUUCCACAGUUGUAAGAGUUCUUCAACUAAUGGCCUUAGGUACACAUCAAUGUCGUUGCCGGGUUGCUUAGGGCCUUGGAUGAGCACUGGCAUCAUAAUGAACAUCCGCUUCAUGCACAACCAAGGAGGAAGGUUAUACAAACAUAGAGUCACAGGCCACGUGCUAUGGUUGCUGCUCUGCUCCCCAAAAGGAUUAAUGCCAUCUGCGCUUAGACCAAACCAUACGUUCCUUGGGUCACCUGCAAACUCCUCCUAGUACUUUCUCUCGAUUUUUCUCCACUGCGAACCGUCAGCGGGUACUCUCAACUUUCCGUCUUUCUUACGUUCUUCUGCGUGCCACCGCAUCGCCUUCGCAUGCUCUUUGUUUUGGAACAAACGUUUCAACCGUGGUAUUAUAGGAGCAUACCACAUCACCUUGGCAGGAAUCUUCUUCCUGGGGCGCUCACCCUCGACAUCACCAGGGUCAUCGUGACUGAUCUUAUAACACAAUGCACCGCAUACCGGGCAAGCAUUCAAAUCCUCGUACUCACUGAGGUAGAGGGUGCAGUCAUUAGGGCAUGCAUGUAUCUUUUGCACCUCUAACCCUAGAGGGCAGACACCCUUCUUUGCUUCAUACGUACUCUCGGGCAAUUCGUUGUCCUUUGGAAGCAUAUUCUUUAUCAUUACCAACAACUUUCCAAAUCCCUUGUUAGAUACACCAUUCUCUGCCUUCCAUUGCAGCAAUUCAAGUGUGGUGACCAACUUUUUUUUGUCAGCUUCGCAAUUCGGGUACAACAAUUUCUUGUGAUCCUCUAACAUGCGCUGCAACUUCGUCCUCUCCAGAUCACUUGCACAGUUUCUCUUUGCAUCGGCAAUGGCCUGACCUAGAUCAUCAGCGGGCUCAUCUGAUGCCUCUUCUUCAACUUCUUGCUACAUUGCCGGCUCAGCUUCUUCCCCCAUUGUUGUAUCAUUGUAUUCAGGGAACCCAUGGCCAGGAUAGCCGUCGUCGUCCUCUUCUUCUUCAUUGUCUUCCAUCAUAACCCCUAUUUCUCCGUGCUUGGUCCAAACAUUAUAGUGGGGCAUGAAACCGGACUCAAAUAGGUGGACGUGAAUGGUUCUUGACGUAGAGUAACUGUGAACAUUCUUACAGCCAGCACAUGGACAAGGCAUAAAACCAUCCGCCCGCUUGUUUGCCUCAGCGGUAAGCAGAAAAGUAUGCACACCAUUAAUGAACUCGGGAGAGCAUCUGUCAUCAUAUAUCCAUUGUCGGCUCAUCUUCAUUACACAACACCGAAUAGACCAAAUUAAUACAAGUUCAUACAUAAAGUUCAUACAUAAAGUUCAUAUACAACACUUAAUUAAAUGCAACAUACAAAUUACUCUCUAGCUAAAGAAUUUAAAUGCAACAACAAAUGUGAUGAAGAUCGCAAUUAAGGUAACAAUUGAUCCAACAUCAUAAUGAUACCAAGCCACACUAUCAAUGGCAUAUUUUCUAAUCUUUCUAAUCUUCAACCUCAUUCGACGACAUCGGCAACAUGCAACUCCAAUUCCAUCUUCUCCCCCUCAAUUCUUUUCAAUUUUUCUUUCAAAUACUCGUUUUCUCUUUCAACUAAAUUUAACCUCUCGACAAUAGGGUUGGUUGGAAUUUCCGGUUCACAUACCUCCUAGAUAAAAAUAUCUAUGUCAACUUGAUGGGCAUAAUUGGUCAUAAACACGAAAUGCAACAACUAGUUUUAAAUGAGAAUAUACCACAUCCGAAUCAUAACAAGGACGAGGGCCGACGGGGACGGAUAUCAAAACCAUGGCACUAUGUAUAACAAACAACGUCUGGGUAAGAUAAUUAUACGAGUAACUAUAUAUCUAAAUCACACAAACAUCAAUUUGGUAAUGUAAAACAUUCAUGAACAAGAGCCUCACCACAAGGUGGUGCCGGCGACGGGACGGUGCGGGCGAUCGACGGUGGUUACGACGGAGAUUUAGCAGGCACUAAGUAAACCACACCUACAUAUGCAAACUAAGUGUUAUUUUUGACCUCAAAUUGCAUAUAAAUCAAAUACUAGCAAAUAUAAUUCCUCCCAAAUUAAUCACUAUACAAAGCAUUGCAAGAGCUAAUCUAGCAAUGAGAGUUGAAAGGACAAAGUUGCUAACCUUUGUGAUCAUUUGAAUGGAUGGGGGCCUUCAAAUCUUGACAAAUUUUGGGCAAAAUUUGUGAGGAGCUCGAGGAAGAGAGGGGAAGAACAGAGGAAGUGAGGGGAAAGGGGAAGAACAGAUUGGCUCGGGUGGACGAAGGGUUUAUGUAGGUCGACCUUUAGUACCGGUUCGUGCCAUGAACCGGUACUAAAGGUGCUAGAGGGGCCCCAGACUGACAACACCCUGCCACCACUCUCUUUAGUACCGGUUCGUGGCACGAACCGGUACUAAAGGUUCGCCAUGAACCGGUACUAAUGAGAACGGCUGGCUAGCCGUUGGAACCGGCACUAUUGGACACAUUAGUGCCGGCUCAAAAUCAAACCGGCACUAAUGUGUCUCAUAUUAGGUCCGUUUUCUACUACUGGAAGAUAUAGGAGGCUAAGCUUGGAAGACAAUAAGGAAACAAAAAGAUGGUUAGAAGAGUAGAAGAAGCAAGAUGGUAGAAGAGUAUAAGAAGCAAACAUGAGUGCCAAGUUAAAAAAGUCUGAGGAUAGAAGAGUAGAAGAAACAACGGAAGUGACUGGAUCCGGACAAGUGGCAAGAAACCUUAGAAUUAGAAGAAAGAAAAUAUUGACGGGCUAUAUGAGCUUGGAAGACACCAAGGAAAAAUAUGGUACAUGAGUAGAAGAAGCAAUCAUUAGUGCCAAGUAAAGUCUAAGGAUAGUUGUUGGAAUAGCUCUAGUCUCUUAGAGAAAGUUAAGAAUAGUUGUGAUAAUAGUUGUAAUAACAUGGUAAGGAGUAGUAUUUUGUUAGAGGUAGUUUAGAAAGAGGUGGAAUUUAAGAUCUGUUCAAUAGUGUCUUGCUGGUGUGGUGGAUGAAAAUACUAAGUCCGUAAUCCUGUUUAUCUCUGGUUUCAUUCCAGUAAUGGAAUUGGGAGCUAUGCUCCGUAAUUCAAAAAAUGAAGUGAUGGUAUCUUUUCAUAGUUGAACUUUUAUAAUGCCUUCCGUUCAAUUUGUGUCGUCUCAUAAAAGCCAUCUUGGAGCAUCCAAGAUACUUCAAAUGAGAAGCCGUUCCUAUUACCGAGGUGUGCCAAAUUUGCUGAUCAACUUAGACUAGCCAUAAAAGUAGUAAUGUAGGUAGUAACAUAAAACUCAAUGCAAUGCCAACAAGAUAUCUUGAGUACAUGGCAUGUCAAUGAAUGAGGAAGAGAAUCUUGUGAUAACUAGCUAUGUUACCAUAUAACAUCACAAACUCCAAAACAAGAUUAGUAUACAACCUAAUAAAUGGAACUUUGCAUGAUACUAGCCAUUAGUUACUACCCACUAUGAAGGUGGUAACAUAGACUAGAAACAUAGGCAUGACACUAGUCUAUGUCACUCCCCACAAUAACUUGUCUUAAUGAUAUGGGCCUUCGUCUAUUGGUCUGGGCUUGGUCAACGGGUGUCGAACUGCUCUACACCAAUGAUAAUAGCUUGGGUUUGCAGAAUAUGGAAAGUUACCUGUUUGACAGAAGAAAUUAUGUGUUUGGCUAUUUUGCAGAAAGUGAUGUAUUCUCCAAAAAAUGAUGUAUUUUGUAGAAAAUGGAAAGUUAACCCGGUAAAUUUUUUAUUAAUUUUUUGUUUACACACGUACAAAAAAAGUAUGUACAAAUCUAAAAGAAAAUAAAACAUAAGAUCCUAUGCAUAUUAUUUACUGUCAGCUUUUGUCAGCUCCGUUUCAAAAUAUAAGAUGUUUUAGCUUUGUGAAGUGAGUGUAUCUAGACUCUUUUGAUGUUUAGGUUCACUCUGAACUAUAAACUAAAGAUAUCUAGAUACAUUUGCUUCACAAAGCUAAAACAUCUUAUAUUUUGAAACGGAGGGAGUAGGUGUUAAAGGGGACGGCCAGAAUUGGGAGUGUAGGAAAGGAGCAUGUCGUUUCGUGUAGGAUGCGGUUGUGUCCAAGCCUGCUUCAAGAAUUGAAGUGUUCGUGGGGAGGCGUGACGAAAGGGAUCCAACGUUAUGUUAUUUGAUUAACACGUGUGGAGUUAAAUAAAGAAUGAUUAGUUUAAGGUUGAAGUAGUUUCUCCUAGUUGGUUUAUGAGGCGUAUGAAUUCAGCCGAUGGUUCAGAUUAAACGAGAAAGAUUAGUCCCAUAGAUCCAACAAGACAUAAUCAUUAGAAGAAACUGUAAUAAAACUAAUAGUAUCAGGAUAGGCCUAGGCCCAUCAAUUGCGAAAGCAACGCACAAAAUCCCGACGCAACUAUCUCCUGCGAGCACACCGCCGCCUACACACCCACCAGCUACCACGCCGCCGCCUCCACAUCCAGUCAUCCACCAGCCACCACGCCCCCACCUCCAUCUAGCCCACGGUGACCGCCCAUUCCACUGCCGAGCACUCUGCCGCCAACUUGACAACGUUCGUUACCUCAUCAACAUCCGACGCCUCAUCUUUGGAAGGUUGUGUCACUGCUGAACCCCCUACUGUAAACCUAGCCUCCUUUGACGGCAGCCCAGACUAUGCCCUGUUCGAUUUAUGGUUUCACUUACAGGUACAUGAGUGGUACUACUAAUUCUAAUUUCCUAGAUGACAUGAGCACCUAAUUAGAUGAGCCCUUAUGCAGCAGGAGACCCAGGAAAGCAUUCGUGAUGGAGAUUGGUCGUGCAACAUGAUGCUCUGGCUAUGCUUUGAAUUUCCUGCAUAUUUACCUUACUAACAAGCAUCACUGAAUGGAAAUUAGAAUCAUCAAAUUAUGUUAGUUAUGAAGCAGGUUGAUGUUUGAACAAUUUACCAAUGUCGGUGACACAACUAGUACACAUGAAAAGCCCAACAACCAUUGGUGUAUGUAGAUGAUAUGACCUUCAACCUUUUUAGUCUUUGUUCCAUUUACUGAAGUGUUGUAUCACUUAAUUCUGCGAAUCAUUUAUCAACCACACCCAGGUAUCCAUUUUAAUUAUUUGUGUCACUACCAAAGUAAUUGUAUGAGAAUAAUUAUUUGUUUUCCAUGGAAAAUAAUUUUUCAUCUGUAUUGUUCUGCCAAUUGUAUUUCUAGUAUCCUAUGCAUAUUAUUUACUGUCUCUUUUUCUUUAUAUACCAUGCAGUUUGUGAUUUCAGAAAACAACCAAUCAAGUCUAUGAUACUCAUCUAUAUUCUGGUGAGUUAAAGAUCCAUAUGAAGUUUGUUGGGCAUCAUCUAAUCUUAUUCUGUGCCUUGUCUAGAGUUGAUUAGCUCUAGUGUUUAUAUUAGUAUUCUUAAUGCUGAAGUUUGUGUGUUCGAUUUGUUGGAAAACAGAUGAAUGCAACAACUGAUCAGGUUCAAGAAAGAUGAAGCAAGAAAUGUUGUUUCCCAGGCUCUAAAUCUGAAGCUUCCUUUUGAUGAGAUAGAUUUGAUGGAGGAGAACCUAGAGGUGGAGCUGAUCAGGAGGCAACUGGGUCUUCAGCAUGUUAGGUCCUGAUGAUAAGUCAAUUUUGACGUUAAAUGUGAACCUAUUUCUAAGACGUGUCAAUCACAAUUUUUUCUCAAGGACCAAAUUAGUUGCUGAAAUCUGUUGUUUUCCCAAAUCAUCUACUCUUCUGGGAGCUCUUUGUGAUAUCAUCGAUACUAGUACUUCUCAAGCAGAGCAAUAAUACUGAUAUAAAAAGGUACUUCUGCUUUUCAUUUGCAUGAUACAUGAAGAAUAAUAAGAGGCAGAAAGUGCAAGUAACACUUGCAUGAUCAUGCAAGUCUUUGUGAGCACCUCCAUUUGUCCUAGGAAUGUCAUAAUUUUCUUAAGAGUAUUCACUUCGGAAAGCAGGAGCUAAAAACCUAUUUUAGCCUGUUUAUGCUAUCAGCAUUCUUGCUGAUGUCCAUGUUCUGCUCGAGGAUAUCAAAGAGCAGAAACAAAGAAUCAGGUAAAUUUUGAACCCCGUUGAAGAAUUGAUUGGAGGGAGCUUGCUCUUUAGCUCAGUAUGGGAUAUAGUGUUCACCAUUUGUUACUGCAAAUGAACCAAGUGGUUCACCUAUAUGUAAGCUUACGCGCACCUUUGGAAGGAGCGGCAGUCCCUCAUGGAGUGCGUAGACCUCUUGACCCCGUCCCUGUCGGUAAAGCUUGUUGGAAAUAUGAGCAAACUACUAUGAGUUUUAAUCCAAAUAAACAGAUGAUAAAUCAUGACAGCACUAGCAAAGAUUAAACUAAUCAUGUGAAAUAGCAUAGUAGAUGAACAAAUGACAUCUAGGGCACAUACUAGAAACAUGAAUUCUACCAGGAUCUCGAAUAGGAAGGAUAGAAUCACAUACGGUGCAGCGGUUGCAGCACCGCCGGUGUUGACGUUGUCGCCCAUGUCGUCGAGGAUGAGGUUGCCAAGGUUGGGGAAGAACUCGUCGUUCGCGAAGUCGUCGCUACGAGCAGUCGCGCAAGUGCGCUCCCUAAAAACCUGAUCGCCCCUCUCCCAUACACGAUCAUGAGAGGCGGGGUUCCAGAGGCCUGCUGUCCCUUCUCCCGGUGCACGCCGAAAGGAGGGAUGGAGAAGACUAGCUUGGCGGCUCAAUGAUCUGGAACGGUGGUGAGAAACCAUAUGAAGCGGCAACUACUAGGGUAGACGUCUUCCUGACUAUAUAGUGCGGGCCGGGUAGGUCGUGGGAGUUAACCCCACGUCCGAGUUGUCACGAUCCAAAAGAAUCAGAAAUGGUUCAGUAAUUAACUCGUCCAUUGCUUAUUAAUUAAUGACUCAUUAAUUUUUCCCGAGCAGCAAAAAUAUAGACAACAUGCAUAGCUCUGUCUUCGGCUCGCCUCGAUCCUGCAACCCGCGGCGCGGUGCGGCGUCGGCUUUGAUCUCGACGUGGACUCCUGUCACCUCCGAUAACGGCAGCGCACUGGAGACAUGGAGUGGAUGAGAUGUCGAUGAGGCGGGUGUCGACGAAAUCUUUGGCACGAGGGGACGAGAUCCUCCGCGGUCCACCCGACGAUGGGGUUGAUGCUGGUGCAGGGGCUGGCGUGACCAGCGUAUCCGUACCCAACUUGAUCGGAGUACGGAGUCGAACGGACCCGACGAUGUUGAUGUGGAAGCGGAGGCUCCCAAAAGUCAAAUCGAUACCCUUGUGGAGGGCGCUGAACACGGCGCGUUGCUCCAGGGUGUGUGGCACGAACUCGAGGGAGCCGAAGAAGAUCUGCUCCGCAAGAGUCGACGAACUGCCAUUCGUUGAGAUGAGGAUCAGAGACUCCAUGGGUCCAGUAGACGAAAUUCCCACAUACGGUGCGAAUCGACGAGGGAGUACCUCGGCAAUGCCCAUGGUUGUGGACUUAGGGUUUUGAUGAAUCAUGUCUACCGGUGGAAUCGACGAUCUAAACGUGAGGUGUGAAACACAAGACACAGAUUUACCCAGCUUCAGGCCCUUGUAAAGGAAACCCUACGUGUUGCUUGUCGGAUCUUUAUAUUGAUGGAGUGUACAAAGUCGUUGAGAUCGGAGACUAGGGUUAGCCCUUGCGCAUGGCCAAGGCUAGAUCAAUCGUGAUGGUGGUUGUGAGGUUUGUGUGCGUUAUUGUUGUGUCGACCCCGUACCCCUCUCCCAGCCUUUAUAGACUAGGCUGGGUCCCGAGUUCGUAUCAGGAUCAGUUUACAUCAUGGUAAGGGGGUUUCCCUAUCUACUUACAAUAGCACUUCCUUACGGAUCACGUCAUGUCCGUGGGCUUCCUGGGCUCCAAGCGUGGCGAUGACCUGGACCUCGAGUCCUUCCAGGCCGCAGGCCUCCUGUUAUGCGAUACCAGGUAUCCUUAUGGUGGGCACCCGCAGGGUCAUGCCCACAACAAUCAUCCAAAUUAUCAUGCCUAUCUUAAUGGCUAUAAAGAAAGAGCUUUUGGGAGACAACCCAUUAUAUUUUUUCUUUCAGUUUAUUUUUGUUUCUUUGAGUCUUGGAAGUUAUUACCUCUGUAAUAACCUCUCCUUAUCCUUCUUGUUUCGUUUUUGUGCCAAGAAUAGCCACUAAUGGGAGGAAAGUGAGAUUUGGGGAAGUUGCUAUCCCGAAACUGAUUUUGUGCUGUCACCAAAAAAAUUAAUUCUCUCAGCCAGAACGUCGGAUUGAUAUGAAAUGUUUUAUGCUCAUGCCCCAGGUUGUUACCCAACUUGUUCUAUGGUGCUCUCCGUGUCGCGCAAGCGUGAGGGAUCCCCGCUGUAGGGUUUGCAAUAUGUUCAUGAUUUGCUUAUGGUGGAUGGCGUGAGUGACAUAAGCACAGACCCGAGUAAGUAGGUUGUUUGCGUAUGGGAUAAAGGGGACUUGAUACUUUAAUGCUAUGGUUGGGUUUUACCUUAAUGAUCUUUAGUAGUUGUGGAUGCUUGCUAGAGUUCCAAUCAUAAGUGCAUAUGAUCCAAGUAGAGAAAGUAUGUUAGCUUAUGCCUCUCCCUCAAAUAGAAUUGCAAUAGUGAUUACCGGUCUAGUAACGUAGUCAAUUGCUUAGGGACAAUUCCACAACUCCUACCACCACUUUUCCACACUCGCUAUAUUUACUUUAUUGCUUCUUUACCUAAACAGGCCCUACUUUUUAUUUACGUGUUCUUUAUUAUCUCGCAAACCUAUCCCAAUAACACCUACAAAGUACUUCUAGUUUCAUACUUGUUCUAGGUAAAGCGAACACUAAGCGUGCGUAGAGUCGUAUCAGUGGCAGAUAGGGCUUGAGAGAGUAUUUGUUCUACCUUUAGCUCCUCGUUGGGUUCGACACUCUUACUUAUCAGAAGAGGCUACAAUUAUCCCGUAUACUUGCGGGUCAUCAAGAUCUUUUUCUGGCGCCGUUGCCGGGGAGUCAUAGCGUGGGGUGAAUAUUCUCGUGUGUGCUUGUUUGCUUUAUCACUAAGUAAUUUUUAUUUGUUGUUCUUAGUUGCUCUAUAUCUUUAGUUAUGGAUAUGGAACACGAAAUACCAAAAACAUUAGGUGUACUUGAUACUCAUGGAGAUGGGGAACCUCCUAAAACCCUCGAUGCUCGUUAUGUGAAAGACAUUAUGUACUACUUUAAUAAUCCUGAGAAACCCCCAUUCAAUUAUGUUAUGGGUGACACGUUGGAUCAACGUGAAUACUUUAGGGAUUAUCGCUUGACACAAAAAGGGAAACUAUUAUGGGAUAAAAUUAAUAUGUUGCCUUGGUAUGCUCUGGAUUUAUGCUUGAGAUAUGAUAUUACUUUUUGCUCUAGGAUGAAGGCUCCACACCUUCCCUUUUCAUGCAAAUUUAAUGAUAAUGAAACCUUAGCUUCUUAUGCUAGAAGUAUAUAUGAUUACUAUGAUGUUGAACAAAUUGAAGAAUUUGUUGCUUUUAAGGCUACUUAUGAAAUUGAAUCUUUGUUUGAAAAGUAUGAAGCUUUAGAUGAUGAUGUUUAUAGGCUUGAAAAUUAUGCUAUAUUGAAAUAUUGCUAUGAAAUUAUGAAUACAAUUACAAUAUUAAUGCAUUUGUUGAGAAAGUCUCCGCUGUCCAAGAAGAGACUAAUAUUUUGCAGGAAGUUAUGGAAGAAGAAAUUGAUGAAACUGUGAGCCCAUUGGAUGAAAAAGAUGAUGAGGAGAGCGAAGAACAAAAGGAGGAAGAGCGGAUUGAUCACCCGUGCCCACCUUCUACGGAGAGUAACUCUUCAACUCAUACAUUGUUUAAUUCCCCUUCGUGCUUACCGAAGGAUGACUGCUAUGAUGAUUGCUAUGAUCCCAUUGAUUCUCUUGAAAUAUCCAUUUUUGAUGAUACUUGCUAUGCUUGUGGCCAAGAUGCCAAUAUGAAUUAUUCUUAUGGAGAUGAACUUGCUAUAGUUCCUUAUGUUAAACAUGAAAUUGUUGCUAUUGCACACACACAUGAUAGUCCUAUUAUCUUUUUGAAUUCUCCCGACUACACUAUAUCGGAGAAGUUUGUUCUUAUUAAGGAUUAUAUUGAUGGGCUGCCUUUUACCAUUACACAUGAUAAUUUUUAUGAAUGUGAUAUGCAUGUGCUUGCUGCUCCUACUUGCAAUUAUUAUGAGAGAGGAACUAUAUCUCCACCUCUCUAUGUUUCCAAUAUGAUAAAAUUGCAAGAAACUGCUUAUACUAUGUGUUGGCCUUUACUAUGUGUGCAUGAAUUGUUUUUUAUGACAUGCCUAUGCAUAGAAAGAGAGGUAGACUUUGUUUUUGCAUGAUAUAUGUUACUUUGUGCUCACUACUAAAUUACAAAUCAUUGUUAAUUAAAAUUGGCUUUGAUAUACCUUGGGAUCCGGGUGGAUUCAUUACUUGAGCACUAUAUGCCUAGCUUAAUGGCUUUAAAGAAAGUGCUGCCAGGGAGACAACCCGGAAGUUUUAGAGAGUCAUUUAUUUCUGUUGAGUGCUUUUAUAUAGUUUAAAAACAAACAAUAAAUAAAGAGGGGAACCUAAAAACUUUUCAAAAAGGAAAGUGAAAGUGAGAGAGACAAGCAUUGUUGAAGUGGGAGAGCUCCUUGAACUUUGUUCAUGCUCACGGAAACUUUGUGAAUCUUGAUUAUAGAAACUUUUCAUCAAAAAUAAUUAUCCCCUUGUACAAUUCCAUUGUAUUAUAAAAAUAAUGUGCCAAGGUUUGCCUUUAGGAUGUUUACAAUGCUUGUUGGUUUGUACGGUGCAGGACAGGAACUUUGGCUGUAGUGCUCGAUUUUACAUUUUUUGCCGAAAUGGUUCUGAUUCCUUUUGCACUGUCUUUCUGUACUACUUAUUUAUUUUUCCUAAUUUUGGUAGAAUUUUUGGGUACAGAAGUAUGGUGAAUGUUCAGAUUGCUACAUACUGUUCUAUUUUUGACAGAUUCUGUUUUUGAUGCAUAGUUUGCUUGUUUUGAUGAAUCUAUCAAUUUAUAUCAGUGGAUUAAGCCAUGGAAAAGGUAUAUUAUAGUAGACACAAUGCAAAAACAAAUUAUGAAUUGGUUUGCAACAGUACUUAGAGUGGUGAUUUUCUUUAUUAUACUAACGGAUCUUACCGAGUUUUCUGUUGAAGUUUUGUGUGGAUGAAGUGUCUAAUCGAGGAGGUCUCGAUAUGAGGAAAAGGAAGAGAGGCACGAGCUCAAGCUUGGGGAUGCCCGAGGCACACCAAGUAAAUAUUCAAGGAGACUCAAGCGUCUAAGCUUGGGGAUGCCCCGGAAGAUAUUCCCUCUUUCUUCAACAAGUAUCGGUAUGUUUUCGGAUUCGUUUCGUUCAUGCGAUAUGUGCAAGUCUUGGAGCGUCUUUUGCAUUUAGUUUUCAUUUUUAUUUUAUGCACCAUGCUGGUAUGAGAUAGUCCUUGGUUGAUUUAUAGAAUUCUCAUUGCACUUCACUUAAAUCUUUUGAGUGUGGCUUUAUAGAAUGCUUCAUGUGCUUCACUUAUAUCAUUUGAAGUUUGGAUUGCCUGUUUCUCUUUACAUAGAAAACCGCCAUUUGUAGAAUGCUCUUUUUGCUUCACUUAUAUUUGUUAGAGCGUGGACAUAUCUUUUGUAGAAAGAAUUAAACUCUCUUGCUUCACUUUAUCUAUUUAGAGAGAUGACAGGAAUUGGUCAUUCACAUGGUUAGUCAUAAAAUCCUACAUAAACUUGUAGAUCGCUUAAUAUGAUAUGUUCGAUUCCUUGCAAUAGUUUUGCGAUAUAAAGGUGGUGAUAUUAGAGUCAUGCUAGCGGGUGGUUGUGGAUUGUAGAGAAACUUGUGUUGAGGUUUGCAAGUCCCGUAGCAUGCACGUAUGGUAACCGUUGUGUGACAAAUUUGAAGCAUGGGGUGUUUCUUUGAUUGUCUUCCUUAUGAGUGGCGGUCGGGGACAAGCGAUGGUCUUUUCCUACCAAUCUAUCCCCCUAGGGGCAUGCAUAGUAGUACUUUGCUUCGAGGGCUAAUAAACUUUUUGCAAUAAGUAUAUGAGUUCUAUAUGACUAAUGUGAGUCCAUGGAUUAUACGCACUUUUACCUUUCCAUCAUUGCUAGCUUGUUCGUACCGUGCAUUGCCCUUUCUCACCUCGAGAGUUGGUGCAAACUUCACCGGUGCAUCCAAACCCCGUGAUAUGAUACGCUCUAUCACACAUAAGCCUCAUUAUAUCUUCCUCAAAACAGCCACCAUACCUACCUAUCAUGGCAUUUCCAUAGCCAUUCCGAGAUAUAUUGCCAUGCAACUUCCAUCAUCAUCACAUACAUGACUUGAGCAUUUAUUGUCAUAUUGCUUUGCAUGAUCGUAAGAUAGCUAGCAUGAUGUUUUUAUGGCUUGUCCGCUUUUUGAUGUCAUUGCUACGCUAGAUCAUUGCACAUCCCGGUACACCGCCGGAGGCAUUCAUAUAGAGUCCUAUCUUUGUUAUAGUAUCGAGUUGUAAUAUCGAGUUGUAAGUAAAUAAAAGUGUGAUGAUCAUCAUUAUAGAGCAUUGCCCCAUAAAAAAGAAAAAGGAAAGGCCAAAGAAGCCUAAAUAAGAAAGGGGGCCAAAGAAGCCCACCCAAAAAGAAAAAAAAGAAAAAAAAGAAAGAAAAAAGAAAAAGAAAAGGGGCAAUGUUAUUAUUCUUUUACCACACUUGUGCUUCAGAGUAGUAGCAUGUUCUUCAUAUAGAGAGUCUCAUAUGUUGCCACUUUCAUUUACUAGUGGGAAUUUUCAUUAUAGAACUUGGCUUGUAUAUUCCAAUGAUGGGCUUCCUCAAAUACCCUAAGUCUUCAUGAGCAAGCAAGUUGGAUGCACACCCACUUAGUUUUCAGUUUGAGCUUUCAUACACUUAUAGCUCCUAGUGCAUCUGUUGCAUGGCAAUCCCUACUCCUCGCAUUGACAUCAAUUGAUGGGCAUCUCCAUAGCCCGUUGAUUAACCACGUCGAUGUGAGACAUUCUCCCUUUUUGUCUUCUCCAUAUAAACCUCCACCAUUAUAUUCUAUUCCACCUAUAGUGCUAUAUCCAUGGCUUGCGCUCAUGUAUUGCGUGAGGGUUGAAAAAGCUGAAGCGCGUUAAAAAGUAUGAACCAAUUGCUUAGCUUUUGAUCGGGGUUGUGCAUGAUGGGAGCAUUUCGUGUGACAAAAAUGAAGCAUGGCCAAACUAUAUGAUUUUGUAGGGAUAAGCUUGCUUUGGCCUUGUUGUUUUGAAAAGACAUGAUUGCUUUAUUAGUACGCUCGAAGAAUUAUUGUUUUUAUGUCAAUUGAUAGACUAUUGCUUUGAAUCACUCGUAUCUUAAUAUUCAUGCCAUGAUUAGACAUAUGAUCAAGAUUAUGCUAGGUAGCAUUCCACAUCAAAAAUUAUCUCUUUUAUCAUUUACCUACUCGAGGACAAGAGGAAUUAAGCUUGGGGAUGCUGAUACGUCUCCGUCGUAUCUAUAAUUUUUGAUUAUUCCAUGCCAAUAUUCUUGAACUUUCAUAUACUUUUGGCAACUUUUUAUACUAUUUUUGGGACUAACAUAUUGAUCCAGUGCCCAGUUCCAGUUCAUGUUUGUUGCAUGUUUUAUGUUUUGCAGAAGACCAAUAUCAAACGGAGUCCAAACGGGAUAAAAAUGGACGGAGAAUUAUUUUGGAAUAUUUGGGAUUUUCCGGAGGAAGAGUCAAUGCGAAACAGUGUCUGAGGUGGCCAGGAGAUAGGGGGGCGCCCUCCCCCAUGGGCGCACCUGGCACUCUCCUGGGCCACUCGUAAGGCAGUUGACGCUCUUCUUUUGCUGCAAGAAAUCUAAUUUUAUGAGAAAAAUCUGGGCGAAAGAUUCACCCCAAUCGGAGUUACGAAUCUUAAGAUAUAAAACAAACAGUGAAGGGGCAGAAUCUGAGAACGCAGAAACAGAGAGAUAAAUCCAAUCUCGGAGGGGCUCUCGCCCCUCCCAAGCCAUGGGAGCCAAGGACCAGAGGGGAAACCCUUCUCCCAUCUAGGGAGGAGGUCAAGGAAGAAGAAGAAGAAGGGGGGCUCUCACCCCUUGCUUCCGGUGGCGCCGGAACGCCCCGGGGGCCAUCAUCAUCACCGCGAUCUUCACCAACGCCUCCGCCAUCUUCAUCAACAUCUCCAUCACCUUCCCCCAUCUAUAUUCAGCGGUCCACUCUCCCGCAACCCACUGUACACUCUACUUGAACAUGGUGCUUUAUGCUUCAUAUUAUUAUCCAAUGAUGUGUUGCCAUCCUAUGAUGUCUAAGUAGAUUUCCAUUGUCCUAUCGGUGAUUGAUGAAUUGCUAUGAUUGGUUUGAGUUGCAUGCUUUAUUAUUGGUGUUGUCCUAUGGUGCUCUCUAUGUCGUGCAAGCGUGAGGGAUCCCUGCUGUAGGGUUUGCAAUAUGUUCAUGAUUUGCUUAUGGUGGGUGGCGUGAGUGACAGAAGCACAGCCCCGAGUAAGUAGGUUGUUUGCAUAUGGGAUAAAGGGGACUUGAUACUUUAAUGCUAUGGUUGGGUUUUACCUUAAUGAUCUUUAGUAGUUGCGGAUGCUUGCUAGAGUUCCAAUCAUAAGUGCAUAUGAUCCAAGUAGAGAAAGUAUGUUAGCUUAUGCCUCUCCCUCAAAUAGAAUUGCAAUAGUGAUUACCAGUCUAGUAACGUAGUCAAUUGCUUAGGGACAAUUCCACAACUCCUACCACCACUUUUCCACACUUGCUAUAUUUACUUUAUUGCUUCUUUAUCUAAACAGCCCCUACUAUUUAUUUACGUGUUCUUUAUUAUCUUGCAAACCUAUCCCAACAACACCUACAAAGUGCUUCUAGUUUCAUACUUGUUCUAGGUAAAGUGAACACUAAGCAUGCAUAGAGUCGUAGCAGUGGCAGAUAGGGCUUGAGAGAAUAUUUAUUCUACCUUUAGCUCCUCGUUGGGUUCGACACUCUUACUUAUCGAAAGAGGCUACAAUUAUCCCAUAUACUUGCGGGUCAUCACCUAGCGGUGUGAAAUAAAUGGGAAACUUGUAAGUUCAUGGAGUUUGUAUAUGAGUUAGAGAAACGCCUGGGCGGCCAACCCAAGCCAUGCAUAAUUCAUGGUGGAAAUUUACAACAUAACCAUAGUGAGCAUUCUAUGGAGCAUCUUCAAUAAAAAAAACUAUGCCCAUGGUAAUAAAAGGAUUGCUGAGAUGCUCAUUGUCUGUUGCCUUGUCAUUUUGGUAUGGGAUAGCUCUUGUGUCAUGGGGCAAGGGGUACACCGUUGGCAUGAACUUACAAUGACAAGAAUUUAUUUGGGACCUAAGUUGAGUAGCAUGAGGUUUAGGUAAUUCUAUUCAAGGGGCAUGAGGCUUUCAAUUUGUGAUAUUUCAAGCAUACAACUCAUAUUUGCCCUCACUUUAACCUUAACCAUUCAAGAUGCGUAUGAUAGGGGCAAUGAGAGCUCAAAUCUAAUGAGGACCAUAAUUUUUGGAUGCUUUAUAAAACUUAUUAAUCCCUACUUACCUCUAUGAAGGGCCUUUCUUUUACUUUUUUGUUGAGUCUUCAUCUUCUAUCUUUAUGCUCCAACUAAGAGAGCAUAGUUGUCAUUCUGAGUAUAAUGUGCAUUGUCCCAAAACUUGUUGAUUGAUUCAUGAUUAUGGUAUUGCUUAUUUUCAAAUUAUUUGUAUCUAGUCACCCUUUUGAACUUUGAAGGUGUCCUAUGCAUUUAUGUUUUGCUACUCCAUGAAGGACAGGCUGAAUACCACUUUGCCAUGUUUUCUCUAUGUGCGAAACAAACAAAUGUCUUUCAAAGCAUUAUUCAUGAUCUUUUGUUUAUGUUGCCUUUCAUGUUGUAACAUAGUUGCUAUGUUCUAUUGUUAGAAAUAUAUCUUUCAUACCUAUGUUUAGAGUACUUUGAUCCCAUCUUAGAAUGUUUUACAAUGAUCAUGAUCAAGAUUCUAUUGGCUGCAUGUCACCUCAAAAACUAUUUUUGUUAUCACUUACCUACUCGAGGACGAGCAGGAGUUAAGCUUGGGGAUGAUGAUAUGUUGCAAACAUAUGUAUAAUUUUUGAUGCUCCAUGCUUGUUUUACACCAAUUACUUUAUGUUUUUUUACACUUUGUGGCAUUUUUAUGUAUUUUCUGGAACUAACCUAUUGACAAGAUGCCACAAUGCCAGUUCCCUUUUUUCCUGCUGUUUUUGUGUUUUGGAGAAAUUAGUAACGAAAUAUUCCCGGAAUUGGACGAAACAAAUGCCAAAGUUCCUAUUUUUCUCGACAUGACACGGAGUCCAAAGCAGAGAUGGAGGAGGGCACUGAAAGUGCAUUAUAUCGACUAGAGGAGGGGGGUGAAUAGGCGAUUUUUAUGAAUUCUUCACUGAGGAAUUUGUUGGUGAGGAAAUUCUUUGGCGAAGAACUACUUGCAGCGGAAUAAGUACUCAGAAGUAAGCGUAACAAAAUACAGGCAUGGUCAUCAUGAUGAAAUGAAGACACGCACAGAGUAUAGAAAGCUUAAACACAGGAUAACACAAGAUGAAGACAAACAGACUGAAGAAAUUGAACUGAGGAAAUUGAGAAAGUCUUCAGUCAAAGUCUUCAAACACGGAUAUGAACAAUCACUCAACACAGUAAUGAGUAAAUGAAAGAGUUGAGGGAAUAGAACCAGGAAGGUUGGUGAAGACAAUGAUUUGGUAGACUAGUUCCAACUGCUGUCUCAGUUGUACGUCUGGUUGGAGCGGCUGAGUAUUUAAACUUGAGGGCACAUAGUCCCGGACACCCAGUCGCUGAGCACGCAGCUCAGGACACCAAGUCCUCACCGUAUUCUCCUUGAACUAAGGUCACAUAGACCUCGUCCAAUCACUAGUGGUAAGUCUUCAGGCGAAACCCAAACCUUCACAAACUCGGUCACUCGGCGAUCCACAAUUCCUCCUUAUGCUCUAGACCAUGACGCCUAACCAUCUGGAAGAAGCACAGUCUUCAAAGGUAACAAGCGUCGGUUCCACGCAGUAUCAAUCUCUUCAGUGAUACUCAAUCACUUUGGGUUUGUAGGUGUUUGGGUUUGGGUUUUUUCCUCACUUGAUUAUUUUUGCUCAAAGUCUUCGGAUGAUGGGAUGCUCUCAAGUGUCAGUUUCUCUCGGAGCAACCAACCAGCUAGUUGUUGUAGGGGGCGGCUAUUUAUAGACUAGGGAGCAGCCCGACAUGAUAAGACAUAAAUGCCCUUGUCCGAUAUGACCGUUAGGUGGAUAAGAUAUUUUGGGAGAGUUGGCGCGCAGCACAACACUGGUCGGAAAUUUGAAUCUCAAAUUCUUCAGGGCUAUCAUGUUCCUCACUUUGUAGGCAAUCCGCACUGGCGAAUUCCUAACUCCUUAGUCAGAAAAAAUUCCUCAGCGACUAGAAGAACUUCGUCUCUAUCACUGAAGAAAUGACUGAACUGUAUGAGAUUUCCAAAGGCUUCACUCGAAGGGAUUGGUACGUGUAGGAUUUUGAGUUGAGCAUCACAUGGAAAUUUUUCCUUAGUAUUUCCUAGACCCCCUUUAACAGUACGGUGUUUCCUAUGACUCAAGAAAGAGAAAAACAAAACUAUGAAAACGAAAGUCUUCAAGCUUCAUAUUCCUCGCAUGAAUAUCAAUUCUUCACGGACACACCAAUUUCUUCAAUUUCGAAGUCUUCAUGAAAGUCUUCAGGAAUACCAAAAUCUUCAGUCAAAGAUAUUCAUUUUUAGGGGUCGACUUUCUCUAUAAAUAUCAAACUCCUCAUAGACUUAUAGACCUGUGUACACUCAUAAACACAUUAGUCCCUUAACCUAUAAGUCUUCAAUACACCAAAAUCACUAAGGGGCACUAGAUGCACUUACAAUCUCCCACUUUUUGGUGAUUGAUGACAAUAUAGGUUAAGUUUUCAACGGGGAUAAACAUAUGAACUAUAAGUACUGAUAUUGAGGAAUUUGAUGGCAAGAUAUAGAAGAACUCCCCCUAAAGAUGUGCAUAGUGAGGAAUUUUCUUUUGAAGCAAUGCACACUUGAAGAGUUGAAUCAUGGAGAUCUCCCCCUAUAUCUUGUAAUUCAUACACGCAUUUGGCAUAUAAUAUGAAGAAUUUGAAAUGCAUGAUGAAAUAUGGUGCCUGAUGAAAUUCAGCAUGCGUGCAAUAAUAUUAAUGAGGAACAAGCAUGCAGAAUAACGCAUCAAGAGUAUCAGAGCACAAUGCAUCAAAAGUAUCAGAGCACCAUCGGGUUUAAGAUUACAACUCGAUCCAAUAAAGUUUUAGAAGAACGAGAGUUUUAACUUAGCAAAAACGCCCAUAUAAUACACCCGCUUGAAGACUAACUCAAAUUUCUCCCCCUUUGUCAUCGAAUGACCAAAAGGUUCGAAACUGAGGACUAACGCCCCUGAAGAAUAUCAAGUUGAUGGAGGAGCAUCAGCAUUGUCAGGGUCGGUUGUCGUAGUAGGGCCUGCCGAAGUGUCGUCCAAGUCUUCAUUUUCAUCAGUGUCACGCGAUGAAGAAUAGGAGCUGGCCACCAAGGAAGGAACCUUGACCUUCUUGAAUUUCUUCGGUGGAGGUGCAGACCAGUCAAAUUCGUCCUUGAGACCCAUUCUCUUCAGAUCCUCUGCGCCGUAGACAUGAGAUAGAACAGCCCAGGUACGGUUGAAGGUUCCAUGGAGGUAGUAGUGGUUUUUCUUCACUACAUUGUGUGUUGAGGUCAUGUUGUGAAGAAUUGAACCAAACUGACGCUUGACCCAUUUAUGAUUGCGAUCAACUUUCUGAUGAAGACUGAGGAGUAAUUCACGAUCAGUCAUCACCCUGGGUGCUGUGGCUUGAGGAAUUUGCUUGGCAGAGGUGUUGGCGGCAGAGUCAUGUGUGGCAGAGUCAUCAUUGGUGGAGUAGGAUGCAGCCUUGCGAAAUUGACCAUCCAAUGGACGAAUGCCUUCAUCUAUCACAACAGUUGCCUUGCCUUUGUCAUCAGCUGAGGAAAAUGUCCGUGUGAGGACUUCAAUUGGAGGCAAGUAGCUGUCGUGGUUUAGAGUAUCAUCCUUGUAAUUGAGUGAAGACCUUGUCGUGAUGAACCUCAUAAUCCAUGGUGCAUAAGGCUUCAGCUCAAAUGCUGACAUAGCAAUAUUCACCAGAGUCAUCAUGAAGAAAUCAUGGAAGUUGACGGGAACGCCAUUAAUGAUAUUGAAAAGCAUAUUCUUCAUGAUGCCAACGACUUCUUCAUCAUUUGAGUCGUGGCCUUUGAUAGGACUCAUUGUCUUCGUCAAAAUGCGAUAGACAGUCCGUGGCACAUACAGUCAUUCCUUGACGAGGAAUUUGGUUAGAGGGGCCUGCCCUGGCUUCAAAGGCUUCAUCAGCACUUGCAUGUAAUGAUUUUAAGCUCAGGUUUGUUGUAGAUGCAACGAGCACCUUCAAGGGGAGGACUGAGUGGGAGGGCACGAAGCAAUUCAGUUGCUGGUGCCUUGUAGUGAGUAUUGUCUGACAUCCAGUCCAGCACCCAUGAGUUCACAUCUUUAGAAUUUCCUAUGAUGUGCAGCGUUGCAUAGAAUUGAAGAAUGAGUUCUUCAUUCCAAACACAGAUGUCAGUGCAGAAAUUCAGCAAUCCAGCAUCGUGAAGAACACUAAGGACUGGCUCGAAGCACGGUAGAGACUCCAUGUCCACAUGAGGAAUAUGUUCAUGAUCGAAGACUUUGUCUUUGUUGAAUAGUACCGAGGAAUAGAAAUUUUCUUGACUAGCAGUCCAGAAACGCCUCUUCCUUAUGCGAGUAGAAUCAUAGGGGUUGUAGUUUGUGAAGAACACAUGCUCGCUGAAGAAAUCUUUAGCCUUGAACUUUUGCUUCUUUGAGAAUGGAUCCGUUGGCUUGGGCACUAGAGUGUCAGUGAGUUGCAUCACAACCUCAGGAAUCGCAAUCUCAGGUUCUUCAGGCUAAGGAAUUUCUGGUUCCUCUUCAGUGGCAGUCUGUGUGUUCAAAGGAUCAGCAACAACAGUUUCUUCAGCACUAGCGGCUGGAAUUUCUUCAUGCACACAUGAGGUGGGAUGAGUUUCUUCAGAGCCCAUUUGAACGGUUGGUGCAGGGGACUAAGGUAUUUGUUGUAUUGGGGUGAAGAGUGGAGAAUUGGGGUGCUAACUUUCCCAAAAGUCAUCAUUCAUCACCGGCGUUGUGCAGCCAAUGCCCACGUCUUCAUCUUCAAUUUCUUCAACGCCAGCCUCUUCAGCUGUGAACUGAGGCAUUGGCAAGGAAGCAACAGGAGUUGAAGGGAUCGUAUCCACUUCAAUUUCUUCAUAAACCUGCUCUAAUGAAGCAGCAAAUUGAGGUUCUUCAUCAGAUCCGCUUGGGAUCACAUAUUCUUCACCAAAAGGAACAAGGUCCUUUGAUGGCAUGGUGGAAAUUGGAAUAGCAUCAAUUGGAUUUUCAAGUGAGCUAGUCAUAGGCUUCAUCUUUUUUGGAGCUGAAGAUUAUGAAGCACUUGAUGCUUUCCUUUUCUUCACUGCAGCUCGCUCUGCAGCCUUGGUCUUCUUCACAUAUAAUGCAGAUGGAAGGAUUGGAGUUGGUCUAGGCGCAGGAGGAGCUGGGGAAUCUGGUUGAUUUUCUUCAGGCACAACUGAUGCAGUUGCCCUGACCUCUUCAGUUUCUUCAGGCGCACCACUAGUGGAUGCCCUGGCAAUUUCUUCAGCGGCUGGAAUGGAUUCAUCAGCCCUGGAACAAGCAUUUUCAUCAGCAGCCUGAAAGUCAUCAGCGGUGCUGGCAUGUUCUUCAGUUGGCUGAGCAGAAGCUUCAGCUUCAGGAAUUUCUUGUUGCGAUGGGGCUGCAACAUUGGUGAACUUUUCAGUCAGUUUAACAAACCUGACUUUGGCUCCUUGCCAAUCAUCAUAGUAAGCAUUGAAAUCAUCACUGGGGGCUUUGAUUUCAGACUGGAUCUUGAGGAGUUCAUCAGUUGUCAUAUUGACAACGUUUAUCUUCAGGAACUUCUCUUUCCUGAACUGAGCCUUCUUGAUCUGCCUGGCCUUCUCAAAUUUCCAUUUCUCUUCAGUGAUGAAAUGGGUCAGCAUGUGACUGUGACCAGGAGUCAAAUUGAAAUCAGGCAUAGGAGUAUUUGGAUCCUUGUGCCAGAGAUCAAUGUAAUCGAGGAUCGCCCUUGGAUCCAAAAGCAGUGGCACAUUUGUGCCUUUGGCUCUAGCGGCCCUUUCUUGUCUGUCUCUGAUGAUUUCUGCAAGUUCAUCAUCAUCAGCUUCAUCGUCAGAUGGCACUUGGAAGGCAACCUGUUUCUUCUUCGGACUUGGCCGAGGACCUCGACCAGCCAUUGCCUUUGUCUUCAGCAGGGUGGGGCCUGAUGAAGAUUUUGGUGCAGGUGAGGAACUCGUUGAGGCACCAGAGGCAAUAGAGAUGCCUGUAGUCCUUUGGCACGUGGCCAGAUGUACAGGUGUUGAGGACUUUGCCGGAGCAGCGGAGGACAUUGGGGGAGGAUCUGAGGAUUUUGGAGAAGCAGGAGCAGCAUGAGGAACUGGCCGUGAGGGCUUUGAAGAAUCUGGCUGUGAGGGCUUUGAAGAUUCUGGCCGUGAGGGCAUUGCUGAGGAACUUGGCCGUGAGGGCAUAGUUGGUGAAGCACUUGUCUUGUGAGCGGGCUUCUUUGCCAUUGAUUUUCUAGGCUUGACAGAGGCCUCAGUGGCAACAGCAGCAGUAGAGUCUUCAUUGAAUUUCCUCACUGCUUCUUUGGCUUGUCUCGCCAACUUGGCUUGGCGUUUGGCCCAUUCUUCAGGAAAAUCCUCACCACGCUUGAUGCUGGUGGGGUCAGCUUCUUGGCCAGGUGCCAAUGGAGCUCUUGGGCAUGGAGGAUUUAGUGCAAAUUUCUUCAUAUACUUCGGAGUUACAUAUCUGUACUCCCUCCAUUCUCUUGCCCAUCUCCUUUCAAUCUUCUGUAUGCGCACCUUGCACUGAUUUUUGUUUUCCUUUCCGAACUUAGCCUCAUCAGGUGUGCAAUAACCAGCAUAGAUGUCCUCAGGUAUUUCAAAAGCAGUCAUGACCUCAGGCUUCUUUCCUCCUUUCUGCGGCUUCUUACCGUCUGCCAUAAUCUUCAGAUGAGGAAUUUGAACAAUCGAAUUCUCUGAAGAAGUAUGCAACUUUUCUUCGAGGAACGCUGCAAAUGAGUUAAGUUGAUGAGAACCUAGUGAUUCAGAAGCGGACAUGAGUACCUGUGAACAGAGUAUAGUUGCGACGAAUUUGGAGAGGUCAUAUGCGUUCUCAAAAGUUUUUUUUAAAAGAACAAGUUUGAGGAAUUUGACCAGAUGAACCUUGAAGAAUUUCACUAAGCGUUCUUUGUCUUAGGUUCCAGAGUUGUAUAGAUCGAGGAUCCACACAAUUGAGGAAUCUUGAAGAAAAAUGAUGCUUAGAGAAACGAAUCAAGAACAGAUGACUAGUGAGGUGUUUUGUGUGUGAGGAUUUGAAGAAUAAAACACCUUUGAAGAUUUUGUAGAGAAAAUUUGAAUCAAAGAGGGCAGUAAAAGUAACUUUUAAUUACCCUUGAUGAAGAACACGACGAACUGUGAAGAAGAACAGUGAAGUUCGUCGGUGUAGAUCUUCCACGCCCUAACUCGGCGGAGGAAGACAGCUACAGCGGCGGCGGAGUGAAGAUUUCCGCGGCCGGCGCGAGUACGACGGCGACGAGGUUGAGGCACUGAAGCUCUUCCUCACCGGCGACGAUGGAGUAGCGGCGGCGCUAGGGUUUGAGAAGCUCGAGCGAGAGAGAGCGAUCGAGCAGAGUAAAGGAAGUGAGGAAGGGGUGAGGGGGUAUUUAUAGUCGCAGUUAAAAACUGUUCACCCGAAGAUUUAGGACGAAUGUGCCCCUGACCCUUCUCAUCCGUUUGACAUGUGUCACCCACGUACUGAAAAGUGGGGAUCGUGUUAGAUCGUGGGUGAAUAGAUAAGUCUAUCAUGUGAUGCGGAACGGUUUGAGCGGUAAAACCGAAAAUUUUGGAUAAGAUUAGUUAAAAGUUCGUUCGCAAAUUCUUCAGCUGACAAGGACACAGUGAAGAUUUUGAACGAGUUUCCAAUAGAACGCACAUGAAGAAUUUGUGAAUAGAUUGGGUUGAGUAUAGCAUAGAGAGGGAAGGGUCCGAUCACAUUCACUUAGCAGAAAAUGCAGCUUGAAGAAAUAGCCAUAAGUGAAUGUUGUAGAGGACAUAAACCCAUAUAUAUAUCCAAUGAAGAAAAACGACGGAAACAGUGAAGAUUUUGCAAAGUUGAAGAAUUUGAAAAACUAAAGAAUUUCAAAACUGAGGAAUUUCAAAAAUGAAGAUUUUCAACUUUGGUGGUGGCGUGACCCACCGUAUAAGAAUGAUGAUUUCAGACACCGCGUACAAUUGUCGUAGGGUUCUGAGAAUCAAAUUCUUCAUUAAUUUCUUCACACUUAGAGUGUUAUUCUUCAUUGAUUGAAGAAAAAUGUUUCUUCAUGUGUUGCACAUCUAAGUCAUCAAUUUUGCACAAGUGUUAGGAUGAGUGUCCUUUUUCAAAGAACAUUCGAAGAUUCUAGGAUAUUUAGCUCACACCGCAACUUGCUAAAUCUCUUCUCAUCCAAGGGCUUUGUGAAGAUAUCAGCCAGCUGUUCUUCAGUCUUCACGUGCUCGAUGGAGAUGUCGCCCUUCAACACAUGAUCAUGAAGAAAAUGAUGACGAAUCUGAAUGUGCUUUGUCUUCGAGUGCUGAACUGGGUUGUGAGCAAUCUUGAUGGCACUCUCAUUGUCACAGAGGAGAGGCACAUUCUUCAGGUUGACGCCAUAGUCCUUGAGGGUUUGCUUCAUCCAUAGCAGUUGAGCACAGCAAGAACCAGCAGCAAUGUACUCAGCUUCUGAAGUAGACAGUGAUACGCAGUUCUGUUUCUUCGAGGACCAACAGACCAAAGAUCGUCCGAGGAAAUGAAAAGUACCAGAUGUUGACUUGCGGUCCACCCGAUCACCAGCAUAGUCAGAGUCGGAAUAUCCAAUGAGAUCAAAAGUAGAGCCCUUGGGGUACCAUAAUCCUAGUGUUGGUGUGUGAGCUAGAUAUCGAAGAAUAUGCUUCACAGCCUUAUGGUGUGAUUCCUUCGGUGCAGCUUGAAAUCGGGCACACAUGCAAACACUAAGCAUUAUAUCUGGCCUAGAUGCACAUAGGUACAAUAAAGAACCAAUCAUGGAGCGGUAUACCUUGUGAUCGAAGUCAAUACCAUUUUCAUCAGUGCAUAGAUGGCCAUUUGUGGGCAUAGGAAUUUUGACGCCUUUGCAAUCUUGCAUGCCGAAUUUCCUCAGAACAUCUUUGAGGUAUUUCUCCUGAGAUAUGAAUAUGCCAUUGUGCUGUUGAUGAAUUUGAAGACCUAAGAAGAAUUUCAUCUCUCGCAUCAUAGACAUUUGAUAUUCUUCACUCAUCAUAUAGGCAAAUUCAUCACUAUAAUGUUGGUCAGUACAGCCAAAGAUAAUAUCAUCAACGUAUAUUUGGCACACAAACAGUUCACCAUCAUAAGAUUUAGUAAAGAGAGUAGGGUCGAGUGAACCGGGUGUGAAGCCAUUCUUCAUGAAGAAUUCCUUCAGAGUAUCAUACCACGCCCGAGGGGCCUGCUUGAGGCCAUAGAGGGCCUUGUUGAGUCUGAAGACUUUGUCAGGAUUCUUUGGAUCUUCAAAACCUGGGGGUUGAGCAACAUAUACUUCUUCCUCAAGCUUACCAUUGAGGAAUGCACUUUUCACAUCCAUUUGAUAUAAAGUGAUAUUAUGAUGGUUAGCAUAAGCAAGUAAUAUGCGAAUAGCCUCAAGUCUAGAAACAGGUGCAAAAGUUUCAUCGGAAUCAAUUCCUUCAACCUGUGUGUAGCCUUGAGCUACAAGUCGUGCCUUAUUCCUCACCACAAGGCCAUUUUCAUCUUGCUUGUUGCGGUAGAUCCACUUUGUGCCAAUGAUAUUAUGCUUGCGAGGGUCUGGACGUUUGACCAGUUCCCAGACAUUGUUGAGCUCGAACUGAUGUAAUUCUUCUUGCAUGGCCUGAAUCCACUCAGGCUCUAGAAAUGCUUCAUCUACCUUAGUGGGCUCUGCGAUGGAGACAAAAGCAUAGUGCCCACAAAAGUUAGAUAAAUGUGAAGCUUUUGAGCGUGUGAGAGGACCUGGUGCUCGAAUGUCAUCGAUGAUCUUCUCCACUUGCACUUCUUUUGCAAUGCGAGGAUGAGCUGGUUGUCGUCGAGGAAUUUGAUCAGCAUUUUCUUCAUCACCAUUUUCUUCAGCAUUUUCAUCAGGUGCAUCAGCUCGAUUUUCUUUGCGUUCUGGAAUGAAUUCUUCAGUAGAUUCUUCGGUAGGAAUGACAUCCUCAGUAGCCUUGAACUUGAUAGAAUCCUCAGGUGCUGGUUCAUCUAUCACAGAAGGUAGGUGCUCUCUUUGCGAGCCAUUAGUUUCAUCGAACCGCACAUCUACAGUUUCAACAACCUUGUGAAGAACGUUGUUGAAGACUCUGUAGGUGUGCGAGUCCUUUCCGUAACCAAGCAUAAAACCUUCAUGUGCUUUUGGUGCAAAUUUAGCAUUGUGAUGAGGAUCUCUAAUCCAACAUUUAGCACCGAAGACUUUGAAAUAACUCACAUUGGGUUUCUUGUCAGUGAGGAGUUCAUAGGCAGUCUUCUUGAAGAAUUUGUGAAGAUAUACCCAAUUGAUGAGAUGGCACGCAGUAUCAAUUGCCUCAAUCCAGAAACGACGAGGCGUCUUGUAUUCAUCAAGCAUAGUACGAGCCAUUUCAGCGAGGGUUCUGUUCUUGCGCUCCAUGACGCCAUUCUGCUGAGGAGUAUAAGGAGCAGAUAACUCAUGCGUAAUACCAAGUUCAUCAAGAUAGCCAUCAAGACCGGAAUUCUUGAACUCGGUCCCAUUGUCAGUUCUAAUGUGCUUGAUCUUCACACCAAAGUUGGUUGAAGCCCUCGAGGAAAAUCGUUAGAAGAUUUCCUGCACUUCAUGUUUGUAAGUGACAAUGUGUACCCAUGUGUAACGAGAAUAGUCAUCAACAAUAACAAAGCCAUAUAGAGAUGCAUCAUAUGAAACAGCAGAAUAAUGAUUAGGACCAAAGAGAUCCAUGUGAAGCAAUUCAAAUGGACGAGUAGUGGUCAUGAUAUUCUUCGCUGGAUGCUUGGCCUUUGUCAUCUUUCCAGCUUCACAAGCUCCGCAUAAGGGAUCCUUGAGGAAUUUGACAUUCUCAAUGCCAAUGACAUGCUUCUGCUUCGCAAGUGUGUUCAAAUUCCUCAUGCUAGCAUGACCAAGUCGUCGAUGCCAUAGCCAGCCGUCUGAAGCUUUUGCCAGUAAGCACACGGCUGGUUGUGGUCCUGUAGAGAAAUCAACAAUAUGCAGAUCUCCUCUCCUAAAGCCUUCGAAGACUUUGGAAUGGUCAGCUUCCAUGAUCAGAACACAACGAUACUUGCCAAAGACAACAACCAUAUCAAGAUCACAAAGCAUUGAGACUGACAUGAGGUUGUACCCUAAGGACUCGACAAGCAUGACUUUGUCCAUGUGUCGAUCCUUUGAGAUCGCAACGUUACCUAGACCCAAUACCUAACUUUUGCCUUUGUCAGCAAAGAUGAUAUGCUUCAGAUGUGACGGUGAUAAGGGAGUAUCCAUCAAUAGACUCUUGUCACCCGUCAUUUGAUUUGUACAUCCACUAUCGAGAACCCACUCGUUUGAUUUGGGCUGAUCAUCCUGCAGAUGAAUUAGUGCAUCUUACGAACUCAUAUACUUCAUCCGUGAAGAAUAUCAUAUCAAAUUCAUCAGAUGAAUUUCAUCAAAGAGUAAAAACAGAUAUAGCAGUAUGAGGACGUGUGAAAUGAAAGUUCAUUUCAUCAUGAUUCGCCUGCGUCCUUUCAGGCACUUUAGUCAGGUCCCCAGCAAAUUCUUCGGACGUUAAGGCACGUCUGGAGACCCGACCCUGCGGAAGAAAUUAGUUCUUUUUCUUCACCACCCACAUCUGAAGGGGUGGCAAAGAGUUCAUCACUCUACGAGCUCCAUAUGAGAAUGGUGGCAUAGAAGCCAAACCAUUUUGUUUCACAUAAGAGGGGUUAGGUUAAGCAUAUGAAUAAGCAGAGAAAUUCUUCGAGGACUUAUGAACAUAUUGGUUUGAAUAAUAAUGCACAUAUUCAUAGCCCUUAGCUCUACCCUGUGAAACAGAGUUGUUAGCACGAUGAUAAUCAUAUGAGGACUUUGAUCCUUUUGAGGAAUUUGAUCCACGUGAGGAAUUUGGUCCGUAUGAGGACUUGGAUCCAUAUGAAGAAUUUGGUCCAUAUGAAGAGUUUGAUCUGGGGUUCCUAUUCUUCAAUGGUGGUGUCAUGAGGACAUUCACCUGAAGACUUUCAAGGCACUUAUUGGGAACCCAGAUUUUCUUCAUAGGAGAACCGUUCCUGCAGUUAGUGCCAACAUACCUAGCAAAUACUUCACCAUUCUGAUUUUUGAACAGUCUAUAGUUGGAGUCAAAUGACUCAUCAGAAGAAUGAGGAGAUUCACAUGUAAAGCCAGAUAAGUUAGAUGGAUCAACUGGAGGUCCCUUUGUAGCAACCCAUGAGGUUUUGGGGUACUGCUCAGGCUUCCAAUAUGUUCCGUCAGAAUUGAGUUUCCUUUCAAAGGCAAUACCCUCUUUCCUAGGGUUUCUGUUGAGGAUCUGCUUUUUGAGCACAUCACAGAGAAUCUGAUGCCCUUUGAGGCUUUUGUACAUGCCUGUCGUGUACAAUUCCUUCAGCCCUGCAUCAUUAGUAGUACUAGCAAUGUCCUCAGAUGAGGAAUUAGUGAUAGCAGAGAAAGGUGAAGAAUUUGUAACAGUUGAAGCAUUUGAACAUUCAGGUGAAGAAUUAGCAGAUUCACGUUCAAUGCACUUUAAGCAUGGAGGAACAAAUUCUUCCUGAGAAGCACUGAUUUGUUGAGCUAGCAAUGAAUCGCGCUCCUUCUGAAGAUCUUCAUAACUCACUCUUAGCUUCUCAAGAUCUUGCUUUCUUUGAAGAAAUUCAUAAGAAAGCUUCUCAUGAUCAGAUAAGAGACACUACUGGAAUCAGCUUAUUUGCCGUCUGCCAGUUCUUUGUCGUCAGCUGGCAGACGGCAAAGAGGCACUUUGCCGUCUGCUUGCAAAAAACAGACAGCAAAGAACUGACAGACGGCAAAGACGCCAGUUACCAUCAGCCAAUUAUUUGUUGUCUGCCAGCAGAUGGCAAAGAAUCUUUACCAUGUGCUGGCGGAUGGCAAAGAGGUGGGGCUAUCUCUUUUUUUACGGGUACAAAGAAAAUCGUUGACCCCCACCUCCUCUCUCUGUCUCCCCUCUCUCCGCACGGCCCCCACCUCCUCUCUCUCUCACCUCUCUCUCUCUCCCGCUCGUCUCUCCCUCUCCCUCGCGCGAGCACCUACGGCGGCCGAUUUCGGCGAGCUCCGACGGGAUUCGACGCCGCCCAGCACACCCAUGUGACCCCCUCGCCCCGCUCCUCCAUCCCCUCCGACCAGAUCUGACUCGUGCGUCCUCCAGCAACCACGCGUGACCCUCCCCUGCGGCUAGGGUUUCGGCCACCACAUCGCCGGCGUGGCUCCGGUGUUGCUCCGAUGACUCAGGUGAGUCUCUUCACUCCUCCUCGUUACAUCCAUCCCUCUCUUUCUCACCGCGUCGCAUCGCGUCUCCUCUCCCUCACAGAACCAUCACGCCGGGAAGCCAUGGACGGGAAGGACGCCAUGGACGGGAAGGACGCCGUGGAGGACGCAGCUCCACCACUGCCCCAACGCCAUCCAGGUCCGCCCCUUCUCCUCUCCUCCCCUCUUGGAUUUCUUCUUUUCCUGCCUUGCACCCGUCCACUCAAGUUCUAAACCAAACAAGAAAAAUUAUCAAUCUUGUUUUUGCUGCAUAUGCAAUAAUGGUUGAGGAGGGCUCAGUUGUUCACUUCUAUAAUUGUGCCAUAAAUCGGUUUACUCUGCUUGAGGGCUGUCGUGGUUAGCUCGAUUUGAUAGGGUCCUUACUACAUAUGCUGCAGGGAUUUAACUUGACUUGUUAAUAAUGAGUGUCAAUCAAUCAAACACAAGGAAACUAUAAAUGCUUACUAUUUCGUAUAGUGAUCAUUGUGUUGUGUAUAGGUAAAACUUGUGUUGUCCUUAUCAACUUCGGAGGCAUCAUCAUGUGUUAUCAAUUUAGUUUCUGCCAUGGUUUUGGUUUGGUCCUGCUUAUGCCAAAUCGAUCAUUCAUUGCUUCUGAACACUCUACCUUUAAUCUUUGCUUCUGUAAAACCGGCCUUUCUUCUAUUGAAUGGAGUGUUUGCUUGCUAUGCGGGAAAAGUAGCUCAUUCAUCGCUGAUUUGGCAUGAGCAACCAAAGUGGACGGACCGCAUUUAGGUCCGGUCGUCGUGAGGAUCCUCUGGCGGUGCUGGAUGUGCCGUGGCGCGGUGGUGCCCCCGGGUGGCGCCUUCGUGCUGUGGUACCGCUAGUUGGCGCCUUCGUGCCCGUGCUCUCACUGGCACCGCCGUUGUGGUGCUCUCCGGCAAGCUCCGGCUUGUUGUGGUGGUGUUGGUUGUGAUGCUGGUCACACCAUAGUGAUGGUGUGGCUGCAUCCUGCUUCGGCUACAACUCCUUUUGGUGAGCUUCUCCUUGCUCCCCUCCUGAUCUAUCUAAUGCAUAGCUCUUGAUCUUGUUGGAUGUGAGGCUCUAUUAGCUGUGGUUAGGUGCUGUAGAUGAGCAUCAACUUGUAUUGGAGCUCUCUGUGAUGGAUUCUUGCUGUGUCAGGGUUUUGGUCAGUGACCAUCUAUGUGUAUUUGUGAAGUAUAUAUACUCCUGUACUGCUCUGUUCUGUGUAGUUGAUCCUGGAGUUGUUACUUUGGUCAGUUACUUUACUCAUGAACGGAUACUCACUUGUUCUUAGUUAUUUUACUUCUAAUACUGAUAUGAACAGAUACCACUUGGUUUGGCUAUUCCUAUUUGUCUCUUUCUAGUAGCCUAUGAACAGAUACUAUACUUGGUUUUGGCUGUUACUUUCCUAGUUUUCUACUGAUAAGACAGAUACUACAUCUGAUUUGGGCAGUGAUGCUGGUCUGAGCCCCCUCUCUUAGGCUUAAUUUACAUGUGACUAUCCCUGUGCUGUGAUGAACUAGCCCUGGCACUUCCAGGCUGUCUGAGCACAUAAUCCCUCAAGUAUACCUUGAGGUCUUCUGUAGCUCUCCUUAAUAGUUAUCUCUUCUAAGCUGCUGGUGGUUGGAUGUGUUGGGACUUGGUCUGGUUGGCUGGUUGUGAUGUAUAUCUCCUCCUGGAGCUUUGUUUUUGGCGUUGCAUAGUGACAUGUACCUAUUGUCACUAGUCAAAACUGAUUGUGGUGAUGAAGUCUAAUCUCUGGCUUUAAUCACUAGUUUUUAGUUGGCUUAAUUCCUGGAGCUAGUACUGAUAGUGGUCUUUGUGUUGGCAUUUAACUUACUGCUAAUUGUGGUGGCUUCUUGAUUAGGUCCUUGGCUGGUUCUCUUCUUUGGCUCUUUGGUAUUGGUUUACUCUAUUUGGCUUUCUAAUUAAGAUCACUUUGAAAAUCAGGAUCUUAACUAAGAUUAUCUUGAUCUCAAGUACUGGCUCCUACAGCAUUGCAUUUCACCAAGUGAAAUGCUACAUUUCUACUCCUAACCCAUUCUCUCUUUCUUAGUGUUUUUGUUAUGCAGGUUGGAAGAAAAGAAGAAGAUCCAUAGAAGAUCUUAGUAAUAAGAUAGUUUUUAGGAAAAUAGAUAUUUAGUUUUAGAUCAUUCCUUGUAAUAUUUGUUGGAUAUCUGUUCAUGGAUAUGUGUUGGAUAUAUAUGUGUUCAUGACUAUAUAUUGGUAACAUGUGUUGGAUAUGUGUUCAUGGAUAUGUGUUGGAUAUAUAUGUGUUCAUGAGUAUUGGUAAUAUGUGUUGGAUAUGCUAUAUUGGUCAUACAUAUAGUCUGUGUUUGAUUGUGUUUGAUUUUCUGUGAAAAUGAAUUGAUAUAAGAAGAAACAGAAUUAAUGCCUAUUUGGUCUAUUUGCCAUCUGCCAACAGAUGGCAAAGAACCUGCAGCCUUUGCCGUCUGCCAGCAGAUGGUAAAGAGUCGUGCCCUUUGCCGUCCGCCACUGACAGCAAAGGCCUCUUUGCCGUACGCUACAAAAAACAGACGGCAAAGAAGGCCUUUGUCGACCCUGUCUUUGCCGUCGCUGUUUGCCGUCCGCGGCGGAUGGCAAAGGCCUUUGCCGUUCGCCAUCCUAGCCUUUGCCGUCCGCCAUGGCUGAUGGCAAAGUACCAGAUUCCUGUAGUGAGAGUGACGGUGUCCUGGACUAGAGGUACUCAACGCGUCGUCUCCCGAUCAGUUGGAUUGGGCCAAGGACCCCCAUGGCCGUAUACUCAUGGGCCAGUCCGGACAACUGCCGCAUACAAGGAAGAAUCAACAAGACUUGGCGAUCAAGAGAAGGACUCCUCCCCGACCGGCGUAUUCGGCUAGGACUCUUGUUAUCCUAGGCCUCUGGUGCAUUAUAUAAACCGGGGCUAGGCUAGUCGAUAGACAUAUACAACAACAAUCAUACCAUAGGCUAGCUUCUAGGGUUUAGCCUCCUUGAUCUCGUGGUAGAUCUACUCUUGUAACACACAUCAUCAAUAUUAAUCAAGCAGGACGUAGGGUUUCACCUCCAUCAAGAGGGCCCGAACCUGGGUAAAACAUCGUGUCCCUUGCCUCCUGUUACCAUUGAUCCCAAGACGCACAGUUCGGGACCCUCUACCCGAGAUCCGCCGGUUUUGACACCGACAUUGGUGCUUUCAUUGAGAGUUCCGCUGUGUGAUCGGCGAAAGGAUCAAUGGCUCGACUGCAGGUCAACUGCGACGUCGGCUUCUUCGUCACCAGCUUGGCUGGUCACCUUGGCUUGACCGAGGACUGCACCCUACUUCCGAUCGUCAUGUUCGGAUGAAGGCCUUCAUCAAACACCAACUCGGAUCUCUAUCAAGAUCGUGGAGGAGUCAUCCAUGGAGCUCGGGGGCUCAACGUCAACAUUGCCCUCAAGCGACCGUGCUGUUUUCCUGGACAGCAAAUUUGUAUCCGCCGCCACCGCCUCCUCGAGUGUCGCUUAAAAGAUUACUUCGGUGCAAUUAUGCGGAAUUAAGUCUACAACAACCCUGCAAAAAUUUCGUUGAGUUCCGAUGGAGGAAUCUCUGGCAAUCUCCGAUAUACCGGAGCCCUGUUGAAUCUGGACGAGAAUCCGGACGAGUUUAGGGCGUGGUAUCCAGCAUCUAGCUCGGAUGUCCUUUGGAGGAUCCAACCGUUGAUUUGCUGCGGAAUUCCCAUAUCUACCACCUGCCCAAAAUCCAGCUCGAUCCGACCGUCCAAACUCCAGGAAACUUCCGAUUAGUGCAUCACUUUUUGGACUUGUUUUCUGCGCGAGAACGAGUCCGACCCGAAUUCAUCUUCUUUAUGAACGGGAUUUCGGACAUCCUUUUUGAAGGAAGUUUUGUAUGGGGUAUUAUAUUUUGUUCCCGAACACAUCCCACUAACUUUAAGAUCUUUUGAACAUGAUUUUCAACAUCAUGCUGGUGUUAAACCAGUCCGACAAUAUUGCUCCAUGGCUGCCGACCUGCGCUAGACACAUCGUCACUUUGUUGAGCCAAGCUCAACUUCUUCGGAUCAUCAUCUUGGCAAGCCGAACAAGAGUCCGGCAUCGCGAAGGAUAAAUCAUCACCAACGUCGCCUCCCCACGGAUUACACGGAGCGGGCAUACCGGCAUCGCCGCACGGUCGCUUCAUCAAGCCGGCAUCGACCACGUCACAACCUGCAUCGGCAAGGCCGCACUAUUGCUUCUUCAAGCCGGUGUCCAUCACGCCGACCUACUUCGAUAUCUCGGCUGGACUGGGGGCUUCGCCAUCUCUUCAUCAACCAACUCCGGACACUUCGGCGUCACUAGCCGACCAGGCAUGGGUGCGUGGAUUGAGUCCCAAUUUUGGGAAUCACCUUCCUUCGGAUUGCUACAACAAAUAAACCAGGUGCUAUUAAUCCUAGUAUUUCUUUUUGCUUGUUUGGGUUAAAUUUUACCCAAGGAAUUAUUACUCUGGUUAGUCCAGCAUAUGUACACAGGUCUAUCAAAUGGUGGCCGCAUUAUCGACGGUCGCAUGAUGGUUCGGUCAGUUUCCGUACACAGUUCGGCAAACGCCGCAUCCGGAACUCGGGCCGACCUGUGAAUCCAGGCUUCGCCACGCCUUUAUUGCAUUACGCCGACGACCUGCAUCGACAUCGACUUCGGCGCCAGGACAUAUUUCUUUUACUACUCACUUUGCAUAAAUUAUUUAUUAUGCAACAUUUUUUUUAAUUCCUAUUAUUACUAUUACCCCCGGUCUGCACUAUUUUUUGUGCACAGGAAAAUGAUCCAGCCGGACUAUAUCCUUUGACGUCACAUCGGCUAGACGGGGGCUUCGUCAACACUUCAUUACCCUAUGCCGGGGACUUGGGCAUCACUUUGCCGUCCUGCAUUGACCGUGCUAUGUCACCACUUCGGAGUGCCGAGCUCCUUGCUCCGCCACCUCGGGACCGGCUUGGGGGAUGGAACCUUGUCCCGCAUCAAGCUCGGACCGUGUCGUCAAUACCGAACACAUUAACCAGCUAAGUUGCCUUCACGCUCAAAGUUUUAAAUUUCUAACUUGUGUUCGGUUCGACCAAGAAUUAUACUUUUUUGUAAAAAAGUUGCUUGUAAAAAUUUUCCUUGUCGAAACUUUGUUCGCACACGCUUGACGCGCUACCCGCGCUCAUUAUACCUGGGGGCUUCUUUAACAGAAGCUUAUUAAUACGGGGUUUAUGCCCAACACAUGUGUCGCACUUCCGCAUGUACCGUUUAUUCACCAUUAUAUGCAUCGAUAUGACUUAAGUUUUGGCCAAGCUGGGUUGCCUGGCUCCUGUGCUUACCCCUACGUUCCCGAUUGUUCGGCUAGGUGGUAAAGGGAGCACCUCUGCGAUUGUUACUGCCGGGUCAGCCGGAUGUGUACCUCAGACUGGGUGAAGUCGAAAGCUAGCGUUCUUAAGGGAAUACUCGGUCGGUGAACUAAAAGAUGAUUUCUUACCUAUUUAUUUACCUGCCCCCAGAUGUUUUUCUGCUCUUUUCGCAGUCCGGACAUGCACUUUAGGGCAUGCCUCCCAGGGAAAGGAACUCCUAACGGAACUAUUCUCCCUGGAAGAUGUUUCUUACUAACCAUGUAAUAUAACAUAACUAGUUGGGCACUUGUCUGAUAAAGCACUAAUGACCCCUACGCCUGGUCUCCACGCAUGCCCCGGUUUUUAUAACCACGAGGGUAUUCGGACACACUCUAGACUAUUGGGUCCAGAGGUUGAAGCGAAAAGGUCCGCUACGACAAACGAUCUACAAUCCGGCUAGAAGGCAUUCUACAUGUCACCUUACAUUUUAUAGUCAACUUUUACCCAAGUCGCUUGGGGGCUCUUAUGUUUAUUUGAGCCGUUUCAUACUAAGUGUUUUUCUUCUUAGUCGUUGCAAAGUUAAAGCACGACAGAAGCACUUUUUUUUCUAAAGUCCAAUUUUCGGAUUGGCACCGAACACUUGAUCUUGUUCGGACGUCAUGUUUUUAUUGACGUUUUUUGGUUUUCCAAGCUUUUGGCACUUUUAACAAUUUGUGUGUUUUCAGCACAAGUCUCGCAGUGCAAUGCCGGACACCUUUAGAGAUUCGGCAAAAACAUUCUCGGAUAUUGCUAUAUAUGCAUCAGCUUCGAAUUGUGUCUUCGGUCAAUAGUUGGGUUGCCCGGCUCCCGCGCUUGCCUCCUACAUUCCGCUUUGUUCGGCUAGGUGUGCAAAGGGAGAACAACUGCGAUUGUGCUUCCAGCUCACAUGGUCAAGCACCUCAGUGGAGAAAGCCGAAAACUGACUGUCACAAUAGGUGUAAACUGGUUAGCGAUCCGAUGACUAUAAUAAAUGACGGGCCAUUCAUAACAUUGGCCGAAGUGUUUCUGGCUUGACCUUGGCUGUCGCCGAACACUACCGGGGGCUAUUAACUGGCCUCCCAAACUAAAUCCUUGAUCUUUUGCUCUUACAUUGGAGUUGAGGUUUCAUGAUCACGCUUAGCAUGACAACCCAAAGAAAGGAACCGAUAGCGGGACUAUUUUCUUUGGAAGACAUUUCUUCUGUUAAACAGCAAUAUAACAUAUCUCUCUGCGUACCUUUGUUUAGAAAGCCGUAUGACCAGAUUGCCUUGUUUGUCGUAAAUCUUUGCCCUCAUAAAGGCUUUAUAAAGUAGGACAAACACUCCUCAGCUACUGGCCGAGGAGGUUGAAGCCCAUGGUCGGUCAACAAAGUUUUGUACAAUGCGGAUCCGAGCAUUAAUGGCGUAAAGUACUUGGAUACAUAGAGUCAUUACACACAAUUUAUGAUUUUACUAUGGAUAUCGAUCCUUAAUUCGGCCUCCCGUGUCCGAAUUAAGGCUCGGGGCUACUGAGCUUCGGGCUUAUUAUUUACAAAUAUUAAAGGGGCACAUCGAUCCCCUGAUCUGGUGUUGCCACCCGACCAGUGUCUCGGGGGCUACUGCAUUGCCUGUUCUAUGCAGAAAAUUUUAAGUGCAAUACAGUUUCUGAGGAGAUUUUGAUCCUCAGGUUGGUCGGCCGCACCCAACCUAAGUCUCGAGGACUGAGCACGCCGCUUUUUCUGUCCCGAAGUAUUCUGCCGAGCUAGGACUUGAUCCUCAGACCAAUUUUGCAAAUCAACCUGAGUCUCAGCGGCUACGGGGAUCAGCGGUCUUAUGUCAUCCUUCAUGUGCAUCUCAGGUUUUAGACCGAUACCCACCUUGAGGGCUACUGGCAUCAAUAAAAAACAUUGACCAAAAAUCAGCCCAUGACCGAGGUGCUUAACCACCUCGGAAGCAGUUCGACAUAUAGCUCGGAUGCAAGUGGCUGGCUCCUUAGAGGGCAUUUCCGGCAUUAAGCUCGGUUAAACUCCUUCAAACUUCUUUGAACCAAGGUGAUUUAUGACACCUCGGAUAAAGUCUGGCAUUGGAGCUCAGAUACAUAUUCCGGCAUUGGAGCUCGGAUACAGUCCGGCGUUGGAGCUCAGAUACAUAGUCCCACGUUAGAGCUGGGAAGCAGUCCGACAUUGGUGCUCGGCUGCAAAAGAUACCUCGAAUGUAGUCCGGCGUCGGAGCUCGGACGCAAGAGGACGUUGCCACCCGGGAACAACUUCAAACCCGAGGCAUGGCAUAAAAAUAACAAGGCAUUGAUAAAGGCCGUAAACUUAAAGGGGCUCCUCGGAUACCCAACUCGUAAACUCGUCGAAUGCAUUUUGGCGAUCCUCAAGAUAGAAGAUGAGAAGAUUUGUUGAACCAGUUUUCAAGACCAGCAACCGAAGAUGAAGAACAGUUCGGAAGAAUCGAGGAGCGUCCCUAACUUGAAGACCGGUUUAGGGGGCUACUGACGGUGUCCUGGACUAGGGGGUACUCAACGCGUCGUCUCCCGAUCAGUUGGAUUGGGCCGAGGACCCCCAUGGCCGUAUACUCAUGGGCCAGUCCGGACAACUGCCGCAUACAAGGAAGAAUCAACAAGACUUGGCGAUCAAGAGAAGGACUCCUCCCCCACCGGCGUAUUCGGCUAGGACUCUUGUUAUCCUAGGCCUCUGGUGCAUUAUAUAAACCGGGGCUAGGCUAGUCGAUAGACAUAUACAACAACAAUCAUACCAUAGGCUAGCUUCUAGGGUUUAGCCUCCUUGAUCUCGUGGUAGAUCUACUCUUAUAACACACAUCAUCAAUAUUAAUCAAGCAGGACGUAGGGUUUCACCUCCAUCAAGAGGGCCCGAACCUGGGUAAAACAUCAUGUCCCUUGCCUCCUGUUACCAUUGAUCCCAAGACGCACAGUUCGGGACACCCUACCCGAGAUCCGCCGGUUUUGACACCGACAGAGAGUUUUAUGAUGACUUUGAAGGUUGUCAAACUUAGACUGAAGUCUCUAAAGAUUUUCAGUUAAGUCUUUAGUGCGGUCCAUUUCAUCACCCAACAUAUCAUCACUUUUGUCUAGCAUGUUCUGAAGUUUUUCAAUAGCCUUUUGUUGUUUCACAGCAAUCUUAGCAAUUUUAGAGUAGCUAGGCUUAAGAUUUUCAUCAGAUUCAUCCUCACUAGAUUCAGAAGAGGGGUAUUUUGUUACCUUGGCACCCUUUUCCAUGAAGCAAUAGGUGGGAGCGUAGUCAUCAUUAUCUUCGUCAGCCUUGUUGGUGAGGUCAAUUUCUUCAGAGUUGAAGAUGGACUUGCUGACGAAUGCAGUAGCGAGAGCCAGACUUGCCACACCAGACUCGGACUCCUCAGAUGCCUCCUCUUCCUCAUGUUCCUCAGAUUCAGCUUCAGAGUCCAUUUCCUUGCCAAUGAAUGCCCAAGCCUUUAUGGAGCUGCUCUUCUUGUGAGAUGAAGAUUUCGAGGAUUUUGAUGAUGAAGAUUUUGAAGAUUUCUUCUUCUUCUUAGCGUCAUCAGAACUGUAAUCCUUGUAUUUCUUCUUCUUUAAUUCCUUUUCCCACUGAGGACAAUCUUGAAUAUAGUGACAAGGUUUCUUGCAUUUGUGGCAAAGUCUUCUCUUAUAGUCACUUGACGAGGAAUCACUGCUCCUUGAGGAUUUUCCAAAGCGACCACAUCUUGAGAACUUCUGGAACUUCUUCACGAGCAGUGCUAGCUCCUGGCUCAAUUCUUCAGGAUCACCAAGGCUACUACCAGAAUCUUCACAUUCAGAUUCAGACACAGCCUUGGCCUUGAGGGCACGUGUUUUGCCAUAGCUUGAACCAUAGAGAUCUCUCUUUUCAGCAAGCUGGAACUCAUGAGUAUUUAGCCUCUCGAGGAUAUCAGCGGGAUCCAGUGACUUGUAGUCAGCAGGUUCUUGUAUCAACAGUACCAGAGUAUCAAAUGAAGAAUCUAGCAAUCUCAGCAAUUUCUUCACCACCUCAUGGUCGGUGAUGUCAGUGGCGCCAAGCGCUUGAAGCUCAUUUGAGAUGUCAGUGAGGCGAUCGAAGGUUUGCUGAACAUUUUCAUUGUCGAGUCGUUUGAAGCGGUUGAAGAGAUUGCGAAGAACGUCAACACGAGAGUCACGUUGAGUUGAGACUCCUUCGUUUACUUUGGAGAGCCUAUCCCAGAUAAGCUUAGCAGUUUCUAAAGCACUCACUAUUCCAUACUGUCCUUUGCUCAGAUGGCCACAUAUGAUAUUCUUCGCUUGAGAAUCGAGUUGCUUGAAUCUCUUCACAUCAGCAGCAUUCAGGGAAGGUGUGACUGAGGGAACACCAUUUUCCACAAUGUACCAAAGAUCGUUGUCAAUUGCUUCAAGAUGCAUUCGCAUCUUAUUCUUCCAGUAAGGGUAGUCCGUGCCAUCGAAGGUAGCACACCCACCGGAGACCUUGAUCAUACCUGUGGUCGACAUAACUAGAAAUCCAGGUGGUUAAACCAAAAUCACAUAGAACAAGGGAGUACCUUUCUCUAAUACCAAUUGAAAGUGCGUUAUAUCGACUAGAGGGGGGCGAAUAGGCGUUUUUUAUGAAUUCUUCACUGAGGAAUUUCCUGGUGAGGAAAUUCCUUGGCGAAGAACUACUUGCAGCGGAAUAAGUACUCAGAAGUAAGCAUAACAGAAUACAGGCAUGGUCAUCAUGAUGAAAUGAAGACAUGCAUAGAGUACAGAAAGCGUAAACACAGGAUAACACAAGAUGAAGACAAACAGACUGAAGAAAUUGAACUGAGGAAAUUGAGAAAGUCUUCAGUCAAAGUCUUCAAACACGGAUAUGAACAAUCACUCAACACAGUAAUGAGUAAAUGAAAGAGUUGAGGGAAUAGAACCAGGAAGGUUGGUGAAGACAAUGAUUUGGUAGACCAGUUCCAACUGUUGUCUUAGUUGUACGUCUGGUUGGAGCGGCUGAGUAUUUAAACUCGAGGACACACAGUCGCUGAGCACGCAGCUCAGGACACCAAGUCCUCACCGUAUUCUCCUUGAACUAAGGUCACACAAACCUCGUCCAAUCACUCAUGGUAAGUCUUCAGGCGACUUCCAAACCUUCACAGACUCAGUCACUUGGCGAUCCACAAUUCCUCUUGGAUGCUCUAGACCAUGACGCCUAACCGUCUGGAAGAAGCACAGUCUUCAAAGGUAACAAGCGUCAGAUCCAUGUAGGAUCAAUCUCUUCAAUGAUGCUCAAUCACUUUGGGUUUGUAGGUGUUUGGGUUUGGGUUUUUUCCUCACUUGAUGAUUUUCGCUCAAAGUCCUCGGAGGAUGGGAUGCUCUCAAAUGACAAGUGUCAGUUUCUCUCGGAGCAGCCAACCAGCUAGUGAUUGUAGGGGGCGCCUAUUUAUAGCCUAGGGAGCAGCCCGACAUGAUAAGACAUAAAUGCCCUUGUCUGAUAUGACCGUUAGGUGGAUAAGAUAUUUUGUGACAGCUGGCGCGCAGCACAGCAACGGUCGGAAAUUUGACUCUCAAAUUUCUCAGGGCUAUCAUGUUCCUCACUUCCUAGGCAAUCCGCAUUGGUGAAUUCCUAACUCCUCAGUCAGAACAAAUUCCUCAGCGACUAGAAGAACUUCGUCUCUGUCACUGAAGAAAUGACUGAACUGUAUGAGAUUUCCAAAGGCUUCACUCGAAGGGAUUGGUAGGUGUAGGAUUUUAAGUUGAGCAUCACAUGGAAAUUUUUGCUUAGUAUUUCCUCGACCCCCUUUAACAGUACGGUGUUUCCUAUGACUCAAGAAAGAGAAAAACAAAACUAUGAAAACAAAAGUCUUCAAGCUUCAUAUUCCUCGCAUGAAUAUCAAGUCUUCACGGACACACCAAUUUCUUCACUUUCAAAGUCUUCAUGAAAGUCUUCAGGAAUACCAAAAUCUUCAGUCGAAGAUAUUCAUUUUUAGGGGUCGACUUUCUCUGUAAAUAUCAAACUCCUCAUAGACUUAUAGACCUGUGUACACUCAUAAACACAUUAGUCCCUUAACCUAUAAGUCUCCAAUACACCAAAAUCACUAAGGGGCACUAGAUGCACUUACUGGCACUGAGGCGACCACACCAUAGCCAGGUGCGGGCCCAACUCUGGCUGCACGGCCCUAGGGUGUGGGCCCCUCGGGCGUCCACCGACAUUGCCCUUCCGCCUAUAUAAUGCCCCCGAGGCGAAAACUCUAAAUAAUGAAGCCUCCGUCCAUGAAAAAUUCCGCAGCGCCGCCACCAUCAACGACGAGAUUCGGGGGAUAGAGGUGUCCGUUUCGGCACCCUAUCGGGAUGGGGAAUUGCCCCCGGAGCCAUCUCCAUCGACUCCACCGCCAUCUUCAUCGCCGUUGCUAACUCCCAUGAUGAGAAGGGAGUAGUUCUCCUCCGAGGCUGUGGGCUCUACCGGUCGCUAUGUGGUUUAUCUCUCUCUCCCAAGGUGUGAUCUUUAUGUGAUCAUGAGCUUUGUAAUCUGGUUAAUUUAGUAGAUGUUACUCUCAUCUAUUAUGCUACUCAACUGCUUUUAUUAAUGUGAUCUCCGGAGACACCUUGUCCCACGGUGUGAAGGUGACAGUGUGCACACCGUGUGUGGCUCUUAGGCUAAAGAUUACAGAAAUACUUAUCAUGAGUUAUAAUUUGAGUUGGAUGUCUCUAUGAAAUUGUGGUGUUUGUUUGGAACCAUCUAGCGCUCAAGGUGACAGUGUGGAGUUACCUAGAUGGGGAAUGCGAACUUUAAGGUGUGCUUUUAUAGCCCUACGUGGUGAAUUGGUGUUCGUUAUCCAACCGGAGAGUAGUUCAGAGUAGCAUAGUGAUGAGAAGAUGUUUAUGUGUUCAAUUAUGAUAUCAUUGUUGAGAGUGUCCACUAGUAAAAGUAUGAUCCCUACGUUUUGUUUCUAAGCAUUGAAACAUCGUUUACAACCAGUUGUGCUACAUGUUUGCUUGCUGACAUUUUUAUUUCAGAUUGCAAUUACCACUUGUAAUCAUCCAUAUUACUUGUAUUUCACUAUCUCUUCACAGAACUAGUGCACCUAUACACCUGACAAGUGUAUUGGGUGUGUUGGGGACACAAGAGACUUCUUGUAUCUUAAUUGCAGGGUUGCUUGAGAGGGAUAUCUUUGACCUCUUCCUCCCUGAGUUCGAUAAACCUUGGGUGAUUCACUUAAGGGAAACUUGCUACUGUUCUACAAAUCUCUACACUUGGAGGCCCAACACUGUCUAUAAGAAUAGAAGCGUGCCUAGACAUCAAGCUUUUUUCUGGCGCCGUUGCCGGGAGGUAAGGUAAAAGGUACUCACAUCCUCUGGCUACUAAGCUAUCUUCUAGUACUGUUGCUGGUGUGUGAGUGGUCAAAGUUAUUUUUCCUUUAGAUUCUGCAAUUAUAUCUUUUUGUUUCUUGUUUUUAUUUUCACUAGUUAGGCUUAAUGGAAAACAACAACAAAAUUAGAGAGCUUUAUAGUAUGUUUCCUGAGUUAGGACAUGAAGUGUUUGAAGAGAAAAUUAAAAAACCUAUGGAACUUUAUUUGCAUGCUAAUAGAAAUGUUAUUAGUAUGAACUAUUUGAACACCAUUAUUGCUAAUGUUAUGGAAAAGUCUAAGCUUGGGGAAGCUGUUUUUUAUGAAAAUGGUCUUUUUAGUUCCCCAGCUUUAGAGGAGAAAUUAUUCAUGAAAAUAGUCUUUUUACGAAAAUGUUAUUUUUACUUCCCCAGCUUUAGAGGAGAAAUUGAACGAUUUUAGAUUCUAAACGAUUUUUAAAUUUGAACGAUUUUCAAAUUUGAACAAUUUUCAAAAUUUGAAACAUUUUCAUAAUCUGAACGUUUUCAACAAUCUGAACAUUUUUAAAAUUCGAACAUCUUUAGAAUCUAAACAGAAAAAGCAGGAAAAAAGGACCAGCUCCGAGGUAGUCGCCAAACUCCUCGUCCUCUCUGGCAGAGAUGUUCUCCCUCGCCUGCUGCCUUUGACUCUGCACUCCAUCUUCCUUUUAUAUUGAUAUUACUCCCCUUCUCACCCGAUCCCUCCGGUACUUCUGAUCUGUUCUUCUCCAUCUUCCCUAACCCUAAUUCUGCCACCCUCUCAUCCCCCUCCCCCCCGAUCUCCUUGUGAGUUGGAUCUGCCAUGCACGAAGAUGCGCGUGACGGGUAGUGGUAGAUCCCACCGGCAGCCAGAAAGAUCCGGCGAUCGGUGAGAUUUUACGUGGGCGCUAGCAUGAACGCCAGAGGAAAGUUGGAACCCUAGCGGCGGAGCCAGGGGGAGACACGAGAAUUCCUAUGCUCCACCCAACGCGUGCACUAAUAGAGCAUGCUCACGCGGGCACUCUUGGUGGCCCGGUCCAUAAGCGGGAAGAGUUUUUCUUUCAAUUUUUCUUAAUUUCUUUUUCUUCUUUUUAUUUUCUGCUUCUUUUUUCUUCUUUUUUAAAUUUUGGUUUCCCUUUUUCUCGUUUCUGUUGCUUUUUUAUUUUUCAAUGUUUGCAUUUUUUUCAAUUUUGUUUUUUUAUUUGAAUAUUUUUUAAUUUGAACUUUUCCAAAGCGGGACGUUUUUUAAUAUGAACAAAUUUAAACAUUUCUCAAAUUUGAACAACUUUCCAAUUGGAACAAAUUUUAAGUUUUAACAAAUUUCAAAUUUGAACAUUUUCUAUUUUUAAACUUUUUCAAAUUUGAACUUUUUUUAGAUCUCGUAUUUUCUUAAUAAUUUAUUAAUUACCAAAAAAAUAAAACAAAAAAAUCAAAUGACUGGAAAAAGAAAUUAAAUUUAUAACUUUUUAUUUGGCCGCGUUUGAGGCGGCCCAUCAGGAGGCUCUGCGUUCGUGGUGGUUUAGGCCACGUUUGAGCAGCACAUAGGGUUUGCCCCACCGAUCACGAGCGACGAGGAGCCAGCCAGCGACCACGUCAGAUCUGAUUCUUAAAUAAGAUUGUUUCUAAAUUACAAAUAAAUUUGAUAAUCUGAACGCUUUUCAAAUUCGAAACAUUUUGAAAAAUCUAAAUACUAUUUUUCCUUUUCUUUUUUCCAGUGUUUUCAAAAUCAGAACGGUUUUAAAAUUUGAAUGAUUUAAAAUUGAACAAGUUUAAAAUUUGAACAAAUUUCUAUAUUCAUAUUGUUAAUAAUCUGAAAAUUUACGAAAUUUGGAUAAUUUGAGCAACUCUAAAAUUGAACGAUUUUUAAAUUUGAACCAUUUUCAAAUUUGAACGAUUUUCAUAUUUGAACAAUUUUCAUAAUUUGAAACAUUUUCAUAAUCUGAACGUUUUCAACAAUCUGAACAUUUUUAAAAUUCGAACGUCUUUAGAAUCUAAACAGAAAAAGCAGGAAAAAAGGAAGAAUAAAAGAAACAUAGCGAAAACCAAUCGAAUAACCGCAGCAAAAAAGUGAAAGAACCGUGCAGAGAAACCUGAAAAAACCAGCCCCGGAUUUUCUGUUGAUUUACCUAUAUGGGUUGGCCAAAUAGCGCAAGGUUGCAUGUCGUAGCUAUAUAUCACAACGAGCGAUGUAUAAGGAUCUCCGAUACUACCGUCGCGAAUCGAGCAUAUCAUCACCAUCGAGACGUUGACGCUCCAAAAAAUACAUUUUAUUUCCAUCAUUGCCUUUUAAUGUUGUUUCUACGUAGUACAGAAGAUAUAUUUUUUUAUAGACAAUACCAUGAUAUAUUAUAGUAGGAAAUAGUAUAUGGUACAGAUACAUAAGCUGUCUCCAGCGAUUAUAAAAUAAGAAAGCUCACAUCAACAAACAAGAUAACUCUUUUAUACGUGAUAAGCAACCUCAAACCAAUAAACACUACAUCUAUUUCAUUCAGUACAACGGCAUAAGAUUUUUUAUUCUUAACAGUUUUUACGAAUUUAGUGCUCAUAUGCAGGAGUAAUUAUUCCUGGGAGCCAAAACACAAUGUCAUGCAACCUCCACAAUGCAUGAAAUUUCUAUCUUCUUGUCGUGACGUAAUUUACUCCACCCAAGAUUCUUCUUAACAAUCGAUACCACAUAUAUUUAAAAUAGCUCAUGGUCACUACAGGAAACGGGCGAUAGGCCGACGGCCCGACACUGUCGGCAUAGGCCAAAUAACCCUCGGCACAGGCUAUAGCCGAGGGCGGCCCUGGGCGUAUCGCCCUCGGGUAUCUGCGUACAGGUAUUUGUCGUCGGCGUAGAGGAUUCCCUCGAUGUAGACUUGGCGGGCCCAUCGCUAACAGAUGACGGCCGUUAGACGUCGAACAGGCUACACCGACGGCUUUGCCCUCGGGCUAGAUAAUCGAUUUUGUUUCCAACCUUUUUUCCAAAAAAAAUCCAAUUUUUUUCACACUUGUUAAUUUCACAACAGACAUUUUUAACUCUCAGCACAUUUAAUGUAAAAUCAAAUUGCACUUGUGGUCAAACUUCCCGCUCGACCACCCAUCCUCACACUACUCCAACCCCAGCAUGCUUAACUUCUCCGUUCCUUCGGGAUGAGCUAUCAAGAAAGAAAUCAUAUCUUAGUGAUAAUAGUACCAUAUCAAUCAUAUUAACUCUUGGACUAUGGUGUCACACCUUUUUAUUUUUGAAUUCCAUACAAAUACUUAAAUACACAACAAUUAAUAAGUAAUAAUAAUAAUUUUCAAUUCAAAUAAAAUAAAUAAAUUAAUAUUUUUUCUUUUUUCUAUUUAAUAUGGAAUAUUUAAUAUCUUAAAUCCUUAAAUCUGAAUUUGACAAACAAUAUGUCUAAGCCUAUCAAAAAAUGAGGAGAAUCCAAAUAUAACAUCCAUAUCGUCUUGUGAACCUAAAAAAAUGAUAUUUCCAAAAAAAUCAUGAGCAUUAGAUCAUGUAUGUGUAGUUCAAAUUGACCAUAGUUCAGAUCGAGCAAUAGGUACAUGUAUUUUUUUUAAAAUAUAUGUACACCAUGUAUAUCGACUUGAAUCGUUAGUAUGUGACAUAAGAAGAUUAUGUGGGCAGGUUUUUCAUAUUUUUCAUAUUUUUUGAAUUUUUUAUGCUCAUUUCAAAAAAAUUUGAAAUGUGUAAUAUUUAAGUGUAUAUAGAGAGAUCUUAUUCUUCUGCAAAUUUGAUAUAUUAUUUGUAUUUAUCUGAAUCAUAAUGAUUCAGUUAUGAUUUUUCUAAAAUUAAUAUGAUAAAAUGGAAAAUAGCUAUGCCGACGCCGUAGCUUCAAAACCUAUGCCGAGGGCUUUGCCCUCGACGUAGACCCUCCGUCGUGACGCGGUCGUAACACUGUUAGCCUGGGCUGGCCUACACCGAGGCUGGCAUAUACCCCGAGGGCAGCUGUUGGCCCAGACAUGGGUUCACCGAGGGCCGAUCCUACGCCAAGGGCCGGGCGGGCGGGCGGGCUGGAUUGCCAGCCCUCUACGCCGACGGCCCCGAUGUUUUGCCGUCGGUGUAGAGGCUGGCCGUCGGCUCGAGACAUCAGUCCUGUAGUGGGUGAAGAUACACAAGUUGUUUUCAGCGAUUAUAAAAUAAAGUACAUUUAAGAAAAUGAGCAAAUCUCCGAGGUCUUUAAACUCUUCUUUUCCAUCACAGGCAGCCAAAUUGUCACGACAUAAAUACCAAACUAUAGGCUCGUAAAUACCGACGAUGGUUCUCCCGUAUUUUUAAAUCUGAGCCGCAAUGCCAAGGCUACGUGCAUGCGCGCAACCAUUAAACUAAUCACCCGACAUCAGCGAGAGCAACAACACCAGUAUUCCAGGGAAAAAGAUACCGAACAGCCUGGUCGACAUCGCUAGAGAUCCGAAAGUACGAAUCACCAUUGUCGAUGGUGUAGCAUCCGGGAUAAAUAUUACGAGGACUAGUUGAAUGCCCGUGCGUUGCAACGGCCUCUAAAAUAUUUUAUUUCUGCACAUGUAAGCAUAAUACAUCUUAAUAUUUUGUCGCAUAUAGAAAGGUAGAGAAAUAUAGUAUUCAAGAAACUAUAGAAUUAUACAUUUUGAUGUGAUUGGACAAAAAGUUAUAGUUUGAUUUCUAUGCAUAGUAAUAGAAAACCCAUCUACUCAUCUUAUUCUUAGUUAGGUGUGUUUAAACUGUAUUGUUAUCAGAUACGGUUAGUAUCUAGGAUUGUAGUUAUCUUGUAUAACAACCUGUACUUAUCCUCCUGUAAACCCUAGCGGCAGCCCUAGAGGCGCCCUAUAUAAUGAUCCAAUCUCUUCUCUCUUUGUUUCACAUGGUAUCAGGCCAUCGCAUAACUGCUCGAUGGGUUCUCCUUCCUCGGGCGCCAUGACUUCCUCGACCCUGGCUUCUCUGCCCAUGCCCUCUGGGCUCUCAGCGCCGACAUCUUCCGCUGUUCCCCAACCCUCUGCUAGCCUCAUUACCGCCAAGCUUACCUCCUCCAACUUCCUCCUCUGGAAAGCACAGAUCCUUCCUCCCCUUCGAAUCACCGGUGUCACUUGGCUAUGUCGAUGGCACCACCCCUACUCCUCCUCGCAUCCUCCCAACUGAUGACAAGGGGGGCGCGCUCCUAACCCGGAGUAUGCUGCCUGGUCCCGUCAGGAUCAGAUCAUCCUGAGCUAUCUUCUUGCCUCGCUCACCUCGACACCUCCCGCGUCAUCUGGGCGCAACUCGAGGAGAUGUAUGUUACCCACUGCCGUGCCAGUGUGGUGCAGAUCAAGAUGGACAUGAUGAACUUCCGCAAGGGCAACCUCUCCAUGGUGGACUACUUCGCCAAGAUCCUCUCCAAUGCAGAUCAACUCACCACCGCGGGCCGUCCCAUGUGCCAGGAGGACAUCAUCACCGCCUUCAUCACCGGGCUCGACAACGAGUACGGGCCCCUCAUCAUUGCCAUAUCCUUCGAACGCCGCCGCGACAACAAAUGCAACACCAACAACCGUGGCAAGGGACACUACCGCGACAAGGGUCGCGGCAACUCUGGUGACCGUGGUGACUACAACAACAACAACAACCGCGACGGGUACUGUGGUGACUGUGGUGGUGGUGGCAAUCGUCAGAACGGUAACCGUGGUGGUGACCGCGGUGACCAUGGCGGUGGCGGGGAUGCACGUCUACACUGCCAGCUCUGUCGGGGCCCUGGGCACUAUGCAUGGGAGUGCGCUUAGCGCUAGAACCACGCCUUCCAACCUCAACAGUCCAAGAUGGCGGGUCUCGCUGCCGCUUCACCACCAUCCAUCCUCAGUGACCCUAACUGGUCCACUGACACGGGGGCUACCGAUCAUAUCAUGUCGGAUCUGGACCGUCUCACCGUGAGGGAAAAGUACCCUGGACAGGACCACAUCCACACUGCCGAUGGAUCAGGUUUGCACAUAGCUCAUCGUGGUCAUGCCCUUCUUCCUACACCCUCUGUCAAUCUUAAACUUCGCAACAUAUUACAUGUUCCCAAUGCCGACAAGAACCUUCUUUCUGUUAGUCGUCUUGCCGUUGACAAUCAUGCUUAUCUAAAAUAUUAUCCUACUCAUUUUCUUAUGAAGGAUUUGACAACCAAGAAGGUUCUUCUUCGCGGCAGAUGUGCAAAUGGGCUCUAUCCCAUUCGGCCUUCACGUUCUCAUGUCUUGUCUUCAGUUAGGCUCUCCGCUGAAGAUUGACAUGCUAGACUCGGCCACCCGUCCACACAAGUUGUUCAGCAUGUUUUGGCGUCCAAUAAAUUAGCAUAAUCGAGUCGGGCUUUGGCCCAUGUGUGUAAUGCUUGUCAACAUGGCAAAGUACAUCAGCUACCUUUUCCUAGAUCUUUGAAUGUUUCCUCGUUUUCGUUGGAACUUAUUUUCUCAGAUGUGUGGGGACCUACCGAAACCUCCUCUGGUGGGUUCCAGUACUAUGUUUCAUGUAUUGAUGAUUAUAGUAAAUUUGUGUGGAUUUAUCUUCUCAAACAAAAGUGUGAUGUGUUUAAUGUCUUUCGUGAUUUUCUUGCCCAUGUUGAACGCCUCCUAUCUCGUAAAAUCCUGUGUGUUCAAUCAGACUGGGGUGGGGAAUACGAAAAACUUAGCAACACAUUUUUUCGGCAACUUGGCAUUGCUCACCACGUCUCUUGUCCACACACACACCAACAUAAUGGCUCGGCCGAAAGGAAGCACCGUCACAUUGUUGACAUGGGCCUCUCCUUAUUAUCGCAUGCGUCUAUGCCCCUCCAUUUUUGGGACGAGGCGUACUUGUCCGCAUGUUACUGAAGGAAAUAUGCCCUAGAGGCAAUAAUAAAGUUAUUAUUUAUUUCCUUAUAUCAUGAUAAAUGUUUAUUAUUCAUGCUAGAAUUGUAUUAACCAGAAACAUAAUACAUGUGUGAAUACAUAGACAAACAGAGUGUCACCAGUAUGCCUCUACUUGACUAGCUCGUUAAUCAAAGAUGGUUAUGUUUCCUAACCAUAGACAAAAGAGUUGUUAUUUGAGUAACGAGGUCACAUCAUUAGUUGAAUGAUCUGAUUGACAUGACCCAUUCCAUUAGCUUAGCACCUGAUCGUUUAGUAUGUUGCUAUUGCUUUCUUCAUGACUUAUACAUGUUCCUAUAACUAUGAGAUUAUGCAACUCCCGUUUGCCGGAGGAACACCUUGGGUGCUACCAAACGUCACAACGUAAUUGGGUGAUUAUAAAGGAGCAUUACAGGUGUCUCCAAAAGUAGAUGUUGGGUUGGCGUAUUUCGAGAUUAGGAUUUGUCACUCCGAUUGUUGGAGAGGUAUCUCUGGGCCCUCUCGGUAAUGCACAUCACAUAAGCCUUGCAAGCACUGCAACUAAUAUGUUAGUUGUGAGAUGAUGUAUUACGGAACGAGUAAAGAGACUUGCCAGUAACGAGAUUGAACUAGGUAUUGGAUACCGACGAUCGAAUCUCGGGCAAGUAACAUACCGAUGACAAAGGGAACAACGUAUGUUGUUAUGCGGUCUGACCGAUAAAGAUCUUCGUAGAAUAUGUAGGAGCCAAUAUGGGCAUCCAGGUCCCGCUAUUGGUUAUUGACCGGAGACGUGUCUCGGUCAUGUCUACAUUGUUCUCGAACCCGUAGGGUCCGCAUGCUUAAGGUUACGAUGACAGUUAUAUUAUGAGUUUACAUGUUUUGAUGUACCGAAGGAGUUCGGAGUCCCGGAUGAGAUUGGGGACAUGACGAGGAGUCUCGAAAUGGUCGAGACGUAAAGAUUCAUAUAUUGGAUGAUAUGGUUAGGCCAAGGGGUCAAGCCCAUGAGGCUUUAGAUCGGUGCAAAAGGAGUUUUGCGGAGUUCAGGGGGCCAAACGCCGGAGACCCUGGCGUCUGGCCCUGGGCCAGACGCCGAGGCCCAUGGCGUCUGGGCCAGACGCCAAGGAUUGUGGCGUUUGGUCCUGGAGUCCGAGUGGGACUCUUGCCUUUCGGGAAAAACCGACUUUGAGGAGGCUUUUGCUCCAAGUUUCGACCCCGGGGCUCAACAUAUAAAUAGAGGGGCAGGGCUAGCACCAAAGACACAACAAUUGAUCCCUUGGAUCUCUUAGCCGUGUGCGGUGCCCCCCUCCACCAUAGUCCACCUCGAUAAUAUCGUAGCGGUGCUUAGGCGAAGCCCUGCGACGGUAGAACAUCAAGAUCGUCACCACGCCGUUGUGCUGACGGAACUCUCCCUCGACACUCGGCUGGAUCGGAGUUCGAGGGACGUCAUCGAGCUGAACGUGUGCUAGAACUCGGAGGUGCCGUAGUUUCGGUGCUUGAUCGGUCGGGCCGUGAAGACGUACGACUACAUCAACCGCGUUGUGCUAAUGCUUCCGCUUACGGUCUACAAGGGUAUGUAGACAAUACUCUCCCCUCUCGUUGCUAUACAUCACCAUGAUCUUGCGUGUGCGUAGGAAAUUUUUUGAAAUUACUACGAAACCCUACAGUGGUAUCAGAGCCAAGUUCCGAUGUUGAUGUUAUAUGCACGAGUAGAACACAAGUGAGUUGUGGACGAUACAAGUCAUACUGCCUACCAGCAUGUCAUACUUUGGUUCGGCGGUAUUGUUGGACGAGACGACCCGGACCAACCUUACGCGUACGCUUACGCGAGACCGGUUCCCUCGACGUGCUUUGCACAUAGAUGGCUUGCGGGCGACUGUCUCGCCAACUUUAGUUGAACCGAGUAUAGCUACGCCCGGUCCUUGAGAAGGUUAAAACGGAGUCUAUUUGACAAACUAUCGUUGUGGUUUUGAUGCGUAGGUGAGAUUGGUUCUUACUUAAGCCCGUAGCAGCCACGUAAAACAUGCAACAACAAAGUAGAGGACGUCUAACUUGUUUUUGCAGGGCAUGUUGUGAUGUGAUAUGGUCAAAGCAUGAUGCUGAAUUUUAUUGUAUGAGAUGAUCAUGUUUUGUAACCGAGUUAUCGGCAACUGGCAGGAGCCAUAUGGUUGUCGCUUUAUUGUAUGCAAUGCAAUCGCGAUGUAAUGAUUUACUUUAUUACUAAAUGGUAGUGAUAGUCGUGGAAGCAUAAGAUUGGCGAGACGACAACGAUGCUACGAUGGAGAUCAAGGUGUCGCGCCGGUGACGAUGGUGAUCAUGACGGUGCUUUGGAGAUGGAGAUCACAAGCACAAGAUGAUGAUGGCCAUAUCAUAUCACUUAUAUUGAUUGCAUGUGAUGUUUAUCUUUUUAUGCAUCUUAUCUUGCUUUGAUUGACGGUAGCAUUAUAAGAUGAUCUCUCACUAAAUUAUCAAGAAGUGUUCUCCCUGAGUAUGCACCGUUGCCAAAGUUCGUCGUGCCCAGACACCACGUGAUGAUCGGGUGUGAUAAGCUCUACGUCCAUCUACAACGGGUGCAAGCCAGUUUUGCACACGCAGAAUACUCAGGUUAAACUUGACGAGCCUAGCAUAUACAGAUAUGGCCUCGGAACACGGAGACCGAAAGGUCGAGCGUGAAUCAUAUAGUAGAUAUGAUCAACAUAACGAUGUUCACCAUUGAAAACUACUCCAUCUCACGUGAUGAUCGGUCAUGGUUUAGUUGAUUUGGAUCACGUAAUUACUUAGAGAUUAGAGGGAUGUCUAUCUAAGUGGGAGUUCUUAAAUAAUAUGAUUAAUUGAACUUUAAUUUAUCAUGAACUUAGUCCUGGUAGUAUUUUGCAAAUUAUGUUGUAGAUCAAUAGCUCGCGUUGUUGCUUCCCUGUGUUUAUUUUGAUAUGUUCCUAGAGAAAAUCAUGUUGAAAAAUGUUAGUAGCAAUGAUGCGGAUUGGAUCCGUGAUCUGAGGUUUAUCCUCAUUACUACACAGAAGAAUUAUGUCCUUGAUGCACCGCUAGGUGACGGACCUAUUGCAGGAGCAGAUGCAGAUGUUAUGAACGUUUGGCUAGCUCAAUAUGAUGACUACUUGAUAGUUUAGUGCACCAUGCUUAAUGGCUUAGAAUCGGGACUUCAACGACGUUUUGAACGUCAUGGAGCAUAUGAGAUGUUCCAGGAGUUGAAGUUAAUAUUUCAAGCAAAUACCCGAGUUGAGAGAUAUGUAGUCUCGAAAAAGUUCUAUAGCUAAAAGAUGGAGGAGAAUCGCUCAACUAGUGAGCAUGUGCCCAGAUUGUCUGAGUACAACAAUCGCUUGAAUCAAGUGGGAGUUAAUCUUCCAGAUAAGAUAGUGAUUGACAGAAUUCUCUAGUCACCAUCACCAAUUUAGUAGAACUUCGUGAUGAACUAUGAUAUGCAAGGGAUAACGGGAACAAUUCCCAAGCUCUUCGUAAUGCGGAAAUUGACGAAGGUAGAAAUCGAGAAAAACAUCAAGUGUUGAUGGUAGACAAGACCACUAGUUUCAAGAAAAGGGCAGAAGGAAGAAGGGGAACUUCAAAUAGAAUGGCAAACAAGUUGCUGCUCAAGUGAAGAAGCCCAAGUCUGGUCCUAAGCCUGAGACUAAGUGUUUCUACUGUAAGCAGACUGGUCGCUGGAAGCGGAACUGCCCCAAGUAUUUGGCGGAUAAGAAGGAUGGCAAGGUGAACAAAGGUAUAUGUGAUAUACAUGUUAUUGAUGUGUACUUUACUAGUGUUUAUGGCAACCCCUCAGUAUUUGAUACUAGUUCAGUUGCUAAGAUUAGUAACUCGAAACGGGAGUUGCAGAAUAAACAGAGACUAGUUAAGGGUGAAGUGACGAUGUGUGUUGGAAGUGGUUCCAAGAUUGAUAUGAUCAUCAUCGCACACUCCUAUACUUUCGGGAUUAGUGUUGAACCUGAAUAAGUGUUAUUUGGUGUUUGCAUUAAGCAUGAUUAUGAUUUGAUCAUGUUUAUUGUAAUACGGUUAUUCAUUUAAGUAAGAGAAUAAAUUGUUGUUCUGUUUACAUGAAUAAAACCUUAUAUGGUUACACACCCAAUGAAAAUAGUUCGUUGGAUCUCGAUCGUAGUGAUACACAUAAUCAUAAUAUUGAAACCAAAAGAUGCAAAGUUAAUAAUGAUAGUGCAACUUAUUUGUAGCACUGCCGUUUAGGUCAUAUUGGUGUAAAGCGCAUGAAGAAACUCCAUGCUAAUGGGAUUUUGGAAUCACUUGAUUAUGAAUCACUUGAUGCUUGCGAACCAUGCCUUUUGGGCAAGAUGACUAAAACGCCGUUCUCCGGAACAAUGAAGCAAGCAACAGAUUUGUUGGAGAUCAUACAUACUGAUGUAUGUGGUCCGGUGAAUAUUAAAGCUUGCAGCAGGUAUCAUUAUUUUCUGACCUUCACAGAUGAUUUGAGCAGAUAUGGGGAUAUCUACUUGAUGAAACAUAAGUUUGAAACAUUUGAACAGUUCAAAGAAUUUCAGAGUGAAGUGGAAAAUCAUCGUGACAAGAAAAUAAAGUUUCUACGAUCUGAUCGCGGAGACAAAUAUUUGAGUUACGAGUUUGGUCUUCAAUUAAAACAAUGUGGAAUAGUUUCACAAACUCAUGCCACAUGGAACACCACAGCAUAAUGGUGUGUCCGAACGUCAUAACCGUACUUUAUUAGAUAUAUAGUGCAAUCUAUGAUGUCUCUUACGGAUCUACCACUAUCGUUUUGGGGUUAUGCAUUAAAGACAGCUACAUUCACAUUAAAUAGGGCACCAUCUAAAUCCGUUGAGGCGACACCAUAUGAACUAUGGUUUGGCAAGAAACCUGAGCUGUCGUUUCUUAAAUUUUGGGGUUGCAAUGCUUAUAUGAAAAAAUUUCAUCCUGAUAAGCUCAAACUCAAAUCGGAGAAGUGCGUCUUCAUAGGAUAUCCAGAGGAAACUAUUGGAUACACCUUCUACCACAGAUCCGAAGGCAAGACUUUUUUUGCUAAAUUCGGAAACUUUCUGGAGAAGGGGUUUCUCUUGAAAGAAGUGAGUGGGAGGAAAGUAGAACUUGACGAGGUAACUGUACCUGCUCCCUUAUUGGAAAGUAGUACAUCACAGAAAACUGUUUUUUGUGACACCUACACCAGUUAGUGAGGAAGCUAAUGAUGAUGAUCAUGAAACUUCAGAACAAGAUACUACUGAACCUCGUAGAUCAACCAGAGUAAGAUUCGCGCCAGAGUGGUACGGUAAUCCUGUUCUGAAAGUCAUGCUACUAGAUCAUGAUGAAACCUACGAACUAUGAAGAAGCGAUGAUGAGCCCAGAUUCCGCAAAGUGGCUUGAAGCCAUGAAAUCUGAGAUGGGAUCCAUGUAUGAGAACAAAGUAUGGACUCUGGUUGACUUGCCCGAUGAUCGGCAAGCAAUUGAGAAUAAAUGGAUCUUUAAGAAGAAGACUGACGCUGAUGGUAAUGUUACUGUCUACAAAGCUUGACUUGUCGCAAAAGGUUUUCGGCAAGUUCAAGGGAUUGACUACGAUGAGACCUUCUCACCCGUAGCGAUGCUUAAGUCCGUCCGAAUCAUGUUAGCAAUUGCCGCAUUUUAUGAUUAUGAAAUUUGGCAGAUGGAUGUCAAAACUGCAUUCCUGAAUGGAUUUCUGGAAGAAGAGUUGUAUAUGAUGCAACCGGAAGGUUUUUGUCGAUCCAAAGGGAGCUAACAAAGUGUGCAAGCUCCAGCGAUCCAUUUAUGGACUGGUGCAAGCCUCUCGGAGUUGGAAUAAACGUUUUGAUAGUGUGAUCAAAGCAUUUGGUUUUAUACAGACUUUCGGAGAAGCCUGUAUUUACAAGAAAGUGAGUGGGAGCUCUACAACAUUUCUGAUAAGUAUAUGUGAAUGGCAUAUUGUUGAUCGGAAAUAAUGUAGAAUUAUUCUGUAAAGCAUAAAUGGAGUGUUUGAAAGGAGUUUUUCAAAGAAAGACUUCGGUGAAGCUACUUACAUAUUGAGUUUCAAGAUCUAUAGAGAUAGAUCAAGACGCUUGAUAAGUUUUUUCAAUGAGUACAUACCUUGACAAGAUUUUGAAGUAGUUCAAAAUGGAACAGUCAAAGAAAGAGUUCUUGCCUGUGUUACAAGGUGUGAAGUUGAGUAAGACUCAAAGCCCGACCACGGCAAAAAAAAUAGAAAGAGAAUGAAAGUCAUUUCCUAUGCCUCAGUCAUAGGUUCUAUAAAGUAUGCCAUGCUGUGUACCAGAUCUAUUGUAUACCCUGCACUGAGUUUGGCAAGGGAGUACAAUAGUGAUCUAGGAGUAGAUCACUAGACAGCGGUCAAAAUUGUCCUUAGUGGAAUAAGGAUAUGUUUCUCUAUUAUGGAAGUGAAAAAAGGUUCGUCGUAAAGGGUUACGCCGAUGCAAGUUUGACACUAAUCUAGAUGACUCUAAGUCUCGAUCUAGAUACAUAUUGAAAGUGGGAGCAAUUAGCUAGAGUAGCUCCAUGCAGAGCAUUGUUGACAUAGAAAUUUGCAAAAUACAUGAGGAUCUGAAUGUGGCAGACCCGUUGACUAAGAUUCUCUCACAAGCAAAACAUGAUCACACCUUAGUACUCCUUGGGUGUUAAUCACAUAGCGAUGUGAACUAGAUUACUGAAUCUAGUAAACCCUUUGGGUGUUGGUCACAUAGCGAUGUGAACUAUGGGUGUUAAUCACAUGGUGAUGUGAACUAUUGCUGUUAAAUCACAUGGCGAUGUGAACUAGAUUAUUGACUCUAGUGCAAGUGGGAGACUGAAGGAAAUAUGCCCUAGAGGCAAUAAUAAAGUUAUUAUUUAUUUCCUUAUAUCAUGAUAAAUGUUUAUUAUUCAUGCUAGAAUUGUAUUAACCGGAAACAUAAUACAUGUGUGAAUACAUAGACAAACAGAGUGUCACUAGUAUGCCUCUACUCGACUAGCUCGUUAAUCAAAGAUGGUUAUGUUUCCUAACCAUAGACAAAAGAGUUGUUAUUUGAGUAACGAGGUCACAUCAUUAGUUGAAUGAUCUGAUUGACAUGACCCAUUCCAUUAGCUUAGCACCUGAUCGUUUAGUAUGUUGCUAUUGCUUUCUUCAUGACUUAUACAUGUUCCUAUAACUAUGAGAUUAUGCAACUCCCGUUUGCCGGAGGAACACCUUGGGUGCUACCAAACGUCACAACGUAACUGGGUGAUUAUAAAGGAGCAUUACAGGUGUCUCCAAAAGUAGAUGUUGGGUUGGCGUAUUUCGAGAUUAGGAUUUGUCACUCCGAUUGUCGGAGAGGUAUCUCUGGGCCCUCUCGGUAAUGCACAUCACAUAAGCCUUGCAAGCACUGCAACUAAUAUGUUAGUUGUGAGAUGAUGUAUUACGGAACGAGUAAAGAGACUUGCCAGUAACGAGAUUGAACUAGGUAUUGGAUACCGACGAUCGAAUCUCGGGCAAGUAACAUACCGAUGACAAAGGGAACAACGUAUGUUGUUAUGCGGUCUGACCGAUAAAGAUCUUCGUAGAAUAUGUAGGAGCCAAUAUGGGCAUCCAGGUCCUGCUAUUGGUUAUUGACCGGAGACGUGUCUCGGUCAUGUCUACAUUGUACUCGAACCCGUAGGGUCCGCACGCUUAAGGUUACGAUGACAGUUAUAUUAUGAGUUUACAUGUUUUGAUGUACCGAAGGAGUUCGGAGUCCCGGAUGAGAUUGGGGACAUGACGAGGAGUCUCGAAAUGGUCGAGACGUAAAGAUUCAUAUAUUGGAUGAUAUGGUUAGGCCAAGGGGUCAAGCCCAUGAGGCUUUAGAUCGGUGCAAAAGGAGUUUUGCGGAGUCCAGGGGGCCAAACGCCGGAGACCCUGGCGUCUGGCCCUGGGCCAGACGCCGAGGCCCAUGGCGUCUGGGCCAGACGCCAAGGAUUGUGGCGUUUGGUCCUGGAGUCCGAGUGGGACUCUUGCCUUUCAGGAAAAACCGACUUUGAGGAGGCUUUUGCUCCAAGUUUCGACCCCGGGGCUCAACAUAUAAAUAGAGGGGCAGGGCUAGCACCAAAGACACAACAAUUGAUCCCUUGGAUCUCUUAGCCGUGUGCGGUGCCCCCCUCCACCAUAGUCCACCUCGAUAAUAUCGUAGCGGUGCUUAGGCGAAGCCCUGCGACGGUAGAACAUCAAGAUCGUCACCACGCCGUCGUGCUAACGGAACUCUCCCUCGACACUCGGCUAGAUCGGAGUUCGAUGGACGUCAUCGAGCUGAACGUGUGGUAGAACUUGGAGGUGCCGUAGUUUCGGUGCUUGAUCGGUCGGGCCGUGAAGACGUACGACUACAUCAACCGCGUUGUGCUAACGCUUCCGCUUACGGUCUACAAGGGUAUGUAGACAAUACUCUCCCCUCUCGUUGCUAUAUAUCACCAUGAUCUUGUGUGUGCGUAGGAAAUUUUUUGAAAUUACUACGAAACCCUACAGUUACCUUAUCAACCGACUACCUAGCCGCGUCAUUGGCAAUAUGAGUCCCAUGGAAAAACUGUUUUCCACCAAGCCUGACUACGUAUCUCUUCGCACGUUCGGGAGUGCAUGUUGGCCUAACUUGCGCCCGUAUUGUUGGGGAACGUUGCAGAAAAUUAAAAUUUUUCCCACGGUUUCACCAAGAUCCAUCUAUGAGUUCAUCUAGCAACGAGUCAUGGGAGAGUGAUUGUAUCUACAUACCACUUGUAGAUCGCGUGCGGAAGCGUUCAAGUGAACAGGGUUGAUGGAGUCGUACUCGUCGUGAUUCAAAUCACCGAUGACCUAGUGCCGAACGGACAGCACCUCCGCGUUCAACACACGUACGGAGCGGAUGACGUCUCCUCCUUCUUGAUCCAGCAAGGGGGAAGGAGAGGUUGAUGAUGAUCCAGCAGCACGACGGCGUGGUGGUGGAUGCAGCAGAACUCCGGUAGGGCUUCGCUAAGCGACUACGGGAGGAGGAGGAGGUGUAGCAGGAAGGGGAGGCGCCAAGGGCUUCAGGGUGCGGCCACCCCUCCCUCCCCUCCCUUUAUAUAGGUGCAAGAGAGGGGGGAGGGCGCAGCCUUGCCCCUUCCUCCAAGGAAGGGGUGCGGCCAGGAGGGGGGAGGAGUCCAUCCUCCCCAAGGCACCUCGGAGGUGCCUUCCCCUCUUAGGACUCUCCCCUCCCCUAGUCUCCUUGGCGCAUGGGCCUCUUGGGGCUGGUGCCCUUGGCCCAUAUAGGCCAAGGCGCACCCCCACAGCCCAUGUGGCCCCCCCCGGGGCAGGUGGACCCCCCCGGUGGACCCUCGGACCCCUUACGGCACUCCCGGUACAAUACCGAUAAAGUGCGAAACUUCUCCGGCGAUCAAAAUAAGACUUCAUAUAUAUAAAUCUUUACCUCCGGACCAUUCCGGAACUCCUCGUGACAUCCGAGAUCUCAUCCGGGACUCCGAACAACAUUCGGUUUGCUGCAUACUCAUAUUCAUACAACCCUAGCGUCACCGAACCUUAAGUGUGUAGACCCUACGGGUUCGGGAGACAUGCAGACAUGACCGAGACGUUCUCCGGUCAAUAACCAACAGCGGGAUCUGGAUACCCAUGUUGGCUCCCACAUGUUCCACGAUGAUCUCACCGGAUGAACCACGAUGUCAAGGACUCAAUCAAUCCCGUGUACAAUUCCCUUUGUCUAACGGUAUUGUACUUGCCCGAGAUUCGAUCGUCGGUAUACCGAUACCUUGUUCAAUCUCGUUACCGGCAAGUCUCUUUACUCGUUCCGUAACACAUCAUCCCGUGAUCAACCCCUUGGUCACAUUGUGCACAUUAUGAUGAUGUCCUACCGAGUGGGCCCAGAGAUACCUCUCCGUUUACACGGAGUGACAAAUCCCAGUCUCGAUUCGUUCCAACCCAACAGACACUUUCGGAGAUACCUGUAAUGCACCUUUAUAGCCACCCAGUUACAUUGUGAUGUUUGGUACACCCAGAGCAUUCCUACGGUAUCCGGGAGUUGCACAAUCUCAUGGUCUAAGGAAAAGAUACUUCACAUUAGAAAAGCUUUAGCAUACGAACUACGAUCUUUGUGCUAGGCUUAGGAUUGGGUCUUGUCCAUCACAUCAUUCUGCUAAUGAUGUGAUCCCGUUAUCAACGACAUCCAAUGUCCAUGGUUAGGAAACCGUAACCAUCUAUUGAUCAACGAGCUAGUCAACAGAGGCUUACUAGGGACAUGGUGUUGUCUAUAUAUCCACACAUGUAUCUGAGUUUCCUAUCAAUACAAUUAUAGCAUGGAUAAUAAACGAUUAUCAUGAACAAGGAAAUAUAAUAAUAACAACCAAUUUAUUAUUGCCUCUAGGGCAUAUUUCCAACACGUAUAACACUCAGAAACUUGCGUUUAGAUCACAAUAGUGUGUGUUUGUCGGGUACAUCAUUCGUCACAAAGGAUAUAAAUGUCUUCACGUACCUACCGCUCGUGUAUAUAUAUAUCACGAGAUCUUAUCUUUGAUGAACAUUUUUUUCCUUUUACCAAUGGCCAACCCUCUCCAAUACCACCUCACGUUGCUGAACAUGCAAUCCUUUUAUUUCCACAUGACCACAUGAACUAUGGCGCAUCUGUUUCUCGAACUAAUCUGGAUGCAGGUACCGAUUCAGUGCAGAAAAUCCCAUCUCCAGACUCCCUGACAGAUCCUGUGUCCCAAUCCGCCGCCGCAUCAGCCUAGGAUCACGCGCCGCCUGGAGACAACGACGUGGAGGCAGCUGACCACGUGACGAUAGGUGACAGCGCACUAGGUGACCGCGCUGGGCCCGGGUCUCCGCCACCCACCAAUCCCGUAUCCCCUGAGGGCGAGUGGACCAGGGCGUCUCUCGCGUCGGCUCCUGCAUGUGCGCGUCCGACCCACAUUGUGGCGGGGCCCACCCCUGCGCGGGCCGCUGUGUCUCCCGAUUUGCCCCAGGCCGCUGUCCACCUGGCGCCCGCGGAGCGGGCCGUUGCUGCUGGCGGCGCUGGAUCCUAGAUGGAUCUGGCGGCUGCGUCGUCUUCCUCGCCCGACACGGGAUCCCACGGGGAUUCGCCGGCGCGCUUGUCUGCAUGCGUCCCGCCCGGAUCCUCUAUGGCCACCGGAUCUUCUACUCCGCCUGUGCAUACAAUGACGAUGCGCACACGUGAUCACACUCACAAACCGCUGUAGCGCACUGAUGGUACUGUCACGUACGAUCCGUCCCGUCGUGCAUUCUUGGCACUGCGGGAAUCGUGAAGCGGUCUCUUCUCCAGAGUGGCGUCUGGCAAUGCAACUUGAGCUCGAUGCUCUCCGACAGAAUGGUACCUGGACUUUGGUACCUCCUCCUCCUUGUGUCAACGUCAUUGAUUGCAAAUCAGUGUUCAAGAUCAAACACAAACCUAAUGGAACUGUUGAUCGUUACAAGGCACGUCUGGUCGCAAAGGGGUUCAAACAACGCUAUGGCUUGGACUAUGACGAUAUGUUCAGUCCGGUCGUUAAACCUGUCACUGUGCGACUGGUUCUCUCCAUUACAGUUUCUCGUGGAUGGUGUUUGCGACAGUUGGAUGUUCAAAAUGCUUUCCUUCAUGGCAUUCUCCAAGAAGAAGUAUACAUGCGCCAACCUCCUGGUUUUGUGAACCCCUCGGUGCCUCAUCAUUUGUGCAAACUUCGCAAGGCUCUCUAUGGGCUUAAAUAGGCUCCUCGAGUGUGGUAUUAUCGGCUGAGUUCUAGGCUCCAACAACUUGGUUUUAUAGCAUCCAAAGCUGACAGGUCCCUCUUUGUCUACAACCGGUGUGGUGUUACUAUUUUCAUGCUUGUGUAUGUAGACGACAUUAUUGUCUCCAGCUCCUCUCCCGCUACUACUACCAAGUUACUUGCUGAUCUCCAAGCCUCCUUUGCUCUCAAGGAUCUCGGCUCUCUGCAUUAUUUUCUUGGAGUCCAUGUGGAGUCAUCGCCAGGGGGAAUUGUUCUAUCUCAGCAGAAGUAUAUCAGCGAUAUUCUUCGUCAUGCCAACAUGGAGAAUUGCAAAGUCUCUACCACGCCGAUGUCCUCCAGUGAGAAAAUUAGCAAGGAUAGUGGAACACCACUUUCUCAGGAUGAUAGCACCAAAUAUCGCAGCUUGGUUGGAGCUCUCCAGUAUCUGACACUCACGAGGCCAGACAUUUCUUUUGCAGUUAACCGUGUUUGUCAGUUCCUUCAUGCACCUACGACUGCACACUUUUCAGCUGCAAAGAGGAUUUUGAGAUACUUGAAGUAUACUCACAAUAUGGGCUUGUCUAUUCGAAAGUCACCCUCCAUGUUGUUAAGCUGUUUUCCAGAUGCAGACUGGGCUGGAUGCAGUGAUGAUCGCCGAUCCGCAGGUGGCUUUGCAGUUUUUCUUGGACCUAACCUUGUCUCGUGGAGUUCAAGAAAGCAAGCUACGGUGUCUAGGUCAAGCAUGGAGUCUGAAUAUAAGGCACUUGCGAAUGGAUUAGCUGAGGUCAUAUGGAUACAGUCGGUCCUUCGUGAACUUGGGGUCUUCCUCUCUCGACCUCCUGUUAUGUAGUGUGACAAUCUAGGAGCCACUUAUUUAUCUGCGAAUCCGGUAUUCCAUGCCAGAACCAAGCACAUAGAAGUGGACUUCCACUUUGUUCGUGAACGAGUUGCAGCCAAGGAGCAAGUUGCAGAUAUAUAUCUUCCAAGGAGAAAGUUGCAGAUAUAUUCAAAAAGCCUCUAGCUGAGGUGCCGUUUGUUUUAAAUAGGCACAAUAUGAAUCUUUGGGUAGGAAGUUCAGAUUGAGGGGGAAUGUUAAACUGUAUAGUUAUCAGAUAUGGUUAGUAUCUAGGAUUGUAGUUAUCAUUGUAUAACAACUUGUACUUAUCCUCCUGUAAACCCUAGCGGCAUCCCUAGAGGCGCCCUAUAUAAUGAUCCUGAGACCACCGCAUUAGGUGUGUCGAUCCAAUCUCUUCUCUCUUUGUUUCACAAUGUGUCCGUGGGUUGUAUGAAAUAAAACCAUAAAUUUACACACUAUUGUAUCGAUUGAGAACUCAAGAGCAAGGCCCGUUUCCAACCUCGUCUCGGCAAACGUGGUUUCUUCCUCAUCAUGCUUCUCUCACCAACGACCACCAUGAAGCCAUUGCUUUUCUCUCUCCAUGAUCUUUGGUCCUUCUCCACCAGCAAUGUGAAAAAAGGCAAUAUGCCAGCUUCAUACUCCAUGGUCUUUCUUUUGAGCUUCAAGGUAGUAUGAUAGUAUAAUCAGUGUACAGUACUGUCCAAGACCGAACCAAACUGGUUCAUAUAGCUGUAAAAAUCUCUUGUGAUCAACAACAAAACUAAUGCUAAUAUUCAGGAUUUCAAACUUCAAGCAUUUGGAGAUAAACCAACAAAAAGAAAAACUGAGCGGCGGUGUCAAAAGUAAUUGUUGACCUUUGUCAAAUUGACUGCAUGCUUUUAAAUCAAGAUCAUGCAACUAAGACUUGCAUCUCAAUAAAACCAUAUCAGUUGCACAUGCAGAUGAGAAAAAUAGGAAAUACUCUAUUCCAUUCAAGGGUUGUAUGUCAAUUAUUAAAACGCAAGCACAUUAUAAGUCACAAACCUCCAACGCGCAGAUAAUUUCGGAAAUGCCUAAACCUUAGAUAAUUUGGGAAAGGAGGGUGGCUACAGUCCCCUUGGCUGAUAUACAUAGGUCUAGCUGUAACAUCUUUGGGCAAAGCAUCAUUUGCAACUGGUAACCACAGAAUAUGUAUUUAGCGCUCCUACAGAAGAAAAGAAAAGAAAAGGAUUAAAAAGGGAAUGCCGCCUUCAUAGGUCACAAACCUCGAAUUGUCAAUAUCUUCUUGUGAAUGUACACAUAUUUGAAAUACUUGAAGCGGCUAGGAUAAUGUUCUUAAAAAUGGGUUGCUUCAGAGAUAAGAAACUAAUACUGCAGUCAGACCAAAAGGAAAUUCAAGGGCACAAAAUACUUCCAGCAGGCCUUUGCAAAUUGGCAAUUAAUUAAGAAAAGGUGAUGUAUUGACUCAGGAGCCUGGAAUCCACACAUGACGCAGAAGUUUAAUUCAAGGACGGGGAAGUAAGAAUAAGACCACGUACGUACUAACAAAAGAGGGGAUCAAGGAGGAGCUGUAAAAUCCAAAUGAAAAUAUCAAUACAUAAUGAACAGCACCAUUGCGUUGAAAUACCACAAGUCGCUGCUAGUAAGAUUACAUAUGCCGGCUCUCUUGGACAACAAAACCUAAGUCAGGAUUCGACUACGCACGAUUAAUUUGUUGUGUUUGACGUUCCUCUUCCUCUCUUUUUUUUAUGAAGAAUCACAGAGUGUUUUAUUCCAGGAUGAUAGAGUUACAAUCUUCAGCGACUAAUUUGCUAAUGCAUGGGGUGGAUGGCCCAGCCAACCUGCUGUGCUAUCACCGACACUAUGAAAUCAAUCUUCCAAACUGCAGAAUUGUAAAGUACAGCUCAGACCUACAGGGCAGGACCGGCUAGCUAAACGGCCACGCUGGAUGAUAUGUUAUCACGUUCCCCGCGGCCGCGCCAUGAACUCCAAAUCUGGCGAAACCACCUACCGUCGCACAAGGCGCCGUCGGUCGUGGAACACGCGGUCUGCAGGUCACAUCGGUCCAGGCCUUGUUGGGUUCACGCGGUCCAGAUGACAUGCACGCCCGCCAAGCAAUUGAGAAAGAGAGAGCCAUGCACGCACGCGAAGCACGCUGCCCUGUGACAACGAGGAUGAUCAUGCAUGCAUGUCAGAGAGCAGAGAGCAGAGACGUCUGUCACUUGUGUAGAUGGUAGGUUCUGCUGGUUGGCGGUCACGCUAUGCAGACCGCGUGUUCCACGACCGGGCCAAAUUUCGUGUUCUGACCCUUUUUCAAUACAAAUUUAGGAUCUGACCCCGGUUCCAAAAAAUUUCGAGAUCUGACCAUUCCGCUACCGCUAUGGGCUCUGACAGUAUGGUUAGACAUACUACCGCCAGGGUCCAUGGCGGUAGGGUGCGACGGAGGGCGACGGAGGGCAACGGCCGCCGUUUGCUCGAGCUGACGUGGACAAGUAGCCUACCGCCAGGGACCAUGGCGGUAGCAUGUUAGACCUUACCGCCUGACCGCUUGGCGGUAAGGUGUGGCUGGGGUUUUGCCUCCCAAGUUUCUGUAACGAAAUAUCGAGGUGCCCUGACGGUAGGUACGUUCGUCCUACCGUCAGGGUCCUUGGCGGUAGGGUCCUGUGUUCUAUGGUUUAUAAGUUUAUUUUUGCUUCUUUUCAGAAACAAUAUAGGCCCUAAAAUAUGAGCUCGCAUUUUUUUAGUGAUUGUUUAUUUUGUAAAAUAUGAGCUCACAAAGAAAGCCAACAAACGGUUUCACAUAGUUUGUUUUGUUACAAGUUUCACAUCACAAAUAGUAAAAUAUGAGCUCACAUAAUGAUGAUGGUUCCACAUAGCAAUUAUCAAACAGUUUACAGAUAAUAGAUUCAUAAGUAGGGAAUAGCAAAUAGCAAACUUGUCCACAUAGUUUGACAAACCCUACAAAAACAGAGAUAUAUAUUCAAUCGACAUGUUUAUGGGGCNNNNNNNNNNNNNNNNNNNNNNNNNNNNNNNNNNNNNNNNNNNNNNNNNNNNNNNNNNNNNNNNNNNNNNNNNNNNNNNNNNNNNNNNNNNNNNNNNNNNNNNNNNNNNNNAUGGCCGUGGAGACAGAUACGGCAGCGGAUCCACCGGUUCAGGCGGAGGCGAAACGCUGGUCGGCAUCCGACCAUUCAAGCAGUCCCACCUUGGCUUGCCCGCUGGAGUUUUCGCCUCAGCCCUUGGCCAGUUGAUGAUAUCGAAGCCGAUGCACUUGGGGGCGCAUCCUGGCUCUCUCCUCCUCAUUGCUCUCGAAAUAGAUCCUCCGGCCCAAAUUGCGCAGCUCGACACUACUAGGAAAAGGCAUGCUAGUGAUGCACCAGUUUUGCCUACUAAUGGCGCACUACUGGUGCGCCACUAGCAUCACGCCAUUAGAAUUAAAUUCUAAUGGCGCACCACUGGUGUGCCAUUAGUAUCUGGUGUUCUAAUGGCGCACCAAUCAGUGCGCCAUUAGUAUAGCCCACAGUGCGCCAUUAGAAUGCCUCCCAGGGGGUCGUAUGUACCCAUGUGCUUUGGCUUACUAAUGGCGCACCAGUGGGUGAUGCGCCAUUAGUGUGAUUAUCACAGUGCGCCAUUAGUGUCUUGUGUGGUGCGCCAUUAGUAUUAAUAUUAGAUUUUUUUUUGUUUUUUUCUAAUUUUUUCACAGGUUACAAAAUAUAUUAUUUGACAGAAUAUAGACAACACCACACAGCAACAGCAGAUUCAUCGAAUACAAUAGAAGGUAAGUCUCCGAAUAUAAUUCAUCAUAUUAGUCUCCGAAUACAAAAGACCGAACGAAGAUAGAACAUUACAAGUCUCGUAGACCGCGAGUAGCGAGUUUGUCUUCACAUUACAAGUCGAUAUCGAUCAUCUAAACUACCAUCACAUAGAAGAGAGCUGCGGUCAUCACGAUGAGCAUCAUCGCGAUGAAACUGGUCUUCACCCGGUUCCCCCAACGCUCCCUCCUCUCUCCCGCUAGAUAGCGGGCGUAUCUAGAUUCCGUCUCCGCCCUAGUGGUGUAUCCUUUGUAACUGUUACCGCUGAAACGGUGAACCUGUCUCCGACACUCCUCCCAGUCGUCGUAGACUCCGGGAACCUUACCCUUGUAUACGACAUACGAAGGCAUCUCUAUGCACAAGCCAAACAACAUACAAUACAUCAGCAAUAUAUAAGUAUGCAACAAAAGGAUCGGAAGAGAAAAGCAAGACACUAAUAACACGAUUCAUGGUCCUACUAAUAAAUAGCAUCGAUUACAUCUAAGUUGAACGACUGUCCAAACCGAAGAGACAUACAAGUUCAUUAAAGUUUAAUUACAACAUGAGCUAAUCGAUGUUUCAGAACUACAAAUAGCAUCACUACUUUCGACUUGACUCAUGGGACCGGAGCGUGGAUGAAGCCGCCAUCUUUCGUGAUGGUCAUGAAGUCGCGGGCGUUGUCAGCCUGCAUUUGAAGUGUUGUGUCUAUCUCACUGUUGGGCGGUUGCUCUCUGAGGUAGAACUGCCCCGAGGUACGAAGGACAUCUUGAUGGAUGAUUUCUGCAAACUCCGACUGGAUGCGAAAGAAUUCUUGUCGGAGGUCCGCGUCCUGGAUUGCCGCCAAGCUUGCGGCCCAAUCUUUGACAUUAUUUGGUAACAGAAGGUGAUUAUGGUCCCGUACGAUCGCCCUCAUGUGAUGGAGGGCGUAGUAGGCAUCCUUCUGACCGCCAGGCGGCUGCUUGACGCAGGGGAACGUCGUACUGUGGGUGAACACGUGUUUGCCAUACCUACGAUCUGGCCUCUUAAAGGUGCCUCCAGAUGUGGCAUAGCCAGGGAGAGCAUCAUCAAGAACUUUCUUGAUAUUUGUAUAGUCUAUCUUGGAGUCACGGUCCGAGUCGAAAUACGUGGUCGUGGAAUAUUUCGGGCUUAAGAGGAUGAGUUUGCAAUGUGUGUCACUGCACAAAACACGGAAUGUUAGAAAAAAAAGAACGAUCGAAAGCUAAGAAAUCAUAUUUUACGGGGCGGUGAGGGGAUGACUUACUCGGGAAAGUAAGGGACGAGGAAGUUAUCCUUAUCUGGGUUUGCCAGAAUGACGCCUUCGAGGUGUGAACUCGCGACUUGCCGGUCCCCAGCGCUGCCCAAGAUCUUGGCACGCAUGUAGAAGGGGUCGACUAUCACGAUGUCCGGGGUCUUGUCUCGAAUGAUCCGCAUCUCCAUACUCAGCGAAAACAGCCGAACGAAGGUGUAGUGCAGCGGAUGAAGAUUAAACAUAGCAAAGAUGCCAUCAAACCGCAGGACGAUCGUACCCCCAAUGGCCAUCCACAAAGCCCUUGCCCUCUGGCACCUUGGCCAUGAAAACCGGGUAUGCCACAUCAUUCUGGGAGAGACACAUCUUCUCCAAAGAAAGAACACUGUCAUGCGGACUCCGCAUAGCACCGGUUGCAGCAUUGAGCAUAUUUGUCGGUAGCAUCGCCCUACCCGCCACAUGCACCCUCCUCGAGAUAUCCUGAGGUGAAGGUGGCCCGUCCUGAGCACGGAUCGUACUCGGUGCCGGCUAGCUCGCAUCGGCGCCCUUGGCAGUCUUUCGUUUCUGUCCCUUCUUCUUGAUCUGCUGUAAUGGGACCGAUUUCUGAUCACAGACCGCCUUCUUGAGCGUGUUGGGGCUGAUAAUAUUUCGCACCUCAGCUAUCUGAGGCUCGGUGAAGGCAGGAGCUGGAGGCGUCUCCUGAGAACUGAACGCCAGACGACGCCUGUUGCAAUUGGAUUUCUCAGCCGUACCAGCUAGAUCGCGGUCGUCUUGGCUGGGUUCUUGAGAAGGAGGCCCACCGAACUCGUCACCGUACCCAUGUUCGGCAAAGUACUUAUCAUCGUUGGUAAAUGUACCAUCGUCGUUGUCAUCGUCGUCCGGAUCCUGUGCCAUAUGCAUGUCCAGAUCCUGUGCCAUAGGGAUGUCUGGCAUGCCCGGUAGCGUUGCGGCGUUCUUGCCAUGGCGCGGCGCUAGCACGACUAGCGGUCUUGUCUGUGGGGUGGUGUCCCCCGCCCCCAAACGAAUCUGGCUCUUCGGCCAAAGCAAGGGCCAGCUUAGGCAGGUGCUGAUGGUCAUCAGAUCUUCUUCAUCGGCCCCGGCGGGUUGAAUCAGAGGUAACAACUCGUCGCAGCCUGGCAGCACCCGAACCAGUUGAAUCCUAUACACGGUGGGUGGCAUCGGUUUACCGUGGAACACGGGGUUGCCCGGUUGAACGAUUUUGCCCUUGGCGACAUCGACCAACUCGUCAUUCACGAAGUGCAGGAGAGUGCACGGAACGUCGGCGGUGCCCUGCGAAAACAUGUAGGGCGUCAGGGAUGCCCAGUCAAAGGCAAAAGGAGAUGAAGUCCUCGACCGAGAGGCUUAAUUAGUUACCGUGAUGAUGGCGUCGAGCUCGGCUAAUGUCGAGGCACCGCCAACGGCGGGCGUGCAAAUGACGGAGGGGCCACUUGCUGGCAAGGUGCCGGCCGGCGUAAACCCGGGUGUAUUAAGCUCCAAUGCCCGUGCCGGCGCCAGAGACACCAAUACCGCCGCCGCCGAUGACACCAAUGGCGCCGCCGGAGACACUAAUGGCGCCGCUUGCGUGUUGUGCGAGUUGCUGGCUGUGAAGCUGGGAAUCGGGGGCGGCCCCUGUUGGCCACCCGCAAUCCACGUUGUCAGCCCAUGAAUCAAGGUAGGCAUAAUGCCGGUGAGCGUCGUUCCCAGUUGUUGUUGCACUUGCUCUUGGAUAAUCUCCGGAAUCCGCACCACUUGUGCCUUGAGUUCUUCAACCUCGCGCGACUGGCUUUCUGGGCUGGUCUUUUUCUCCUUUCGCCCACCAGCAGUAUAGUAUGAGGACCAUUUUGUGAACAAGCCUUUGUCGGCCACACGACCAGCUGACGACGGCUUACUGAGCUUAUCCUUAUUUUUCAUUACGUUCAACGCCCUAUUUAGAGUGAUGUCCCAAGCAGGGGUGCUCUGAGACGACCCCGCGCUGCUGCUUUUAGUCUCCUUCGCCAGAACAAGCUCAAGCGUACUGGUCUUCGGAUCCGUGGUAAGAUCCUUUGUUAUCGGGUCCUCCUUGCAUCGGGCCCUGACAAAGUUCCUGGUCUGCAUGUCACUGCUGUAUUUCUUGAAGCGGGACGGUAGGCCUUGCUCGGCACGCUCCGCGUCCUCCUUGUCCCAUAUAGGUUCCACCACUCUAUAACCGCCGGGACCAAGUUUGUGUUCCCCUAAGUUCAACUCCCGCAUUUCUUUCCCCCACUGACUUGAUUCGGAGGUUUCACUGCUCUCGCACUUGAUCUUGAACUCCUUGUAGUCAUCUUCGCUGAUCGAAGGAUUUUCUGCCUUGAUCUUCUCAUAACUAUCACCUUUCUCAAUCAUUCUCUUCACCGCGUUUCUCCAAGUAGACAGGGUCGUGCUCAUGCUCGUGAGGGCGGCACUGUUCACUUUAUUCCAUGAGAGGCGUGUGUUUUCAAAUUUAGCGGGGAACUUGUAUCGUUCGUGCAGCUUCGUGAAGUGGAGGUUGCGCAAAUUCCCUCGGUCCUUAUGCCUAAGUUUCUCGGUGUUGAUCGAGACGGUGCUCCAGAGAAUGCACCCGAGAUGAACCGAGUACCCCUUGACUAUAUGUUUGGGCUCCGUUGAAUUCCCGUCAGAGUCCACUUGAGUAAGUUCCUCCUUGACGGUGCGGAGCUCAUUCGGGCAUCGGUUCUUCCGUUGCUUCUUCGGUUGGCUGCCAUCUAUGCGUGCGCAGCCAUCAUCAGUGGUGGCAUCCUCGGUGGCACCAUCAUUGGUGUCAUCCCCGAUGCCACUAGGGGUUGUGUAGUCAGGAUCGGUGUCUUCCGCGGUGUCCUCAUAGCGGUGAUAGGAUCGGUGUCAAGAUCCCAUGUUUCGUUCUAAGUAGGAAAAAAGUUUGGUCAAAAAGUUGGUUAUUGUCAAGGAACAAGAUCAUGGUCUGAUCAUUUAGGGUUUGUCGACACUGAGGCAUCCUAAAAGCUAAGCUUUUAUCAUUUAGGUUUUGUCGACGCCGAGGCACCCUAAAAGCCUAAGCGUACAUCAUUUAGGUUCUCAUCGACACCGAGGCACCCUAUAGAAACCAAGGUUUCAUCAUUUAGGGUUUGUCGACGCCGAGUCACCCUAAAUGCUAAGUUAAGUUUUCAUCAUUUAGGGUUUAUCGAUGCCGAGGCACCCUAGGUUGGGCCUAAUCACUUGGCACUAAUCACUUGGCUCUAUUGCCACCUAUGUUGGGUUUAUCAUCUAGGGUUUAUCGAUGCUAAGGAGAAUUCUAAGUUGGGCCUAAUCACUUGGCUCUAUUGCCACCUAUGGUUUAAUGCAGCAAGAAUGGCGGGGCAGUUGAUCCUACUUAACUAAGUACUAAUAUACCCCGGCCCAUGCAUUAGUCGCAAGUACCCCAUAUGUCCUAUUUUUAGCAAAGUCAUGCUAAAAUUCACGGAAAAUUUCAGCAUGACCUUUGCUGAAAAUAGGACAUAUGGAGUACCCGAAUUUGCUGGAACGAAAGUUAAUCGACAUUCCGGCAAACUCAAGGGCCUCUCGAGGUACCUGCAAAUUCAUCACAACACAAUGGUCGGAGAUAAAACCCAGCAACUUUACAAGUCUUUCACAGAUUUGUUUGCAAGUUCUGAUAUGUAAUAAAGAUGAGCCUCCAAUGCUGAUUUGUUUGCCUCAAGACAAGAUGAACCUCCAAUGCAACAAGUAAUAAAAUGUUCAACAAUGUAUCAGAUUCGGCAACAGUUUAACAUCUACUCCAGUAAUUAUACAACACCAUGACCAACAUUUCUCCUCUCCAGAAAUUAGAAACAAAAUAAAGGAACAUUACAUAGUAGCCAUCAAAUUAAAAUAACAUAUACAGUACAUACAGGUAGGUAAUACUAAAGUGUGUUCAUAUUAGCUAGUGACCAUUAUAUUGCUUUAGGUUAGGGCCCUUACAUUAUUCUCUCUCUAUCCCUUUCUUUAGCUGCACUGCAUCACAAGGCAAAUAUGGUUCAAAAUAAAAUACUGCUCAAUAAGGACCUAGCAGAAUAGUAAAAUAAGCUUAAAAAAAGCAUACAACUUGACAUACAAACACAGACAGUUAUGCAAGUGCUAGAGGUAUGCAUAUAUNNNNNNNNNNNNNNNNNNNNNNNNNNNNNNNNNNNNNNNNNNNNNNNNNNNNNNNNNNNNNNNNNNNNNNNNNNNNNNNNNNNNNNNNNNNNNNNNNNNNNNNNNNNNNNNNNNNNNNNNNNNNNNNNNNNNNNNNNNNNNNNNNNNNNNNNNNNNNNNNNNNNNNNNNNNNNNNNNNNNNNNNNNNNNNNNNNNNNNNNNNNNNNNNNNNNNNNNNNNNNNNNNNNNNNNNNNNNNNNNNNNNNNNNNNNNNNNNNNNNNNNNNNNNNNNNNNNNNNNNNNNNNNNNNNNNNNNNNNNNNNNNNNNNNNNNNUGUGAACUUGAUCCUGAACUAGAGGUACACAUGUUUGCAUACUCAUCUCUGCAAUUAGUCGUGCUUAUUUGCAUUGUGCUAUAUAUGAAUCCACACUGACUCGAGCCUGAAUCAAUCAAUCAAUGCUGCUCACAAAUACUCCCACACUCCUAUAAUAGUACUAAUAUAAGAGCAUUUAUAUUAUUGGAAUGAAGGGAUAAUUUUUUUUCUUUCAAGAAAACACAAACCCUAACAACACAUUACGAGCACCUUCAAGAGAUUGAACCAACCCAACAUCCACAAACACCUCCUACUCAACACACAGACACAGACCAAGGAAGAAACAUAACCAUUCUUCUUUUUUCUUUCUUUGUUGUUAAUAAUAAAAGAAACUACAAGAGCAAGGAAGGAACAAGUCUUCUUUUGUACUGCCACACAAGAAACCCUCUUUCUUUCUUUCUUCCCUUCUUGUUAAUUUAAUUUUACUGCACCAUCUACUAACCUCCUCCAACUUUACUACCACUACAUCCCUCUCAAGGACAUCUAUGUACUGCUUAUAAAGCAUCACAUGCUGAUGCUAUGUUUCAUUUGCCCCAUCUCCCAUCUCUGCUCUUAUUUUAAGUAAAUGCCCAGAUGCCUUACAUUUAUCUCUGCGGGACUUUUUCUUUUCUAAUGAUAUCAUCUAUACAUGUUACUUAGUUACUAAACCUAUGUAACUUAGGAUCAAAUUGAUAAAUUGCUAGAAGUAUCCGCAUAUUUUCGUGGAGAUCAUAUGGGGGAGGAUCAGACAAUGUGGCAACAGACAGCAAGGUGUGUUCUUUCAAAGAAUCUUUGCAUCGAGUCAAUGAACAUCAUAUUUGAAGUGCAGUUUAACUUAGUCACUUAAAACUAUCUGAUCCACAACUAACAACCAAAGUCAUGUUCAGUUAUAGUGCUUAAAUAUGAUUUUGGUGUGUGUGAAAACAAUACAGUAUUAUAUUUGUACUGAAUGCAUGAGUAUGAUGUAUCACACAUCUACAUGUGUAGGCUUUUUCAGUUUUUUUCUAGAUGGAAACCAGAAGCAUCACUGUCCUUGACUAGAAUCACCAUGGCCAGAUUAAAGACUGCAAGCUGGCAAGUUCUUCCUUUCGAUUUCUCAAUCUUAGCUAGCGGAGGAGGAAGAGAGGUAGAGAGAGGAGGGUUACCUGGCGGCGGUGGGCCGUUGAAGACCUGACGGCGAGGUUCGUCCUCUCGGUGGCGGCGGGGCUCCUCCCCUCGGUGGCGGCGGUGGCCUCUUCCCCUCGGUGGCGGCGGGUGUGCUCCUCCUCUCCUUAUGGAGGCGGGGCGUUGAUCUGGCGGCGGCCCUGGAACCCUAGCACUGGCCCUGCUCGUCGGAGCGGGCGCGACGGUCGUUGGAGCGGGGGAGGCGGCGGGGGUGCGGGGGCGCGGGGGCAGCGGCAGCGGGGGUGGAGUCCUGCGGGGGUCGGGGCAGCGGCGUUGGGGCAGCGCAAGACCACAGCGGCGGCGGCGGCGCCGACGGCGUGCAUGCGCGGCGGUACCGUGCAUUGCCCUUUCUCACCUCGAGAGUUGGUGCAAACUUCACCGGUGCAUCCAAACCCCGUGAUAUGAUACGCUCUAUCACACAUAAGCCUCAUUAUAUAUUCCUCAAAAUAGCCACUAUACCUACCUAUCAUGGCAUUUCCAUAGCCAUUCCGAGAUAUAUUGCCAUGCAACUUCCAUCAUCAUCACAUACAUGACUUGAGCAUUUAUUGUCAUAUUACUUUGCACGAUCGUAAGAUAGCUAGCAUGAUAUUUUUAUGGCUUGUCCGUUUUUUGAUGUCAUUGCUACGCUAGAUCAUUGCACAUCCCAGUACACCCAAAAAGGGGGCCAAAGAAGCACACCCAAAAAGAAAAAAAAGAAAAAAGAAAAAUAAAAGGGGCAAUGUUACUAUCCUUUUACCACACUUGUGCUUCAGAGUAGCACCAUGUUCUUCAUAUAGAGAGUCUCAUAUGUUGUGACUUCCAUUUACUAGGGGGAAUUUUCAUUAUAGAACUUGGCUUGUAUAUUCCAAUGAUGGGCUUCCUCAAAUGCCAUAGGUCUUCAUGAGCAAGCAAGUUGGAUGCACACCCACUUAGCUUUCAGUUUGAGCUUUCAUACACUUAUAGCUCCUAGUGCAUCCGUUGCAUGGCAAUCCCUACUCCUCGCAUUGACAUCAAUUGAUGGGCAUCUCCAUAGCCCGUUGACUAUCCGCGUCGAUGUGAGACUUUCUCCCCUUUUGUCUUCUCCAUAUAAACCUCCACCAUUAUAUUCUAUUACACCUAUAGUGCUAUAUCCAUGGCAUGCGCUCAUGUAUUGAGCGAGGGUUGAAAAAGUUGAAGCGCGUUAAAAAGUAUGAACCAAUUGCUUGGCUUUUCAUCGGGGUUGUGCAUGAUGGGAGCAUUUUGUGUGACGAAAAUGAAGCAUGGCCAAACUAUAUGAUUUUGUAGGGAUAAGCUUGCUUUGGCCUUGUUGUUUUGAAAAGACAUGAUUGCUUUAUUAGUACGCUCGAAGCAUUAUUGUUUUUUAUGUCAAAUGAUAGACUAUUGCUUUGAAUCACUCGUAUCUUAAUAUUCAUGCCAUGAUUAGACAUAUGAUCAAGAUUAUGCUAGGUAGCAUUCCACAUCAAAAAUUAUCUUUUUUAUCAUUUACCUACUCGAGGACGAGCAGGAAUUAAGCUUGGGGAUCUUUAUACGUCUCCGUCGUAUCUAUAAUUUUUGAUUGUUCCAUGCUAAUAUUCUUGAACUUUCAUAUACUUUUGGCAACUUUUUAUACUAUUUUUGGGACUAACAUAUUGAUCCAGUGCCCAGUGCCAGUUCCUGUUUGUUGCAUGUUUUAUGUUUCACAUAAAACCAAUAUCAAAUGGAGUCCAAACGGGAUAAAAAAGGACGGAGAAUUAUUUUGGAAUAUUUGGGAUUUUCCGGAGGAAGAAUCAACACGAAACAGUGUCCGAGGUGGCCAGGAUAUAGGGGGCGCGCCCUCCCCCUUGGGUGCGCCUGGCACUCUCUUGGGCCACCCGUAAGGCGGUUGACGCUCUUCUUUUGCUGCAAGAAAGCUAAUUUUAUGAGAAAAAUCUGGCCGAAAGAUUCACCCCAAUCGGAGUUACGGAUCUUAAGAUAUAAAAGAAACGGUGAAGGGGCAGAAUCUGAGAACGCAGAAAUAGAGAGAUAGAUCCAAUCUCGGAGGGGCUCUCGCCCCUCCCAAGCCAUGGGAUCCAAGGACCAGAGGGGAAACCCUUCUCCCAUCUAGGGAGGAGGUCAAGGAAGAAGAAGAAGAAGGGGGGCUCUCUCCCCCUUGCUUCCGGUGGCGCUGGAACGCCCCAGGGGCCAUCAUCAUCACCGCGAUCUUCACCAACGCCUCCGCCAUCUUCAUCGACAUCUCCAUCACCUUCCCCCAUCUAUAUUCAGCGGUCCACACUCCCGCAACCCACUGUACGCUCUACUUGAACAUGGUGCUUUAUGCUUCAUAUUAUUAUCCAAUGAUGUGUUGCCAUCCUAUGAUGUCUAAGUAGAUUUCCAUUGUCCUAUCGGUGAUUGAUGAAUUGCUAUGAUUGGUUUGAGUUGCAUGCUUUAUUAUUGGUGUUGUUCUAUGGAGCUCUCUGUGUCGCGCAAGCGUGAGGGAUCCCUUCUGUAGGGUUUGCAAUAUGUUCAUGAUUUGCUUAUGGUGGAUGGCGUGAGUGACAGAAGCACAGACCCGAGUAAGUAGGUUGUUUGCAUAUGGGAUAAAGGGGACUUGAUACUUUAAUGCUAUGGUUGGGUUUUACCUUAAUGAUCUUUAGUAGUUGCGGAUGCUUGCUAGAGUUCCAAUCAUAAGUGCAUAUGAUCCAAGUAGAUAAAGUAUGUUAUCUUAUGCCUCUCCCUCAAAUAGAAUUGCAAUAGUGAUUACCGGUCUAGUAACAUAGUCAAAUGCUUUGGGACAAUUCCACAACUCCUACCACCACUUUUCCACAAUCGCUAUAUUUACUUUAUUGCUUCUUUAUCUAAACAUCCCCUAAUUUUUAUUUAUGUGUUCUUUAUUAUCUUGCAAACAUAUCCCAACAACACCUACAAAGUACUUCUAGUUUCAUACUUGUUCUAGGUAAAGCGAACACUAAGCAUGCGUAGAGUCGUAUCAGUGGCAGAUAGGGCUUGAGAGAGUAUUUAUUCUACCUUUAUCCCCUCGUUGGGUUCGACACUCUUACUUAUCGAAAGAGGCUACAAUUAUCCCGUAUACUUGCGGAUCAUCACCUAGCGGUGUGAAAUAAAUGGGAAACUUGUAAGUUCAUGGAGUUUGUAUAUGAGUUAGAGAAACGCCUGGGCGGCCAACCCGAGCCAUGCAUAAUUCAUGGUGGAAAUUUACAACAUAACCAUAGUGAGCAUUCUAUGGAGCAUCUUCAAUAAAAAAAACUAUGCCCAUGGUAAUAAAAGGAUUGCUGAGAUGCUCAUUGUCUGUUGCCUUGUCAUUUUGGUAUGGGAUAGCUCUUGUGUCAUGGGGCAAGGGGUACACCGUUGGCGGUUCUCUAUGAUGCAUGUACACUUACAAUGACAAGAACUUAUUUGGGACCUAAGUUGAGUAGCAUGAGGUUUAGGUACUCGUAUUCAAGGGGCAUGAGGCUUUCAAUUUGUGAUUUGUCAAGCAUACAACUCAUAUUUGCCCUCACUUUAACCUUAACCAUUCAAGAUGCGUAUGAUAGGGGCAAUGAGAGCUGAAAUCUAAUGAGGACCAUAACUUUUGGAAGCUUUAUCAAACUUAUUAAUCCCUACUUACCUCUACGAAGGGCCUUUCUUUUACUUUUUUGUUGAGUCUUCAUCUUCUAUCUUUAUGCACCAACUAAGAUAGCAUAGUUGUCAUUCUGAGUAUAAUGUGCAUUGUCCCAAAACUUGUUGAUUGAUUCAUGAUUAUGGUAUUGCUUAUUCUCAAAUUAUUUGUAUCUAGUCACCCUUUUGAACUUUGAAGGUGUCCUAUGCAUUUAUGUUUUGCUACUCCAAGAAGGACAAGCUGAAUACCACUUUGCUAUGUUUUCUCUAUGUGCGAAACAAACAAAUGUCUUUCAAAGCAUUAUUCAUGAUCUUUUGUUUAUGUUACCUUGCAUGUUGUAAUAUAGUUGCUAUGUUCUAUUGUUAGAAAUAUAUCUUUCAUACCUAUGUUUAGAGUACUUUGAUCCCAUCUUACAAUGUUUUACAAUGAUGAUGAUCAAGAUUGUAUUGGCUGCAUGUCACCUCAAAAAUUAUUUUUGUUAUCACUCCCCUACUCGAGGACGAGCAGGAGUUAAGCUUGGGGAUGAUGAUAUGUUGCAAACGUAUCUAUAAUUUUUGAUGCUCCAUGCUUGUUAUACACCAAUUACUUUAUGUUUUGUUUACACUUUGUGGCAUUUUUAUGUAUUUUCUGGAACUAGCCUAUUGAUAAGAUGCCACAAUGCCAGUUCCCUGUUUUCUGCUGUUUUUGUGUUUUGGAGAAAUUUAUUCUCGGAAUUGGACGAAACAAACGCCAAAGUUCCUAUUUUUCUCGACACGACACGGAGUCCAAAGCAGAGACGGAUGAGCGCACUGAGGUGACCACACCAUAGCCAGGCGUGGGCCCACCUCUGGCUGCACGGCCCUAGGGUGUGGGCCCCUCGGGCGUCCACCGACAUUGCCCUUCCACCUAUAUAAUGCCCCCGAGGUGAAAACUCUAAAUAAUGAAGCCUCCGUCCAUGACAAAUUCCGCAGCGCCGCCACCAUCAAAGACGAGAUUCAGGGGAUAGAAGUCUCUAUUUCGGCACCCUACCGGGAUGGGGAAUUGCCCCCGGAGCCAUCUCCAUCGACUCCACCGCCAUCUUCAUCGCCAUUGCUAACGCCUAUGAUGAUGAGGGAGUAGUUCUCCUCCGAGGCUGAGGGCUUUACCGGUCGCUAUGUGGUUUAUCUCUCUCUCCCAAGGUGUGAUCUUUAUGUGAUCAUGAGCUUUGUAAUCUGGUUGAUUUAGUAGAUGUUACUCUCAUCUAUUAUGCUACUCAAGUGCUUUUAUUAAUGUGAUCUCCGGAGACACCUUGUCCCAUGGUGUGAAGGUGACAGUGUGCGCACCGUGUGUGGCUCUUAGGCUAAAGAUUACAGAAAUACUUAUCAUGAGUUAUAAUUUGAGUUGGAUGUCUCUAUGAAAUUGUGGUGUUUGUUUGGAACCAUCUAGCGCUCAAGGUGACAGUGUGGAGUUACCUAGAUGGGGAAUGCGAACUUUAAGUUGUGCUUUUAUAGCCCUACGUGGUGAAUUGGUGUUCGUUAUCCAACCGGAGAGUAGUUCAGAGUAGCAUAGUGAUGAGAAGAUGUUUAUGUGUUCAAUUAUGAUAUCAUUGUUGAGAGUGUCCACUAGUAAAAGUAUGAUCCCUACGUUUUGUUUCAAAGCAUUGAAACAUCGUUUACAACCAGUUCUGCUACAUGUUUGCUUGCGGGCAUUUUUAUUUCAGAUUGCAAUUACCACUUGUAAUCAUCCAUAUUACUUGUAUUUCACUAUCUCUUCACCGAACUAGUGCACCUAUACACCUGACAAGUGUAUUGGGUGUGUUGGGGACACAAGAGACUUCUUGUAUCUUAAUUGCAGGGUUGCUUGAGAGGGAUAUCUUUGACCUCUUCCUCACUGAGUUCGAUAAACCUUGGGUGAUUCACUUAAGGGAAACUUGCUACUGUUCUACAAACCUGUACACUUGGAGGCCCAACACUGUCUAUAAGAAUAGAAGCGUGCGUAGACAUCAAGCUUUUUCUGGCGCCGUUGCCGGGAGGUAAGGUAAAAGGUACUCACAUCCUCUGGCUACUAAGCUAUCUUCUAGUACUGUUGCUGGUGUGUGAGUGCUCAAAGUUAUUUCCUUUAUAUUCUGCAAUUAUAUCUUUUUGUUUCUUGUUUUUAUUUUCACUAGUUAGGCUUAAGGGAAAACAACAACAAAAUUAGAGAGCUUUAUAGUAUUUUUCCUGGGUUAGGACAUGAAGUGUUUGAAGAGAAAAUUAAAAAACCUAUGGAACUUUAUUUGCAUGCUAAUAGAAAUGUUAUUAGUAUGAACUAUUUGAACACCAUUAUUGCUAAUGCUAUGGAAAAGUCUAAGCUUGGGGAAGCUGUUUUUUAUGAAAAUGGUCCUUUAGUUCCCCAGCUUUAGAGGAGAAAUUUUUAAUGAAAAUGGUCUUUUUAUGAAAUGGUCUUUUUAGCUACCCAGCUUUAGAGGAGAAAUUGAACGAUUUUAGAUUCCAAACGAUUUUUAAAUUUGAAGAUUUUCAAAUUUGAACAAUUUUCAAAAUUUGAAACAUUUUCAUAAUCUGAACGUUUUCAACAAUCUGAACAUUUUUAAAAUUCAAACAUCUUUAGAAUCUAAACAGAAAAAGCAGGAAAAAAGGACCAGAUCCGAUGUAGCCGCCAAAAUCCUCCUCCUCUCGGGCAGAGCUGUUCUCCCUUGCCUGCUGCCUUUGACUCUGCACUCCAUCUUCCUUGGUAUUGAUAUUACUCCCCUUCUCACCCGAUCCCUCCAGUACUUCUGAUAUGUUCUUCUCCAUCUUCCCAAACCCUAAUUCCGCCGCCCUCUCAUCCCCCUUCCCCCCGAUCUCCUUGUGAGUUGGAUCCGCCAUGCACGAAGAUGCACGUGACGGGUAGUGGUAGAUCCCACCGGCGGCCAGAAAGAUCCGGCAAUUGGUGAGAUUUUACGUGGACGCUAGCAUGAAUGCUAGAGGAAAGUUGGAACCCUAGCGGCAGAGCCAGGGGGAGACACGAGAAUUCCUAUGGUCCACCCAACGCGUGCACUAAAAGAGCAUGCUCACGCGGGCACUCUUGGUGGCCCGGUCCAUAAGCGGGAAGACUUUUUUUCAGUUUUUCUUAAUUUCUUUUUCUUCUUUUUAUUUUGUGCUUCUCUUUUCUUCUUUUUUAAAUUUUGGUUUCCCUUUUUCUCGUUUCUGUUGCUUUUUUAUUUUUCAAAGUUUGCAUUUUUUUCAAUUUUGUUUUUUUGAUUUGAAUAUUUUUUAACUUGAACUUUUCCAAAGUGGGACGUUUUUUAAUAUGAACAAAUUUAAACAUUUCUCAAAAUUGAACAACUUUCCAAUUGGAACAAAUUUUAAGUUUUAACAAAUUUCAAAUUUGAACAUUUUCUAUUUUUAAACUUUUUCGAAUUUGAACUUUUUUUAGAUCUCGUAUUUUUUUAAUAUUUUAUGAAUUACAAAAACAAUAAAACAAAAAAAUCAAAUGACUGGAAAAAGAAAUUAAAUUUAUAAAUUUUUAUUUGGCCGCGUUCGAGGCGGCCCAUCAGGAGGCUCUGCGUGCAUGGUGGUUUAGGCCACGUUUGAGCGGCACAUAGGGUUUGCCCCAUCGAUCAUGAGCGAUGAGGAGCCAGCCAGCGACCACGUUGGAUCUUAUUUUUAAAUAAGAAUUUUUCUAAAUUACAAAUAAAUUUGAUAAUCUAAACACCAUUCAAAUUCGAAACAUUUUGAAAAAUCUAAAUACUAUUUUUCCUUUGCUUUUUUCCAGUGUUUUCAAAAUCAGAACAGUUUUAAAAUUUGAAUGAUUUAAAAUUGAACAAGUUUAAAAUUUGAACAAAUUUCUAUAUUCAUAUUGUUAAUAAUCUGAAAAUUUAUGAAAUCUGGAUAAUUUGAGAAACUCUAAAAUUGAACGAUUUUAAAUUCUGAACGAUUUUUAAAUUUGAACCAUUUUCAAAUUUGAACGAUUUUCAUAUUUGAACAAUUUUCACAAUUUGAAACAUUUUCAUAAUCUGAACGUUUUCAACAAUCUGAACAUUUUUUAAAUUUGAACGUCUUUAGAAUCUAAACAGAAAAAGCAGGAAAAAGGAAAAAUAAAAGAAACAUAGCGAAAACCAAUCGAAAAACCGCAGCAAAAAAGUGAAAGAACCGUGCAGAGAAACCCGAAAAAACCAGCCCCGGAUUUUCUGUUGAUUUACCUAUAUGGGUUGGCCAAAUAGCGCAAGGUUGCCUGUCGCAGCUAUAUAUCACAACGAGCGAUGUAUAAGGAUCGCUGAUACUACCGUAGCGAAUCGAGCAUAUCAUCACUAUCGAGACGUUGACGCUCCAAAAAAUACAUUUUAUUUCCAUCAUUGCCUUUUAAUGUUGUUUCUACCUAGUACAGAAGAUAUCUUUUUUUAUAGACAAUACCAUGAUAUAUUAUAGUAGGAAACAGUAUAUGGUACACAUACAUAAGCUGUCUCCAGCGAUUAUAAAAUAAGCAAGCUCACAUCAACAAACAAGAUAACUCUUUUAUACGUGAUAAGCAACCUCAAACCAAUAAACACUACAUCUAUUUCAUUCAGUACAACGGCGUAAGAUCUUUUAUUCUUAACAGGUUUUACGAAUUUAGUGCUCAUAUGCAGGAGUAAUUAUUCCUGGGAGCCAAAACACAAUGUCAUGCAACCUCCACAAUGCAUGAAAUUUCUAUCUUCUUGUGGUGACGUAAUUUACUCCACCCAAGAUUCUUAUUAACAAUCGAUACCACAUAUAUUUAAAAUAGUUCAUGGUCACUACAGGAAACGGGCGAUAGGCCGACGGCCCGACGCUGUCGGCAUAGGCCAAAUAACCCUCGGAACAGGCUAUAGCCGGGAGCGGCCCUGGGCGUAUCACCCUUGGGUCCUUCAGGUAUCUGCGUACAGGUAUUUGUCAUCGGCGUAGAGGAUGCCCUCGAUGUAGACUUGGCGGGCCCAUCGCUAACAGAUGACGGCCGUUAGACGUCGAACAUGCUACACCGACGGCUUUGCCCUCGGGCUAGAUUUUCGAUUUUGUUUCCAACUUUUUUUCCAAAAAAAAUUCAAUUUUUUUCAGACUUGUUAAUUUCACAACGGACAUUUUUAACUCUCAACACGUUUAAUGUAAAAUCAAAUUGCACUUGUGGUCAAACUUCCCGCUCGACCACCCAUCCUCACACUACUCCAACCCCAGCACGCUUAACUUCUCCGUUCCUUCCGGAUGAGCUAUCAAGAAAGAAAUCAUAUCUUAGUGAUAAUAGUACUAUAUCAAUCAUAUUAACUCUUGGACUAUGGUGUCACACCUUUUUAUUUUUGAAUUCCAUACAAAUAUUUAAAUACACAACAAUUAAUAAGUAAUAAUAAUAAUAAUUUUCAAUUCAAAUAAAAUAAAUAAUUAAUAUUUUUUCUUUUUUCUAUUUAAUAUGGAAUAUUUAAUAUCUUUAAAUCCUUAAAUCUGAAUUUGACAAAUAAUAUGUCUAAACCUAUCAAAAAAUGAGGAGAAUCCAAAUAUAACAUCCAUAUCGUCUUGUGAACCUAAAAAAUUGAUAUUUCCAAAAAGAAUCAUGGGCAUUAGAUCAUGUAUGUGUAGUUCAAAUUGACCAUAGUUCAAAUCGAGCAUUACGUACAUGUAUUUUUUUAAAUAUAUGUACACCAUGUAUAUCGACUUGAAUCGUUAGUAUGUGACAUAAGAAGAUUAUGUGGGCAGGUUUUUCAUAUUUUUCCUAUUUUUUGAAUUUUUUAUGCUCAUUUCAAAUUUUUUUGAAAUGUGUAAUAUUUAAGUGUAUAUAGAGAGAUCUUAUUCUUCUGCAAAUUUGAUAUAUUAUUUGUAUUUAUCUGAAUUAUAAUGAUUCAGUUAUGAUUUUUCUAAAAUUAAUAUGAUAAAAUGGAAAAUAGUUAUGCCGACGGUGUAGCUUCAAAACCAAUGCCGAGGGCUUUGCCCUCGGCGUAGACCCUCCGCCGUGACGCGGUCGUAACACUGUUAGCCUGGGCUGGCCUACACCGAGGCUGGCAUAUACCCUGAGGGCAGCUGUUGGCCCAGACAUGGGUUCACCGAGGGCCGAUCCUACGCCAAGGGCCGAGCGGGCGGGCGGGCAGGAUUGCUAGCCCUCUACGCCGACGGCCCUGAUGUUUUGCCGUCGGCAUAGAGGCUGGCCGUCGGCUCCAGACAUCAGUCCUAUAGUGGGUGAAGAUACACAAGCUGUUUUCAGCGAUUAUAAAAUAAAGUACAUAUAAGAAAAUGAGCAAAUCGCCGAGGUCUUUAAACUCUUAUUUUGCAUCACAGGCAGCCAAAUUGACAUGACAUAAAUACCAAACGAUAGGCUCGUAAAUACCGACGAUGGUUCUCCCAUAUUUUUAAAUCUGAGCCGCAAUGCCAAGGCUACGUGCAUGCGCGCAACCAUUAAACUAAUCACCCGACAUCAGCGAGAGCAACAACACCAGUAUUCCAGGGAAAAAGAUACCGAACAGCCUGGUCGACAUCGCUAGAGAGCCGGAAGUACGAAUCACCAUUGUCGAUGGUGUAGCAUCCGGAUAAAUAUUACGAGGACUAGUUGAAUGCCUGUGUGUUGCAACGGCCUCUAAAAUAUUUUAUUUCUGCACAUGUAAGCAUAAUACAUCUUAAUAUUUUGUCGCAUAUAGAAAGAUAGAGAAAUAUAUUAUUCAAGAAACUAUAGAAUUAUACAUUUUGAUAUGAUUGGACAAAAAGUUAUAGUUUGAUUUCUAUGCAUAGUAAUAGAAAACCCAUCUACUCAUCUUAUUCUUAGUUAGGUGUGUUAAACUGUAUAGUUAUCAGAUACAGUUAGUAUCUAGGAUUGUAGUUAUCUUGUAUAACAACCUGUACUUAUCCUCCUGUAAACCCUAGCGGCAGCCCUAGAGGCGCCCUAUAUAAUGAUCCUGAGACCACCGCAUUAGGUGUGUUGAUCCAAUCUCUUCUCUCUUUGUUUCACAAGGUAUCAGGCCAUCUCGCAUAACUGCUCGAUGGGUUCUCCUUCCUCCGGCGCCAUGACUUCCUCGACCCUGGCUUCUCUGCCCAUGCCCUCUGGGCUCUCAGCGCCGACAUCUUCCGCUGUUCCCCAACCCUUUGCUAGCCUCAUUAUCGCCAAGCUUACCUCCUCCAACUUCCUCCUCUGGAAAGCACAGAUCCUUCCUCCCCUUCGCAUCACCGGUGUCACUUGGCUAUGUCGACGGCACCGUCCCUACUCCUCCUCGCAUCCUCCCAGCUGAUGACAAGGGGGGCGCGCUCCUAACCCGGAGUAUGCUGCCUGGUCCCGUCAGGAUCAGAUCAUCCUGAGCUAUCUUCUUGCUCACUCACCGAUGAUGUGCUUCAGCAGGUCCAUCUCUUCGACACCGCCCGCGCCAUCUGGGUGCACCUCGAGGAGAUGUAUGUUACCCACUGUCGUGCCAGUGUGGUGCAGAUCAAGAUGGACAUGAUGAACUUCCGCAAGGGCAACCUCUCCAUGGUGGACUACUUCGCCAAGAUCCUCUCCAAUGCAGAUCAACUCUUCGCCGUUGGCCGUCCCAUGUGCUAGGAGGACAUCAUCACCGCCUUCAUCACCGGGCUCGACAGUGAGUACGGGCCCCUCAUCACUGCCAUCUCCUUCGAACGCCGCCGCGAGUACCACGCGGCUCGUCUUCAACUUCAUACGGGCGGAUCCUCUGUCAAGUAUGUCGCCCGCGACAACAACUGCAACACCAACAACCGUGGCAAGGGCAACUACCGCGACAAGGGUCGCGGCAACUCUGGUGACCGUGGUGACUACAACAACAACAACAACAACCGCAGCGGGUACCGUGGUGACUGUGGUGGUGGUGGCAAUCGUCGGAACGGUAACCGUGGUGGUGACCGCGGUGACCAUGGCGGUGGCGGGGAUGCACGUCUGCAGUGCCAGCUCUGUCAAGGCCCUGGGCACUAUGCAUGGGAGUGCUCUUAGCGCUAGAACCACACCUUCCAACCUCAACACUCCAAGAUGGCGGGUCUCGCUGCCGCUUCACCAGCAUCCAUCCUCGGCGACCCUAACUGGUCCACUGACACGGGGGCUACUGAUCAUAUCACGUCGCAUCUGGACCGUCUCAUUGUGAGGGAAAAGUACCCUGGACGGGACCACAUCCACACUGUCGACGGAUCAGGUUUGCACAUAGCUCAUCGUGGUCAUGCCCUUCUUCCUACACCGUCUGUCAAUCUUAAACUUCGCAACCUAUUACAUGUUCCCAAUGCCGACAAGAACCUUCUUUCUGUUAGUCGUCUUGCCGUUGACAAACAUGCUUAUCUAAAAUAUUAUCCUACUCAUUUUCUUAUGAAGGAUUUGACAACCAAGAAGGUUCUUCUUCACGGCAGAUGUGAAAAUGGGCUCUAUCCCAUUCGGCCUUCACGUUCUCAUGUCUUGUCUUCAGUUAGGCUCUCUGCUGAAGAUUGACAUGCUAGACUCGGCCACCCGUCCACACAAGUUGUUCAGCAUGUUUUGGCGUCCAAUAAAUUAGCAUCAUCGAGUCGGGCUUUGACCCAUGUGUGUAAUGCUUGUCAACAUGGCAAAGCACAUCAGCUGCCUUUUCCUAUAUCUUCGAAUGUUUCCUCGUUUUUGUUGGAACUUAUUUUCUCAGAUGUGUGGGGAGCUGCCAAAACCUCCUCUGGUGGGUUCCAACACUAUGUUUCAUUUAUUGAUGAUUAUAGUAAAUUUGUGUGGAUUUAUCUUCUCAAACGAACAUGUGAUGUGUUUGAUGUCUUUCGUGAUUUUCUUGCCCAUGUUGAACGCCUCCUAUCUCCUAAAAUCCUGUGUGUUUAAUCAGACUGGGUGGGGAAUACGAAAAACUUAGCAACACAUUUUUUUCGGCAACUUGGCAUUGCUCACCACGUCUCUUGUCCACACACACACCAACAGAAUGGCUUGGCCGAAAGGAAGCACCGUCACAUUGUUGACAUGGGUCUCUCCUUAUUAUAGCAUGCGUCUAUGCCCCUCCGUUUUAGGGACGAGGCGUACUUGUCCGCAUGCUACCUUAUCAACCGACUACCUAGCCGCGUCAAUAUGAGUCCCAUGGAAAAACUGUUUUCAACCAAGCCUGACUACGUAUCUCUUCGCAUGUUCUGGAGUGCAUGUUGGCCUAACUUGCGCUAGUAUAACACUCAGAAACUUGCGUUUAGAUCACAAUAGUGUGUGUUUGUCGGGUACAUCAUUCGUCACAAAGGAUAUAAAUGUCUUCACAUACCUACCGCUCGUAUAUAUAUAUAUCACGAGAUGUUAUCUUUGAUGAACAUUUUUUUCCUUUUACCAAUGACCAACCCUCUCCAAUACCACCUCGCGUUGCUGAACAUGCAAUCUUUUUAUUUCCACAUGACCACAUGAACUAUGGCGCAUCUGUUUCUCGAACUAAUCUGGAUGCAGGUACCGAUUUGGUGCAGAAAAUCCCAUCUCCGGACUCCCAGGCAGAUCAUGUCUCUCAAUCCGCCGCCGCAUCAUCCUAGGAUCACGCGCCGCCUGGAGACAGCGACGUGGAGGCAGCUGACCACGUGACGAUAGGUGACAGCGCGCCAGGUGACCGCGCUGGGCCCGGGUCUCCGCCACCCACCAAUCCCGUGUCCCCUGAGGGCGAGCGGACCGGGGCGUCUCCCGCGUCGGCUCCUGCAUGUGCGCGUCCGACCCACGUUGUGGUGGGGCCCACCCUUGCUCGGGCCGCUGUGUCUCCCGAUUCGCCCCAGGCUGUUGUCUACCUGGCGCCCGUAGAGCGGGCCGUUGCUGGUGUCGGCGCUGGAUCCCAGAUGGAUCUGGCGGCCGCGUCGUCUUCCUCGCCCGACACCGGAUCCAGGGGGAUUCGCUCGCGUGCUUGUCUGCAUGCGUCCCGCCCGUAUCCUCUAUGGCCACCGGAUCUUCUGCUCCGCCUAUGCAUGCAAUGACGACGCGCACACAUGAUCACACUCACAAACCGCUGUAGCACACUGAUGGUACUGUCACGUAUGAUCCGUCCCGUCGUGCAUUCUUGGCCAUGCGGGAACCGUCUGAUCAUCGUGAAGCGGUCUCAUCUCCAGAGUGGCGUCUGGCGAUGCAACUUGAGCUCGAUACUCUCCGACAGAAUGGUACCUGGACUUUGGUACCUCCUCCUCCUUGUGUCAACGUCAUUGAUUGCAAAUGGGUGUUCAAGAUCAAACUCAAACUAGAUGGAACUGUUGAUCAUUACAAGGCACGUUUGGUCGCAAAGGGGUUCAAAUAACGCUAUGGCUUGGACUAUGACGAUAUGUUCAGUCCGGUCGUUAAACCUGUCACUGUGCGACUGGUUCUCUCUAUUACAGUUUCUCGUGGAUGGUGUUUGCGAGAGUUGGAUGUUCAAAAUGCUUUCCUUCAUGGCAUUCUCCAAGAAGAAGUAUACAUGCGCCAACCUCCUGGUUUUGUGAACCCCUCGGUGCCUCAUCAUUUGUGCAAACUUCGCAAGGCUCUCUAUGGGCUCAAAUAGGCUCCUCGAGCGUGGUAUUCUCGGCUGAGUUCUAGGCUCCAACAACUUGGUUUUAUAGCAUCCAAAGCUGACAGGUCCCUCUUUGUCUACAACUGGAGUGGUGUUACUAUUUUCAUGCUUGUGUAUGUAGACGACAUUAUUGUGGCCAGCUCCUCUCCUGCUGCUACUACCAAGUUACUUGCUGAUCUCCAAGCCUCCUUUGCACUCAAGGAUCUCGGUUAUCUGCAUUAUUUUCUUGGAGUUCAUGUGGAGUCAUCGCCAGGGGGAAUUGUUCUAUCUCAGCAGAAGUAUAUCAGCGAUAUUCUUCAUCGUGCGAACAUGGAGAAUUGCAAAGUCUCUACCAUGCUGAUGUCCUCAAGUGAGAAAAUUAGCAAGGAUAGUGGAACACCACUUUCUCAGGAUGAUAGCACCAAGUAUCGCAGCUUGGUUGGAGCUCUCCAGUAUCUGACACUCACGAGGCCAGACAUUUCUUUUGCAGUUAACCGUGUUUGUCAGUUCCUUCAUGCACCUACGACUGCACACUUUUCAGCUGCAAAGAGGAUUUUGAGAUACUUGAAGUAUACUCACAAUAUGGUAUUGUCUAUUCGAAAGUCACCCUCCAUGCUGUUAAGCUGUUUUUCAGAUGCAGACUGGGCUGGAUGUAGUGAUGAUCGCCGAUCCACAGGUGGCUUUGCAGUUUUUCUUGGACCUAACCUAAUCUAGGUCAAGAAUGGAGUCUGAAUAUAAGACACUUGCGAAUGGAACAGCUGAGGUCAUAUGGUCCUGUUUUGUGGUGUGACAAUCUAGGAGCCACUUAUUUAUCUGCGAAUCCGGUAUUCCAUGCCAGAACCAAGCACAUAGAAGUGGACUUCCACUUUGUUCGUGAACGAGUUGCAGCCAAGGCACUUGAUGUUCGAUUCAUAUCUUCCAAGGAGCAAGUUGCAGAUAUAUUCACAAAGCCUCUAGCUGAGGUGCCGUUUGUUUUAAAUAGGCACAAUCUGAAUCUUUGUGUAGGAAGUUCAGAUUGAGGGGGAAUGUUAAACUGUAUAGUUAUCAGAUACGGUUAGUAUCUAGGAUUGUAGUUAUCAUUGUAUAACAACCUGUACUUAUCCUCCUGUAAACCCUAGCGGCAGCCCUAGAGGCGCCCUAUAUAAUGAUCCUGAGACCACCACAUUAGGUGUGUCGAUCCAAUCUCUUCUCUCAUUGUUUCACAAGGUGUCCGUGGGUUGUAUGAAAUAAAACCAUAAAUUUACACAUUAUUGUAUCGAUUGAGAACUCAAGAGCAAAGCCCGUUUCCAACCUCGUCUCGGCAAACGUGGUUUGUUCCUCAUCAUGCUUCUCUCACCAACGACCACCAUGAAGCCAUUGCCUUUCUCUCUCCAUGAUCUUUGGUCCUUCUCCACCAGCAAUGUGAAAAAAGGCAAUAUGCCAGCUUCAUACUCCAUGGUCUUUCUUUUGAGCUUCAAGGUAGUAUGAUAGUAUAAUCAGUGUACAGUAUUGUCCAAGACCGAACCAAACUUGUUCAUAUAGCUGUAAAAAUCUCUUGUGAUCAACAACAAAACUAAUGCUAAUAUUCAGGAUUUCAAACUUGAAGCAUUUGGAGAUCGACCAACAAAAAAAAAACUGAGCGGCGGUGUCAAAAGUAAUUGUUGACCUUUGUCAAAUUGACUGCAUGCUUUUAAAUCAAGAUCAUGCAACUUUACAAGACUUGCAUCUCAAUAAAACCAUAUCAGCUGCACAUGCAGAUGAGAGAAAUGGGAAAUACUCUAUUCCAUUCAAGGGUUGUAUGUCAAUUAUUAAAACACAAGCACAUUAUAAGUCACAAACCUCCAACGCACAGAUAAUUUCGGAAAUGCCUAAACCUCAGAUAAUUUGGGAAAGGAGGGUGGCUACAGUCCCCUUGGCUGAUAUACAUAGGUCUAGCUGUAACAUCUUUGGGCAAAGCAUCAUUUGCAACUGGUAACCACAGAAUAUGUAUUUAGCGCUACUACAGAAGAAAAGAAAAGAAAAGGAUUAAAAAGGGAAUGCCGCCUUCAUAGGUCACAAACCUCGGAUUGUCAACAUCUUCUUGUGAAUGUACACAAAUUUGAAAUACUUGAAGCGGCUAGGAUAAUGUUCUUAAAAAUGGGUUGCUUCGGAGAUAAGAAACUAGUAAUGCAGUCAGACCAAAAGGAAAUUCAAGGGCACAAAAUACUUCCAGCAGGCCUUUGCAAAUUGGCAAUUAAUUAAGAAAAGGUGAUGUAUUGGCUCAAGAGCCUGGACUCCACACAUGACGCAGAAGUUUAAUUCAAGGACGGGGAAGUAAGAAUAAGACCACGUACGUACUAACAAAAGAGGGGAUCAAGGAGGAGCUGUAAAAUCCAAAUGAAAAUAUCAAUACAUAAUGAACAGCACCAUUCCGUUGAAAUACCACAAGUCGCUGCUAGUAAGAUUACAUAUGCCGGCUCUCUUGGACAACAAAACCUAAGUCAGGAUUCGACUAGGCACGAUUAAUUUGUUGUGUUUGACGUUCCUCGUUCUCUCUCUUUUUUUUUGCGAAGAAUCACAGAGUGUUUUAUUCCAGGAUGAUAGAGUUACAAUCUUCAGCGACUAAUUUGCUAAUGCAUGGGGUGGAUGGCCCAUCCAACAUGAUGUGCUAUCAACGACACUAUGAAAUCAAUCUUCCAAACUGCAGAAUUGUAAAGUACAGCUCAGACCUACAGGGCAGGACCGGCUAGCUAAACGGCCACGCUGGAUGAUAUGUUAUCACGUUCCCCGCGGCCGCGCCAUGAACUCCAAAUCUGGCGAAACCACCUACCGUCGCACAAGGCGCCGUCGGUCGUGGAACACGCGGUCUGCAGGUCACAUCGGUCCAGGCCUUGUUGGGUUCACGCGGUCCAGAUGACAUGCACGCCCGCCAAGCAAUUGAGAAAGAGAGAGCCAUGCACGCACGCGAAGCACGCUGCCCUGUGACAACGAGGAUGAUCAUGCAUGCAUGUCAGAGAGCAGAGAGCAGAGACGUCUGUCACUUGUGUAGAUGGUAGGUUCUGCUGGUUGGCGGUCACGCUACGCAGACCGCGUGUUCCACGACCGGGCCAAAUUUCGUGUUCGGACCCUUUUUUGAUACAAACUCAAGAUCUGACCCCGGUUUCAAAAAAUUUCGAAAUGUGACCCUUUCGCUACCGUCAUGGGCUCUGACAGUAUGGUUAGACAUACUACCGCCAGGGUCCAUGGCGGUAGCGUGCGACGGAGGGCAACGGCCGCCGUUUGCUCGAGCUGACGUGGACAAGUAGCCUACCGCCAGGGACCAUGGCGGUAGCAUGUUAGACUUUACCGCCUGACCCCUUGGCGGUAAGGUGUGGCUGGGGUUUUGCCUCCCAAGUUUCCGUAACGAAAUAUCGAGGUGCCCUGGAGGUAGGUACGUUCGUCCUACCGUUAGAGUCCUUGGCGGUAGGGUCCUGUGUUCUAUGGUUUAUAAGUUUAUUUUUUGCUUCUUUUCAAAAACAAUAUAGGCCCUAAAAUAUGAGCUCACAGUUUUUUAGUGAUUGUUUCUUUUGUAAAAUAUGAAUCACAAAGAAAGCCAACAAACGGUUUCACAUAGUUUGUUUUGUUACAAGUUUCACAUCACAAAUAGUAAAAUAUGAGCUCACAUAAUGAUGAUGGUUCCACAUAGCAAUUAUCAAACAGUUUACAGAUAAUAGAUUCAUAAGUAGGGAAUAGCAAAUAGCAAACUUGUCCACAUAGUUUGACAAGCCCUACAAAAACAGAGAUAUAUAUUCAAUCGACAUGUUUAUGGGGCGGACAAAUCUCCCCUNNNNNNNNNNNNNNNNNNNNNNNNNNNNNNNNNNNNNNNNNNNNNNNNNNNNNNNNNNNNNNNNNNNNNNNNNNNNNNNNNNNNNNNNNNNNNNNNNNNNNNNNNNNNNNNNNNNNNNNNNNNNNNNNNNNNNNNNNNNNNNNNNNNNNNNNNNNNNNNNNNNNNNNNNNNNNNNNNNNNNNNNNNNNNNNNNNNNNNNNNNNNNNNNNNNNNNNNNNNNNCCUCGUAUAUUAGGCAUGGCCGUGGAGACAGAUACGGCAGCGGAUCCACCGGUUCAGGCGGAGGUGGAACGCUGGUCGGCAUCCGACUGUUCAAGCAGUCCCACCUUGGCUUGCCCGCUGGAGGUUUCGCCUCAGCCCUUGCCCAGUUGAUGAUAUCGUAGCCGAUGCACUUGGGGGCGGCAUCCUGGCUCUCUCCUCCUCAUUGCUCUCGUAGUAGAUCCUCCGGCCCAAAUUGCGCAGCUCGACACUACUAGGAAAAGGCAUGCUAGUGGCACACCAGUUUUGCCUACUAAUGGCGCACUACUGGUGCGCCACUAGCAUCACGCCACUAGAAUUAAAUUCUAAUGACGCACCACUGGUGCGCCAUUAGUAUAGCCCACAGUGCGCCAUUAGAAUGCCUCCCGGGGGGCCAUAUGUACCCAUGUGCUUUGGCUUACUAAUGGCGCACCAGUGGGUGAUGUGCCAUUAGUGUGAUUAUCACAGUGCGCCAUUAAUGUCUUGUGUGGUGCGCCAUUAGUAUUAAUAUUAGGUUUUUUUUGGGUUUUUUCUGAUUUUUUCACAGGUUACAAAAUAUAUUAUUUGACAGAAUAUAGAAAGCACCACACAGCAACAGCAGAUUCAUCGAAUACAAUAGAAGGCAAGUCUCCGAAUACAAUUCAUCAUAUUAGUCUCCGAAUACAAAAGACCAAACGAACAUAGAACAUUACAAGUCUCGUAGACCGCGAGUAGCGAGUUUGUCUUCACAUUACAAGUCGAUAUCGAUCAUCUAAACUACCAUCACAUAGAAGAGAGCUGCGGUCAUCACGAUGAGCAUCAUCGCGAUGAAACUGGUCUUCACCCGGUUCCUCCAACGCUCCCUCCUCUCUCCCGUUAGAUAGCAGGCGUAUCUAGAUUCCGCCUCUACCCUAGUGGUUUACCCUUUGUAACUGUUACCGCUGAAACGGUGAACCUGUCUCCGACACUCCUCCCAGUCGGCGUAGACUCCGGGAACCUUACCCUUGUACACGACAUACGACGGCAUCUCUAUGCACAAGCCAAACAACAGACAAUACAUAAGCAAUAUAUAAGUAUGCAACAAAAGGAUCGAAAGAGAAAAGCAAAACAUUAAUAGCACGAUUCAUGGUCUUACUAAUAAAUAGCAUCAAUUACAUCUAAGUUAAACGACUGUCCAAACCAAAGAGACAUACAAGUUCAUUAAAGUUUAAUUACAACAUGAGCUAAUUGAUGUUUCAGAACUACAAAUAACAUCACUACUUUCGACUCGACUCAUGGGACCGGAGCGUGGAUGAAGCCGCCAUCUUUCGUGAUGGUCAUGAAGUCGUGGGCGUUGUGAGCCUGCAUUUGAAGUGUUGUGUCUAUCUCACUGUUGGACGGUUGCUCUCUGAGGUAGAACUGUCCCGAGGUACGAAGGACAUCUUGAUGGAUGAUUUCUGCAAACUCCGACGGGAUGCGAAAGAAUUCUUGUCGGAGGUCUGCGUCCUGGAUUGCCGCCAAGCUUGCGGCCCAAUCUUUGACAUUAUUUGGUAGCAAAAGGUGAUUAUGGUCCCGUACGAUUGCCCUCGUGUGAUGGAGGGCGUAGUAGGCAUCCUUCUGACCGCCAGGCGGCUGCUUGACGCAGGGGAACAUCGUAUUGUGGGUGAACACGUGCCUGCCGUACCUACGAACUUUCCUCUUAAAGGUGCCUCCAGAUGUGGUGUAGCCGGGGAGAGCAUCAUCAAGAACUUUCUUGAUAUUUGUGUAGUGUAUUUUGGAGUCACGGUCCGCGUCGAAAUACGUGACCGUGGAAUAUUUCGGGCUUAAGAGGAUGAGUGUGCAAUGUGUGUCACUGCACAGAACACGGAAUGUUAGAAAAAAAAAGAACGAUCGAAAUCUAAGAAAUCAUAUGUUACGGGGCGGUGAGGGGAUGACUUACUCGGGAAAGUAAGGGACGAGGAAGUUAUCCUUAUCUGGGUUUGCCAGAAUGACGCCUUCGAGGUGUGAACUCGCGACUUGCCGGUCCCCAGCGCUGCCCAAGAUCUUGGCACGCAUGUAGAAGGGGUCGACUAUCACGAUGUCCGGUGUCUUGUCUCGAAUGAUCCGCAUCUCCAUACUCAGCGAAAACAGCCGAACGAAGGUGUAGUGCAGCGGAUGAAGAUUAAACAUAGCAAAGAUGUCAUCAAACCGCAGGAAGAUCGUACCCCCGGUGGCGCCAUCCACAAAGCCCUUGCCCUCUGGCACCUUGGCCACAAAAACCGGGUAUGCCACAUCAUUCUGGGAGAGACGCAUCUUCUCCAAAGAAAGAACACUGUCAUGCGGACUCCGCAUAGCACCGGGUGCAGCAUUGAGCAUAUUUGUCGGUAGCAUCGCCCUACCCGCCACAUGCACCCUCCUCGAGAUAUCCUGAGGUGAAGGUGGCCCGUCCUGAGCACGGAUCGUACUCGGUGCCGGCUAGCUCGCACCGGCGCCCUUGGCAGUCUUUCGUUUCCGUCCCUUCUUCUUGAUCUGCUGUAAUGGGACCGAUUUCUGCUCACAGGCCGCCUUCUUGAGCAUGUUGGGGCUGAUAAUAUUUCGCACCUCAGCUAUCUGAGGCUCGGUGAAGGCGGGAGCUGGAGGCGUCUCCUGAGAACUGAAAGCCAGACGACGCCUGUUGCAAUUGGAUUUCUCCAUCGUACCAGCUAGAUCGCGGUCGUAUUGGUUGGGUUCUUGAGAAGGAGGCCCGCCGAACUCGUCACCGUACCCUUGUUCGGCAAAGUACUUAUCGAUGUUGGUAAAUGUACCGUCGUCGUUGUCGUCGUCGUCCGAAUCCUGUGCCAUAUGCAUGUCCGGAUCCUGUGCCAUAGGGAUGUCCGGCAUGUCCGGUAGUGUUGCGGUGUUCUUGCCAUGGCGCGGCGCCGGCAUGACCUGCGGUCUUGUUUGUGGGGUGGUGUCCCCCGCCCCCAAACGAAUCUGGCUCUUCGGCCAAAGCAGGGGCCAACUUAGGCAGGUGCUGAGGGUCAUCAGAUCUUCUUCGUUGGCCCCAGCGGGUUGAAUCGGAGGUAACAACUCGUCGCAGCCUGGCAGCACCCGAACGAGUUGAACCCUAUACACGAUGGGUGGCAUCGGUUUACCGUGGAACACGGGGUUGCCCGGUUGAACGAUUUUGCCCUUGGAGACAUCGACCAACUCGUCGUUCACGAAGUGCAGGAGAGUGCACGGAACAUCGGCGGCGCCCUGCGAAAACAUGUAGGGCGUCAGGGAUGCCCAGUCAAAGGCAAAAGGAGAUGAAGUCCUCGACCGAGAGGCUUAAUUAGUUACCGUGAUGAUGGCUUCGAGCUUGGCUAAUGUCGAGGCACUGCCAAUGGCGGGCGUGCAACGGACGGAGGGGCCGCUUGCUGGCGAGGUGCCGGCCGGCGUACACCCGGGUGCAUUAAGCUCCAAUGCCCGUGCCGGCACCGGAGACACCAAUACCGCCACCGCCGAUGACACCAAUGGCGCCGCCGGAGACACCAAUGGCGCCGCUUGCACAUUGUGCGAGUUGCUGGCCGUGAAGCUGGGAAUCAGGGGCGGCCCCUGUUGGCCACCUGCAAUCCACGUCGUCAGCCCAUGAAUCAAGGUAGGCAUAAUGCCGGUGAGCGUCGUUCCCAGUUGUUGUUGCACUUGCUCUUGGAUAAUCUUCGGAAUCCGCGCCACUUGUGCCUUGAGUUCUUCAACCUCGCGCGACUGGUUUUCUGAGCUGGUCUUUUUCUCCUUUCACCCACCAGCGGUAUAGUAUGAGGACCAUUUUGUGGACAAGCCUUUGCCGGCCACACGACCAGCUGACGACGGCUUACUGAGCUUAUCCUUGUUUUUCAUUACAUUCAACGCCCUAUUUAGAGUGUUGUCCCAAGCAGGGGUGCUCUGAGACGACCCCGCGCUACUGCUUUCAGUCUCCUUCACCAGAACAAGCUCAAGCGCCCUGGUCUUUGGAUCCGUGGUAAGCUCCUUUGUUAUCGGGUCCUCCUUGUACCGGGCCCUGACAAAGUUCCUGGCCUGCUUGUCACUGCUGUAUUUCUCGAAGCGGGGCGGUAGGCCAUGCUCGGCAUGCUCCGCGUCCUCCUUGUCCCAUAUAGGCUCCGCCACUCUGUAACCGCCGGGACCAAGUUUGUGUUCCCCUAAGUUCAACUCCUGCAUUUCUUUCCCCCACUGACUUGAUUCGGAGGUUGCACUGCUCUCACACUUGAUCUUGAACUCCUUAUAGUCAUCUUCGCUGAUCGAAGAAUUUUUUGCCUUGAUCUUCUCAUAACUGUCACCUUUCUCAAUCAUUCUCUUCACCUCGCUUCUCCAAGUAGACAGGGCCGUGCUCAUCCUCGUGAGGGCGGCACUGUUCACUUUAUUCCCUGAGAGGCGUGUGUUUUCAAAUUUAGCGGGGAACUUGUAUCAUUUGUGCAGCUUCAUGAAGAGGAGGUUGCGCAAAUUCCCUCUGUACUUAUUCCUAAGGUUCUCGGUGUUGAUCGAGACAGUGCUCCGGAGAAUGCACCCGAGCUGAACCGAGUACCCCUUGACUAUAUGUUUGGGCUCCGUUGGAUGCCCGUCGGAGUCCACUUGAGUAAAUUCCUCCUUGACGGUGUGGAGCAUAUUCGGGCGCCGGUCCUUCCGUUGCUCUUCAGUUGGCUGCCAUCUGUGUGUGCGCUGCCAUCAUCAGUGGUGGCAUCCUCGGCGGCACCAUCAGUGGUGUCAUCCCCGACGCCACUAGGGGUUGUGUAGUCAGGAUCGGUGUCUUCCGCGGCGUCCUCAUAGCGGUGAGGUUGUUCCUCCAUCUCCUAGAACAGCUCCCAGAAUUGCUUGCCGCCCGAACCGCCGGCCUCAUCGUUGUUGGCCAUGUUUCGCUAAAUAGGAAAAAAGUUUGGUCAAAAAGUUGGUUAUUGUCAAGGAACAAGAUCAUGGUCUCAUCAUUUAGGGUUUGUCGACACUGAGGCAUCCUAAAAGCUAAGCUUUUAUCAUUUAGGUUUUGUCGACGUCGAGGCACCCUAAAAGCAUAAGCGUACAUCAUUUAGGUUCUCAUCGACACCGAGGCACCCUAUAGAAGCCAAGGUUUCAUCAUUUAGGGUUUGUCGACGCCGAGGCACCCUAAAUGCUAAGUUAAGUUUUCAUCAUUUAGGGUUUAUCGAUGCCGAGGCACCCUAGGUUGGGCCUAAUCACUUGGCACUAAUCACUUGGCUCUAUUGCCACCUAUGUUGGGUUUAUCAUCUAGGGUUUAUCGAUGCUAAGGAGAAUUCUAAGUUGGGCCUAAUCACAUGGCUCUAUUGCCACCUAUGAUUUAAUGCAGCAAGAAUGGCGGGGCAGUUGAUCCUACUUAACUAAGUACUAAGAUACCCCGGCCCAUGCAUUAGUCGCAAGUACCCCAUAUGUCCUAUUUUUAGCAAAGUCAUGCUAAACUUCACGGAAAAUUUCAGCAUGACCUUUGCUGAAAGUAGGACAUAUGGAGUACCCGAAUUUGCCGGAACGGAAGUUAAUUGACAUUCCGGCAAACUCAAGGGCCUCUCGGGGUACCUGCAAAUUCAUCACAACACAAUGGUCGGAGAUAAAACCCAGCAACUUUACAAGUCUUUCACAGAUUUGUUUGCAAGUUCUGAUAUGUAAUAAAGAUGAGUCUCAAAGAUGAGCCUCCAAUGCUGAUUUGUUUGCCUCAAGACAAGAUGAACCUCCAAUGCAACAAGUAAUAAAAUGUUCAACAAUGUAUCAGAUUCGGCAACAGUUUAACAUCUACUCUAGUAAUUAUACAACACCAUGACCAACAUUUCUCCUCUCCAGAAAUUAGAAACAAAAUAAAGGAACAUUACACAGUAGCCAUCAAAUUAAAAUAACACAUACAGUACAUACAGGUAGGUAAUACUAAAGCAUGUUCAUAUUAGCUAGUUACCAUUAUAUUGCUUUAGGUUAGGGCCCUUACAUUAUUUUCUCUCUAUCCCUUUCUUUAGCUGCACUGCAUCACAAGGCAAAUAUAGUUCAAAAUAAAAUACUGCUGAAUAAGCACCUAGCAGAAUAGUAAAAUAAGCUUAAAAAAUGCAUACAUCUUGACAUACAAACACAGACAGUUAUGCAAGUGCUAGAGGUAUGCAUAUAUAUAUAUAUAUAUAUAUAUAUAUAUAUAUAUAUAUAUAUAUAUAUAUAUAUGUGUGAACUUGAUCCUGAACUAGAGGUACACAUGUUUGCAUACUCAUCUCUGCAAUUAGUCGUGCUUAUUUGCAUUGUGCUAUAUAUGAAUCCACACUGACUCGAGCCUGAAUCAAUCAAUCAAUGUUGCUCACAUAUACUCCCACACUCCCAUAAUAGUACUAAUAUAAGAGCAUUUAUAUUAUUGGAAUGAAGGGAUAAUUUUUUUUCUUUCAAGAAAACACAAACCCUAACAACACAUUACGAGCACCUUCAAGAGAUUGAACCAACCCGACAUCCACAAACACCUCCUACUCAACACACAGACACAGACCAAGGAAGAAACAUAACCAUUCUUCUUUUUUCUUUCUUUGUUGUUAAUAAUAAAAGAAACUACAAGAGCAAGGAAGGAACAAGUCUUCUUUUGUACUGCAACACAAGAAACCCUCUUUCUUUCUUUCUUCCCUUCGUGUUAAUUUAAUUUUACUGCACCAUCUACUAACCUCCUCCAACUUUACUACCACUACAUCCCUCUCAAGGACAUCUAUGUACUGCUUAUAAAGCAUCACAUGCUGAUGCUAUGUUUCAUUUGCCCCAUCUCCCAUCUCUGCUCUUAUUUUAAGUAAAUGCCCAGAUGCCUUACAUUUAUCUCUGCGGGACUUUUUCUUUUCUAAUGAUAUCAUCUAUACAUGUUACUUAGUUACUAAACCUAUGUAACUUAGGAUCAAAUUGAUAAAUUGCUUGAAGUAUCCGCAUAUUUUCGUGGAGAUCAUACGGGGGAGGAUCAGACAAUGUGGCAACAGACAGCAAGGUGUGUUCUUUCAAAGAAUCUUUGCAUCAAGUCAAUGAACAUCAUAUUUGAAGUGCAGUUUAACUUAGUCACUUAAAACUAUCUGAUCCACAACUAACAACCAAAGUCAUGUUCAGUUAUAGUGCUUAAAUAUGAUUUUGGUGUGUGUGAAAACAAUACAGUAUUAUAUUUCUACUGAAUGCAUGAGUAUGAUGUAUCACACAUCUACAUGUCUAGGCUUUUUCAAUUUUUUUCCGGAUGGAAACCAGAAGCAUCACUGUCCUUGACUAGAAUCACCAUGGCCAGAUUAAACACUGCAAGCUGGCAAGUUCUUCCUUUCAAUUUCUCAAUCUUAGCUAGCGGAGGAUGAAUAGAGGAGAAGAGAGGCAGAGGGAGGAGGGUUACCUGGCGGCGGUGGGGCGUUGAAGACCUGGCGGCGAGGUUCCUCCUCUCGGUGGCGGCGGGGCUCCUCCCCUCGGUGGGGGCGGUGGCCUCUUCCCCUCGGUGGCGGUGGCGGGGCUCCUCCUCUCCUUGUGGAGGCGGGGCGUUGAUCCGGCGANNNNNNNNNNNNNNNNNNNNNNNNNNNNNNNNNNNNNNNNNNNNNNNNNNNNNNNNNNNNNNNNNNNNNNNNNNNNNNNNNNNNNNNNNNNNNNNNNNNNNNNNNNNNNNNNNNNNNNNNNNNNNNNNNNNNNNNNNNNNNNNNNNNNNNNNNNNNNNNNNNNNNNNNNNNNNNNNNNNNNNNNGCCCGAGCGGGAGCGGCGGUCAUCGGAGCGGGGGAGGCGGCGGGGGUGCGGGGGCGCGGGGGCGGCGGUGGCGGGGGUGGAGUACCGCGGGGGUCGGGGCAGCGGCGUCGGGGCGGCGCAAGACCACAGCAGCGGACGGAGGGGGCGGAGCAAGGGGGCGGCGGCGUACGGUUGUUGAGUGGGGGAUCUGGCGAGGGAGGGAGGGAGGCCACAGUGUGAGGAGAAUAGGUGGAGUGGGGGAGGAUUCUAAUGGCGCACCUCCCCCUAGUGUGCCAUAAGUACGACGAUUCUAAUGGCGCACAUCCCCCUGGUGCGCCAUUAGAAUUUUGUUUUAAUUAGCCUGACUGGUCAGGUUAUAUUCCACCUAACACUAUCUUCAUCAGAACACGCCCACUAGCCCGACUGGUCAGCACGCAGCACACACACUAGGAGGUCCUGGGUUCGAUUCCCACGCUCCCCAAUUUUUGUUUUUAUGCAUUUAAAAUGAUGUUUGAUAUUUAUUCGUGCUUAAAUAUGUUCAAACUUGUUCAAAUCAUAACAGUAAUAUUUUUUAAUAAAAACAGUAAUAUUUUUUUAAAAAAUAUCAUCAAAUUUGUUAUUUGAAAAUAUUUAUGAAUAUGAAAAAAUAUCAUAAAAAUUAUUAUUUGAAAAUAUCAUCAAAUUUGUUAUUUGAAAAUAUAAUCAAAUUUGUUUUUUUACAAUUUUAGUUGCAUUCAUUUGCGACGGUGGAGCGGGCCGGGAAGGGUGCGGGGGGUCGGCGGCGGCGGUGGAGUGGGGGAGGGUGCGGGGGGUCAGCGGCGGCGGCCGGUGGAGCUGGGGAGAUGGUGCGGGGGGUGCUCGGCGGUGAGGGGGGCCGGAUCUGGCGAGGUGGGAUAGCGAUCGAGAUGGAGGGGGAUCGAGAUCGAGUGUCCAUGAAAUUUAAAAACAUUCAUGAGUUCAAAAAGUGCCCAUGAAAUACAAUCGAGAAAUGAAGGCUACAAUUUAAAUACAAUCGAUCUUAGCUAGCUAUCUAUUCACAAUCUUCUUGCCCUUAUUUUUCAUAAAUGGAGUUCUUCUCUUGAACGGACGUCCUUUAGGUAGGGUGGUCCUGCUUCUUCUUGUGGUGUAUGCUGAUACUUCAUCGUCGUCCUCAUGUUCCAUCUUCAGGUCGCCGUACUUGUCGAAGUCUUGCUCAUUGGCGACUCCAUCCAUUCCGAUGAUCUUCCUUUUGCCUCUUCCCACGACAACAUGAGUGGGCUUUGGCGGGUCGGUAAUGAAGAAGCAUUGGUCCACUUGGGAAGCCAGUACCCAUGGCUCAUUUUUUGCGGUGACGUUUGUGCCCGCGGUCUUGGAUUUGGCUUCGGGUAUAACCAUGGUGGUGAAAUACCGGUUUUCUUUUAUGAUGCUCUUGGCCCAUAUGACAUGGAACAUCGGGACCUUCUCUCCAGAGUAGCUCAGCUCCCACAUCUCCUAGAUCCUUCCGUAGUAUCUGUCCUUGUCGUUACUGGUGUAGUAUUCCAUCGUUACCCCGGAGUUCUAAUAACCAUCGCUCUUCAUGUCCUUGUCCUUGGUGUAGAAUGUGUAGCCGUUGAUAUCGUACGCCUCAUAGGUCAUCAGGUUGUGCUCGGCGCCCUGUGACAAGGCGAACAUGAGUUGUUCUUCCGCGGAAGAAUCCUCAUGUAAUGGGUACGACAGAAGCUUCUGCUUGAACCAACACGUGAAACAUGAGUUGUGCUCUUUGAUUAUAUCUCCGUCCGUCCUCUGUUGGCCUCGGUCAUUGUACGUCUUCUCAAUAAAGGUUUUGUGCUCUACCACCCAAGGAUCGACCACGUCUAUGUGUUCUAGCGCGACUAGGUUUGCUCUUUCAAAGUCGGCGAGUCGACCCUCGAAGUUGACAUGCAUUUCACGGCGACCCUCACGGUGACCCCAUCCAGCGAGCCUGCCGAGGUGCCUGUUGACGGGCAGACCAACGGGGUCCUCGAUGCCUAGAUAAUUCGUGCAGUAGGAGAUGCACUCUUCGAUCAGAAAGCCCCUGGCUAUGCUUCCCUCUGGACGUGACAUGUUGCGAACGUAUCCUUUGAUAAAACAUUCAUCCUUUCAAACGGCAUCAUGCUGUGCAGGAACGUUGGCCCGAGUUGGAUGAUAUCCUCCAUGAUAUGGACCAGCAGAUGCACCAUAAUGUCGAACAAUUCGGGCGGGAAGUACAUCUCAAGCUCGCAUAGUAUCACCACGAUCUCUUCCUGUAGCCUUCUGAGUUGCCUCACGCCAACCGACUUCCGAGAGAUGACGUCAAAAAAGUUGCAUAGGCCAAAUAGCAUUUCACGGACGUGCGUGUCCAUGAUCCCACGGAUUGCAACUGGAAGUAUCUGCAUCAUCAGCACGUGACAGUCGUGAGACUUCAUCCCGCUGAACUUCUCCUUCGCUGGGUCUAGGUAUCUGCUUAUCUUCCCCGCGUAACCGUAAGGAAGUUUUACUCCUAUGAGGCAGGUGAAAAACUGAUUGAUCUCCUCCUGACUGAGAGUAAAGCACGCGGGAGGGUAGUCAUUUCCGCUCUUCUUGACCUUUUUGCCUUUGCGACGACUUUUCGUGUCCUGCUUCGCCUCAUCAUCAUCAUCAUUAGCGUGAAGCUCCUCCCUGAUGCCCAUUGAUUUCAAGUCUACCCUUGCUUUUGGCCCAUCUUUGGUCCUCUCUAACAUGUUGAGUAGGGUACCAAGCAGACUCUCGCACACAUUCUUCGUGAUAUGCAUGACAUCAAGGCUGUGAGGCACACAGUGGAUCUUCCAGUAUGGCAAGUCCCAGAAAACAGACCUCGUUUUUCAUACCUUCAGCAGCGGCUCUGGUGCCUUUCGCUUCUUUCCCGGCUCUGGCGACUUUUGCUUCUCUCCCAGCAGUGGGCAAUCUUUCCAAUUUUUCAACAGCUCGUCUAUUUCCUCGCCGCGCCUCGUACGCGGGCGUCUUCGGGGUUCGGUUUCACCAUCGAACAGAUCCUUGUGUUUCCUCCACGGGUCAUCGUCACGAAGCCACCUUCGAUGUCCCAUGAACACGGUUUUCGAAGACCCGGGAUCUCUAUCUAGUUGGCGACACGUUGUGUCCCAUGCACCUAACGCAUCCAGAAAAUCCGUGGACCACCUGCCCCGCGACAUAUCCGUAACCAAGAUAGUCGUGCACCGUCGUGAGCGGUACGGCUCUCAUAGGGAAAUAUUCUUUCUCUGCGGCGUCCCACGUAUUGGCUGGCGUUUUCCACAGCGUGUCUAGCUCCUCUUUCAGCAGCCCUAGAUACAGAUUGAUGUCGUUCCCUGGUUGUUGCGGCCCUUCAAUUAGCAUACUCAUGUGAAUGUACUUCCUCUUCAUGCACAACCAGGGGGAAGGUUGUACAUCCACACAAACACAGGCCAGGUGCUAUGUGUGCUUCUCUGGCUGCCAAACGGAUUGACUCCAUCGAUGCUCGCGCCCAGCAUGAUGUUCCUUGGAUCCGUCCCAAAUUCUGGGUGUUCGAAGUUCAACGCUUGCCACUAGCUCCCGUCCCUAGGGUGACUUAGCAUCUUGUAUUUUUUAUUUAUCUCCAGAUCAUUUGCGUCAUCUUCUUGCUUCUUCUCCUCCCUAUCCGCGUGCCAACGCAGGAGCUUUGCUACCUUAGGGUCCGCAAAAUACCGCUGCAGACGAGGAGUGAUCGGAAAGUACCACACCACUUUUUGAGGAGCUUUCUUCCUCUUCUUGUAUCGAGUGACGCCGCACACCAGACAUAUGGUAGACUCCGCGUGCUCGUCCUGAUAAAUGAUGCAAUUGUUCAUGCACACAUGGUAUUUCACGUGCGGUAAAUUCAGAGGACACACGAUUUUCUUCGCCUCCUCAAAACUGGUCGGGCACUUGUUCCCCUUGGGAAGAUGUUCACGCCAGAAUGACAUGUUCUCGUCGAAGCAUGCGUCAGUCAUUUUAUGUUUUACCUUCAUCUCUAGAGCCAUGAGCGUUACUUUCAGGCGGGUAUCCUCGGGCGUGCAUCCUUCAUACAAUGGAGUAACCGCGUCUAUCUCUAGUUGACCCAGCUUGGCUUUCUCUCGGGUGGCAGCUCUUGCGCUAUCCGUCUGCUUCAGAAGCAGCUCUUGAACAUGAGGGUCCUGCACCCAGCCCAUCGAUGGUCCAUCGUCGCCUGCUCUGCCGACAUCUUCAUCUUAAUGAUCAUGCCCUUCGUCUGCUCCGGCAUCUUCCUCAUCAUCAUGUCCUGCAUCUUCUACAUGAUGACUAUGUACAACAUCACCGUCGUGAUCAUGUCCUGGAGAUUCUUCGUCUUCUCGCCCGCCCGAGCCGUGGUGGUUGUCUUGUUGCCCUUCCUCACUUCUUGCCCGGCCCCCAUGGACGACUUCAUAGACAUCUUCAUACCUUGCCACCGAUAGCCAUCCAUGAAACCAUGCAAGAGCAGUUGGUCCCGCACCUGCCUGGAAUUCGGGUCCGCAAUAAGGCUCUUCAGCUUGCAUCUUCGACACGGACAUCUUAUCUCCGUCUCGUUCUUUUCAAGCAUCUCGGCCUUCGUGGAGCUCAAAAACCUAUUCACGAUGCCUUUGGUCAUCGUGCGGACCAUGGUCGCCUGCGGGGUAGAGCAAAACGAUAUUUUAGAACCAAGAAAAAAUUUGGCAUGACUUUCCCUAAAAAUAGGACCAAAAAGAAUGCAUAGUGCCAAAAUUCUCACCGAAACGGAAAUGAAUCAACAUUCCGGCAAAAUAUUGGCAACUAUCGCAUUUCAAAUACCGGUACCUGCAAACACAAACAAAUAUGCAACACCACAAACAUAUGCAACACCACGAACCUACAUAGAUCUAGCUAGGUCAUAAAAAGUGCAUGUGCAUGUUGUUGGAGAGGGAGAACAACAUAAAGAUAUCUUCCAACCUACUUACCAAUCAAAAAAAGGUAAUUUAACCACUUAAUUUGGAUGAAUCUAUGGUGCAAAUGAGGUGAGGAGGAGGAGGCAGCCGAGACAAGCUUGGAGGAGGAGGUGGAGAGAAUGAAGUGGGGAAAGUGAGUGGGUAGGUGGGCUGUCCAAAAUAUCUUAUUGGUCCCAGGUUACUAAUGGCGCCCAACCUGCAAAUGCGCCAUUAGUAACCCUGGUUACUAAUGACGCACCUGCUGCUGGUGCGCCAUUAGAAGUUUUGCAAAAAAAUAAAAAAUAAAGUAUAUAUUCUAAUGGUGCACCAUGGCACAGUGUACCAUUACUAGUUUAAACUAGUAAUGGCGCACUAGGCUAGGGUGCGCCAUUAGUAGUUUUGCAAAAAAAAGAAUAAAAAAACAACAGUAGUGGCGCACUAUGUGGCCGGUGCGCCAUUACUAGUUAGCACUAGUAAUGGUGCACCUUGCCAUGACGCGCCAUUAGUAUGUUUGGAAAAAUAAGAAAAAAAAUUACUAGUGGCGCACCGUGUGCCUGGUGCGCCAUUAGUGUCUUCCACACUAAUGGCGCACCUGCACAUGAUGCACCACUGCUAUAUAGUAGUGGCGCACCACAUGACAGGUGCGCCAUUAGUGGCCAUUUCAUCUAUAACCCUUUUCCUAGUAGUAUCCCGGUCGGAGCGCUGCUUGGUAGCUUCAAUGUCCCAUUCCCGGCGUUCUCAGGAGAUAGUUGGAUCUCCCUCCAUCUCUGCAAUCACUCUCUUCCACUCCUUCGCACGCUCUGCCCAACACUUUUGAUCAUCGUAGAUCCGUUCCGCCCUCUCGUGCCACCGCACUGCCCUCGUCUCCUGUAGGAACUCGUCUGAAAAAGCGGUCACCGGCAGCAAAAGCUCGGGGCAGGCCUCGUACACGUACGGAAGUGGCAAGCCGGACAGGUCGUGUUGGAGAUGAAGGGGCGAUGGUUGCGCAACUGUUGCAGACCUAAACAUAUGGAUGAAAUAAAUAAAAUAUAUAUAUCAAGAUGUGUCAAAUGCAAAAUCGUAUCAUAUCAUAUUUACUCCAACCAAAUCCAGUACUUGCAUCAUAUUCACAUGCUUACUAAAAAACUAAGAACUAAGAACUAAGAACUACAACUACAAUCACACAUCCUAAAUACAAUACAAUACAUAUCAAAGAAUUGCAUAAGCAUAUCAAAAGAAUUGCAUAAGCAUAUCAAAAGAUAUCGAUGCAUAACAAAGGUUCAUCACAUCCAAAAAAACCUAUGAGUUCAAUCUUUGAAUAAUCAUAUAUCUAGAUUAUUAUGAACAUGAACUAAAUAAAAUACAUAUAUCAAAAACAAAAACCAUGAACUAGGGUUCAUCUUGAGGGAUUAACCAUGUUUACUUCAACAAAAUCCACUACUUGCAUCAUAUAAGAUCCACAUGCAUCCUAUAUCAAAACAAAUAUUUCCAAUAUUCAUCAUAUAUAAAAAAUUAACACAAAAAAUUAUGAACUAGGUUCAUCUUGAGGGUUCAACAUUUGUUCUCCAACUAUAUCCACUACUUGCAUCAUAGCAUAUCAACAUGCAUCAUCAUAUCACAAUAUAUUCCUCCAACAUGCAUCAUAUAAAAAAAAUUCCUCCAAAAAUAAUAUGAACUAGGGUUCAUCUUCACAUAAUCAUACCAACUAGUGACUAGAGUUCGUAUCUAACACAUUAUAACAUCGAUAAUCAACCUAAAUCAAUCCUAGGAUUCAAAAUAUUUAAAUCUAGUUCAAGAAGGGGGGUGAUUUGAAUCAAAUAAUGCGACGAAUCGGAAGCUAUUUGACUAAAACUAAUUGGAGGGAUUGAAGGAGCUUACUUUUCUUUCUUCGGGGCCAUCUCGAUCCGCAAAAAUGAUGAAGAAACGACGAAGAUCUGAGGGGGGAGUGGAGGAAAGAGAGAGGGGCGAGAGGAGGAAGAACUCCUCUAUUCUUGGGCGGGUGGUUGGGGAGAAGGGGAGGGGUGGGGCGGCCGAUGGAUUAUAACUGCCUGCACCCUACCGCCAGGUAUCCCGGCGGUAGGAUCAGACAGGCUACCGCCAUGACCGGCAGCGGUAGGGUGGGACGGAGGCCGUUAAUGUUGCUGACGUGGAUAAGUUUCCUACCGCCGCAGUGUCUGGCGGUAGCCUAGGUAAUCCUACCGUCGGGCGUCCUGGCGGUAGCAAAAAGGGUCAAAUGUCGAUUUUUUUCAAAGUGGGGUCAAACCCCGAUUUUGUUUGACAAAAGGGUCAAAACACGAAAAUUGGCCCCACGACCGGGGGAGCUCAUAUCAUUGGCGUGAGCUCAUAUCAUUGGCGUGUCAGUAUGAUCCUCUUGUCGGAUACUACGGCUUUACCGCGUACGUACUCCUACCGUGGAGAGCUGGCUGGUUGUGGACCCCUCUGGAACGAACAGGUCGACAGGUCCCUCUCCCUUGGUAGUAGGCCCAAAUUAUAGGCACGUGCCGUUGUUGGUCUAGUCCCGGCCACACCGUCAAUGUAUCAGUUAGCGUGAUCGCGUCGCGUCGGAAUAAGUUUUUUCGGGCUCCGUUCGCGGCUAGAUGAGGCUUUUGCCUUCGUCUAGGAGCCAGCGGGGUGGGGAUCCCCGGAUCUCGUUGAGCUCGCGGGCUAUAGUGACUGGAGGUUCAUCAGCACUGGCCGUUUGGGUCCUCAGAUAGGCGUUGGAUGCAGGGAGACUGUUGAGUAACGUGAUUGUAGUUGGAAACAUAGGUUAGACUAGGAAAUAUUCUUGCUUUCCUUGUACUCCAAGUAGAUCAUGUACUCCUAUAUAUGUGCCCACGAGGCUCAAGCAAUACAUUGAACUAUUCCACCAACCCUCUCUCUCCCUUCAACAUGGUAUCUAUUGCAAGUCGAUCCUAAACCCUAGCCACCGCUGCUUCCGCACCUGCUCGCCGCCCUCGGGGCUGUCAGCCUCCAUGACCGCCGCUGGGGGCUCCGCCGCCCGUACCUAGGGUUCGUCCACCGGUCGUGUUGACCGGCUGCCCUAGAGAGUCUUUUCCCCGAGCCCUUGCUCCAGAUUUUUUCGCUCUCUUGCCGGUCGUUUUGAUCGGUGUUUUUCUUUUUGGUUUUCUGAUCUAUGCUUGAUCGGUUUGCGUCGCCCGCCGCCGCCGUCGACACCGAGCGCCUCUACUUUGACCCCGACGCGACAAGCCGGCCUCUCCUCCGACCCGGCAGCCACGCGUGCCGAGGCGGCCCGUCAGGGCCAGCCGUCGUCCGCGCGUCGGUCCGCCCGUCACCGCCCUGCUCCGACCGGGACACUUGCAUCGCCCCGACCCAGCGGCCACGCGCCAUGUGAUGGCCAAUCAUAAUCGUCGCUCGUGUGCCGGCCCCCAUCGAUCCAGAUCACCCGCCUCCGCCGCGUCUUCACGGCGGCCCGACGGUCUACCUCGCCGGCCUCGUCCUCGGUUGCGUCGGGACGGCUGCGUCAGGCUUGUCGGCUGCCUCAACUCGGGCGCCGCUGCUCCGUUGGUCGCUCGGGCCUCACUGCCCGGGCGCGCAUGUUGCUUUGGCAGCUCGGGUGCCGGUGCUGACAAGUUCGUCCGCACGACGUCUCACGCCGGCUGUCGUCGCCGACUUCAUCUCAGACUCCGCCGCCACCACACCUCCACCGAGCGGCGUCCCGACCUCGCGUGCGAUCGGCUUGAUCACCCGCUCGCCGCGGCGAUCCGCCUCAUCUACGCCGCGCAACCGACCUGGCCCGUCGGUUACGCGCGCCUCCGCAGGUCCCGUGAAGAUCGUCCCCGAGUUCAGCGCGCCUCUCCACCGAUCGAGCAUUGGGCUGCCACCGUGUCGCCUCAUCAGGCCGCAACGCCGCCGCCCCGUGGUUCUCCUCGCGGCUGCAUCGACCCGUGCAUCGCCGCUGCGUCGCCCCUUCGGGCUGUAGUGUCGCGAUACGCGGUCCCCGCCGCCGCCCCGAGGCCAUCCCCGCGGCUGCACCGACUCGCGAACCGCCGUUGUGUCGCCCCUUCGGGCCGCAACAUUGCGGACCACGGUCCCCGCUGCCGCCCCGAGGUCUUCCCACCGUCGCCCCGACCCUCCUGCCGCCGCUACGUCACCCCUUCGGGUUGUAGCGCCGCGGCCCGCGAUCCACUCUGUCGUCACCGCGCGUCGACCUCCUAUGGUAUGCGCCACGCCGUCUUCCUUGGCGCGGAAACGCCACCGUCCGCGCCGGUCUUCGUCACGCUGUCAGGGUUCUUCGCCUACUUCGAGCACCGCCGCCGCUCUCCUAACCUAGCUGUCGCCGCUGCCGUCAGGCCGCCGCCGCCGCUACCUUCAUAGCCGCCGCGCCGCCCGUCCACCCCCUUCGGUCUUCGUCCAAGCACCAGCCCGUUGCCAGCGUCACCGUCAUCUAACCCGACCACUUUGUCUACUUCGACCACCGUUGGUGACAUCGGCCCCGCGCCGAUGGGCACCGCAAUCAUCGUCGAGUUUUUCUCUGCUGGCCCUCCGACUUCUCCGACAUGGCAUACAGCUCGUGCAGGUCCCUCGUCUACGCAUGCCCGGUGCUGGCAACACCAAUGCGUACCUUCAUCCACGACGUGUCCCCGGGCCUGGCAAGCCUGGUCGGCACUUCGUCAACUUCGUCUUCGUCCGUCUACGCAUGCCCGGUGCUGGCAACACCGGUGCUGGCAACACCGGUGCGUGCCUUCAUCCAUGAUGUGUCCUCGGGCUUGGCAAACCCGCCGCGACGCGUCGUCAACACCAUCAUCCUUCCGGCGCACCACUACCUCGUCACCACUGCGCCCAUGACUAACUCGGCGCCCUCUUGCGCCCGCGGCUCCACGGCGACUUCCUCGACACCGGGCCUGGCAAGCCUGGUCGAUGCACCCAGACUCGACAUCGACCACGGCAUUCUCCGAACGGCUACCUCGACCAUGGCUCCACCACCCACGCUCUUGGCUACAUCGACAAACGGCACAAAGGGCUACGGUCUGCUUGAGCAACCUCGUUGGUUUCCACUCCAGCCACGACUCCGCGAUGCGUCGACCGUUACGACUGUGGGGGGGGGGGGUGUCCGUCGGCUUGGCUUCGGAUUCUUCUCCAGUCUCACCGUCUGCGUCGCUACCGUUGUGACUGCAGGGGGAUGUUGAGUAACGUGAUUGUAUUAGGAAACAUAGGUUAGACUAGGAAAUAUUCUGGAUUGCCUUGUACUCCAAGUAGAUCAUCUACUCCUAUAUAUAUGCCCACGAGGCUCAAGCAAUACAUUGAACUAUUCCACCAACCCUCUCUCUCCCUUCAACAGAGACGAAGACCCUUCUUCUUCCUUGUCGGUAUGAUUUGUUGCGGCUGUUCUUCUCCUUCCUCUGCGCUGAUGCUGGAGGGAGAUUCUGCUUUGCCCGGGUGGAUGGCCCGGCCGCGGUGCUGGACCGGUCGGAUGACUCGAAUUCUCUUCCAUCAGGAAGGGACAUUUUUCGCGGUACUCAAAGCCAAAGCUGGCGACGGCUGUUGCAGGUGUGUUGGAUUGAUGCCCAUGCCCUCUCAGCGCUGGUGUCAAGAAAGGAGAAAGUAGCGUGGCGGCAAUUGUACCGUGGUCGAAGAUGAUGACCUGCUUGCGCCUGGUUGCGGAUCCUUCUGCUUGAGGGGUCUUCUCUCAAGAUUCAGGGAUGAUGUCAAAAGGCUCCACAGCUCUUCUUGUGUUAUGUUUGGCUUAGGGUACUCUAAUUGUUCAUCGUCCUUUGUGUUUACGUUUCAAUGUGCUUGUAAGGAUCAACUACUUUGUACUGUUUCGUGAUUUGAAUGAAAAAAUUCACAAAAAAAAAAACAAAUGCACCGUGGCCAGAUCUAUUUGCCGACUAUAGACUACUUUUGGUUUCUUCUCGUAAGGACUACUUUUGCGAAACCCAAUACUACAACACAUACGUUCACAAAUACGCACACGUAAGGAAUAAUAAUAUGCUAAAACAGCGCUAGUAGUAUGGUCUUUGCAUGCUUGGUGCUGCUGCAUGUGGGCUGUGGAGGUUUUUGAGCCUACUGUCUGCAUGCAUCUCGAUAAUAAUAAUCCAAUUCAAUCCAAUCCAAUCCAAUCCAAUCCAAUCCUAUGGUCUUUGCAUGCUUGAUACAGUGCCUACCAAUCCAAUCCGAAACUGGUCAAACUUUGCGUGCGCCGUAGUGGUUGGCUAUGCUGGCAUGAAAAAUAAUAAUGGUCCUUUACUUCCUUUCUCUCUGCACGGUGCAGUUUAGGAUAGUCGUAAUGAAAGUAUUAUAAGCGGUAUCAUGCAUGUCAAAUAGAUUUUUUGGAUCAUGUGGCAGAGAAUUAAAUGAGGAAAGAAAGGAUGUGGCAUCAUAUUAUGAUACCGUAUCAUAUUAAAUAUAGUACUACUUUGUGUCAUGCAUAACAAUUAAUGAGGCAAACUAAGAUGCUAGGUUACGAUACUAUGCAUUACGGAAAUAGUAUCAUACACGAGUAUCAUAUGCAUGAUACUAGUAUAUGAUACUCUCCAUUACGACCUGUCUUACUACUGUAGCGUCCUGUGGGUCACGAGGAGCUGACCGCGUGUUCCACGAAAAAAAACGAUACGGGCCCUCGUGGAACACGGUGCCCUGUCUACCUCCGUACCAAAAGAUAAUUUUUUUACUGUUUUAUUACAAAGAUUUAUUUUAAAUAUAUAUAAAAUGUUAGUGUAAAAUUAGUAUUAUGAGAGGGUGUGUUUCAAUAGUAAACCAACGAUACUGAUUUUCCACUAUAGGAAUUAAGUUUUAGUUGCUUUAUUUAUUCGGUCCAACUUGUAUAGUUUAACGUAGAUAGAUAAGAAAGGAAUAAAUUGUGAAAACCAUCAAGACUCUGGCUCUAAUACUAUGUUAAGCUUCAUUCUCUAGGCAAUUAUUGCAAUAAUAGACCGAUCUAACGGAAAGAGCUAAGCAACCGAGUUAAUUAUACAAUUAGUUAGUUUAACAGUAACACUUAACUGGCAGCAGGUGUUACAUUGCAGCCAGCGAGAGCGAGAGCCUUCCCCCUUCCCCGCCAUGCGCUACUCCGGUGCUGGCGUCCACCGCGCCUCUGCGCCCCCGGGCCGUGCCAGCCACCCAGGCUCCUGGCCGUGCCACUAAGGCCGUCCCGGCCACCCAGAUCUGUUCCCCCGCCCCCCGCUGCUUCCUCGCGCAACCAGGGCUGUCAGCCCCAGAUCCGUCUCCUCCCAGGUCAGGCCGGCGGGGGAGAGGCCGGUGGUCUCUGGGCUGGGGCUUUCGGAGGGCUUGGCUGAGUCGGACCCGCAGCCGGCGGUGGACUCCGCGCCUCGCCUGGAGGCUCCUGCUGCGGGCUGGGAGCGGCCUUCUCCCACCAAGAAGGAGCUCUGGCGCCUCCGUCAUGGACAGGGCGGCCAGGGCGGAGAUGUUGCGGCUGGGCGGCACGUGCCUUCGCCGCCGCCGGCGGAGAUGAUCCCGGAGAUGCGAGACAAGUGCUUCAGGUGCCUCGAGAAGGACCACUUCCGGUGGGACUGCACCAACCAGGAGGUCUAUAUCAGGUGCGGUUGGUCGGGUCAUGGCUCCCGCGAUUGCAAGAGGCCGCAGAGCCCCUCUUCGGCUGAUGAGCUCCAACGCGAGGCGAUCGCCAAGGUGGCACGCCACUCGUCUCCCCGGGUCAGUCCAGACCACACGGCGCCUCAUGCGGCCUUCCCACCCCCACCGCCUCCGCCGCUGCACCCCCCCUCGCUUUGUGCUGCCGCCGAGGCGGCCUGGCCGCGUCUUGCACCCCCGCGGCUCCAGGUCGCGCUGGAUGCGGGGGAAGGUGCGUAUGAGCUUUGUGUGGUGCGGCGCUCGCAGUCCAUGGAGGACUUGGAGCGCCGGCUACGCUUCGCCAUGGUCACCUACGUGGGUGGUGCCCGGAGACGCCUCUCGCCGCAGCGGGUGCUGGAGAUCUUGGCGGGGUGGCUCGACAUCUCGGCGGAUCAUGUCUCGGUGCACUCUUACCGGUCGGAGGAUUUUCUGGUCGUUUUUGCAUCGGCUGAGCUUCGGAACAGGGUGGCGUCGUACCCGGCGGUGUAGUGGGAGGGCUAUAGGCUGUUCUUCAGGCCAUGGAACCGGCAGUCGCAGGCAGUCUUCUCGACCAUGGGCUUCAAGGUCUGGAUUGUCAUGGAGGGGAUACCACCACACGCUUGGGAUCGGAAGACAGCAGAGGAGUUGUUGGGGACGGCGUGCAAGGUGGACUCGGUUGCGCCGGAGUCAAGUUCAAGAGCUGAUCUUUCUACGUUCAGGCUCACUGCAUGGACUGCAAACCGGAGGAGAUACCUUCGCUGCGCUGGCUGGCCAUCUCGGAGCCAAGCUCAGAGAUCCUACCACCAUUGUUGCAGUACAAGAUCCUCAUCCAUAUCGACGCAGUGGCGAACUUCCGUGAAGCAGGGGAGCCGUGGUUCGUGGGAAGUUCAUCCGACAGUGGGCAGAGUGGCUUGCUAGACUCUCCGGACGGUUUCCAUGAUGGAGGUGGUGGUCAGAGGUCACAAUGGCGAGUUUGGCAGUUCGGUGUCAGAGAUGUGCGCGGCGGUGAGCAGGGCUAGGCUUCCGGCGGUGGCGGUGGCGGCCAUGGCGCGGCAGGGAGGGCAAACGAGGGGCUGGAUUGGCGCCUACCUCCCAUGCCCCCGCCCCGAACGUUCUGCAUGUGGGGCCACCAGAACGCCUUCUGGAUAGGGUUGCCGUCAGGGUGUCUGCUUUUGACCGCCUUUUGGGUCAGCAGGCACAUGGAGAGGGGAGCGGGACGGUUCUAGAGCCAAAUUCAAACCUGACUGGCGCGGACAAGUGGCUGGGACGGACGGGCGCACUUUGACGGCGGGACCCCGGACGGAGGAGACGGAGCAGCAUCCAAUGGAAAUGGUCAUUGUGCCGUUGGGGCAGGGACGGCGCCUGAGCUUGUCAUCGGAUCGGGCGGUCGAAGUGGUGGUUGGCGCGCGCAGCCCGAGUGAUUCCCGUAGUGCCCCACGGGCGAAUGAUGACAUGGACAUGGUGGUUCUCGCGGAUCUAGGGAGACUGGACCCCCCGGUGCGGGAAAGGCUGAACCCGCCAGCUGGCGUGCCUGCAGGCUCCGUGCCGGGGGAUGGGAUACCGGACGGGUCCCAGGAGGUGGGGCUGGCUGAGGAUCCCAAUGCAGUUGGGGCCGUGUGCAACAUGGCGGGCCCCGUGCUCGGAUCGAAUGCAGAGAUGGCUACUGGUGGGUUGGGUGAAGGAAAUCGCGUGGUAUUGACUACUGGUGGGGCCGGUUAUCGAAUGCAGAGAUGGCUACUGGAGGGUUGGGUGAAAAAAAAGUUAGUUUAACAGUAACUGUGAUGCCAAGACAAAUCAUUGGGGUCAAAAUUACCGAAAUAUUUAUUUACUCCGGUUGUACACGGGUCGGCUUGUACACGCGCAUGAGCUGCCACGGAGCCACACUGUGGCCGGCCUACUGGGGAGCCCGAGUCAGCGAGGCUGCUUGAGAACCAAGCUGCAUGUCCUCGUGUUUGGAGAGGCGAACGACGAGUUCGCUAGAGACUUCGUCGGAGAAGGGGCGGUGGUCAAAGGGAUGUGAGAGAGGUGAUUUUUUUUAUUGGGCUGUAAGGUGGGUCCUUGUCCACAUCAGCUGGGUAUUAAUUCGUGGCCAACACGUUGAAAAAUCCACCGAAUAGUCAUCACAUUUUAUCAUGCAAUCAGAAAGCCGUGGUGUUCACAACAUUUUGGACAAGUGGGAUAGUUAUUUCAUGCUAACAACUCAUUGAGACCGGACUAUGUACUUGCAGAGUAAAGACUCUAUAGCUACGACAAAUAAUUUGGAUCAGCGGGAGUAGAACAAAUACACGUGUAAAUAUUUGGUAACUGCAGAAGAAAUGUUAAUGUAUGUAAAGAAAAGAACAAUUUAUGUAGAUUACAUAGGUGCGGUACAAUGGGCGGAAAAAAUGAAAUAAACUAAAGAGAAGCAAAUUUGAAAAAUCUAUAAACAAAAAGUAAAACUUAAAUGCAAUAAUACAGGUGACAUUUAUUACAAAUCAAAUGACGAGCAGAAUAAAUACUCCUUCCUUUCCAGUUUAUAAGUCUUCCACGUGUAUCUUGGCUGCUAAUUUACCAAGUUGAUUACACGUGCAAGACUAAUAAACACGUAAGGACGGAAGGAGAUAGUAUCUCCGAAGUGGAAGUAUAUAAGAACAUUUAAGGGUAUACUUCGAUAAUUGAUCGAAUCCCAUUGGUUGGAGUGAUCUUGUAGUCGCUGAACCCGGCUUCGGAGAAAAUCAAGCUCCACUCGUUUUCCUCUCGCUCCAUUCCAUCGGAGCCCAUCAUGUAGAUAUCUAACAAAACCUGCGCCUCUAUGGAAUCGUUGGGCUGAGUCACCGGAUAUCCCACCACCAUAUCGAUAAUUAUCACCUUUCCUCCGGCUUCUUUCGCUGGGAUCGCUUCCUUGCACCGGCGCAUUAUCUUGACGCAAUCUUCGUGUUUCCAGUCAUGCAAAAUCCACUGGAACCAAACAUAUUAUUAUAUCCCAUUAGCAUAUAUAGUAGACCAGCAGAAAAAAGAAGAACAUAUCCAAAAAUAAAAAUAAAAAUAAAAAAUUACCUUGAGUAGAACAGCAUCCGCAGGUGGGACAUACUCGAACAUAUUUCCGGCGACGAAGGUCAAAAUGUCGCUGGCGGGAGCCGCGGCGACAACGUGUGCGAGGUCCAGAACGGUGCACUUGAGGUGCGGGAACGCUCUCGCCACGGCCGACGCGGUAGCGCCAUGGUUGCCGCCGAUGUCCACCAGCGAGCUUUUCACUUCCCCGAACGCUCCGCCGU